UUUUUUUUUUUUUUUUUUUUUUUGUAAUUUUAUCUUAAUUGUACAAAUUCGAAGAUGAGAUUAAAUCUAUAAUGGUUAUUGGUUAAAUCACUUAUCUAACUUUGUUCUUGACAGAUCGUAUAAUAUGAUUGGAACCACCAUCCUAACUUUAUUAGGUGGGAUCCCUUUUUUUUUUUCCCCAAACCCUUGGAUUUUAGUUUUGACUUAUAUUUCAAUUGUCUGUAUCACUUUUUCUUUAUUUAUUAAUUUUCAACAAGUUCUUUAACAAAAGCCUUGAAUCAUAUUUAAAUUCAAAUAACUUAAUCCCCAUUAAGUUCUUUUUAAAUGAAACUUAAUCAUGUGAAAGUUCAUGUGACUAUUAUAAUUGAGAAUUUAUUCUUAGUUGGGUUUUUUGUAAAUAAAAUUUAGUUAUAGGACUGUGAUGAUCCGUUCUCAACCGUAUAAAUAUUGUUCGUUUUGAAUUCAAAAUAACUUUUACGGCUUUAAAACAUGUUUACAAGAUUAAGAGGAGUCCAUAUUUAUAUAGCUUCACGAACUUUCCCCCCUAUUCGAUGUGGGAUGUCACAAGGACAUCAUGAUGCAACGUAUAACAUAAGAUUGUUUCUUAAGUUUGUCUAACCUUGUAAUGUGUUAAAAUGAAGAUGAAGCCAUUAUAACAGAAGAGAAUGAUGAAGUUGUAGAGAGAGCUUAACAAAGCUUGGGUUGGAGAGACUUCAUAGGAAGAGAGAGAGAGAGAGAGAGAGAAAUAAAGGGUAAAAUUAUCAAAAAAGAAAAAAGAAAAAAAAGAGGGUGAUGUCUCCAAAUAAUCAAUAAGAGAUGUCAUUUUUCUAAUUUCAAAGUUCUUCUGGCCCUUCUCUACAAAUAUCCCUAUAAAAACAUUAUAAUAUCAAGUUAAUUUGUUGAUACCAAAAUUUAUAUAUUAUAUUAGGAUGACUAAAUAACAUAUAGAAAGAAUUUUAAAUGAGUAAAUCAAAUCAAUUUUGAAAUCAAAACUUAAUACCUACCAAACUUGUAAUCUUAGUCAUUUAAAGUGUUCCAUGAAAUCUAAAUUAUUAAGCAGUGAAACAAAAAAUAUAAGAUUAAAAUACAAAACGUUGAAAUCAAGAUUCAAACUAUUAAAACGUAAGUGGAGACGUAAGAUGAUGUCAUAAAAAAUAGUGGGAUCCAACAAAAAGUCUAUUAAUCAUUAUCUUCACUUCCAAUCAUGUUUAAAAGGUCACAAGUUCUAGCGGCUUUCAAGGACGAUGUUAAAAAUAAUAAAAAUAAAUCCAAUUAAAUAUUAAUUAAUUUAUUUGAACAAUAGAUAGGACCAAAAUAAUAUUCUAAAAGGAAUCAUAGGGAAGUCCUUGGACAACCUACGACAUUGAACAAAGGUACAGUGAGACAAUGCACUUAGCCCUUCCUUGUCAUUGCGAUGAAUAUAAAAAGACACCCUGAUUGAGGGUGCCCCACUAAGCCAAGAGUGAUUCUUUUGUAUUGUAUAACGUGAAUAUUUUUGAACUUUGAAUGACCCUUCCUAUAGUCAUCAUUGUCAAAACUAGAAAAUCAGAAAGAUGCGAUGUACGAAGGCACCAUUGAAUAAGAGGCUUAAUUCUCUUUGGCAAUUAGGAUAAAGUUUCAAAAUAGAAAAAUUAAACAAAUGUACAGUGUACGGACACUUGGGCAUUGCCUAUUUGUUUUGUUCUUCUAGAGUUGUAUAUGGUAAAGGUCAUAUUGGGUUGGUUCUAUUUGGUUAUUGAAGUCGGCUAGAAUAUUAGAUUUGGUUUCAAUCUAAUCCCAUAUGAUAUUAGAAUACCAGCCCAUACAGAAUUUUUGACCAAAUAUAAUAUUUCUUUUAAAUAUAAAUAUAGUAAUUAAUUUUAGUCUAAGAUUAAUUAUGUAGUUUCCUAAAGAGACCACUUCCUAAACGGUAGCUAUGUGGAAGUUGGGCCAGGUCCUGCCGAGAAGGUUUCCACGAGCUGAGCCCAAAACUGAGUAGCUGUGAUGGGAUCAUUCUAGCAUUCAGCCUGAAACUUGUAACAUAACGGAUCGAGAGGCCUGAACUCCAAGACCAUGGUUCGUCAGCCCAUUAACUUCAACAGCACGCAUUUUAGAGGACUGGGCUUGCAAGGGGUGAGGUUUCCGGGCCGCGACCCCAAAUAUGAACAGCCUCAGAAGUGAUAUUGCUUACUGGCACGUGAAGAGCGCAAGCGUAACUAGAAGAUUUGUAAUGCCGCUUUAAUUGUUUGAUUAUAGAAUCCCACGCAUUACGCAUGGAAAGUGUAAAAGAUAAAAGAUGUAGAAUUUUUUCUUAGAGAAAAGUUCGUUUGGAUAUAGUUAUUGUUUUUUUUUUAAAUAAUAAUUGUUUUUUUUAUAAAUUAUAGAUAAUCUUAGAAAUUUAUCUUUAAAAAAAUAGUUUUUAAAAAUAUUUAAGGAGAAUAAAAGUGAUAAAAAAAAACUUUACAAUUUCAAAUUUUUAAAAAAUGAAAAUUAUUUUUAAGAAUAUAAGUUAAUCUCCUGCAUUUAAAUCUUAGGUGGUUUUUGUUUUUUUUACUUUUCGCUGAAAACAAUUUGUUUUCAAAAUUUAGGUCAUUUGUUUUUUCUAUUUUUUCAUGAUUUAUUAUAAAUUUUUUACUAAAUAAAAAAAAUCAAAAUAUGUAACUUUUUCUAAAUAAAAAAAAUAACGUAUUGAUUUUUCUUUACUUUUUAAUACUUAAUAGAUAUAAAAUACUACAAAAACAAAAAAUCUAAUAUUUAACACUAUUAAGCAUUAAAGUUCUAUUUAGAAUUAAGUAAAAAAACAAACACCACCUUAUAUUUUAUAUAAAAGUUACUUAUAUUUUGGUUUUUGGAAAUAAAAAAUAUAAAGCAUAUCCAAACAUGAGCUUAGCUAUUUUAAAUCAUAUCAAAAUAAUAAUCCCAAUAAGGUAAAUGGACUUUUAUACGGAGAAUAAUCUUUAAGGUUUUCAUUUUUAUUGGAUUUUUUUUUUGUGGUGUUUUUUCAAUCCAUCUUCUCAAUUAAUUCCUUAAAAUUAUUUUACUGUUUUUUUUUUUUUCAGUUUCUAAAUAUUUGAUUUUUCCAAAAUGCUUAAAUGGAAGACACUAAUUUUUCAAGAUAUUUGGUAUUACAAUUUUCCCUGUUCUCCCUAUUAUCUAUCAGAUUCAUGGCCCUUUUGUUUUUUCAUUGGUUUUCAAUUUAAUUUUCCAAAUAUUACAUUGUUGUGUUUUGAAUUUGUGAAACCAAUUUUAUAUAUAUAUAUAGUAUGUAAGUCUACUUUGGGUAACAUGUACAGAGAGGUUUUCAUGUGUUUGAAACCUUUUACCUCAAAAAUUAAUUAUUUUUAAUUUUAUAAUAAAUCUUUUUUUAUUUUUUAUUUUAUUUAGGAAAGCCUAUAUUUAAACUACAUGUUUGCAACGCAACACCAUACAUACUCCUAGUGGAACUUACCUUAGUGCUUGAGGGGGAUGCAGAUCUUCUUCUAAACCUAACUAAUAAGCAUAAAAUUGUUCACUAAUUAGCAUAUCUAGUAAAUCAUACAAAUUGGCAAUAUUUCAUGUUUUUCAUGUUUUGUCAAUAAAAGGCGUCUUGACCAUUUUGUGAGUUUUGUAAUAAAUAAAAAAAAAAAAAAAAAAAGGGCAAAAGGUGACUAAAAUGAGGCACUUUGGAAAGGUUAAUAACCUAAAAGGAAGAUGAAUUAAUACCCCCUUAUUCCUCUUCAAAAACCAUUGAGAAAAUGCAAGAAAUGCUCUUAGUUGUAUGCUAGGCUAACAGCCUAGCAACCAUAAUACCCUUCUUUGCAAUUGUAAGCAUUUUUUUUUUUUUUUUGAAGGCCAAACAACGUUGCAAACUUCCCAAAUCCCUUCUUUAUUUUUUAUUUUUUUAUUUUUGUUUUUAGAAGGAGAAUGAAUUUGAUGACAAACUCCUUGUCAAUCUUAUCCAAACCACGAUCGAACAGAACUCCUUGUCAAUCUUAUCCAAACCGUGUUCCACCUCAAAAACAUGUGUAGGACUUAAGGCAGCAACUGGCAAGCAUGACUGAUAGGGCCAAGUGCCCUUGUCUCUACAAUCCAUUAAGUUAACCAAGGGCAGUGAACCAUCAUUCUUUUCAAAAGCUUCAUUCCGUGUUGAAAAUGUGAGACUGAAGCAUGGUGCCCCCAAAAAUAACGAUCUAUUUACUAGCAGCAUGCCUGGACCCAUUAAAAAUACUCUACUUUAGGAAUAGAAAAAAUUACAUCUUUAUCCAAUAAUUUUAUAACAAUUCAGACGUUUCAGUCUAUAAAUAAUUGUACAUAGUUGCCAACGUUUAGCUAGUUUCAAAUGAAUAGCCUAGGUUCAUGCACCAGUUUGGCUGGUGGAGGAAAGGGAUUCGAGACAUUGAACCCUCUUUUUAGUGUGCCAAAUAUUCCACAAAAAUCACUACCUUCUCUUUGUGUUUGUUCACUUUUAGUUUAUAUUUAAUAAAUCUAUGUUUUCGAGUAGAGGUUGGGUUCAGGUGCGACCCACGUCACCUCUCGGACGGUCUUGAAAAAGGAGACCGGACCACGUAAUUUCAAAUGUAGUGACCAUCUCACUUUUACCUCCAUCCUUGAAGAUGGUUUCCCAAAUCAAUAUUAAUCUUUUGUUUACGACAAUAUCGAUCACUUUAUGUCUAUAUCGUUGUUAAUUUACCUUUUUUUUUUAGCCACAUUAUUUGAAAAUUGAUGCAAACUUUACCAACAUCUUGGUACCAUUUUAAAAUAUUAGAGUUAUUUGAUUAAAAAAAUAAAAUAAUCUCGAUAACUUGUUUAUAAAAUAAAUAUCUUUUAACAUUUAGACUAUUCUCACGCAUGCUUUAAAAUUGUAAAGAUAUUCAUAAAGUGGAACUUUAGACUUAAUCAAUAUCGAUCACUUUAUGUCUCUAUUGUUGUUAUAUUUUUUUUUUACAACAUUAUUUGAAAAUUGAUGCAAACUUUACCAACAUCCUAAUACCAUUUUAAAAUAUUAGAGUUAUUUGAUUAAAAAAAUAAAAUAAUCCCGACAACUUGUUUAUAAAAUAAAUAUCUUUUAAUAUUUAGACUAUUUUCACCAUGCUUUAAAAUCAUAAAGAUAUUUAUAUUCAUAAAGUGGAACUUUAGACUUAAACAUGAUAAUAGUUUUUUUACAAUAUUAUAAUUAUUUUAUCGUUUUAAUUAAGCCCUUUAUCAUACAUAUAAAUGUAAAUUAAUGCUAAAUUUUUAAAGCAACGUAUAACCUUUUACAUCUUUUUUUAAGAUGGUGCGAAAAUCCUAUGAAAAAUAAUAAAAGUCGAUGCAUAAGAAGAUUGUUUUGAUAAUUCAAUAGAAAAAUUCUUUUAAAAUGAUAUUAAAAAAUACCCAUAGAGCCUUUAUUAAAAAAAUCAAUUAUUUUCAUAAUAAAAAUUAUAAUUUUUUAUUAUGUAUUAUUAUUUUUAAGUAUCUUUAUUACAAAUACUUUUUUUGAGUUUAUGAGAGGAAUCAACAGGUUGGUACAAGCUUAGGCGUCCUCGUACAUGUUCCCGCUGUGCAAGGUUUUUGUCUUGUUUCGAGCUAGUCGGAAUUUACGUGUUUGAUAACGUUUUGUCCUAUUUUUGUAACGCUUUAAAGGGCGGCCCACCGUUGGAACAGUUCAAGCCAUCCAAAUCAGCCCGGAGGGUUAUGGCGACGUGGCAUGACGCCUACCACCUUAGUUCACAUGAACCCUAUGAUCGUACUACCCUCACAUGACAUCUGUGAUUCUUCACCUCCAAACCCUCUUUAACUUGGUAAUGUAUUCAAAGCUUCAUCAAAUCAUAGCGAUUAGCGACCCUCUUCCACCCUAAUUUUAUAAUAAAAAAUAAAUCUUAGUGGACAUUAAAGUAGUAUUUUGUGGGGGGAAAGAAAAACUCUAUGGGCGUAUCCACUAAAUACGAGCCAAGUAUAAGAGUUAUCACCAUGGAAUCAAAUUAUGAAGCAUUGACAUUUUAAUUGUAUUCAGAUUUGAGGAGGGCACCGCGGCACCAGCUGGCCCAGUGUAGUCUGCUAGCCUACCCGCCAUAAUGACCAAAUUAAUAAAGUAAAAAGGAUUACAGGGAUAUUCCCAACUUUAUUCUGGGUCUGAGCUGGAACUUGGGAGUUAUCACGAUCAACGGGAAAGAUGGUGGGUAGGGGACGAGGAUUGAGGGCUCCAUAUUCACAUCAGUGAAAAACGAAAUGUAUUGAGACAAGUCUUCUAAGGAUUUUCUAGCGUAUUAUAUGGUUUAAAUGAUUAUAAAUCUGUAGUUACUGGUAAAGAGUAGAGAGUGAAGACGAAAGACGUUGAGUGAAAAGGAAGGAGGAGAGGGGAUGGGGCCAUCUUACCGUGUCGGGGAGGAUCCAUAAAAGGACUACGUUCCCUGAAUCUGUAGGCAUCAUGCCUCGCCUAACGGGUUAGUCAAAAUACAGUGAUGUGUGUGAGUUGGGGGCCUCACUCCUCAUUUCUUUCCUUCUUUUCACCCCCACCCCCACUUUUUUUUUUUUUUUUUCGAAUUUUUCUUUGUCCUUUUCUCUCACUUGCGCACGCGGGAGAAGGACCACAAACUAGACAAUUCCUCUGCUCACGUGACCCCGAGUUUUUAAAUAUUUGCCUAUUUGGAAAAUAGUCAUGAAUCAUGAUCGUUAACAAACAAUCUUCACUUUAUUUAUUUAAGAUCUAUUUUUUGGAGCUCUAGUUUAGUUUAUUAUUAUUAUUAUUAUUAUUAUUAUUAUUAUUAUUAUUAUUUAGUAACUCCUCUUAUAUUAAUGAAAAAGAGAGGAGGAAUCCAAACUUGUUUAUUCUUCCUCUUUUAAGGUGUUUGUUUUUUUUAUUUUAUUUUUAUGCUUCAUAUGUCUUCAAUUUCUUAGCAUUUGUCUUAUAUUUCUUCUUAUCCGAUUCAUUAUUGCAUCCUUGGUCAAUCUUUCACGAGGAGUGCCUACUUUUUUCCUUUUUAUUAUUUAAUUCACUUUAUCUUUAUAUUUUCCUUUUACACUUUAUUUCCAAUUCAAAACGUGUCAAAAAAAAAAAUUGGUAACAAAAAAAAAAAAAAAAAUCAAUUGUAAUGAUUCUUAUAUAAUUUUAUUUAAUUUUUAUUAAACAAUAAAGAAAUUAAAAAUAUAUAAAUUUUUAAAUAAUUAUUAUAGUCUUUCAUUUUUGUGUAUAAUUUCUUUUGCAAGAAAUAGUGUAGGCUUUCCACGGUCUAAAGGAAAUGGAAUAUCAAAUGAGAAGGUAAUAAUAAUAAAGUGAGUUAUAGAUACUAAUCAAACUAAUCCACUAAUGAAUUAUUUAUUUUUAUUUCACAUGGACAAAUCCUAAAAGUUGGAGUUCUAAUUUACUUUUAUGUUAAGCUUUUUUAAGUAAAAAUCUUUUAUUAUUAUAAUUUAUAGACAAAAAGAAACCCAUUAAUGUGAUGGAUAAAAAAUUUCAAUUUAAAAAAAAAAAAAUUAAAGUUGCUAAAUUUUUGUAUUUAUUAUUUCAAACUCAUUUAAAUAAUUUAAAAAUAUGUCUUCAAUUAAUUUUAAUGAAACAAAGCAUGAUUUUUUUUUAAUUUUUUUUUCUUUACCAAAUAAAGCAUUAUUAUAAUACGUUGAUUAAAUUUUCAUCAUGUCUCUCAAGAUUUGGAUUAAAUAUACUUAGUUGUCAUAAAUUUGAAAUUUUAUUUAAUGUAUUUUUUAUUUUAAAUUAAAAAGAUGAAUGCAAAUAAAAAAAAUAUGUAUAUUUUAUAAAAUUUUAAAUUAAACGAAGGAUACGUGUAUUUAACCAAGGUGAAUGAAAUUAAUCCAAAUACUUUUUGGUAACUUGCAAAAUAUCUUGACGAAAUCAUUAUGGCAGGCAUCGUACAAGCUCAACCCUUGUCGCCUUGCUAGAAAUAGAGAAACAAAAAGACCCCCAAAUUGGGUUGCAUCCUAAAUAUGAAGAAGUGGUAACAAAGGAAGAAAAAAUGCUGUGUUAUUGAAUAGUUAAUACAUUGAACAUGAUAUGUUACAUAGAGAGCCAGAUUAAUCCUAGUGGAAUUCCACUGUCACGAUGGUAACCUAGGGUUAUGUUUGGUUAUUGAAAAUACCAAGAAAAGAAAAAAAAAUAUAAAGGAAAAUAAUUUUUUCAUUUUUGAUUGUCUUAUAAAAGAUAUAAAAAAAAAACAAAUAUAAUUAAAACUAAUUAAAAAUUUAGGUAUUUUUAAAUUAUUUAAUUUUUAUAUUAAUGAGCGAAAAUAAAUAAAAUAAGUUUAAAAUAACAAAAAAAAUAAUUUACCGAUUUUUAAUCUAUAUUUUAUUUUACUUUUUCUUUGUAUUUUUUUUUUCUUAUAUUUUCCCUCAAAUUUUCUGAAUCAAACAUAGCAAAAAAGGAGCUACCCCUUUCGAAAGAAACUCCCAAGAAUUUCAAAGAAACCUGCUGAGAUAAUGAAUGAGGGAUCACUGUCGGUAAACAGUAUCCAUUCUUUUGGGAGGACUUUCAAACUGAGAAGUUGUUUUCAUGACUUGGAAACAAAAUUUUGAGCUCUAAGGGGGUCUGUAUUUGGGCCCUAAAAUUCAAUCCAUCAAUCUGAAAAAUGCUUAGGAUAAUGAUUUGAUUUAGCCACAAUCACUAAACAAAUUCCAGAGGAAAAUUUCGCUACUCAUAGGUGGCUGAUUCUCAUAAAAAGACAUCGUGGUAGGGUGUCUCAAGUGCAGGCUCACCAUCAACUUGCUGCCCUUUUUAGAUUAUUGUAAAAUGAUUUCACAUGAAGCCCAAUGCAAAACUUUGAAAGAAAAGGUUGGUGGAGACGUGAAGAAUAUGUAACCCAUAGGCCAUAACUAGUACCGAAGAUUAUUGAACAAACAUUCAAGGUUUUUGUAUAGACGAAACUGAAAAGAAUGUGUACCAGACUCAGGCGUUCAGAUCAGAUGAUGCCGUAAUGUGGAUUGUGGAGGAGCAUUGUGCAGACAGAUAAUGAGAUUCUGAAAGCGAGGCCACUGAUGGGCCCUUGGAAGGGGGGCGUGCCUUCAAAAUUAUAUAUAUAUAUAUAUAUAUGUCAUUGAAAAUUGGAAGCAACUUUUCUUCUUAAGUUAUUUUAAUCGAAGAAGAAACAAAAAGUUAAAAACAUACAUUAUUCUUCCUUCUUACGAGGUUUCCGGGUCUAAAUUACUAUGGUCUCUGCAACUGGCGUCGUUUUCUCUCCCCUCUCUCUAUUUUCCCUUUAUUUUUUCACUUUUAGAAAGAAGCAUCCCAUCAAGAAUCUACUACAACCCUACGCUUCCAUUUUGAUUUAGAAAGUUAAAAAUAAGUUUAAGUUAAAAAAAAAUAUUUUCUUAUAUAAUUAUUUAAACUUAUUUCUUUUCCUUUUUAUAUAAAGAAACAAAUAUUUUGCAAAUAAAUAAAUUUCUAAUUAUUUUCAUUAACAUAAUAAUAAUAUUUUUCAUAUGACUUUAAUCACAAUUUUUUUUACCACUUGUCCAAGGCGGUGAGAGGUGAUAAAAUGUAUUAAAAAAACGAUUAAAUUGCAUUAGGUAUAGAAGUUUUGUGCUUCAAUUAUCACUUAUAAAAAUAAAAUAAAAAUAGUCAAAUUUGAGUGUGCAAGUUGGUAUUCGUAUGUAGAAGGAAUUGGGGGAUUUGGGGGUCCUAACAAAUUUGAUAUGAUUGAUGGAAGGAAAUGAUUAUUAUAGGAUAAAGUCCGAAUGAAACGCUGACGAGGGGGGAAAAACAACAGUGGCAAUGCACUAUCCACAGAUCCAUGAUUGAUUUAUGUUAGCAAUAAUGAAUUAUUUUGACUUUGAUAACCUUGGUUAAGAGAAUUUGGUCUUGUUAUUAUCAUUUUUUCAAAAAAAAAAAGUGUAGGUAACUAGGUAGUUGAUUUAUUAGAAUUUAGAAAUGAGGAUCCCCUCCUCCUGCAAGAGCCGUGACAGACAUGCCUGCUUUCUUGCCAGAUUAUACCAAUGUGCCCAAAUAAUCCCCCAUCUAUCAUCUCUGCACCCUGGAACACGUCACUCCCUCCUUUGAGCAAUAAAAUAUCUCUUUUAUUUUCUUUUGAACCACUCUUCUAUUUCUUUGUACCAGACUGGACCCAUUUAAAUUCUUCGCUACGCUGUUCCCAAGGACUACGAGAAUCAAAAUAGCAAAAUUCUUGAAUCAUUUUAAUGGGUUCAGAAACCACAUGUUUCUCUAGAUCAUAAGAGGAAAAUCUUUUUGGAUGGUGUUUGUGUUGUGUUGUGUUCAAUAUUAAAUACUCAAUUAAAUAAGCUAAAUCAAAUAUCACAUGAAAAAUAAUCAAAUUAAAAAUAGGGAGAAUUAUGUUUUGAGGGUAGAUGGACCCCAAAUUAACAAAAGGUUCAUGUAACUCUUCAAAUUGAGCCCAGACCCAAUGAAAAUAUGGAAAUUGAGUUGAAGUAUAUCAUCAUUCAGUAUUUCCAAAAAUGUCCUUUGUUGAUUUUGAGAAAAAAAUUAAUAUUUUUGAAAAAUAUUUUUAUGUAAUUUAAUAUUUUUUUAAAUACUUUUAUUUAAUUUAAUAUUUUUAAAAAAUAAAUUUAUUUAAUUUAAUAUUUUAAAAAAUAUUUAAUUUAAUAUAUUUUUUAAAUACUUUAAUUUAAUUUAAUAUUUUUGAAAAAAAUUUUAAUUUAAUAUUUUUGAAAAAAAAAUUAUUUAAUUUAAUAUUUUUUAAAACUAUUUUUAUUUAAUUUAGUAUUUUUGAAAAAAAAUUAUUUAACUUAAUUUUAUAAAAUAUUUUAUAUGUGUUCUUAAAGGGUAUAUUUGUCCGUUACUAUUUCAUAUCCUUCAACUCAAUUUAAAGAGUUAUAUGGACCUUUUGUUAAUUUGGGGACCCAUCUACCCUCAAAAGAUAAUUCUCCCUUAAAAAUAUAAAUUUAAAUAUGACAUAAUUAUUAAAUAUGUUAGAUCUUGUAUGAGUUUAUAAGAUUUAUGUUUCAAAAUAACAUGUUUAUAAUUCAUCUAUUGAUUUAUAAUCAAAUUUUAAAUAAAUUAAAGUUAUUCAAGUUAAUAAAUAUGAUUUAUGUUAUAAAGACUAACUAAAAAAUAAUUUAUUAAUUAAACGGAUCCUGGUCAAUAAAAAUUUGAUUUAAAUACGAUCAUACUUAAUCAAAACUUAGGUCAAAUUGUAUUGAUAAAUUACAUCAAAACCUUGUUGUGUUCAAUAUUUUAUAUUAAACUAUUUUUUAAUAAAAUUAUUUUUAUAAAUAUAAUAUUACAUCAUUUGGAGAAACAAAAUAGUAUUAUAUUGAUUUUACAUAUAAAGCAACCAGUUAACCCCUCAUUAUUUUGAUCCAUUUCACAUCCAUAUCAUUCUCAUAAUUUUUUUAUAAUAUAUUAACAUGAUGGACGGUAAUUGAGGGUAGAAAAAAAAGAUGAGAAGAAUAAAAUAAUGUGAAUCCUCUCUAAAUGUUACAUCUUCUGACAAAUGAAGUCUAUAGAAAUGUGUAAAAAAAAAAAAAACACUUAAUUGUGAGGUUCACUUGAUUUAGCAAAAAAUUAAUAUUUUAUUUGUUGUGUGAUUUAAAAAUAAUAUUUUAUUUUUAAAAAUAAAAAAUUAUUUUUAAAGUUUUUUAACACUAUUUUACUAUUGUUCUUUGAAAUAAUUUUUAAAAUUAAAAUGAAAUAACUAAUAAUUUUUAGAUAAUAAAUUAAAGUUGUUUUUAUUAGAUUUUAAAAAUAAAAGAAAAAUAUAAAACCAUUUGAUCAAAUUUUUUUAAACUUAUUUUUAAAAGGUUUUUUUUUUUUUUUUUUUUUUUCUAUCCUAAGUUAAAAGAUAAAAAAUAAUUUUUAAAGAUAGGUUACGAGCAAAUGCCACAAACUUUUUUCUUCUCUUUCCCUUGUUCGGAUAGAAGUGAAAAAUAUCCUCCCAUGGAUCGACAUUACGUGAGCCAUCACCAUUCCCCAACUGCAAUUCAACCGCCAAAGCUGAGGUGUCAUUAUUAGUUUGAACAAAAGUCAGCAUUGUCCACGUGGUGACAAGCGGAACUGACCCAACUUGCAAGGCAAAAAAAUAAAUAAAAUAAAAUGAAAAAAUCAGAUCACCAUUAUGACGUCAGUCCAAUUGCUGACCUGGCCGCCGUCCCCCAUUUGACCCACGUGUUCAUUUAACCCAUUCGCCGUAUGCCGUGGCUCCCCACCCAUAUGGCCAUAUCUGCCAUUUAUUUUAUCCGUUGCCUCCAUUCGGUUUUUGGAUUUUACCCAUUCGCCCUCGUCUAUUCCCAUUUCCGUAUUUGCCCACCAAGGAAAUUCAAUUCCCAUGCUUUUGUUUUACAUUCAAAUCCUCCCCCCUCUAUAUAAAGGAGGGAGUAGGGCUUGAAAGUUUCUCAAGCCAACAUGGACUGUUGAGAGUGAAAGACAGAGGAGCCACAAACAAAUAUCACUCACUCAAACCAAAGCCAAAACCAAUACCGAAUUCAAUUCAAAUGACUUCUUUCUCUCUCAUCAAUUCCCUGAAUUCCGAUUCCGAUUUCAAUUUGUUAUCGGAUUCUUUUUCCUGGGAAAACUCCCUACCUUUCAAUGAAAACGACUCCCAGGAGAUGCUCCUCCUGGGCAUGCUGGCCAGCUCCACUCAGGAAACCUCAGAAACAGUUUCUUUGAAUCGAGUGAAGGAGGAAGAAGUGACUUCCCAGGAAAAUCCCGAGAAGGAGAAGUCAUACAGAGGCGUUAGGAGGCGGCCAUGGGGGAAAUUCGCAGCAGAAAUAAGGGACUCGACCAGGCAUGGCAUAAGGGUGUGGCUGGGAACAUUUGACAGUGCAGAGGCAGCUGCUCUGGCCUAUGAUCAAGCUGCUUUUGCGAUGCGGGGCCCUGCGGCAGUCCUCAAUUUCCCGGUGGAAAGAGUGAAGGAAUCGAUGCAGGAGAUCAAGUGCAUCUUGGAGGAGGGGGGCUCACCAGUGGUGGCCCUCAAGAAGAGGCACUCUAUGCGGAGAAAAAGUCCUUGCAAGAAACAUAAAAGUGAAGAGGUGAGGUUAGAAAAUGUGGUAGUGCUGGAGGAUUUGGGUACUGAAUACUUGGAACAGCUCCUCACUUUCUCUGAGACCUCUAGUCCUUGAUCAUCAUCAUCCAUCACCUGGAUAGCUUCUUCUCUUUGCUCUGUUUCUUACUUUUCUCUCUCUCUCUCUCUCUCUCUCUCUUUUUUUUUUAUGUAAUUUUUCUUAAUGUAUUUUUGGAGAUGGCGGGGGUGUAGUGGUGGCAAUUAUCCAUCUAGAAUUUUUCAAAAGAUAUGUUCUUUUGUUUCUUUGUAUAAAGUUGAAAAGUGGGGAUCAAUUGUGAUGGUGCUCUAUGUUCAUCCACCCAAUUUAUAUAAUCAAGGUGAUUAAUGUUUUUUGAUAUCAACAAUUUGUGAAUGACAUAGAGAGAGAGAGAGAGAGAGACCUUAUUUUCUACACUCAUUACGGUGGUUUCCAUUUGGGGAAGGAAAAGGAAAUGGCUAAGAAUGUUACCAAAAGAAGUGGGGUGGCUUUCAUAUGCGUGGUGGCAUACUUGCAUACAAACUUUUCAAUUGUGUUCUGCAUGCCACUCGGGUCAAUUUCAUUUCUUUUACUCCUAGUAGCCUAAUUGGAUUUCCUUUUUCUCAUGAGACAUCAAAUAAAUUUCAUUUUUUUAUAUUUAAAUAGUUAGGUAAGUUUGAUAGUGAGUUAUAUUUUAUACAUUAAUUCAUCUUUUAGAAUGUUGUCUACAAUAUAAACAGUGUAAUUAAUUUCAUCAUUACAGAACAGUCAUCUUAUAAAAUAACAUAAAAAUUAUUGGAUCACUUGUAUGGCACCACUGAUUUGGACUUGGUAUGGCUCUGUUUGGCUUCAUAGAAAAAAUUUGGACCCAAUUUGAAUGUCUUGCAUAAAAAGAGAUACGUCCCACUUUGAAUGAUAUUGAAGAAAAAAAUUUCUGAUGAAGAAUAUAUUGUUGGCAGGGUCAUGCAGGCCAAUAGGGAAACGAUAAAUUCAGAAGAAUGAGUCCAAACCAGUGGGCUUGAAAAUUAAGAAGAGAAUUGCUGUAUAAAACAAUCAUUUCUUAAUCGAGUUCACUUUCUGAAUAAUCGUCACUUUGAGAAUGCAUACUUAGGAAGAUGAUGAUCCUUAAUGGGAAUAAUCAAAGGCAUCAAAAAAUUGUUCUGGAACAAUUCUUGAUUGUCUCCAGUAAAAUUCAAAGUCAAAAGUCAAAAGUCCAGUCGGUCAACACCAAACCAGGCCAGUCCAAAAGACAUUAAUUUGCAAUCUAGAAUCUAUGAUGAGGUGGCGAAAUCAAACCUUGGCUUUUCACCAGGGAAUGGUACUCUGAAUUUGGUCAGUUCACUGUUUCGAGUGAAUAGGGUGUAGUAAUUAGUAAAUCAUAUUUUAGAUUUGUGUCACAAGUUACAAGGGAUAUGGGCUGACGUUCAAUUUUGGCGACAAUUUGUGGGCCCGUAUAUUUGUUGAGAUGUGGAAAUUGGGUGUGUGCUUUUUUCUGCUACCACAUAAAUAUAUUUCUUUGAAUUGAAGAGUGUUUCAGACCAUUUUUUUUCAAGUCACAAAUGGACAACUGAUUGAGAUUGUAUUGGUGAGAGUAGGAGUUUAUUUUGGGCUGGUUGAGCGAAGUUGAAAGUCGAGUUGGACCUAACCCUUGAAUUCAGCAGACUACAGUCCGAUCCUGUAUUUUGGAUUUAGGGAACCUUCUUUCCCAGAAGCUUCGUCUGGGUUUUAAAGUCUAAAUGUGGCUACUCUUAAACAUUGGAGAAAGGAUGAGCGUUCACAAGCAAAUGGGUAAUUGUGGAUGGUUCAAGGACCUGGCCAGCUGGUCUUCAAGUUUGGAUGCCGGUUUGGGCCUGAGAGAGUCUUUGCAAAGUGACUUCACUUCAGCCUAUGAGAUCAAGAUAUCAUGGUGAUGUCCGAUCACUUAGGUUUCAUUUUCACCUCGGAUUACCGUUACCAUGUUCAUGAAUAAAAAUAAAUAAAUAAAUGAAGCCUUAUAGAGAAAUUAAUGAAGUGAGCUAUACAAGCAACUGGGCCAGGAGCCUACAAGGCAGAAAUUCCCUGCCCUAGACUAGGCCGAAUAAAUUAGAUGAAUGAAUUGGGGAAACCUGGGCCAGCCACACAUCCUCCUGAAGGCUGAUGUCGAACUCGCUUACGAGGAAUGGACAUGGGAGAUUGGGCUGGGACCAAAUAACCAAUUGACAGCCCUAUCCUUGUGGCAAGACGUCAGUAAAAUGGUUCAUUCUGAUUUUACGCUGCCAUUCAAUUUAAUUUUAAUUUUUGUUUAAAGCGAUGUACAAAUUGAAUGGUGUCUAGUCACUUAAAGAGUGGUUCAUAAUACACUUAAUUUAAACAAAAAAGAAAUUAUUAGAUAGGGGAUUCUCCAAUAAAAACCACCCCAUCUUGUCAGCAAGUCCGGAAACUUCCUUCACUUAGGGCGUAUUUGUUUUUUUAACUUUAAUAUUAAAGAAAGUUGGUUAAACCUUAUGACACUUUUAUAUUAUUUUAUGAAUUUUUUUUAAUUUUUAUUUUAAUGGAAUUUUAACUUUAAUACAAGUUGGAGUAAUUCUUAUCUUAAAAACAAAUCAAAAUUACUUUAAUUUUAUAUAGAAAUAAACUUACAGUAAAUUUACCAUGAAAAUUUCUAAGUCAAAUACACCAUAAGUGCUAGUAUUUUAUAAUAUUUAGAAACAUGUUAAAUUAUUAUUAUUAUUUUUUAAAAUUAUUAGUUUUCAUAUUAGUUUUAGGGAAACUUGUGCUUUAGGUCUUUUAUUUGCAAAUAAUAUGGUUUUCAAAUCCUAAGAAUAGAAAAUAUGAGAAUCAACUGUUAAUGUGGAAAAUAAUAUCAAUUUUGUGCAAUCUCUAUUGACUCAUUUUUUUGUGCCUAGAUUGCCUUCACCCACUUCCAUGUCAACAACCACAUUAAUAGAUUGUUUUUUUUUUAUAAAACAAAUAAUUAUUAUGUUUAAAAUUUUGGGGAAACUCUCUAUCUCUCUUACUUCUUCACUACAUCCGAGACCCAUCUUCCUUAAACGUUUGCCUCUCAUUUUGCCCUAACCCCAAAUCUCAUAAAUUUCUCAUUUUCUUGCCUCAUUUGAAAUAUGAAGAUGACCGAUUCUCAAACAUCUCUGUCUCUCUCUUCACGUUUUGACCAGUCUAAUUGGAAACCCAUUUUCCAAAAACCUUCUUUCUUUCAUUUUGCCCUAACCCCACUAUCUCCCUCUUCAAGACCUAAUCACCCAAACUCGAUAUCUAUCUUCCCAAAACCUUCAAGCAAACUGAACUAGACCCAUAUCUUCUUUUUUCAUCAUCAAAGGUGAAAUUUUUUUAAGGCUUUUGGAAACCGAAUUGGAGCUUUCCCUUCUUCUGGGAUUAAUCAUUCGCAAGUGAGUUUUCCAUUUAAGGCUUUGUUUGGCUGUUGAAAUCUUGGGAUCAAAGGUCUUUUAUUUUCAGGUUUCUUGUAUUUUGCUUUAUUUUCUUGUAUAUAACAAUAAUCAUUGUAACAUAUGCUAGUAGUUACCCUUGGUGCAACUUUACAUUUCCAAAUACCCUAAAGUCCAAAGCUUUUAAUUCCCUUUUCAAAGCUUUCAACUUUGAAAGCAGACUAAACCAUAAGAACUAUGAAACUUAUAUCUCUAUCACCACUAAUUAAGCAUGUCUAUGAAUCCUUCCACUUUAAGUCACUUAUUCUCAAACCAAGAAGGGCUCCUCUCAUUCUCACCCCACCUCAUCUAAAUGAGGGAAAUGAUCAAUUGCAGCCAUGCUUUGCACCAAAUUAGAGAAGUGAUCCUCCCAAUCAUCCAUUACCAAAAAUUGAUCAUGCUGAUGAGAUCAUAAGAGUCUAUUCGGAACUCCCAGUUUACUUGCCUCUUAUCUCAGGAUCCUCCAUUACCCCCUGUCUUUCCAACAUCAAAUCAACUUGCAAACAAUUCCUUUGUAGAUAAAAUGUUUUUAAUAUUGCAAAAGGGGACUUAUCAUAAUGGUUGAAUCGAUUUAUUUGAUAUAAUCACUCAAAUUCAAGCUUAAAAUUGAUCAUAAUAAAAUGUUUUUAAUAUUGUUAAAAGGAGAUUAUAAUGGUUUUAUUUGAUAUCAUUACUAAAAUUCAAGCUUUCAAACAUGCUCUACAAAGAAGUUCUAAAAGACUACAAGAAAGAGUUUCCACUAAAGAAAAACAAUGAAACCAUUUCUACUAAAGACAAACAAUGAAACCACAGAUGCUUUGUGAAAUAUGUACCCGCACAAUCCAACAAACUUUAGAAAUUCACAAACACUACCUAGAAUUUUUGCUGACCAGCAAAAAAUUUAUGCAAUUUAAUUCUUAUUGUUAUUAUUAUUUUCAAUGUGAACAAAUAUGAUUGAAUUAUGAAGUAUUUGGCCAGAAGAGGAUCUUGCCUAAUUAUAGUCAUUAAACAACCAUUUAUACCAUAGCCUCUAGACUUUAAAAAGUUUAUAAAACUCAAGGGCUUCCACCCAAUUUCUAGAUAUCUCCAUAACAUUCUUCUGACUAUUAGAAAGCAAUUACCACUUUAAUUUUUCAUUUCAUGAGUGUUCAAUUCAGAAAAAGACCAGGAUCGAACUUGCGAUCAUGCAGUCGAAAAUCCACCUGUGCAUGAAACUAUUGCCUCACGAUUGCAAACUCAAGUUGGAGUCCAGUAACAACUCUAGGUUUGCUGAUGUGCUCCAUUUGAAAUAAAGGAACUAAAGAAUACUUUAUAAAGAUUAAUUACCUUCAUAUUUUAGGUUGGGGUUAAGGCAAAAUGUGAUAGAUUGAGAGGAAGAAAAUAUAUCUUGUUCAGGAAGCCAAUAUUUUGGAGUUCACCUUUCCAUUCGAGUCCACUCUGCUAUAGCAAAAUCAGAGUCACAACUAUGCCUCUUUAAGCUAUCCUUUAAUUGGAUGAAUUGCAGAUUUGGUUGCUGAGAAAGUGGAUAAGAAAGAAAAAUGCAUACUGUAGCUUGAGAUUAAGAGUUUGUUUUCUAAAAUGAGAGAAAGGGAAAGAGAAAAAAUGCAUAUUGUAGCUUGAGAUUAAGGGUUUGUUUUCUAAAAUGAGAGAAAGGGGAAGAGAAAUGUUCGACAACUUUGAGAUGACAAAUUUUUAGAUUUGGAAAAUUUGAGAUGAGUCUCAGGUUUUUUUUUUUUUUUUUUUGUCUUUGUCUUUGUUUUUUUUUUUUUUUUUUGUUUUUUUCCCAAAAACAACCUGUUAAUGUGGUUGUUGACAUAGAAGUGGGUGAGGGCAAAAUGGGCAUAGAAAAAAGAGUCAACACAAAGUGCACAAAACCCAUAUUAUUUUCCACAUUAAUGACUGAUUCUCAUAUUUCUUGUUCUUGGGAUUUGAAAACCAUAUUAUUUGCAAAUGGACCUCCCAAAGCACAGGUUUCCCUUAGUUUUAUGUCUCCAUCUACAUUUUACAUAUAAAUAGAUUAUUUUAUAAAAUUUGUUUUGUAGAUAUAUUAGUUAAUAAUUAUAUAAUUAAUGAUAUAGAAAACAUAUAAAAAUCAUAUUUAAAAAAGAUAAUUACAUAUUCCUCAACAAUCCAUCCCAAGAAUUCGAGGUUGAGUUGAAAACAUGUAGAGUCUUUGAUGUUAUUAUAAUCAUAUCCAACACAUAUGAUUAUUGUUUAUGAGAUAUUAUUAGAAAGUUUGUCUUAAAAUAAUUGAUUUAUUACCCACCUUUAGCAAAUGCCCAUUUUUGCGUCUUUCAAAAUUUUCAUUUUUUUUUUGUUUAAAAGAAGUAUUGUAAAGAAUGAUGAAAUAAGAAAUUUGUUGAGAAAGUGUGAGUAAAUAAUUUUACAUAAAAAGAGAUUUAAUACUUGAUAAAUAAAAUAAUAAAAUCAUGAUUUCUAGUUGUAUAGGGCCGGGUGGAUGGAGUGGCUAAGAUGUAAUUCUUGAAAUAGAGGAGACAACAUCAAUGUAUAAAAGUUUAACAGAGAAGGAAAGUGUGUUUGAAUGACUUUAUUUUCUUCAUUUAAAGUUUUGACGAUGAGUGUUUAUACAAGAUAAAUUUUCAAAUGAUAGGACUCCUAUUUACAUGGAGUUUGUGAUAUACUAUGAUUAUACAAAUUUAAAAUUCAAACAGAUUCAUGAGUUGAUAGGAGUCUGCUCAAUACGCCCCUUCAAAAUGGUGGGAGAUAGCACACCAAUCUUGACUCGAAGGGCCUAAACUCGUGCAGAAGAUGAGGGCUUUGUUAGAGCAUCGACAAGUUGAUCCGUGGUUGACAUAUGGGACACCUUGAGCUCACCUGAUUAAACCUUGUUUCAAACAAAAUGAAAAUCAAUCGCCGAUGUGUUUCAUGGAGAGUGAAACAUGGGAUUUGCACAAAGAUAUGUUGCACCCACGUUAUCACAAGAGAUAGGAGGUGGUGAUAAAUUUGAAACACUAAGUUUUGAGAGAAGAGAAUUAACCCAAAGAACCUUUGAGGCUGUAGAGGCCACGACGUGAUAUUUCGCUUCAGUGGAAGAGCGUGCUAUGAACUUUUGUUUCCUCGAUGACCAAUACACAAGAUUGUGACCAAGAAAAACAAUGGGAGCAUUGGUGGAGGAUCUGACAUAAGGAUUCCUUGCCCAUUCAACAUUCGAAUAUGCAUGUAGAUUGAUGGGCGAUUUCUUAUGCAAGAACAGACCAUGCACCAUUGUGCCGACUAAGUAUCUAAGCAAUCUUUUAACACAAGACCAAUGUGUUGAUGUUGGAUGGUGCAUAAAUUGAGAUAAUUUAUUCAUCAAGAAGGUGAUGUCAGGGCUAGUAAGAGAGAAGUAUUGAAGGCUUCCAACAAUUGACAUAUAUUUAGUGGGACCAGGAAAAGAGGUGUCAUCACACAGAUUUGGAACAUUGUUGAGGAACAUCAAUGAUUGAACUGGUUUGGUAGCCACCAUUUGUGUUUUCUUAAGAAGCUCUCGAAUGUACUUGAGAUAAAAAUAAUCCUUUGGAAGUAUGUAUCAUUUCAACACCAAGAAUAAAAGAUGAAGUCCUGAGAUCCUUAAUGGAGAAUUUGACUGCUAAUUGAGAGAUCACGCGAGCACGAAAAACAUUAUUGUUACUUGUUAAAAUAAGAUCAUCAAUAUAAAUAAGUAGGUAAACAAUGAGACCACUCUUUUUAAAAAUGAAGAGGGAUGUCUCGGUUUAGGAGUUGACGAAGGCUAUUGAGAGGAGAAAUUGGCAAAGUUCAUGAUACCAUGAUCGUGGAGCUUGUUUAAAGCCAUAAAAAGCCUUACAAAGUUGGCAAAUGUGAUGAUGUGUGUAUUCGUGAACCCAGGAGGUUGAAUCAUGUAAACAUCUUCAUGAAGUGUCCUAUGCUAGAAUGCAUUAUUAAUGUCCAAUUCAUGAGUUGAUAGGAGUCUGCUCAAUACAAUGUGGGAGUGUGAUUUCAAAAUUAGGGUAAUUUCGAAAUGGAUUUUGUAUUCACAAGUUGAAUUUCAAAAUUAUUUUGAAAUGGUCUUUUAACUUUAAGCAGUUGUGUUCAAAAGGUCAUAACUUCUUCGUUUCAAUUUUGAUUUACACAUUGUUUAAAACAUUGGACUCUUUACUUCCCGAGCUUCAAAACGAUAUAUAGUAUGCUCAAAAAUGACAUCAGGAUUGGUUCAAAUUUCAUCUUGAUAUUAGAGUACAUGUUGUGAUUAGAUUUUGAGUUCCAAAUUUCCAUGUAAACUUGAUUGCAUUUGCUUCAAACCUCCUUCAUUAUGGUUGCUUGCCCUCUAUCUCACUUUGCAACAUUUGUUACUAGUAUUUUAUGUCCAUGACUUACUCAUUUCAACCUUUCUUGGAUUCUUCAUGGUUCACAAAUUAUGGAUUCUUCAUGGUUCACAAAUUGAGUCUUUCAAUUAUGCAUGUUUAACUCCUAUUUCCUUGGUUGAUAAUGACUUUUACACUUAUCAUUUUCUUUUAUUCUUUAAACCUGAAUUUAGACUUACAAAAAAAAGUUAGAUCCAUAACUAGGGUCUUAGCAUCAAUUUGAGUUAAGUUGGAUGAUUUGAAAAUUUUAUAUUACAUAAAUCAUAUCAUACAUGUGCCAUUGGAGUGCACAUUUUGGCUCUAAUCAUGUUCCAACCCAUUGUUUUACUCUUGCAUGAAGUAUGUGGCCAUUGAUUUUAAUUUUAUUUGCGAUUAGGUUCAAAAUGGUGCUUUUGUGUUGCUCAUGUGUCAUCAGAAGAUCAACUAAUGGAUUCUCUAACAAAACUACUACAUCAUAGUCAUUUUUUUUUUUCUUAAGACCAAGAUUGAGAUCUCCAAUCGGAGCCAACUCCAUCUUGGGGGCAUGUUAGUGAAAGAUAAAAUUUAUCUUUAAUUUAAAUAUUAAUAUUUAUCAGUUAUUAGUUUUAAUUAGAGUAAAAGAUAGAGUUUAAAUUGGAGUAGGAGAUAAACUUGUGUUUGAACUAGAAUAGAAGAUAAAGUAUAAAGAUUUAUGUUUGAAUUAGAAUAAAAUAUAAAGUUUGAAUUAGAGUAGAAGAUAAACUUGUUCUUUAUUUGUAUAUAAAUAUUCAUCAAUUCUUGAGAAGAAGAUUAUUUCAUAGUUUUUCUAUCUUCUUUUUUCUUCAUACAUAUCUGCAAGAAAUUGAAGAUUUCAAGUAAAAUAUUUUCUGUUUUAAAUAGUGAAAAAAGCUAGAAAUUCACUUUGUUAUCUCUUGGGGUAAAUUGACAAGGUUUAACGUUAAGAAGGUGAAUUAUUUUUUCAGAAAAACUGAAGUAGCUAGGAUAUCUGGCCAGUUGUGAUCGAUAAAAAAGUUGUAAAAUCUCUCAUAUACUAAACAGGUUUUGGAUGUUGGUAUGGUAAAUCCAUCUGCAGUCAUUCGUCAUCUCAUCUAGUGAGAUGUUUGGGAGGUGGUGACCGCCGGAUUGGGUUUCAUUUGGUUAAAUCUGUCAGUGGGUUGGCUACUACCCGAGCCUCUUGCUUUGGGGGAGGUGGGUUCUAGAUAUAAUGUUCAAACCAUUUUAGUUAUCAUAUGCAUGACAUGUAAGCAUAAUCUCUUUAUCACUUCUUCAAUGGGAGUUCAUGGUUAGGAAUUGACUUCUUUUCUUCUGGGAUGCUUGGCAUGUAAUGGACAAAGUUACUUUUAUAUCGAUCGAAUUUCUAGUAUUAUAGUGAAGACUUACCCUUUUGACAUUUUAUAUCGAAUUAUAGAAGAUGAAAGGGACAUACAUGCAAUCGACUGACGCUUUAGUGAAUAUGCUGAAAAUAUGCUGAUGCUGUGGAGAUCGUAUGAGGACAGAGGAAAAAGAUAGAAAUGGAUAUAUAAUUAGACCUAGGUUUUUAUUAAAUGAGAUGGGGAACAUAGAGUGAGGGAAAAUCAAAAUUUUUGGCUGCAGUUCACAUUGGUGAUAUUUUGGAUUGACAAAGACUAACGACUUUUCUAUUUUUCUUUUCGGCCUGACUGGAUAGUUGGACAUGGACAAUACAGAAUCCACAGAAGGAUUGUUGGGACCGCUGAAAAUUAGCUAGAAGAAGCUGAGGAAGUAGUCUACGUAGUCAAAUACCAAACACAAAGAAAGAAAGAAAUGGAUAUCAUGGAUGCCUAGAGUUAUACUCCUAAUACCGUCACAGGUAUUUUUCUUUCCUCCUUUUUUUUUCUACGAUAAUUAGAGCAUUUCUCCUCCUCCUCCUCCUCCUCCCCCCACCCCACCACCAAAAAAUAAAAAAAUAAAUUAUUGCAAGUAACACUUCAAAUAUUAAUUUAUACAUUCUAAAGUAUAUAUUCAUGAAAUAACUUGAGUAUCAUACAUUAGUUCUCAAAAAAAAAAAAAAAAAAAAAAAAAAAUUACUGGAAGAGAAAAGUUUAAGAAAACAUAAAAAUAUUCAACUACUAUUUUAAAGAGAAAAUUUAAUUUUUACACUAUAAAUUUGAAGAGAACUUUUACAUGCAUCUUAUAUAAACUACCAUUUUUUGCUAAAAGGCUUAAAUUUGUCAAAAAUACCCCUUAGGUGCUUAACGUUCUGGUCAUAAUAUAAUUGGCAUCUUUUCUCAAACAUAAGGCCUGUGUGUGGGAACAAGAUUUAAUGUUAAUGAGCUUCGCCACCGACAUUUAGUUCCAGAAAUCAUUAUUUUAAUAGAGUGGGCUCAAUUUACAACUUUAAUUAAACUCUAACCAACUGCAUUGUGAAAUGAAUAUGUUUCUUUCGUGGUGAAUCCAAUGAGUUGGGAGUCAAACUUUGCUUCAUUGUGUAUAGAUGAAAUGUUAAGACUCCAUGUAACCUCAAACAUUUCCGCAAUNNNNNNNNNNNNNNNNNNNNNNNNNNNNNNNNNNNNNNNNNNNNNNNNNNNNNNNNNNNNNNNNNNNNNNNNNNNNNNNNNNNNNNNNNNNNNNNNNNNNUUCUUUCGUGGUGAAUCCAAUGAGUUGGAGUCAAACUUGCUUCAUUGUGUAUAGAUGAAAUGUUAAGACUCCAUGUAACUCAAACAUUUCCGCAAUGAGCGGGAGUUCUAAAUUUAAUAAUUGAAAUUGUCAGUGGAACCAGUGGACAAGAGUUGGUUUGUGGUUGACAAACUUAUCCGUUUGAUCUUUACUUGAACAGUUCCAGUGUGUGGAUGGGUACUGAUGAAGUGUGCGCAUUUAUUUUGAGAAGCCUGCUUGUUCGCAUAGAUUUUAACGACAUGAACAUUGUGGUAAGGUUAGAGAGUAAUGCGAAUGUAGGAGCUUAUAUUAGAAAUGACACAAACACGUAAAUAGAAGUAAUCUAUAUAUGAUAUUACUCAUGGACUACAAGCAAAGAAGUACAAUACAUGGAGUAAGUGAUGAAAUGAGCAUUCCUCACUACUACUGCUUGACUGAUGGAACAUGAUGCACGAGAUAGCAUAAGUAGUAGUAGGAAGCAGCUCUUAUUUGUGGCGUCGGUAUACAUCAUACUAGGUAGAUGGUUCAAUUGGCAUGGAUGGGUGGUGGAGCCUUGAAGUGCUUGUGAUGGGGAGCCCACGGCUUCUUCUCAGGAGUUGGUGGCUUCUUGUAUGGAGUUGAUGGAGGUGUUUCUACUGGAGGGUGGCCAGGGUAGUGACCCUGGGGUGGUGAAGGUUCUUUUGUCGGUGGUGGCCUCACUAUUAUUGGCGGUAGAGUUGGUGGCUUGGGCGUUGGCGGUGGUCUCACUACUCUUGGGGGUAGAGUUGGUGUCUUGUGUUUUGGUGGUGGAGGUGGCUUAACAGGAGUUGGUGGCUUGUAUUCUGGGGGUGGUUUCUCCACCGGAGGUGGCUUAUAAACUGGAGUUGGUGGCUUGUAUUCUGGGGGUGGCUUCUCCACUGGUGGUGGCCUGUAAACAGGGGUUGGUGGCUUAUAUUCUGGGGGAGGCUUCUCCACUGGAGGCGACUUAUAAACAGGGGUUGGUGGCUUGUAUUCCGGGGGUGGCUUCUCUACGGGAGGUGGCCUGUAAACAGGGGUUGGUGGCUUCUCCACCGGAGGUGGCUUAUAAACGGGGGUUGGUGGCUUGUAUUCUGGGGGUGGUUUCCCCAGUGGUGGAGACUUGUAAACAGGAAGAGGUGGUUUGUGCUCAUAUGGGGGUGGCUUGUGGUCAUUAGCAAGUGAGGGAGUGGUGAGGACCACCAAUCCAAGGAACAACACGAGUGAGCAAGCAGAAGACAUGUUUGGGCUCUGGUGAUGCACAAGUAGAAGAAAUGGGAACCAUUUAUAAUGCUUCGAGACCUUGGUUAGCACCAAAAUAUGUCAAAAUCUUGAUUACUUCAUUUCAUACAUAGAUUUAAAAUUAUUUCAAUCAACCAUGAUCCUUAAUUUUCUGGGUGGUCCAUAAAUGUAAUGGGGUCAAUUUGGGACCUAACAAGCUGAGAAGUUUGACAAUGCUGCAAGGCUUCAUCCGAAAGUCCGGGGAAGAAUAUUAGGAGUUACACUCCGUUUCCUUUUUUGGGUGCAUUUUUCUCCUUUAACAUUCUAUUCCCUUUUACAUUAGCAUUUGAUCUUAGCUCAUUUCAAGUACAAGUUUCUUGAACCCUAUACCAUUGUCAAAGUUGAGUAACCAUCUCUACUUUGCUCAAGAAACAUAAAAGACAAUGACAAUAAAGAAAAAGGAGAGAGACCAUACGUGACUUGGUUUAUAGGUGGCUUUGUGUUGACAUUUGAGUAUGGAAGCCGACAUGCAUCUUAGCUUCGAUUUUAAUUAAAUUUGUACAUUAGUGUCUGUGUCAUUCAUUUUGGUAUAAAAGGUCUCUUGAUUUCGUAAGUUUGGUAAGAACCGUUGAAAAUAGCAGUAGCAGCACAUGGUCCACUUUCUUUCACAAAAUAAUUUUAAAAGUUUAGAAGCAUAGGAGGUAACAUUAGUGGCCUUGUGGCUCAGCCACGAGUACUAUGUGGUGCUCGAGAAAUUGAGUUUAAUUUCCUUCCGAUAGUUCAUGAUAAGGUCCGUCACUGUCCUGAGACAGAUUGCGUUUUUUCUUUUUUCCUUUUUUAGUGUUUUAUUGACUAGCUAGGUGUGACUUUUCCUACUUUAAGGCACGAGGCAGAAAAGAAACUGGGAUUUAGUGCUUAAGAAGGCAAAUUUAAUUCGAUUUGGAUCUAAAAUUUGCCAGCAACAUGAGAUUUUCCAGCCUAUCGUUGCUCCACAUAUAGACAAGGCACUUGUAGAAGUGGCUUGUUUGUAGCCAUUCCCGAUAUUUGGACUCACUUGAUUCACCGGACACUUUGAUAAAAUUUAAUAUUUAUUAUUUAAUAAUUUAAAUUGAUUUAAAAUUAAAUUAUACCGAAGUUGUGAUUUAAAAAUUAUUAUUUAAUUCUUACUUUUAAAUAUGAAGAUUAUUUGAUAAAAAUAAUUUAAAAUUUAUUAUAAAUUAUCAAAUUAACAUAUUUAUCCUUAUAAAUUAUAAUUAAAACAGAAAAGGUCAAAUGAUUUGAGUAUCCAUAGAUGUGGUAAAAUAAUAAAAAAGAUUAUAAAAACAAUUAUGAUAAAUAAAGAUAAAAAGUAAAAUGAAUAUGUGAAUUUAAAGAAUAAAUUAAUUAUUUUUAUUUAUUACUUAAAAUUAUUUUUGACUUUAAAUUAUAUUAUUAAAUUAUUUUACCAAACAUACUUAAUUUAGUUAAUAAUUUAAAUUUAAUUUAAGUUAUUAAAUUGAUUCACCAAAUACCCACUUAAUCAAAGACUGAAGUAUACAUUAUUUGGCCAAAUGCAGCUAUUGAAAUUUAACUUUUUCCAAACUUAUUCAUUUUGUGGAAAUAUUUUUAGAAAUGAUUUUAAAAAUGCACUAUUCUGUGUGUUGAUUUUAUAUUUUGGCAUUAAUCCAACAUAGAAAACGGUUCUUAUUUUCGCUGUUAAAUAGGUACCAGAUCCUUAAUUAGUGCCGUGAAUCCGGCAGCUUCCAAUGAGUAAUUUGGACUUGGGUAUUGACAAUGUGUGGCCAUGCUUCUACUAUUUUAUUAUUCUUGAAACAUAUAUGAUAUAUUGGACUUUAUACAGGGAAAAAAAAAAAAAAAAGUCUUCACCAAAAAUGAUUCCUCCUAAAAAAUAGACUCCACAAACUAGGUUUAACAGGAAAAUGAUUCUAAUCUAGUAGUUUCCAGCCACAUGAGCAUUUACGUAACAAUAGUAUAGUUGAUAACGACUUUUAUUUUAUUUAUUUUUAAAUAGUUAAAGGGAUAAUUUUUGAGCUUAAAUUUUAUUUUUUUAUUUAGAAACAUUUUACUUUAUUUUUUAAUCAUAAUUCUAUUAUAUUAAUGUUUUAUUUUCUAUUUUUUAAUAUAUAAGGAGAUACUAAAUUUAUGUGAUUAUUUUUUAAAAAUUUAGUAUAUGAAAUUAAAUAAUUGGAUAUAUAUACAUAUAUCAUAUAAUGUUUUUUAAGUGUGAUUUUUGAACUUUUUAGUCAUUUUAUAAGUUUAAGCUUUUGAUUUUUUUUUUUAAACUUUGGUAUUUUUUAUUUUAUAUAAAACUAUUUUGAUUUAAUUUUAUUAAAAAAUAUUGGUAUUAUAAAUUAUUGUAUUAAUUAUUUUUUUAUAUUAUAAUGUAACUGGUAUAUACUAAAAAAUGUAUGCAAGUUCAAUUUAAGUUUCAAAUUAAAAAAUUUCAUUUAAAUAUUUAAUAACUUGUUCAUAAUAAAAAAUUAAACAACAUAAUACAAAUGAAAAGAAACAUAAAAGAAAAAGGAAAAAAUGGUCCUCUCUGUGUGUCACAUUACUAGGUCAUCCUCUUUUUCUAUGACCCUUACAAUAGAAUGGCAUAUUUGUCAAAUCUACUUAUGAAAGUUGGAAUGUUUCUACAUGUGUAGGGUCCAUUGGAACUAAUGGAGGAAAGGCUUAACGUCUAUGUAAAUCACAACGUUGCCUAGGUGGGCAUAGAUCUAGUUGUGUAACAUGAGAUGGUGUGAGAGUACAAUAUAUGCAUUGUAGUCUCUAUGGGAAGAGAGAUAGGUAAUGGUAGGGUGGUAGACGGUAGGGUGAUCUCUAAUAUAAUGACAUUUGAUGUGGUGGCUUCUAAGAGAGGAGAUAUAAGAGAUGGUAGAAUGACAUUUGGUGUAAUGGUCUCUAGUGCAAUGACAUGUGAUAUGGUGACCUAUAAAGAAGAGAUAUAGGUGAUGGUGAAGUGGUAUGUGGUGUAGUGACCUUUGAGAUAGAAAAUAGAGGUAAUGGUAGGUUGGCAGGUGGAGUGGUCUUUGGUGUAGUGACAUCAAUUAUAAAUGUCUCCAAGGGAGGAAAUAAAGGUGAUGGUAGGUAGUAAAUGUUGAGGUGGUCUUUGAUAUGUUAUGCUCUAAGAGAGAAGGUAUAGGUAAUGAUAAUAGGGAAUUUGACAUAGUGGUGUUGGAAAUAAAAAGUGAAAGUGACCGUAGAGGUGAAAGGGCAAGUGUAAAAGCCUCAAGUACGAAUGGAGUAAUUAAUGUGGAUGGUGCUAACAUAGUCUUAGGUGGAUACACAAAUAGUCAUAGUCAUCAACUAGCUUGCCCACCAUCUGUCUUUCUGCUAGUGAUAGGUUACAUCUUAAUAGUAAUGGCCAACAUAAGUGGUGUGGAUCCGAUUUUUUUACGUGUGUCCCCACUCAAUCGACAAGACUUAUUUUUUAUUAGUGAAAAAUUAAUUUUGGAAAAGUUGGAGUCACCACUUAUUUUAUUUUAUUUUAAAAAGGAAAGUAAAACAAGAAAGAGAACUCUAAAGAAGUGACUUCAUAGUUUUGGAAAAGUUAGUCUUAAAAAAUCCAAGUCUUGGUCCGGAGAUCAGGUUACUUAUUGGGAAGAUACCUCUAAGAGGUAAUACCCCUCUAAACCCUAAAGAAGUCUCUAAUGACUAAGUUGAGGAGAAUGUGGUAAUUAAUUAAUUGAUUGAGGGUACCUAGGUAGACUAAGGUGAUUUCAGAAUUAACAUACCAAGCUAGAAAGUCCAAUCAUGAUCAUAAAAGAGAGUCAAAGUAUGUACCUGAACUGCUUCUCAAACGCUAUCAUAAAACAUCAAAGUUAGUAUAGAAAUAUAACACAUAAUAUUUGUUUUAUCCAAGCAAAUAAAGCAUACAUCUAAGCACCCAAGAAUCACAUCAAGUAUGGAUAUAGUCAUCAAUAGCAUACGUGUCCAUAGAACUAUCGAAAGUAAAUGUGGAGGAGCGUAUCUGGACAACAUAGAUAACUUAUAAUGUGCUUCCACAAGACAUGGGGGUUAGAUAAAAGUUAUAAUAAUAAUUAGUAAAUGAAAGAAUUCUAGCAUGUUUGGUAUCUAAAUAACAUAGCAAAAAUGAACAAGAGUACACGAAAACAUCAAUUAUCACACGAGUCAUAUUGGCUAGUAUUUAAUCAAUAAACCAACAAUAAAUGACUAUAAACAUAUAAAAUGACAUAUUCAAAGAGACCCAAACAUAAAGAGCCUAGAACACAAGCUUACACUAAAUUUAGAAAACUAAAACAUGGAAUUUUAAAAGCAUAAAUUAGCAAACAAAUUGAUGGAAACUAAAUUUAGAUAACUUAAGAAUAUUUUUCUUAUCCUUCAAUUUAAAUCAGUAAGCCAACAAUAAAAAAUUAUAGAAACAUGGAAUAUCAAGAUCAAUGGGAUACCUAAACUAUAAUUUUUAAAAGAAAAUAAACUAAGCAUAAUAUCUACAAAGCAACUAAACUAACAUUUUUUUAAAAAUAAAUUAAACAUGACAUUAAUGGAGUAACCAAACUAAAUUAAAGUAAACUAAAAACAUUUAUGAAUUUUCAAACAUGGAAUCAGCUUUCUUAGUAAAUUAAAAUUAUUAAAAUAAAAUCUAAGCUUAAAAAUGAAUUAAAUACUAACUAAAGCAAAUCUAAAACCAAAUAUUUAACACAUAGGAUCAAUUAUAUUAACAAACUAAAAUUUUAUAAGAACACUUAAACCUAAAGUUGAAUUAAAAACUAACCAAUUUUUAAAACUAGAUCUUUAACCCAUAGGAUCAAUUAUAUUAACAAAUAAAUAAUAAAUAAUAAAUAAAUAAAACUCAAACCUAAAGAUGAACUAGAAAUGUACCAAAGUAAAUUCAAAACAAGAUCUUUAACACAUUAGAUCAAUUAUAUUGACUAACUAAAAAAAAAAAAAAAAAACACUCAAACCUGAAACGAUGUAUUAGAAACUAACCAAAGCAAAUUUAAAAUAGAGUCUUUAACACAUAGGAUCAAUUAUAAUCACUAACUUAAAUUACAAUUUUUGAAACAUGAACUAAUUAGUGUUGGAUUAAUUAAACUAAUUAACUAAAAAAAACUAUAAACUAGAAUACGGUGAAUCAAGAAUUCAAAUCAACAAACAUAAAAUAUGGGUACAAUGAAAUGAAAAUCUAUUAAACUAAUAAGACGGAAAUAUGACAAACUCAUGAACCCACAUUUUGAUCAACUAGGAAAUAGAAAUUAAUAGACCUGUAGCAUGGAUACAAUGAAAUGAGAUCAGUUAAAUUUAUUUGCCGAAAUUCUAAAAAACACAUACACUCAAAUAAGAUCUAAAUCUAAGACCAAGCAAAACUCAAACUUUCUCAAUCUAAUGCAAUGAAUCAAAACUAAAAUUAAAUAGAAAUCAAACCAUUUUUUUUUUAUCUAAUAUAAUAAAUCAAAGCUAAAACUAAACAAAAUCGAAUUUUCUUAAUUUAAUAUGAUGAGUCAAAGCUAAAAUUGAACAAAGUUCAAACCUUUAUAUAAUGGAUCAAAGUUAAAUCUAAAUGAAAUCCAUACUUCCACAAUUUGAUAUAACAAAUCAAAAAUAAAACUAGAUAAAAAAAAAGUCAAAGCCUUUCAACUUGACAUAGUGAAUCCAAACUGAAACGAAACAAAAUUUUAACUUUUCCAAUGAAACCCAAUAUAGAAAAAAUUAGCUUACCUUCUUUAGAAUAUAUGUAUGGGCCAUAAAGAAGUCACCUUGGUGCAUGUGUUCCUCACUUUGACGCCAAUGGACGACUUUCUAUGGUAGCAAAUGGAGAUCCUUUUUGGUGGUAACUUGCGUGUGGAAACCUAUGGUACAACCAAUGUCAUCUUUUAUUGUGCGUGUGGACCAAUUUCUUCUCGAGAACUCAUGUGUGUUGUGCUCAAAAUAUGUUGCCUGUGAGAAUCUAUUGGUAUACCCCACAUAUGGUUUCCUUGAGAGAAUCUGUGGUUGUGUGUGGGCGUUUUCUUCAUGACAGCAUGUGGAUGUUCCCAUCUAUGGUAGAUUGGUUGUGAUGCUUUAGUGCAUGGUCUCCAUAGGAAUAGUGUGUUAUGGAAAUUUGGUUUUUUUAUUGGUGCAUGUUGUCUAGACUUUCCCAUAUGCGUGGACUGUGUGUUCAUGCUUUUCUUUUCGGAUGGUCGCCUGUGUUAAUGUGUGGCGGUGUCUACAAUGAAAGAUACAACCCUUUCUCUCCUUCUGCGUGAUAGAAAAGUCAAUCCCCCAUGGUGCGACUAUGUUCCCUCGUCCUUUUUGAAAAAUUUUGGUGUUUUCCCCCCAAAAAAUCCCCUCCAAAAAUCUAAUUAUAAAUGUCUGCUUUGGCCUAAUGUGUGUGCUACUUUUUUUUUCCUUCUUUUUAUGGUUGUGCGUGCUUUUCUUGAUACGUGGCUUAUUUCUUAAGGAUAUGAUUCGCUCCCAAUUGGUGUCUCAGCUGAUUCAUGUCCUUUCAAUGGUCCCUGACAGUGGUGCCAUUUGAUUCGUGUCCAGCUGGUGUCCCUUGAUUGUGGUCCUCAGAAGGGAGUAAUCAAUAAAAUUUAUAACCUAUUACACCAUGUAUUAGGAUAGCCUUAGCUAGCAUAGCAUAGUGGCUCUAGGGUCGUUUAUUGGGAUGAGUUUUCACUUCACAAUUGAUAUUAAUUCAAGAGCUGAAUUGGUGCCUUUUCAUUUCAAGGUUAGCUUUAAAAGAAAACAUAAUCUUUGGUGGAAAAAGGUUUGGUUUUAAACUAACCAAAAAUAGUAACUGAUUUUACUUACAAAGAAAAGUGUUCUUUGGAGUUUAGAUCACUAGGCUCAGGUUCCUCAUACAAAAAGGAGAGUUCCGAUCAUUUGUUUCUUUUCCUCGCAUUAGAGAAUUAACAUAUAGUUAAUUCUCUAACCGGUGCGGUACAUAUGCUUCCCAUUAAUGGGUUCAAACACUAAAUACCUCUCACUGAUGCACCUUGCAAUGGCUCGUGCCUCUCACCUAGCAUUUAUCAUUCAAGGUGAUCUUUAACCUUGGAUUACCCAUCAAAAGCUCGCAAGAGAUAACUAAAGGAUGUCUCCUUAGAGUCCAAAAGCUUACCAAGUGUUGGUUAUUCUAGAAAAUCCUACCUUCAAACCACCUCCCAAAGGCUCGCAAGAGAUAAACAAGUGCAUCUCAAUGGAUGAAGAUCACUUGCCUUACCAAGUUUUGGCCCAGAUGAUUUAAUGACAUUUUAAGUUAACUAAAAAGAUAAAAACCAUUAACGGGUCACACUUUCUCUUCAUUAAAAACUAAAACAACAAAACUUCCAAUUUAUGCAUGAGGAAACUUACCUGGCUUUCUUCACUUCAAGAGAUGAAGAGCCUAGCCACUCAUCAUUUGAGGAAAAAUCCUCAGAGUUUGAUUUGCUAGAAAUAAAAAUAAUGAGAAAACAAAAAUAUAUAUAUGAAAAACAGAGCAAGUUCUCUGUAAUAUAUUUUUCUUCCUUAUACAAAAGGUUGUCUCUAAGAACAAGUUCCCGAGAUCUAUCUGAUUGUAAAUAAAAUUACAACUAUAUAUAAGAGGUUAUUCACCCCUUUGUUCUUUCUUAAAGACUAAGGAAUCCUAUGAUAGGUGGGUUACAAGGAGAGUUUGGGGAUUUAGACAUCAAAUAUCUAAAGCAAAAUAUCUCAAGAUGUUAGUCGGAAAUAUCAGGAAGCUUCAGGAGAACACCGCGACACUGUAUACUGAGAGAAAAACUCUCCGGGUAAGCUCUAUCAAAGGAUCCAGACAUGUCUGACUGGGAAAGUUGAAACGUCCUUCUCUCCCAUCCGGAUGUGAGAUAUCCGGAGAAAGUGAAAUGUCGGUCGGACAGAAUUCUUUCCCCGGGUGGAAUGAGUUGUGUUGCGCGUCGCAAGGGGGACCGUCUGCGUGUACAAGUUGUAGGGACCCCUCUCCCGGAUGACACCGAGCGCGUAAGGCUAUCCGGAUCAACUCCAUUCGGAUUCCCCAAGAGGACAUGUGGCGUGCUCCCCUAUCAGGACUCCCUUAGGGAGAAGCACACGACACUCGUGAACAUCAUACCCGGACGAUAGCAUGUCCUAUCCGGAUGUGUUGUCCGGAUCAUUGACUAAAGUGAGCAAGCCUUGCUACGUCAUUCGGACAGCUUGCCACAUACCAUGUUCCGUCGCCAUCUGAUGGUGUGUCCGAACGCCUUGUCCGGACAUCUUUUGCUCCUUGCAUUCCGGAUUUGCUUAUGACAAAGGACUUCAAAGCUUCGGUUCUUCAUGUUUCUGAGCUUUCCAUUGCUUUGCCAUGGAUUCCAAAGAACUCUCCUUAAUCACGGAUUGCUUUGGUGAUCAAAAAGUUAUCAAAACACAAAAACUUAACAUAGUUUGAUUAGAAUUGAUUGCAAGGGUUCUUAAUAUGUUAAUUGGGUUAAAAGGUGAUAACUACUACUCAAAAGUGUUUAUAAGAAUUAAUUACAAGCUAUGAAAUAACACUUUUUGAGUAGUAAUCAGGAUACAUCCUAGUUUUUCAUGGAAUUGAUAGUGGGUUGUUGUGCAUGAAUGCCACCAUUUCAACUAUGCUGUUGUUAUUUUUAAAAAAAAUAUGGAUUAUGCGCGAGUGGCAAUUCUCCACUAUGGAAAGUGGAUUGCUCCUUCAACCCAUGCAUGGCUACGUAUUCCUAUGUCUUUCUACUUGUGUUUGAUCCUCCAAAAAAAAUUUCGGUUUAGUGCUAGUAGAUUUUAAGUGGUGGAUCCCCAUUUUUUGAAAAUGAAGUGGCAGCCUCCCAUUUCAAGACAAAAUGGUAGCCUGCCUUUAAUCUUUGGAGAAAAAUCUGUGCAUGACCUUUUUUUUUCCCAAAAAAUCCGUGCAUGGUGUCCUUUAAUAUUUGGAGAAAAAUCUAUGUUGGAUCUUUUCUUUUCUAGAAACAUUUGUGUGGUCUUUUUUGUUAGCCCAAGGGUUCUUCUAAUCAAGUUUUGAUGAUAACAAACCAUGGUUAAGUGACUAAUUGGUUUAAUGAUUAAGAAUCUCAAACAUAAAAUCGAAAAUUCAUCAAAGGACCAAAUGGAUACAAGAUCGAGACGCUUGGAAGACUUGUAAUCAUAGGAAACUAAUGUAAGAUGAAUGCAUGAGUGCACUUAGGAUUUUCACACGUUUCAUGCAACUUAGAAAACCCAGUUUAUUCUUUAAAACUUCAUCCCAGUUUAUUCUUUUUAUGGUUGUGUGUGCUUUCCUUGAUACGUGGCUUAUUUAUUAAGGAUACAUCCCAGUUUUUCAUGGAAUUGACAGUGGGUUGUUGUGUGUGAAUGCCACCAUUUCAACUGUGCUGUUGUUAUUUAAAAAAAAAAAAAAUGGAUUGUGCGCGAGUGGCAAUUCUCCACUAUGGAAAGUGGAUUGCUCCUUCAACCCAUGCAUGGCUACGUAUUCCUAUGUCUUUCUGCUUGUGUGUGAUCCUCCAAAAAAAAUUUUGGUUUAGUGCUAGUAGAUUUUAAGUGGUGGAUCCCCUUUUUUUGAAAACUAAGUGGCAGCCUCCCAUUUCAAAACGAAGUGGUAGCCUGCCUUUAGUCUUUGGAGAAAAAUCUGUGCAUGACUUUUUUUUUCCCAAAAAAUCCAUGCAUGGUGUCCUUUAAUAUUUGGAGAAAAAUCUAUGUGGGAUCUUUUAUUUUCUAGAAAAAUUUGUGUGGUCUUUUUUGUUAGCCCAAGGGUUCUCCUAAUCAGGUUUUGAUGAUAACAAAUCAUGGUUAAGUGACUAAUUGGUUUAAUGAUUAAGAAUCUCAAACAUAAACUCGAAAAUUCAUCAAAUGACCAAAUGGAUACAAGAUCGAGACGCUUGGAAGACUUGUGAUCAUAGGAAACUAAUGUAAGAUGAAUGCAUGAGUGCACUUAGGAUUUUCACACGUUUCAUGCAAUUUAGAAAACCCAGUUUAUUCUUUAAAACUUCAAUUUCAUUAAAACCCGAGUUUUUAACUAAUGUACCUUAGGCAAAAUGUUUUAUAAUUGGCUUAAUAAUUCACCUAAAUACAUUUUCUAAGUGUUAGAAAAGAAAGGAAUUAAAAAAAGGUUUUCGGGGCAAAAAAGGCUCAACCGGUCGAGGCUAUGGUCAACCGGCUCAACCGGUUGAGGAACCAAUCGAUCGGUUGUGCUUGUCCGAUCGAAGACCAAUCGAGGGAUGCCAAAAAAUUUCUCUCUCUCCUAGUGGCCUUCUCUUCCCGGUCGAGGUUCGGUCUAGGCAACGGUAACAUGUCAAGCAUUAAAUGCUCCGACGACUAGUGAAUCGGUCGACCCCUAGCCCGAUCGGACGAGGUUGCCUUUUGCUGUUUUUGACUCCCGAGCUUAGAAACCUAUAAAUUGAGAGCUCCACUUCAUUUAUUGAUAAAAGAGAACACUUGCAUUCAAUAGUCUACCUACCUUUUCUUGAUCAAAAAGCUCUCAUUUCCUUCAUAGUGCAUUAAAUCAUCACUUGCAUAUCCUUUAGUGCACUAUUGUGUGUCAUCCUAGCUUUGUUUUGUAUUUGAGCUAUCCUUAAGCUAGGUUGAGGGAUUAUUUCUUAUAAAAAUCUGAGUGUUAAAGCCUUCAAGAGAUUUGAAUCUUGAAGAGAUUGUGUAAGAGCCCAUUGGAGCCGGAGUCCAAGUGUAAGAAGAUUGGAAGCUUGGUUGAAGCUUCAAGUUAGUGGAACCCUCACUCGGUUAGGAGGUUGAGGAGAGUGGACGUAGGUAAGGAAGUGUCGAACCAUUAUAAACCCGAGUUUGAAUUCUCUAACUCUAUCUCUUUAUUUUGCUUAUAUUGUGUUUGAAUUUGUUGUGAUUGAAAAGAUUUUAAAAACCUAAUUCACCCUCCCCCCUUUUGGGUUUUUUUUUCUUAAUUAAGCAUAACCUUUGUUUUCUAAUUUUCUUUUUAGGAAAAUCCAUGCGUGGUAUGUCCAAACUCUCCAAGUGGCAGUCUGCCUUCUUCUAAAAAAUUUGUUUCUAUUUCUUUAUUCGACUACCUUCCAUGUCUUCCUAAUGAGUGCUUGUGCUCAAUGGUCAAUCCCUGGUGGUUGCCUCCUUUUCCCAUAUAUACGUGUUGCAAAAUCAACAUCCCACUAUAUGUGGGUUGCCUCUAUGGCAAGUUCACAUUUCCCACAUGAAACCUAUGAGUUUCCACCAAAAAUUGCCAUGAAAAAGUCUUUAUAUGCAUCUCAUGCAAUAAAAAGUCAAGCCAAUACUCAUCUUAUCUCGAAAAAUAAGUAACCAAAAUCAAGAUCAUGCCUAAGUGAACUAUGCCAAAAGAAGUGUCCAAGUGACCUAUUAUGAAAAAAGUGCCUAAGUGACCUAAGGUGAAUGUGUGUAAGCUGGAAGGUGUCUAGGAUGUUUAGGACAAUGCCUAAGCCUAAAAUAGGGUUGCCAAGGGUCACAAUGGGGUUAGAUAAAUCUCUCAAUCAGAGUCUCCAAGGUGGCUCAUAAAAGAUAAGCUACACGAGUAAUGAUGGGCCACCAGGGAAUUAUUGUAAAGCACCAAACGAACACAUAAUAGGACAUGUGUUAGAAUGAAAAAAUGGAGGGUUUACAAGUGGUCUCAUGGAUGAGCUUGAUAAUUUAAAUGACUCACAUAAUGAACGUAUGUGAUGUUUCUCUCCAAUAACAAGCAAAACAUCACUAGCAAUAUGAUGAAUGUCUCCUAAAUCACUUGAAGUAGUCCUAGCAAAUCAAUUAGAAAAAUCACACAUAUUGCUCUAAUGUAAUAUUAUAUACAUCUGUCAAUGAAUGGGAGAACUAAUGACACAACCAUCAUGUUGAUAUCUCGAACCCUCUAAUCUCAUAUGUAGGUGGGAUCACACUUAGAAACUCAUAACACAGUAAUGACCAAUCUAAGUCAAAAUGUGUUGGUGAUCGGAGGCCCAUGAAUAUGAAGUUCUAGGAUGAUAAUGACAUCUUAUAAAGUAAUGAUCAUCUCCUUAAUAGAUAGGUGAAAUGUGUGUGUCUUAGGACACCAUCUCUCAACAAGACUUGUGAUCAAUCCCCAGUCUAGUGUAACAUGCCUAUUAUGACAUCCAUCGUAAAAUCUAGACUAGAUAAUAUAAGGACAAAUGUGAGGGUUCAUCUCCCUUUCCCACAUAAAUUUAAAAAAUUAUUAUUGACAAGUUAAGACCAAACUAAGUUGCAAAAUAUAAAUAAGUCCAUUAGAUAACAAAUUUAUGUUUUCUCAUUUUCUCAUUUUUAAAGAGAUAUUAUGUGCUUCCAUGUACAUACAUGCUAAAGUCAAUUAUACGAGACUUAUAUCCAUCUUGUAGAACCAAAUCGAACCUAUCUAAUAGAUCCAGAUUAGAAGUAUGUCCUCUAUACUCCAUAUUUAUAACACAUUUAUAAAGAUAAAUGCUAAAAAAAUGUUAAAGAUAUAAAUUUAAUGAACCAUACUUUAUGAUUUUAAUUCUCAAUUAUUGUUCAUAUUUAUAAGAGAAAAGUUAAAAAAAUUGAUAGAGUUUUCCCUCUAUCAUGGACAUUAUCCCAAAUAAAAAUAAAUUGAUUAUGCAAAUUACAUUAAUAUUUGUAACCAAAUGAUCAAUAACUAUCUUGUAUCAAUUUAGUAAAUAAAUUUAAGUAUAUCUUUUCAUUUAUGACUAACAAAUAACUCAUACUUGUCCAAUAAAAGCCACACCUAAUUUCUAAAAUUUUGUCUUCACCUCAAGUGAGUGUUACAUUGAGAAAGAAAAAAUAUGAAAGAAAAAAUGAACACCUUUUUCUUUUAAUAAAAAAAGGCCAUAACGAAACAUUAAAUCUCACUGUUACACCUAUCUUCAAUGGAAACAUGAGGAUGUGAAUGGUGGCGGUGAUAUUCUUUGCUUGAAGCUCAUAAACAAAUAUUCCUUACUAAGCCUAUGCCAUUUAGUAUUUCAAUAGUGGACCCCCCCCCCCCCCCCCCCCCCCUCCUUGCAUUUCAGAUUUAGCAAACUUAGAACCAAAUAACAAAGUGCAUUUGAACCCAUAAAGAAGUAAUGAGACUCUCCUAUAUUGGCAAUAGAAGAAAUUUUUGGAGGUAUAGGAGAUUCACGGAUGAAGAAGUUGGGCCCCAAUUGAGAUAAGACCCAAGAAAAGAUGGGGUAGAGAGGGAUGGUUGGAAAUUGUAAAGUAAGAUUUUCAAAAUGUAGUUGAUGACUAAGAUUUUGACAAUUUAAAAAAGGUUUAAAAAUGUAGUUAGCAAUCGGGGUUUUGUAACAUUUAAAAAAUAAAAUAAAAUCUCAGGCCACAUGGUAGCCCAUGUGAUUCAGAAGCUUGAGAAUUAUUUUAUAAGAAGACUUAAUUUGUGAUUUUUUUAUAACUAUAUUAUUUUUUUUCUUAACACACGAAAAAAAUUAUGAAAUAAGACAAUUUUCCUAAGAAAGCAUGUAAGUGACUCUUGGUUAUUUUAUUUAACUUCUUCUAGUUUGGAGAGGAUUAAUACCUUUGCUUUUACUCACUUGCUUGGAUAUGUACACGUUGUUCAUGUCACUUUUCAUUUAAUUUUCUGAUUAAGGGAAUUGGAACCGUACGUAACUGUCUUUAUUCCCUCUGAAACUUGGACUUGGAGUUGGACUUUCAAUCUCAUCAGUCGUGUUUCCAUAAAAAAGAAGAUGGAUUAACCAAUUUUCCUAUGCCUACUAAUCAUACACAAAACUCCACUUCCAAAUAAAAAGGAAUGGGAUAUCACUUGUUAAUAGUGGCUAAAGACUAUUAAUAACCAUGCAAAGAAAUGUCACAUUUUUUGUUCUACGCAAAUUUUAUUCAUCAACUACUAGAACCAUUUCAUACAAUAGUAGCUUUUCGAUCCUUUGAUAAAUGGACACUUGAUGUGAUAACACCAACUACACCUAUAUAUUCAAGCAAUCAUGCGUAUAUAAUAGUGGAUAUGGAUUACUUCUCUAAAUGGGCAAAAGUUUUGUCAUUCAAGGAAAGUGAACGAGGAAACACAAGUUUACUUUCAUCGGAACUAAUAUUAUAUAUUGAUAUGACUUCCCAUUAUUACUUACGAUGGAAUAUGCUUCCAUAAAAUGGCCUAGAUGAACAAACUAUCCAAGAAGUUUGGGAUCAAAUAAUAUAUAUAUAGUUCAUGUGUGAUUCUUUGGUUGACAACCUUGUUAAGGGGUGAGUGAAGCACUUUGGGCAUACCACAUACUACAUGCUAGACUUCCACCCAAGCUACCCUAUAUUCCUUAUGAACAAAGUAGAAGUUGUCAUCUCUCUUGAAUACCAAAUCCUUUCACCUAAUAAUGCUAUCUAAAAAGGUCUUAAAAAGGAUAAAAAUGCGCAUAUUUGAAUUUUUGAAUUAGGAGUGCUACUUAAAAAGAAGCUAGAUAUACAAUAAUAGAAUGUUAUCAAGCAUAUCUCUUCAAAGUUUUUGACCAAAAAAUAUAUGAUUUCUCAUUUUAGGUAGGAGACUUAGUACUCACUAUUCAAAAACCAAUUAUCAUUACUCAUAAAAACUAAUAGAAAGUUUGGGCCAAAGUAGGAUGGACCUUAUAUUAUGCAACAAUUAUGCCUAUAAAAUUGUUGCAAAAGAGGUUUUAGAAUCAAAUCAAUGAAUGAAAAAUUAUUAAAGCAUUACUAUGCUUGAAGGCUAGUCAUUUUCCCUUAAAGUGCAAUAUUAAGUUGCAUAGUACUAUGUGGAUCCGCAUUUUUCACAUGCGUUCCCACUCAUUGUCGAGACUCACUUUUUAGAAGUGAAAAAUUAGUUUUAUUAAAGUCGAAGUUGCCACUGGGGAUUUGAACCCUAACAAAAGGUUCAAUUUAAGGAUAAAAAUAUCGAUAAUCACAUAUAUAUAUAUUGGUACUUUGAUUUUAUGAAUAUAUUGAAGAAAUAUGGACAAAUAUUUUGACACAAAAUAUGUACAAAAUAAAAAUUAUAUAAAAAGUAAAAAUAAAUAUUUUAAAAUUAUUUUUUUAAAUAUAUAUAUAUAUAAUUUGACAUAUUUGAUAAUAAUAUAUAAGGGUCUCCAAAAAGCCCGUGGCCCGCUUUAGGCCCGGUCCGACCCGACAGGCUAAAGCCCGGCCCAAGCCCGCCGGGCCCAAGCUCGGCCCGAGCCCGUUUAUGGGUGGGCCGGGCCGCGAGCCCGUAGGCCUGCUCCUUUAAAAAAAAACUACAAAAAUAAAAAGUAUUAAAAAAAAUAUUCAUUUCAAAAUUUUAUUCAUUGAAUGUAUAAUUACAUUUGAAAAUGUGGGAAAAGUUUACAUCACUACAAAAUAAAUACAUCCCAACUAGGUUGGCACCUAUUUAUUUGUCAAUCAUCUGUAUUUUUCAACCACAAAAAAUAAAAAUAAAAAUAUAAUAUACAUUUAGUCAUUAUUUUCUGGCGGUGAUGGCGAACUAUCAUGCAUCCAUGAAGAUCUUGAUAAUUUUAAAGAUUCCAUAUCGGUAAGCAUCUUUGUUUCUCGAAUGGAAUCAUACAUCCUUUUAUCUGCUAUUUCCCAAUCUUUCACACAUAUCCCUGCUUUAAUAACAUCUGACGCUAAGUUGCAUCGUUUUUUACUAACUACUCUUCCACCUGCACUAAAAGCAGCUUCUGAUGCAACUGUACUCACAGGAACUGUUAGUACAUCACGAGCAAUUAUAGAAAGCACAGGAUAUUUGUGUUGAUGUGAUUUCCACCAUAUUAAAAUAUUAAAAUCUUCUUGAUCUUCAAAUGAAAUUAUAUCAGUAUUAAGAUAUUUAUCUAAAUCAGAUGUAUUAUUUGGAGAAUUAUUUGUUGUCUUUUUUCGACUUUUCAACAUUUCUAGAGCUCCUUUAUAAAAAGAUGAGGAGUUUGUAGAUGUAGGUGGUAAUUUAAUAGUAUUAAUAUCAUUACCAUAUUUUUCUUUAUAAUAGUUAUAUAAAUUAUAUAAUAAUGAAUUUAUUUCAUUUUUAAUUUCUUCAAUUUUUAUUUGGUCAUUAAAAUAAAUAAUUGUUAACCAUUCAUCCAAAGCUUCAAAUUUCAAUCUAGGGUCCACAAUUAAAGCAAUAUAAAAAAUUAAAGGUAUUUCUCCCCAAUAUUUUCUAAAUUUUUAUAUCAUUACAAAUAUUGUAUCAUUAAAUAUUUCAAAACUUAAAUAUUUUUGAAGUACAAUAAAAAUAUUAGUUAUUUGCGUAAUAACUCGAUUUGAAGUUGGAUAAUAUACACCACAAAAAAUGUUUGUUGAAGUAUCAAAAAUUUCAAAAAGAUCUCUUAAAACAUCCGCAAUAUGCCAAUCAUAAUCAUUUAAUGCAUAAAUAUCUGCUUCAUAAUCAUUGUUAAUUAAUUGUAUUUCAUAUAAUUCGACUACUUUUCUAUAUUUUGUAAUAUUUUCUAAAAGUUUAUAUGUGGAAUUCCAUCUAAUAGCCAUAUCCAAAUUUAUAUUUUUUCUUUUCAUAUUUAACAUUUUGCAACAAUCAAAAAAUAAUUCAUGUUUUGCUUGAAAACUAUUAAUACUAUAUGCAAUGCCUCUAAUUUUUUUCCAAUGUACUAUCAACAUUUUUUAAUCCAUCCUUUACAAUUAAAUUUAAAAUAUGUGCACAACAACGCACAUGAAAUAUUUUAGCAUGAUCUUCUUUUACUUGCCAAUAUCGUUUUAGUCUAUGUAUUGCUGCAUCAUUAUUAGCAGCAUUAUCUAAUGUUAUUGUCAAUAUUUUAUCACGAAUGCCUAAAUCUAUAAUUUCAUCAUUUAUUAAAGAUGCUAUAUUUUUACCACUAUGUGGAGUAUUUAUUAAUUUAAAUAAAAUUAUUCUUUUAUUUAAUUUCCAUUCAUUAUCAAUGUAGUGAACAAUUAUAUAUAAAAAACCAGUAUGAGUUAAAGAUGUCCAAAUGUCAGAUGUUAAACGAAUAUUUCCUUCAAAAUUUGCAAAAUUUUUUUUUAAAAUUUCUUUUUGUGUAUAAAUUUUUUUCAUAAUAUCUCUUUUAACUGUAUUUCCAGAUCAACCUUUAAAUUGAGGAUUAAUACCUCGUUGAAUUGUUCUUGCAAAAUCAUGAGUUUCCAUCAUGUUGAAAGGUUGUUCUGCUCUUAUUAUAUAAUCAAUCAUUUCUUCACAACAGUUAGAUUCAUCAUAAGAAAAUGUUUUUAAAUUUCCACUUUCAUUUUUACUUAAUUGCAUAUAAUUUCUAAUAUCUACAUUAUUUUUAGUUUUACAAUUUUCAUGAUGUCUUUUUAAAUGACUUGUAUCUGCAUUUGAGCCACCAGUAAGAAAUUUAUUACAAAUUUUACAUUUUGCUUUUAUUUUUUUUUUAUUAUUUUCUAAAAUUAUUUCUAUUCUAUCAAAAAAAUUCCAUAUAUUUAAAGUAAAUUUUUUGUUUGAUGAUAUUUCAUCACAUGGACUAGACGAAGAAGCACUUGUCAUAUUAUAAUUAUUGAUAAAAUAUUAUGCCAAAAAUAAUAAAGUAAUAAAUAUAAAAAAAAAUGUAACAAAAAAAAUAAAGUAGUAGGGGUGAAGUAUGUUACUCAAUUAGAGAACCUAUGCAGAAAUUCCUAGCAAAUUUGAACUCUUGGAGCCACCAAUGCUUGUUUUGCACCAUCAACAAUAUUGUAUAAUUUGAGGGAAAAAUAAAAGAAUUUAAAAUAUUGUAGAAUGUGAGAGAAAUAGAGAGAAUUUGAUGAAAAAAUGAAAAGGAAGAAAAUGUAUUUAUAGGAAGGUUAAAAAUAAUAAUAAUAAUAAUAAUAAUAAUAAUAAUAAUAAUAAUAAUAAUAAUAAUAAUAAUAAUUGGCCAUGUGACCGUUGGAGGCUUAGCUCCAACGGUCACAUGGGCUGGAGCUAGGCUCCAACAGUCACAUGACCGUUGGAGCCUUUAAUUUUUUUUUUUAAAAUAAUAUACUUUAUUUUUAUAUAUAUAUAACUAACUCAAUUAAUAAACAUAAAAAGAAUAUAGUUCAGUUGGUUAGAACCUUGAAGUUUAAACAUGAGGGGAGGGGUUUGAAUCCCUCCCUCUCCCUUAGGGGCUUUUUUAAAAGCCAUUUUGGCUUAUUUCAAAAAGCCUGUCGGCCCGACCCGCCCUGCAGCCCGCGGGCCUAGCAUUUUAGCAUGGCCUGGUCUGUUGACUAGUCAAAUGGCUCAUAGGCUCGGCCCGAACUGGGCCGCGGGCCUCUUAUUUACGGACCGGCCCGACCCGGCCCGCCCGUUGGAGACCCUUGAUAAUAUCUUCUAUAUUAAGUUACAUUAUAGUUUAUUUUACAAUAUUAUUAUGAUAAUAUGUCUAAUUUUAAAAUAUAUUUAAUAUUAAAAUUAUGAUCUAUUUUAAUUUAAAUGUAUUCAAUGAUAUCAAAUAAAUAAUAAUAUAUGUAUAAUUCUUUUAUUAUUUAUAUUUAUUAUUUUUAAUAAAUAUAUAGAUUAUAUAAAAAAGACCGGAUAUAUCUUUUCAAAUUUUGUAUCGCUCUCCAAGGAUAUUAGAUGUAUGGGAAUUUGUAUUGCUAUCUACGGAUACGUUGAUAUAUGGGUGAUUUAUCAGGAUAAUUAGAAAUUCUAAUUAUGUAAGCAGGUACGGAGUUCUGUGUCGGUGCGAUCUUGUCGACAACAGCUCCAAAUUGUGCAUCUUGCUCAUAGAGAGUAGCGGAAUGCACCAAUCGUAGGCUCAGAGUACCACUGAGUCGUCUGGCAGAGACCCAACUGAAGGUGCCUGUGUUGUUCCUGAUCUGAUCAGGCUUCAAACUACAAGGUGGAAUACUGGUUCCCCUAUAUCAGAAGCUGGAGAUACCCACCCCAUAUGCUCGUCUGGAUGUGCUCCUACCCUUUGAAGCCUUCUUCCGAGUCAAGUCCGAAUUGAUAAGGCUAGUGAGUUCCCAACCAACUGUACUCAGCAUGCUGCCAGGUGGAGACCCUCCAUAUUUGAUGGCUUCCUAAUAUUAAAAUGCUGACCACUGGUCUUCAUGUUCCACAGGCUUAAUUGUGUCCUUUGCUGAAAGAAUGGAUAGUGAUCCAUUUUAACACAUGAUUCACGCCGUCUUUGCCAUUCUUCAUGGUCUAGCCCUUUUAUAUAUAUGCUUCCUGAACUGUUGCUAUUAAUAAAAUGUGGUAUCUAUCCCGUACACCUUCCUGAUGGCCAGCGAAUGCAGAAGCUACAGAAACGGUUCCAUCUUUUGCUUCCGCCACUUUGGCAUCCUCCAUGAUGAGAUCGAAGGUGAAUAAUCAUAUUCUGGGGAUUUAUGUCCUGGAUAUUCUCAGUAAUGCCCAAUUUCCUGGUGCCGGCCUCAUUUCCAUGGGAACUGAUGGAUAACUUAAGGCUUCUACCAUCUGCGUGGUUCGCUUCUAACACAGGAAACUUCACGGCUAAAAGCAAGAUACCAAGAACAUCAAGGCUGUGACAAAAAUUAGUAUUUUUAACUUGUAGGAAUUUGAAAGGCAACCAACCAUCUAGCUCUGUUCUUAAAGCUCCCAUAGGAGGAUCAGAGGCUGGAUUGCUCAAGAUGAACUCAUCCAUUGUUGCACUUAAAAAGAAUUGGCAUGAAUUGUGGCCGCUCUAAUAGGUUCCCUAAACCAUCAUCCAAGUGGGCUUGCGGAAGGUAGCGAGUUUAAAACACCUAGGGCGAUGAACAGUGGACUGUGAUGCUCACAAAAGAGAAAAGGAAGAAUUCAAUAAUUCCUAAGAAUCCAUUUGCCUGUCAUCCAAAUUUUUAUAUUCUCUUCAGUCUGACGCGUUAUGCCAUAUAUUAAAAAUAGCGGCUUCUUCCAAGCCGAGACAGACUGUGCAAAGUUCGCAAGGCCAAUCAUCACCAUAAUCUGAAGUUGGCCUCCUCAAUCGCAGCUUGUAUCCGAAUGCUCACUUCACGGGAUGGAUUGUAAUGAAAACUAAUCUCAGUCCCAGCUAUGGCAGCAUCCUCACUUGACAGCAUUUUCUGCAUAUUCUAGAACAAAGCAAUAAACCCUCAAAGGCUCCUUCGGAUCAGAGUUAGAAGACUGUCCCUCAGGAACGUGAACACUAUGGUGGUUCUGAUAAGCAGUGAUAUUGCAUUAGAGCCUUUUGGAACAAGAGGAUCUUUUCAGGUGGAAACUGUAAACUGCUUCAUGUUGGGCUGCAACCUUUUCUUCAAGCAAUACUUUCUUUCUGUAUCACGACUUAUGUUGCUUCCGGAGCCAUCCCGUGUGGACUGCCCUUCAGUGAAAGAAUAUGUGUGUUGACAUGUUGGAUUGUAAUCUUUGUUCCACUCUAAUGGCUUUUGGUCCUCCUCUUUCUCUUUAUGACAGAGAACCAUUUAGUGAUCCAUCUCUAUAUUGUAGCAUUGCUGGUGCUUUGCAAUACUACACUCUCACCAAGCAUAACAUCUAUUUUUCCGUGACCAAAGUAUGUCGGUUUAUGCAUGCGCAAACUCUUAUUCAUUGGCAAGUUGUCAAGCGUAUCUCAUGAUUUCCCAAAGCCACAAGUUCUUAUGGUCUUUCUGUUCAAGCUUACAAUGAUCUAUCUUUUCUUGGUUAUACUGAUGUCGAUUGGGCUAGUUGCCCUGAUAACAAGCACAAUACUAGUGGGUACAACACUUUUCCUGGUCCUAAUCUCAUUUCAUGGGCAUUUUCAAAGCAGAAGGUUGUGUCUCACUCCAAUAACGAAUCUGAAUAUAGGGGACUCACUAAUUAAUGUUGUUGCCAAGGUCACUUGGAUUGAAUCUGUCUUACGUGAGUUGCGUGUUUCUCUACCCCAACCACCAAUUUUGUUGUGUGACAACAUUAGUGCUACACACUUGGACAAACCAUGUUGAAAUACACUAUCAUUUUAUCCAUGAAAGGCUUAUGCAUCACACACUCAAAAUUCAAUACACCUCUUCUAUAGACCAACUAGUCAAUGCUAUGACCAAAGCUCUUCCUUCAUCUCACUUGUACAAUCUUCAGUGCAAGCUGAUUGUUCUUCCCAAACCACUCAACUUGAGGGGAGAUGUUAAGCCAAUUUAAUAAAUUGAUUUCUUUUGGUUAAUUUGUUAGAAUCAUUUUUAUUAGAGGUUUGUUUGUACAAUUACAUCCAUUUAUCAGGAGAGUACACGUGUACAACUCCUCUUUUAAUCUCACCAUUGUAUAUAUAUGAUACACGACCUUACUCAGAAUUGCAUAACAUUUCCUCUGCUCAUUCCUUUUCUUCUUUGAAUUUUCCCUUACCUCACUGAUUUUGAUUUAUACCUGGUGUUUUCACCUUUGGUCUCUACCUUUCUAGCCAGUUUUCUAAUUAAUCCGUAUAUGGUAUACCUGUCAACUAAUGAGGAGAAAGAGAAAAGGGGAUUGCUGUUCCACCAGCUACAUAUAAUAAUUAAUUACAAUCAUGGUAAUGGAUCCUGAAAUCCAUCCUUUGUGGAUUUUGUACGGAAUAUUGUUGUUAUGUAUGUGGGCUCACUUAGAUGUAUAUUGCUAGCCUGUCUGGGAAAUGUGAUUGCAGGUCCAGAUUAUGAUGUUGAUAUUAGUGGGAUAAGCAAGAGAUGCAGUUAACACGUAUGUGAUGGACUUGAGUAACUUUUCCAUUUCAGUCCAUUUUUUAAGAUUAUGCUUAGUCUUAUUACAAGGAAAGACCAUAAGAAUCAUGAGUCAUUGGCAAGGUAAUAUCAUUCCCUCUUUACAGGCUUCUUCACCUUUUGGUUUUUUUAAUAUCCAUCAAGAUCUUUUAAUUGGAGGACAAUUACAAGUAUAUAUAUAUGUAUUAAAAGGGGAAAAUAUUAAAACAGGAAAUUUUAGGGAAAAUAUAAUAAUUAUUUCUUCCUUCUUUCCCAUAUAGAACUACACAAAAUAAAACUUUAAUAAUUUUUUCUUAUCUUUUUUAUUAUUAUUUUUUCUUAGAAACAUCCGUGGUCUCACAAGCUUGUAAUCCUAGAUUGUUAGGCUCCUUUAACAGUGCCCCAACAUCGUGGUCCAAUGACAAGCUUCCACGCCUUAAAAUCAGAAAAUGCCAUUAAACUUUAUCAGACAUUACAGUUCAAGACAAAGCUUUCAUUUGCUUAAUGUGAUAAUGAAAUUGUUAAUUUCAUUUCGUGGGCAUCUAAAUUUGGACGAGCAAGACCUCUGAAUUCCCUGUUUUUAUCACCAGCAGAGGAGAUAAAAUCUUAAUGGUGAGAAUCUCCACGUGAAAUUUAUGUGUACUGUCAACAUAUUUUUGUUUAUAUAGUCCAGUAGCUGCAGGAAGUCUAGAUUAUAUAGGUAGCAGUAGCACUAUUUAUAGCACUCGAUAUUCGCUGUAUGAAUACAUUAAACCUUGUUUUCAAUACGCAUCACAAGCAAGUACUAGAUACUACAAGGAGUGACAGUCGCAUCAACAUUUCUUGAUAAUAGCAGUGACUGAUUUAUACACAGAACAGUACUGUACACGUACCAGUCACCAGAGAUAGGAUCUUAUUCCUACAUACGACUCUUAUUGAUCGAAGUCACUCAGUUGGGGUAGCCUGGAGUUGGAGGUUUGUGUGGUGGCUUCUUCUUUGGAGGAGGCUUUAUCUUUGGAGGCAUCAUCUUUGGAGGCAUCUUGUGUGAGUCUUCUUCAGCAUUCUCUACAGGAGGAUGGCCAGGCUUAUGACCCUUAGGUGGUUUGCCAACUGGGAUUGGUGGCUUGUGUCCUGAGAGUGGCUCCUCUUCUUCGGGAGGUUUGCCAACUGACGUUGGUGGCCCGUGUCCUGGGGGUGGCUUGUGUUUUGGGGGUGGUUUCACUCCACCGGGAGGUUUACCAAUUGGUGUUGGUGGUUUGUGCUCAAUCGGUGGCCUCUCAACUGGGGGGCGCUUGGGGUAAUCAGCGAGUGAAGAAGUGGUGAGAACCACCACUCCAAGCAACAACACUAGCAAGUAUGUGGAAGACAUCUUUGAGUUUGGCUCAGAUGGUGUAGAACUAGAAUCCUGGGUGGCCUUUUAUAUUAGUUGGGCCCUAUGCCCGAACGACAAGUGUCAUGGUGACACAUAAAGUGAUGGGGUCGAUUUGGGCCUACCGGAUUUGAAAACUUGGACAAUUCGAGAAGCGUCUCCUGACUCCGGGUUGUAAAGUGAAAGAUUAGGUAUCGACCAUUGAAGUAUGAUCACAACUUUUGGCCUUUGGCUCUCUCUACUGCCGUAUAGCUUUUUUCCUUUGGAUAUUUUUCUUAGCUAGACACAAUUAUUGAGCAGUCUAAUCUCGAAAUGGGAUUAGUAUAGCUUUAAGCAAAUUUAUUAUAGUUAGUGGAGGACUUUUAAGAGUGCAGACGACAUUUAACACAUGCAUGCAGUAGUAUAGGGGACAUAACACUAUUCUUUUUCCAAAGAUUCACAUGAUUUUUAUAUUAUAGUAUUGGCACAUUGUAUGUAGCUGGUUUUGUGGUUAAAAUUCCAUAUGUAGACACUGGCGUUUCUCCAUUUCUCACAAUUGAUGUUUACCUCCACGAUUACUAGAUUAGAUAUACCAAACAAUAACACAUUGUAUAAUCUAUCCGCCCUUCAAAAUCUACUGUAUGAUGAAAUGUUUCAUGUGUGUGUGAAGUGUUAGAAAUGCACUAUAGGCAACAUCAUCUUCUUUUGUCUAGGCUUGGGCCUCAAAUUAUACUCCCAUGCCAUGAUAAAUUUUCAUGUGCAUUCUCUAAAGAAGAGUGUCUUGAAUGUGCCAAAUCAUUUUGAUUGAUUUUAUGAUGUUAAUUGCUCCGCAUAUGGAUGGGUAUGUGCUUUAUUUGCUUAUUCAAUCCACAAUUACCUUGAACUGAAGUCCUAUUGGAGCUCUAUUAUUUUAGCAACGUCCUGUCAAAUAGGCUGCUAACUUGGGGUGGUAUGGACCCAAUGAUCCAUCUUAAUCUUGGGUUGAUUUUGUCUGACUCUAUCUAUCUCAGAGAGAACCAGGAUCACCAGUGCUGGUCUGCUUAAAGAAGACUCAGUACUGGAUUAAUAUUGGUUUGGGUCAAUAGCUUAUAAUGCAUUGAAUGCAGAAUAAACAAGAUCAAUGAAACCCAAAACACACUGCCCACACAACUUCACUCUGGUGUCUGUUAUUCAUCAAUUCUAUUCCCACAUGAACUGGUUCAAGUUUAAGAAAAUGACAACGGAUCCACUGUAUUAACUUGGUUUUGCUUGGUUUUGAGCUAGUUGCCAAACCAGCCAUGAGUUUUACCUCUAAUGUCAAUGAACAAACCCCAAAUGAACAACUGCAACAGCUUAAAGAGAAGGAAUGGAGAUGAAAAUCCCUGUUUCUUCUCAUUCUGGGGACAAAUUAGAACAUAACUACAAAGGUUCUAUUAAUUGACUUACUCUACCAUGAAUUAUGGUUCUUUGGUUUUCCAAAUUUAAAUUGUACAUGAGAUUAUUUUUUUCCUUUAUAUAUAAACAUAUUAAGGUUUUCUUAUUUCGUGGGCAAAUGCGCUAAGGAUGAAAGUCAUUUCAUUUGGCUGCAACAGCAUCUUAUAAUCAACAUGCAUAAGCAGCAGUUUUAAUUGAUCGAUUGAACACCGACUCACAAGAAUAGAUAGAAUGGUACAAGACAGCUCUUAUUAAUUUAUACUCGUUACUCAUUUUAUGUAGCCCCAUUAAGAUGGCUGGCUGGACCACCGAGGUCUGGGGGUGGUGUUGCUUGUGUGAUGCAGCGGGCCGGGCAGACACUUCUCUAGUUGCUUCUAUUUGGAGUUAGAGGAUCAGUCUCUGCCAACCUUGAGGACUCUCUACCUCAGAGGGUCCAGGUGGUGGACUCUGGUGUCGGUAGCUUUGAACUCUCAGUAGACUAGUGUGUCUUAAUCAGUCACUGCCAGAGGCUGGCGUAGGCAGUGACGAUAAGGUGAGACAAAUUACCGAAUAGUCAAUAUCGACUGCACUUGACCAUUAUAGAUUUGUUCUGACAAAAGUGAGAAAAGGGAGAAAAUCGGAUGUUGACCUUUAUAGAAAAAGAUAAGAUUUACUGCAACACAGAGCACUGAUUUGUUACUUGGAAACCAAGUUAUGCUAUUAGCUAGCCUCCAUUAGCAGCAGGGUACCUUGCUGCCUGAUCCUAAUCUGAGUUCCCAAGGUUUCAAUCUUCGUUUGUUAACGCUUCAGGAUUUGGAUAUUUCAGCUUCGUUUCUCCAUUUAGCCAACGCUGCCUGGUUUGGAUUUCAAUCCUCAUCUGGAACAUUCUUUUUUCGGUCUGAUUCAGGAAGUGUUUGGUGAUAGUUGAUUAAAAUUAAACAGUACUAUCAUACAAAUAAAGCUGAUCUAAUUUUGGUGGGCAAUAUACCAACUCAUUUAUUCUUGAAAACACCAUGGGGAAUUGGAGGUCCAUCCGAAGUACUAUUUGAUGGGACUCACAAAAAGAACAGGUGCACAUUUAUGAGAUCCGUGGAAGAGAUAACUAUGACAGCUAUGCAUGUACAACAGAUUUAUGUCGAGUUCACCUCGUAGAUAUUUUGUUUUCAGUGUCGGUGGACCCCAAAAUGGAAAUCGGAAAUUAAGGUUAUAUUUAUUUUUUUAUUUAAUUUUAAAUAGAAUUUUAAUUUUUAAUAAUAUUAAGUAUUAAAUUAUUUUUUUAAGGGUAUUUUAUUUUUAUUAAGUAUUAAAAAGUAAAAAAAAUUAAUAUGUUGCUUUUUUAUUUUAAAAAAAUUAUAUAUUUUAAUUUUUUCUAUUUACUAAAAAGUUUAUAAUAAAUUAUAAAAAAAUAAAAAAAUAAAAAACUUAAAUUCUGAAAAUAAAUUAUUUUUAAUAAAAAAAUCCAAAAAAGCAAACACCACCUAAAUUUGAGAUGACUCAAAAUUUUAUAUUUUUUUUCACCUAAAUUAUAUUCAUAAAUUUAAAAUUAAAAAAUUAGGAAGUUGAAUUUUAUUUUGGAUAAUUGGAAACUACAAGAAAUCAAUAAAAAUAUUUGGAAAAAAAAGAAAAAGAAAAACUAUCUAUAUAUUCACCCCCUUCUAAGAAACAUAACUUUAGUUUUUAACUAUUUUUUAAAAUAAUUUUUGAAAAAUGUUAUAUAAUAUUUUAUAAAACAAAAAAUCUGUUUGACAAUUUGAUAUGUCUUUAACUUAUUUUUAAUAUUUAUAUAUAUAUAUUUUAAAAAUAAUUUUAUAUUUAGAACUUUAUCUUUAAUUAUUAUAUAUAUUUAUAUAAUUAUUUUUUUUAAAACAACUCUUAAAAAAUAAGUGAAAGUAAUUGAAAACAACUCAAAGAUAUUUGAUGAAAACACUCUAAUUUGUAUUUUUGAGAAUAAAAAAAUAAAUAAAUAAAUUUCUAGUUAUCAAAUGUAUUUUUUAAUUCUUUUAUUCUAAAAAAUAGAAAAUCGUUUUUGAAAAUAAUUAUUAAACAACAUUCUUAAAAAUUCACUCGUUACAAUCUAGAUUUAAUGCAAGAAUGAUUGAAGGAGUCCUCCAAUAGAACCCAAAGUUAUAAACAUGAACAAGAAGCCCUAGAAACACCAAAGAUCUCAUAUGGUAUAUAUAUGAGCUUGAUUGAGAACUGUUUUAAAUUCAGUUUUUUUUUUUUUUUUUUUUUUUUGUUUUCAAAGUCAAAACAAGUUUACUUUUAAUUUUUACUUCUUUUUUUUAAUUUUAUAAAUAACAGUUUUUUAAUAAUUUAUUUUGAAAACAUGAUUAUUUUUAAAACUUAUAAUGAAAAUAGGAAUUUUUUUUUUAAUAUCAUGGUUAUUUUCCCUUCUUUUAAGGAGGGCUAUUUUAAAAAUAAAUUUACAAAUAUGAAAAAUGAUUCAAACUAAAGCAGUACAAAUAAAAAACAUUUUUAAGAAAUAUUUAAAAAUAGAGAAAAUUAUUUGAGAACAUUUGAAGUCCUUAAAUAGACUUUUGUUUUAGAAAAGGCAAGAUAAUUAUUUUUGAAAAUUGUUUUCAUAAUGAUAUGCAAAAACCUACGUAAAAACCAUAAUUAUAAUCGGCCACAUAUCAAAUCUACUAAAUAUGAAAAGUAAGUACAUAAUUAUAUUUGACUUAGAUGCAAGGAGGAAAAUGUCGCGAUAUUAUCGCCGAAAUAUCGUGUGUCGAAGGGUAUCGACACGAUUUUUCUUGCAGAAAUAUCGGCCAGUCGAUUUUUCGGGAUAAAUCUCGAGAAAUCGGCAAUUUAUCGCGAUAUAUCGGCGAUUUUUCCUCGAUAUAUCUUCUGGUCAACGCGGGUCAACGGAGUCAACACGCUACAGUGAAAGUCAAAUGUGCUACAAUGUCCCCGCUACAAUCACCUCCCCAAACAAAUUGCCAAAUUGCUUCCGAGGGGAUUUGAACCAGCCUUCUUGCCAUUUGGGCUAACUCGCCCUUAUGAUAUAUAUUGCAUUAAACAUAUAUAUACUUAAAGUCCUUAUAUAAAGAAAAUGUUAAAAAAAUAUUUUAAAGAGCAAAUUAAUUAUAAUUAUUUUAUAAUUAAAAGCAAAAUUUUCUUUUAAUUAAUUACCAAAAAUAUAAAAAUUAUAUAAUUUUCUUCAUAAUGUUUUUAAUAUCAUUAAUAAUUAAUUAAAUAUUAAAAAAUUAUAUAUAUAUAUAUAUAUAUAUAUAUAUAUAUUAUAAUUUAUUUUAUAUUGUUUAAUACAAUUGAAUUAAAUGGAUCAUAUUUUAAUAUUAAUAUAUAUUUUAAAAUUAGACAUAUUGUAAUCAAAUAUCAUAAUAUUAUAUGUAAUUUAAUAAUAAAUGUACACUUAUAAAAUUCAUAUUUUUAUCGAUGCAUACAAUAUUAUUAUCAAAUAUGAUAAAUCAUGUUAUACAUAUAUCAAAAUUUUCAAUAAAAUAACUUUAAAAUGUCUAUUAUACUUCUAAUUAUAUUAUUAUGAGGUUUUCUUUACAUUUUCAUGAGUUUUAAACAAUUUUAAGCACCAAUAUUUUUUUCCAAAAUAUCCACCGAUAUAUCUCCGAUAUAUCCAAUAUAUCUCCGAUAUCUCCGAUAUAUCCGUAAAAUCGAAGUACCGAUAUAUCCGUGAUUACCGAUAUUUUCAUCAUUGCUUAGAUGCAACCUUCUUCCAAAUGACAUACUUUAGUCAAUACUUAUAUUUUUUCGUUUCACUUCUUUGAUACAACACCUCAUGGAUUUAUUGUUUAAUUUAUUUGUAAUUAUAAAACUAUUUUUCAUUUUUAAUAAGACUUGAAUUAAUUUAAUAAAUAUUAUAUAAUUUGAAUUUAUAAUUCUUUUUAUAAAAUCAAAGUAUAUUAAAAAAAAAACAAUUUAUCCGAAGAAAGUUUUUUAUUUUUUAUUUUUUAAAACCGAUUUUAAAAAUAACUAGCUAGACACCCUUAUUUUGAUAAAAUACGAAAUAAAAGUGUAAAAACAACAUGGCCAAAUAGGGGCUUAAAUUUUAUUUUUAAAACAUUUUUUUACACUAAAGUGCAUUUUAAAAACACCAUCAAAACCAACUACAAGUUAUGCUUCUUCCCGUAAUAGAAAUAUUUUAGGCCAAAAUAGAACCUCCCCAAAUAAAGACCCUAUACUAAACUCCUUUUCAUUUUAUUAAUACAAAAGUGGGGAAAAAAGGUCUAUGCUCACCUAAAAAACAUGAAUAUUGUGAAUUCACCAUUUCUAUAAGGAAGUUGAAAACUUCAAAAUUUUAUCAACAAAUUCUCUAAAAUCCUCAAAAUAUAUAGGGCCUGUUUCACAAAGUUUUUUAAAAUUUGUUUUUAUAAAUUGCUUUUAAAAUAUAGAAUAAAUAACAGUUUUUUAGAUUUUUUGAAAAAUAAGAGUGUUUGGUAAGAUGUUUUUUUUUUUUUUUUUUUUUUUAAGAAUUAAAUAAAAAAUAAAAAAAUUGUUUAGAUAAAAGAAUUUGUAUUGUUUUUAAAAACAAUGUCUUACUUUUAUGUUAUAAAAAUUUUAUUAAUUUAAUUUAUAAUAAUAUGAAAUGAAAUUCAAGUUAAGUCUUAUUAAAAAAUACAAAUUAAAUCUAUAAUUAUGCAUGAGUUAAAGAUAAAUAUAUAUUUUUUAAAACUAUAAAAUAAAUUUUCUAUUAUAGUGAAACAAAAAUUACUAUAAAAUAAAAAUAAUUUUAAUAUUCAUUUUUAAUACAAGUCAAAUAAGUACUUUAAUUAAUUUUUUUUAUCAUGAUUUCUUAUGUUUUUUUUUUUUUCUAGAAAUUAUUUUAAGUAAUAUAACUAAUUUUUUUUUUAAUGUUUUAUAAAAAUAAGGAUAUUUGGCAAGUUGUUUUUAUAAAAGGAUUUUAAAAAUAAAUGGAUUUUUUUUUUUUUUAAAAAAAGAACAAAAUGAUUUGUUUGAAUAAAUUGUUUUGAUUUUGUAAAAACAUUUUAAAUUCAAUUUAUAUAAUAUUAAUUAAUUAAAUUAAAUUGAAGUUUUAUUGAAAAUAAAAAUAAUUUUGUAAUUAAAAUUAGAUUAAAAAAUAUAUAGGUUUUAAUAAAUCGUAAAUAGUAAUAUUAUAAUAAAAUUAUAAAUUAUAUUUUUAACAUAAAAUAUACUAUUUAUUACAUAUUAAAAAAAAUAUUUUAUUAUAUUAAUAAUUUUAUGGUAUUAAUGAGUUUAUUAUUUAAGUUUUAAAUUAUUUUUAAAAAUUAAUAAAUUUGUUAACAAAUGCAAUGUACUAAAUGUGGUUUAAUUUGGAGUUAAUUUGUUUAGGGAAAAAAAUAAAAAAUAAAAAUCUUAUGUAAAAGAGAAAUAAUAGAGUGUGUGUGUUUUUUUUUAUUAUUUUUAAAAAUCAGUAAAAAGAACUUUUACUUAUUGCCUAAAAAUUAUUCUCUAUUUUAUUUUAUUUUUUAAAUCUAGAAAUAGAUAACAAUAAUAAAAAAAAUUAAAAAAGAAAAAUGUUUUUUAAAACUCAGACUUAUAAUUGCUUUUGUUUCUCAUUCGCACCCCUGGAUUCCUGGAUUCUAAACACAAAAUUAAGUUGAAUCGUCCAUCUAUCUUGUAAGCCAAGAAUUCACAUAGAAGAAAUAAUCGGAAUUUGAUUUGAUAUCAGAUUUAGAGUGGCUCACUACUCAUGCAUUGUCCCACAAUAGUAAUGCUUUGGGCCGAGAUAAACCCAUUUGUGGGCCCAAAUAAAACCCCUGGUUUGAAAACAUCGAUUUUACAGUGGCCCAAAAGAUUAUCUAUGAGGGGAAGAUAACUUGGAAGUCAAGCAAACACAUUUAUCGCUAACUUUUCUCUAAUUAUAAAAUUAUAACUUGGUCUUCUACACGUCUCACUUAAGAGGCGGAGCCACUUGGCACUACCUUUCCAUAUUGUAAAAGGAGAAGAAGCAGAAGGAGAAGAUUCUUAUGCCAUUCCACACACCAUGGCUAGUACUGCUAUGCUGCUUGGCCCGCCGGCUCUCCGCCAUCCUAAUUCUCCCGCCGGCACUGUCUUUGAAGAUGGGGUCAUUCUAACGGAUUCCCUGAUCGUCCGCACCAGUAAUCUGGAGCUUUCUGAAAAACCGCCACUGGAAUCCCUGGCGUAGUGCUCUGUCAGUGGGGAUAUUGCUAUGGAUUGUUUGGAUUCCCAAGCCCACAAUCUUCAUCUUCCCGGGAAACCGCCGAUGGGCUUAACGGAAAACAAGUCUCCGACCUUUUUGUCUUCCGGGAACCCGUGCUUGGACUUCUUCUUCCAUGUGGUUCCCGAUACGUCGUCUGAUGAUCUGAUCCGACGGUUUGAGUUGGCUUGGGAAUUCAAUCCGCUGACGACGUUAAAACUGAUAUGCAACUUGAGAGAGGUGAGAGGCACCGGAAAAUCUGACAAAGAGGGUUUCUACACGGCGGUUCUCUGGCUCCACGACCACCAUCCCAAAACCCUAGCCUGCAAUGCUAGGGUGUUGGCCAGCUUCGGUUAUUUCAAGGAUUUUCUCGAGAUUCUCUACCGGCUUCUGGAGGGCCCUAAAAUUCGAAGAAUCGAAAAGAAAGACUGGCUGGAUCGAAAAGGAAGGAAGAAAAAUUCCCGGAAAAGGAACUCAAUAUUCAAGCGAGAAAAUAGGCCUGGAGUUGAAUUUCCUGUAGAAGAGAAGGAUGUGGAGUAUAUGGUGGAAGAAUUUGUGGAUAAAGAAAAGGCUAGGGUACUGAGAAAGGAGAGAGAACUUGCUCUUGCCAAAAGAGCCCUGCACAAGUAUUCUACUGAUUCUAAUUAUCAGUUCUUACAUGAUCAGAUUUCAGAUUUAUUUGCUGAACUUCUGAAAUCUGAUAUUCAGUAUUUAAACUCCGGUGAGCUUUACAAGAUUAGUCUCGCAUCCAAAUGGUGUCCCACAAUUGAUUCUUCUUAUGAUAAAUCCACCUUGAUAUGUGAAAAUAUUGCUCGAAAGGUUUAUUCUCGCGAGGAAUAUAUAUCCAGAAUACCAAGGAAUUGAGGAGGCUCACUAUGUUAAUAGAGUCAGGGAUAGGUUGAGAAAACAAGUACUUGUUCCAUUACGUAAGGCCCUGGAGUUGCCAGAGGUUUUCAUGUGUUCGAACCAGUGGGGAUCACUUCCCUACAACCGUGUGGCUUCAGUGGCCAUGAAAUCAUACAAGAGCCUCUUCUCAAAACAUGAUACAGAGCGGUUUGGUGUGUAUCUUGAGAAAGUGCAAACUGGGAAGGCUAAGAUUGCAGCUGGUGCAUUACUUCCCCAUGAGAUUAUAGCUUCAUUGAAUGAGGAGGAUGGCGAGAAAGUUGCAGAGCUUCAGUGGGCGAGAAUGGUGGAAGAUUUAUCAAAGAAUGGGAGGCUCACAAAUUGCAGUGCGGUAUGUGACGUAUCAGGAAGUAUGAGUGGAACUCCAAUGAAGGUGUGUGUGGCUCUGGGGCUGUUAGUUUCAGAGCUCAGUGAAGAUCCAUGGAAAGGUAAUGUAAUUACUUUCAGUGCAAGUCCUGAGCUUCACAAGAUCCAAGGAGACAGCCUUGUAUCCAAGACUGAAUUUGUGAGGAUGAUGGAAUGGGGUGCGAACACUGAUUUUCAGAAAGUUUUUGACAGAAUCUUACAAGUAGCAGUGGAGGGAAAUCUGAGUGAAGAUCAAAUGAUAAAGAGGGUUUUCGUUUUCACUGAUAUGGAGUUUGAUGAAGCUUGUGGGAGGUAUAACUAUUGUGAAUAUGACUAUGAUAUGGAGGAAAUUGAUGAGAGUCAGAAGGCAUCUCAGAAGUGGGAGACAGAUUAUGAAGUGAUACAGCGGAAAUUCCAGGACAAAGGAUAUGGAAAAGUUCCGGAGAUAGUGUUUUGGAACCUUAGAAACUCAUCAGAGACUCCAGUGAUGGCCACAGAGAACGGGGUGGCCUUAGUAAGCGGGUUUUCGAAGAAUCUGUUAGACCUUGUUUUUGGAAGGAGGUGGAAUUCUGACCCCUCAGGAUGUGAUGGAAUUAGCCAUCUCUGGUGAAGAUUACAAGAAACUUGUUCUAUUUGAUUAAGAUAUCAAGAGAUUUAUCAAUAAUAAUAUGUUUUUUUUUUUCUAUGUGAAAUACAUGUAAUAUUAACUAUGGAGUUAUCAAAGUUCUGGAAAUUUAAUUAUUUCUUCUUUUCAAGUUUUGUUUGUCUUUGUUAGGAAUUCCCCUUGGGCGGACCCAGCUGGGGACUUGGAUUGAGGAAGUAAGGAGGCGAAAUUGUGUUCUUCUAUGGACAGAGAAAAAAGAUAAAAAUAAAAAAUAAAAAAGGAGGUUAUUUGCAUUUGGAUGUCAUGUGGUUUCAGGGUACAACUACAAGUUCGAAAUUGUACAUAAUGUGAAAAUUCCUGUGUGGAGAACAGCAUAAAUAUGUAUCUCAGUGUGUUUUGUUUGAGCUAAUUGGCAAAUUCGCUUUAAACAUGGUCACAUGGAUGCAUAUUUAUUUGUGAAAUGAUAGUAGUCGAUUACUUGGUCAGUAAGGUUUGUAUCUCUAACUCCAACAUCUUAUUGUAGUCUUUUAAAAUGUCAAAAGUUUAAUGCUAGCUUGAGAAAUUUUGGAAUGGAGACAUUCUAAACAAAGUUAAUAAUCCAUGAGACUUGGUAAAACCGAUCAGAUGAUGCUUACGUACAUGAAUGCCUUCUUUAAGCCGUAUCCUAUUUUCAUUGAAUGAGACGUGCCAUCUAGUUUUGUUCUUGUCUUGAUUGGAUCAUGAUCCCGGGAAUUGAUUACUGUUCUGAAUUUGCGAAUGUUCAAGGUAUUAGAGAAAGUUAAUAUUAUCGUUAAUUUACAUAUUAGUAUUUAUCUAGUUAUUAUAUAUUAGUUUGAAUUAUAAUAUAAUAUAGAAUUUGAAUCAAGUUUACUAUUAGUUUGAAUUACAAUAGGAAAUAAAGUUUGAAUUAUAGUAUAACUCAAAUAUAUUUGUAUAUAAAUAUCCAUCUUUAUCAAUGAGAAUAGUAAACCAUAUUUUUCUCUAUCUUCUUCUUUCUCUAUAUAUAUGGUAUCAAAGCCUCCAAAUCCUAAACCUAGUCUCAACUUAGAGCAAAUUUAGGGUGCAGGGUUUAGGCCCCGCCUCCCCCAACCCUUACCACAAAUGGUAGUGACCUUGUUAUGCCUAUGUAUUGUCAAUGCCUCAUUUUCUAUGGUCUUCAAUACAAUAUCUAGUUUCAAUGUCUCUUUCCUUACUAUCUCCAAUGCAAUAUAUUGAUUUCAAUAUCUCUUUACAACCAAGAGCUCCAAAUUUUCCUGGUUCAAAUCUACCAUAAUUUUUAUUCUCCUUUGCUUUUUACCAAUAUUAGUUCCCCUAAUUUAAUAUAUAUCUCUUUAUUACCUUCAACUCUACCUCUCUCUUUCUUUAAAAGCUUCCUCAAAGAUUUGAUUGCUUUCUUGCAUGUUUUGGGAAAACAAACAUGCUCAUAUUCUAUUACCUCUACUUGAGAUCUGCCUUAUACUCUACCUUCUUCUUUACCUCCUAUAUCAUCUACUACAUUAGCUUCAAAAACAUUAUUUAGUUUGAUGCUAAAUAAGGCUCCUAAUCCUACCCUUCCUUCAACUAACUUUCUUUUACAAGUCCCUCAAAGUUUUUUUUUUUUUUUUUUUGGAAAUUUGGCUUAGAAAGAUUUCAUUACUCUUACCUAAUCUUUCAACCAUCAAGUCGAAUCCACUUAUCUCUUGAAUCCAAGGAGACUACCCUCCACAAAAACAAGGAGAUUGACCCCCACAAUAACAAAGAGAUUGUCCUCCAUAGAAACAAAGAGAGCUUCCUUCAUGGAAGCCGAAUACAUCGCAAUCUAUUUUCUUUCUCUCAAGAUCAAAUCUCCAAUCGGAGCUCCAUCUUGUGGGGAUAUAUUAGAAAAAGUUAAUAUUAUCCUUAAUUUACAUAUUAGUAUUUAUCUAUAUUAUAUAUUGAAUUAGAAUAGAAUAUAGAAUUUGAAUUAAGUUUACUAUUAGUUUAAAUUACAAUAGGAAAUAGAGUUUGAAUUAUAGUAGAACUCAAAUAUAUUUAUAUAUAAAUAUCCAUCAUUAUCAAUGAGAAUAGUAUUCCAUAUUUUUCUCUUUCCCUGAGGCUUCAGAAUGUGAUCUUGAACAUUUGAUCUUUUGGAUUCUUCUUGUUUCGGUGGUUUAAUAUAAUGGAAUGUUUAAUUAUAGCCUACUUUAUCACCAUGGAUGUGCUCCUGCAGAUUUCUUGAGGGUGAUGGUUAUUUUGUCAUGUUUCUUGAAUGGUUUGCAUCAGCUGCCUGAGCUGUUGUUGCUGGUCACUUUUGCAACCAGGGAAAGAAUCAUGGCUUUGGAGAAGCCAGCUUCUGUUUUUGUUGCCCAGCUGUUAGUUCACUAAGAUUGGGGGUCCUAACAUGUAUGUAUAAUCAUAAGCAAGGAAAUUUUAUGUCUUACGCUAGAUAGGUACCAUGAUAUGAUGUUUGAUUGAUUUAUUAACUCUACCUGUUUCAAAAGGCAUCAACAUUAAUUUUACCCUUUUAACACAUUGGAUUGUUUGACCUUACGAGAUUUUCUAUUUCUGUACUAUUUGAACUGCAAUCGUUAUGGUCCUUAGGUCUCUAAACCUUCGUUUAAAAUAAAAGUAAGGAGCACACAUAGUAAAAGUUAAUUUUGGGUAACUUUUAAAACAAAGAGAAAAGUAAAAGUUGUUUUUGAGAAAAACAUAUAGAAAUUGAAAGAUUUUUUAUUUUGAGAAAAAAAAGUCAUAGAAAAGAAAUAAUAUCCCCAUAUAAGUAGAUAUGAUCUAUCCGAAGUGUAGCUACUCUCCUGGAUUUAUUCUAACAUUUUAAAAUUUUUCUCAAUGGGCAAAGGAAUAUCAAAUCAAGCUUGAGUAGGAUUAAUUUCUUAAUUUUUAAAAUAACUUAUAAUUAAAAUUUUUUGGUGUUUUCUUUUUUGGACAAUUUUUUAUGAAGACUCUGAAUCAUGCAAGAGAUAUGGUUAUUUUAAAAAAAAAAAUAAUUUAAAACUCAAAUACAUAAUCAAUGUCACAAAUUUAUAAACAAAAGGUUUUUAAAAAAUACUAUUAUUUCCCCUCUACACAUAAUUUUACUUUUCCGAUUUAUUUAUUUUUGUUGGAAAACAGUCUUCAAAUCAAGUAAAAUUAAUAUGUUAAAUUUGUUAAACAAAUAAAUUUUAAAAUACAAUUUGGAACUCAAAAAUCAAUUCAAGUAAUGCUAAAAUUCAAAAAAUCAAAUUUGGAAUAAAAUGACUUUGUAAAUUUUUUUACUAAACAAAUGAAUUUUAAAUCAAGUGAGAUUUAAUACAUUGGAUUUUUAUGAGAAUAGUAAUUUUAAAAAUUAAUUUGGAACUCAAAAAUAGACACAAUAAAUACCAAAAAUCAAUGAACCAAAAUUGGUUUGGAAUAACUCCAUAAUUUUUUAUUUAUUUAUAUAUUUAUUUUUUUGUGCACACGAAUUUCUUACUAAGCAUAUUGCUUCCAAAUUGAGAAAAAUUUACUAUUUAGAUUUUUUUAAUGAGUUUAAUGGUAUUUAAAAAUAAUUCAAAAAUUCGAAAAUUGACUAAUUUAAUAUUAUAAAUUCAUAAACCAAGACUAAUUCAAAAUGCAUUGGGGGCUAAGGGGGUUGAAAUUAAUGCUCCAUUUGGUUGUGGCCACCAAUUGGCAAUGGCCACCAAUCAACCAAUCAAGGUGGCUAAGGGGGUUGAAAAUAGGGACAAUGGGGUGGGUUUGGGACAGGACACUCAUAUCCCAUUCCCAUCCCAAUUACACAGUUAUUUCCCAUCCUUAUUCCAAACUUGUGUUGGGGCAAGUUGAUUUGUUCCCAUCUUUGUUAACGAAAUGACUAAUAACCUCAUCCUCUCCUUGUCUUAGAUGUACAUUUUCUCAAAUUUGGUCAGGUAUGAUUGAUUCAAGCCCUAACCUUAAUUGGUAAUGAGUGGAUACCACACCUAAUUGCAUUCUUCUUUCGUUGCAAAAUAAUGAGAUUAUAAUAAUCUAGCAAAUAAGAAAAAAUAGUAUGGAAGUUCAAAUUAACACCAUAACUAUCAAUAAUUUUAAGCUUAUAGAUGACUUAAAUGAUUGAAAACUAAUGCAAAAUACUAAAAAAAAAAAAAAUCAUCUAAAGAAUUCACAAGAGAAUAGAACGAACAAAACCAAAUAGGAACAUGGGUCAACAUUAGUUACAGAUUUUGAUCCCUUUCAAGGCCAAUCUUUGAACCAAGACUUCAUCAAAUCUACUACUUCAAAGGCUUUUGUGUUCUUCUUGAGUUGUACUCUGGAACAAAGACUUCGAGGUGAUGCUUUAGAUGAUUGCAUUACACAUAUUUAGGGUAGGGAGAUUGGAGAAGCUUGAAGAUGCCAACGAUGGGUACAAUUGAGUGGUCAAUAAGAACAAUGUGGCCUAUGACUAGUUUGAUGUCAUGGUAUAGGAGUUUUGGGCAUUGAGGUGAAAGCAAGAGCAACAUGGAAUUGAUUUCAAAGUCUUUCAAUUAGUGUAAAGGAGGAAGAAGAAGUGGUAUUGAUCCUAGAAAUAGUGUUUUAGGUGUUGCAUUAGAGGAAAAGAAAAAGAAAAAGAAGGAACCAUUGGAAUUAGUACGAGUGUGAAGAGAGAAGUGUAUACAUAAGGGGAAGUAAAAGCAAAGUUCUAAAAAUUUAUUUUUUUAUUGGUGGUGUAUGGUUGCAUGAUUAUCCCUAUAAAUAAUAGGAGUUUUUUGGUGUUCUACUAGUAGUUGAAGGAUAAUUUCAUAAGAUAAUAUUUAGAGCGGGGUGGGGUGAGUUGUGACAAAAUCCAUACCCGUCCCAAACAUUGGUUCAGGUUUUUAAAAUAUUUUCAAACUUAUCAUAUACCCAAUUUUAUAUUUCAUACUUGUCCUAAUAGAGACAGGUUAGUCAGGGUUACUUGAGUAGCCUACAAAACUAUCAUCCCUAGUUGAAAUGCUCUUUUUGGCAGUGGCAGCUAGAAGCUCGAUCGAUUGACCUACAAGACUAGUUGUCAUCAUUUUAAAAAGAGUUUUGGCUUUGGUUGUGAGUGCAAUUGAAUCUAAACUAACAUUUCCUUAAUGCAUCUACUUCAAUCCUAAACUUCUUACUUAAGCCUCAAUUGUUGUUAAGAUUUUGGAAAACCCAUUUCCUUAAAUUGUAAAUUUAAGAAAAAAAAAAUUAAAAGUGAGACAUUUCUUGAUUGAAUGUUGUUAAAGGUCCCUUGGAAUUAAGACUUGGUUGAAGCCUUGGAAGAUUAGCAGAACUCUCAACUUAUGUUUGAACCUUGAGGAGAGUGGACGUAGGCCAAAAUUUUGUCAAACCAUUAUACAAAUUGAGUUUGAAUUCUCAUUUCUUGAUUUCUUAUUUAUUUGCUUUUUCUUAUUAUUACUUGAAUUGUCAUUUGCAUUCAUUAAUGUUAAAAUUGGUUAUAAUUAGCCAACACUAAUUCUCUUUCCCCUUCCCUUAAUUUCUUGGGUGUAAACCUAGGUUGGAUUAACUAGAUUUUAUCAAAUCUAUUAAGAUGGUAAAAGAAUAAUUAUUCUUAACAUACAUAAGAUCAUCUUCAAUCAAAUGACUCAUUGGCUGAUAUGUUGAAUUUGCUUAUUACUUGCAACUCAAAAUUGUGUUCUAGUUGAUAUGUCAAGUCCUGAGUGUAUGGACAUUAAAUUUGUAGUACGUGAUGAGUAUUUAGAUGGUCCAAUUCCAAGAAAGUGAUUGAAAACUAGUUCAAGAAAGGUGCAAAAGGGAAUUGUUUUGGUAUUUUCGUUUUUAUUCUUGAAGGUGGCAGAGCUAAAAUUUGAGAAAUCAAGCAAAACAUACUGAAAUUACAUUGAAAGAAAGAAAAUGGGAGUUAAUGUCUUGCAGUACAUGAUAAGGACUUCAUGCAUGUAGUGUGACCCAUGUCUUGGACUGAUGCCACACUCACGGUUACACUUAUACCCUUAGUUCUCUCUUUACUACCUUAGCUAACCUAGAUCAGGUUAUGAGAUAGGCACCUCACCACACCAUUACUUGCCCAUUAAUUAGUGACAUUUUCAAGCAAUGAGGUAACAUGGUGACACCAAGAGGGUAUAUUCCUCACCCCCAACAAGCCUAGACCUGGUCUAAAAAAAAUGGAGAAAAAUGACGUGUUGUUAUGCAGAAAUAUAGCAACCAUGCCUUCCUCAUUACUUAGAUUCAGAAUGUGAAGGUGAAAUUGAGAAACAGAAACUCUUGAAACCAAAAUGAAAAUUGAUACUUUUACGAAGAAUUACAACAACAUUAGAGGAAGACUACAUUCUUCCUCUUUAUUCCUACAUUUCUACACUACUUCUACUCCACUCCAUAUUUCUACAUACAUCUUUAAUCAGUCUUCCCUCCUUUAUAUAGAGCCAUCUUCACACAAAUUCCGCAAGGUAGAAAAGAGGAAUGAAACUUGGAGCAAGGUUCGACUACUGGCUGUAGCUUGUCAAGGCUGAAAGUGAACUUUUUUUCUUGGCUUUUCUGGGCAUAGGUAGUAACUUGUAGGUUCCUUUUUGGAAUGAAAAUGGUACGGCUAGAACAUGUGGCACUCUCUUGUUGGAUGAUGUGUCAAGCAUGUGGCAGCCAUCUAGUGGAGAUUAUGUCAAUUUUGGGAUGGAGAGUUGGCAUCCAAUUGCAAAGAAAUAUGACAUCUACCAACAUGCAAUGUCAACCUAUGUAGAUCAUAUGAAGAUAGAGAGGAAAAAUAUAGAAAUGGAUAUAUAACUAGAACUAGCUUUUUAUUAAAUGAGACGGAGAGCCAACAAUGAAGGAAAAUCAAAAUUUUUGGCUCAUAUCAAAGAAUUCACAUUGUGUUACCCUAGGUUUUCUUAAAACUUACUUUUAUGAUAAUAAAAAAUCAUUAUUGUUUAAUCCUUUGUUUUAAACGCAUGUUUAGCAGGUUGUAAAAUGUAAAUAUCUUUCGAAAUUCAAAUAUGAAGAUAUGACAUCAUUUCAAGCAAUAUAGUCUCUAGGAAUUAAUGUAAAGCUAAAUUAAGGUGCAAUUAAGUUAGUUCAAUGCAUUAUUUUAAGAAACUUGACCUAUCAAAACCUUGUCUUACUUCAAAGCCUCUUUUUCUUUUCUUCCAACUAACAUUUUAAUAAGUGAUCGCAAAAGUACAAAAUUAGAUGAAAUCCAUUUCAAUGGUUAAAAUGAUCAAAUUCAAACUUUUUCUAAGUAUCUUUUAAAAGCAUCAAUAUUGAAAGACAAUUUUAUAUUUAGUCAAAGCUUGGACAGAGCCAAAAAGCACACAAAAAUUUAUAUUUUCUAGCUCUCUACCUUGGAUGGUCUCUUGAUCCUACUUGGAGAUGUGCAUAAAUAAAAGGAUUUGAAAAUGACAAUUGACUAAGUAUGUAGUCAAUCAAUUACUCAUUGAUUGACUAGUUGAUCAAUUAACUUUGCAACAUCAUAUGCAAUCCUAAUAGCUAGUCAUCUAAUCAACUAGGUAGUAAAUCAAUAGGCCAAAAAUAUGUUUAUAAUGACUAUUUUGUACAAAAACCACUUAUAUAGUUAAAUAUAAUGCAUUUCAUUUAUAAAUCUUCUAAUUCUUGAAUAACAAUCCUAUCAUCCUUUGAAAGUUUUUAUUACACCUUUUCUACAUUUGUUCUAAAACUUAUACAUCACCCUUAAUUGUACCAUGAGAACCUAGCAUUUUUUUUUUUUUUUUUGUAUUUCAUCAAAGUUAGCUCUUGUACUCAUUGUUGUAUUAUUUUUAUUGUAACUUAGAGAGCGAGUGUUUUCAAGUGAGUGAAAUUGACUUGUAAAUAUUGUAAAGAUUCAUUGAUAUGUAUCUCAAACUAGGUGUACAAGUUGAAACAUUUGCUAGUAGAUUUUCUCAAGAUUUAGAAUGAGCUUAAGGCUAUCGAAUUAGGUGGGGUUGCGCCAAACCAUAUCACAUCGUUGUUUGCACCUUUUUUUUCACUCUCUUUUACUUAGUUGCUCUAUAUAUAUUGUCUAGCAAUAUCCUAAAGGCUUGAUGGGCUAGGGAGCAUCCCUCUGAAUGAAAAAUUUUCAUUCAAUUCUUAGUUGUAUUACGCAUAUAUAAAAUGCCUCAUUGUUUUAAUGGUAUUCAGUCGUGGCACCACAGAUAUGGACAUCUAAAUUUUAAAAGUUUGAAACUUUUAGCUAAAGAAAAUAUGGUGCUUUGCCUUUUUGGAAAGCAUGUUGAUGAAAUCCAUGAGAAUUGUAUACUUGGAGAGCAACAUCGAGAUAACUUUUUUUUUUUCUUUUUUUAUAAUGCAUUGUUUGUCCAAAUUCCGUACAAAUUAGGCCACCACAUGUUCAUAAUUCUCCCUUCUUGAAUUUGAAAACUCGGACAAUUUGACAAUGCGACACCUAAGUCCGGUUUUUAAAUGCUAAAGUGAAAGGGCAGGUAUGGACCAUUGAAAUGUGAUAACAACUUUUGGCCUUUUCCUUUUCUCUGUAGCCAUGUUGUCUCUUUUUAAUUUCUUUUGCAUGAUUUUCUUACCUAAACAGAAUCAUAGACUUGUUUAAUCUCUAAGUGGGAUUUCAUCCACCUUAAGCUACUGUAUUAUAUCUCGGUGGAGGACAACCGACAUAGAGCACAUGCAAGUGGGUAUAUGGGACAUGAAAUAUCUUCUUAUAAAGCUUGUUUUGCAGUUAAAUUAAUUGGAUAAGUAGACACUGGCGUUUCUAAAUUUCCCACCUAAGAUAAUGACCUUAUCCUUGACUGCUAGAUACACAAACAAUUAUACCUUCAAAAUCUACUGUGAAGUGCUUCAUGUAUGUGUGAAGUAUUAGAAAUUUCUUUCUUGGCAACUUGUUUUUUUCUUUGCGGUCUACUGAUAGGUUUGACUAAAAUUAUAUUCCCUGUCCUGCUAAUUAAUUUUCACGUGCAUGCUCAAAAGAAGAGUAUGACCUUAGUGCACCAAAAUCACUUUCAAUAAUUUGUGAUAAGUUUUUUUGCAUGACAUUAACCUUAUUCAUUUAGAUAAUGUUUAGUUCUCAUAAAUAUUAAGAAAAUGAAAAUAAAUAUUAAGAAAAAUAUUCUUAUAUUUGAUUGUAUUAUGAAAAAUAUCAUAAAAAAUCAAAUAUAAUUAAAAUUAAUUAAUAAUUUAUAUAUUUUAAAAUUAUUUAAUUUUUAUAUUAAAGAUAUAAUAUAAAUGAAAUGAGUUUUAAGUAUUAUAUAAAAAUGAUUUAUUUAUUUAUUUAUAUAUAUAUAUAUAUAUAUAUUUAGUUUUUCUCUUUAUUUUAUUUUCCUUAUGUUUUCCUCACAUUUUCCGGAAUCAAAGAUAGGGAAAUCCACAAUUACCUUCAACUGAGUAGAUUCUAUUGUUUUAGCAAUGUUAGGCUGCUAACUUGUGGUGGUACGAACCAAAUGAUCCAUGUUAAUCUUGGCUUGAUUUAAUUUGGCUCUAUCUCAGAGAACUCAAGGAUCACGUCAACUCUGGUUUCUACUAUUCAGGUCCAUUCCCAGAUGAACUGGUUCAAAUUUGAGAAAAUGGUAACAGACCUUUAGUGAUAUUGGUUUGGAGCCAGUUGCCAAACCUGCCCUGAGCUUUACCACUAAUGUCAAGGGACAAAGCCAUUUGAACAAAAACAAUAGCUUCAAGAGACUGAAUCGUGGAUGAAAUCUGAUCCACAUUUCUUCUCAUUUUGGGAAAAAAUGAGGACUUAACCACAAAGAUUCUACUGCCUCAUAGUGCUUUUCCUGAUCUAAGGUUGGCUCGUUUCCCAAAUUGUGAGGUGCACGUGCCACUCUCACGCUCAGGAGUGUAUCCACGUGGUGGACAUAAGAUGGUGGCUUAAUAUCUGGUGUCGGUGGCUUUACUUUACUAGGAGAGUAGUGUGUCUUCAUCUCAUUCACUGCCAGAGGGUGGCGUAAGCAGUGACGCUAAGGUGGGGCACAGUCAAUAUCAUUUGCAUUUGACCAUUAUAAUUUUCUCCCGGCUUUAAAGUAACCUUAUCGUGAUAAUGGAUUACUAGCACUAGUUCAGAUGACAGUCAUGUUAAAUUCGGACCAUGUUUGUGUCACAUUAUCAGCAACCAUGUGCUUGUGGUUCAUGCUAUCUGCAACUAAACUUGAUAUAUAACCAGGUGAACUUCAAUCUAAAUUCUGGAAGUACUCAUGUGAUAGAUGGUGCCUGUCUGCAGUGAGUGUAUCUAUAAGAGGGAAGGCUUGGCAAAUGUUCAGUUUUCUGGGAAUUCAACAGGGAUCUAAAAUAGAUUGUUUUCUUUGCUGAUUUCAAUGGUUGAAAUUUGAGAAGAUUGUGUCCACAUAACACAACUAUUACUGGUCCUUCUGUUGCAAUUUAUCCUCUAAGGCUCUAACAUGUCUUCCAAUUCCCACUUCCCACUUCCCUGUUACUCCAGGAAAGCUGUUUCUGUCAUUGUGAAGAAGAAAAGAGACUGUACAUAUCGAUGCUUUUAAGUGGACUGGAGAAUUCAUAUCAGGUGGUCUGCAGCCAUACAUGCCACUUUGUGAAGGUUGGAACAGUCAAUCACUAGGCUAUAUUAGUGGGGCCCAGCCACUUCAAUCAAGGACAAGUCUUCAUACUUAAAGUCAAAUUCUGCCUUUAGUCUCAUUAUAAAUUGCUGUUUAAAUAUCAAGCAAACAUUUGUUUAAUGCGAUUAAGACAGCACUAACUCAAUACUUGUUCUAUUUUUGGAUGCAAAUGCUUGAUAGUUUCAUCAUUGGAGGGGAUAAAGGUGCAUUCAUGAUUAUGAAUACUUGUAGUUAUAUUUUCAUUCUCUUUUUUCUCAAUGGGACUUGUUGGCACAAUUUUGCUGUUCAGAAACCUACCUCUCCAUGGAAAAUCAGUUGUGAUUGAUAUUACUGGAUAUAUUCAAGAAAGCUAAAUGUAGAUAGCACAAAAUAUUAUCGACAUAAAUAGCAUUAACAGCGUACGUAUGUCUCAAUGCUCAUCAGCUAUAAGCAAGGGGCAAACACUUACUAUGAGCAACUUACGUCAAAAUUCCGGAAUAGGACAUAGAAGUGACAGGUCAGUAAAUAUAGAACACUGCAUAUGAGUCACAAGAAAGGAAAUUACGGGUACAUAGCAGCUCUUAUUUUACAUCCUACUCAUACUGAUCAAAGUCACUCAGUUGGGAUGGGUGGGAGUGGGAGGUUUGUGGGGUGGCUUGUGCGGAGGAGUUGGCAGCUUCUUUCCAGGACCUGGUUGCUUCUCUGCUGGAGUUGAAGGAGGCUUAAUCUUCCGAGGUGGCUUGUAUGAGUCUUCAGCAUUCUCAGCAGGAGGGUGACCAGGGUUGUGACCACAAUGUGGUGGCUUCUCUCCCUUAGGUGGUUUGCCAACUGGGGUUGGUGGCUUGUGUUCCGGAAGUGGCUUCUCUUUGUGUUCAGGAGGUGGCUUCUCCACUGGAGGCUUGUGUUCAGGAGGUGGCUUCUCCACCGGAGGCUUGUGUUCAGGAGGUGGCUUCUCCACCGGAGGCUUGUGUUCAGGAGGUGGCUUCUCCACCGGAGGCUUAUGCUCUGGUGGUGGCUUCUCCACCGGAGGCUUAUGCUCUGGUGGUGGCUUCUCCACCGGAGGCUUAUGCAAUGGUGGUGGCUUCUCCACCGGAGGCUUGUGUUCAGGAGGUGGCUUCUCUACCGGAGGCUUAUGCUCUGGUGGUGGCUUCUCCACCGGAGGCUUAUGCUCUGGUGGUGGCUUCUCCACCGGAGGCUUGUGUUCAGGAGGUGGCUUCUCCACCGGAGGCUUGUGUUCAGGAGGUGGCUUCUCCACCGGAGGCUUGUGCUCUGGUGGUGGCUUCUCCACCGGAGGCUUAUGCUCUGGUGGUGGCUUCUCCACCGGAGGCUUGUGUUCAGGAGGUGGCUUCUCCACCGGAGGCUUAUGCUCUGGUGGUGGCUUCUCCACCGGAGGCUUGUGUUCAGGAGGUGGCUUCUCCACCGGAGGCUUAUGCUCUGGUGGUGGCUUCUCCACAGGAGGCUUGUGUUCAGGAGGUGGCUUCUCCACCGGAGGCUUAUGCUCUGGUGGUGGCUUCUCGAAUGGGGGAUGCGUAGGGUAAUCAGCUAGUGAGGGGGCGGUGAGAACCACCAGGCCAAGCAACACUACUAGCAAGUAUGUAGGAGACAUCUUUGGGUUUGGGCUCAGAUGGUGCAAAACUAGGAGAAUUGGCUAGCCUUUUAUAGCGGAUCGUACCCAAUAAUGAAAUGACACGUGUCAUUAUGACCCAUGUGUCAUGUGGUCGAUUUGGGUCCUACAGUGUUGAAAACUUCGACAUCCACUUUUUUGGCCUUUUGCUUUCUCUACAGUCGCCUUGCUUUUUCCCUCUUUUCUUUUGUUUUCCUCCUGCCCCAUUCUAUCAACUAAUCACAAUUAUGUAGUUGUUUAAUUCUUAAAUGAGAUAUUAUCCGUCAAUCAUAUUAUCUUUUAUCAAGAGAGAACGGAGUGAAAAGUGGCAAUCCAAAGAAAGAAGAUCCAUAAUGCAGCUGUAAUUUUAUCGUUUACUUUUAUCUCUAGGACCACUGCAUUUUUGUUGAGAGGUGCAAUAAUACACGUCUUUAUCUGCCAUUCAAUGUUUACAGUAAAGAGAGGGCACAAAACUCUUCACUGCUCUGCAUGUGCCCCAAAAAUGCAAUUGGACAAAUUAUGAUUUGCAUGCUAAAAAGAGGCAAAUGAGGUUAAUUAGCACCAAAAUUAUUUUGUUUUCUGGACACCCCGGGGCCCUUUGGUUGGUUUGGGGGUCAGAAAAUGAACAUCAUAGGGGGUUUUUCCCUAAUGUGCAUUUGCAUUUGUAUCUGAUGGCUUUAACUCGCCUUGUUACUACAAAGAAAUUGUCACAGAUAGGAACUUAUUCCAGGCUGAGUAUCUCCGCAUGGACCCUAUAAAAGAAGACAAGUCAUAAUGAACAUCUAACCUUUGUUCAAUUUGAUUCAAUGCCCCUAUUGUGUCCAUCUCACAAAUCUGAAUUAUUAUAUCCAUUGAAUACAUAAAUUAAUGAAGAAAAUAUGAAACCCAAGAUACAUCUCUGCACAACCUCAACCCUGGUUGCUAUGUUUCACUUCUAUUCACAUGAGGAUAUUGAUUACGGAAUAAGGAAACCUAGCAAGGGUUUACUCGGCUCUGGUUUGAUGCUAAUUGCCAAACUUGCAACAAGCCCUGAGUUUGACACCUAAUCGAUGGGCGAAUUAAAAGUCUCCUCCAAACAUAUAUUCCACAGCUUGAAGCUCACAGAAGAUGCUAUACAGGCAGGGAAAAACCUUCAGAGUUAGCUACCAAAGAUAAUUAUCAAGGAGAUAUCACCAAGAGAAUUCCAUGGAGUCUGAAUCAAAGACAAAUUGCUCGCUCGUGGGGGUUCUUACUUAAUUUCUUUUGGGUAUAACUCACUGAGGGCACUGGCUUUGUUAUUUGCAUUUCGCAUUUAGAGUUCUGUUCUGGAAGGUUUGUUCUGGAAACAUAUAAAAGGAGCAUCAUUUUGUUCUAGGGUAACCCAUAGUUGUGAGUGGGUCCAUUUGCAUGCUACUUAGUUGAAAAGUUGGACAAUUUGCUCCGACGCCUACCUCCUGGAUUCCAUGCUCGGAUAAAGCAAGAAUAAUAAAAUAUUUAUAAUUUACAAAUGGGGGAAAGAAAAAAAUGUCAACAACAAACUAGGAAAAAAGAGUAGUAAAAUUUAUGCCACAUGCUAUUGAUAGAAGGGGCAUGUAUUAGAUCCAUCACCAUUUGGUAAGAUUUUAGUAUUAUAUUUUUCAAGGUUCAUUAUUUGAGGGUGUGUUCUUCAUCUCUGUUGCAUUGCUUCUUACUAGGCCCACUGAGGUGGGUUCUUCACCUUUUGUAUAUUCUCUGCACUAGAUCAAUGAGAAAGGGGGAAUUUUGGUGAAUUUGCAGCCGUUGGAUGAUUGAUUCUAGGCUCAGUCCACCAAUGAUGCUCUCUUCACUCUUUCUCAUCUAGUGUCAUUCACAACUAUGUUUUGAUUCAUAUUUGUACUAUCAAAGAUAUCUCAUUAUUCUAGCUCAUUAGGUAGAGUUCCUAAUCUUCCUCCUUUUUGGUCUAUGGACAGUAUUGGCUUCAUAUUAAGAUCAUGUUUCAAUAAUUGCACAUUAAUGAAUGGAUCAUGACCCACAUAAACAGAGUCAGGGUUGAGUCAGUGAACCCUAAAAUUUCACAAUUCUAAAUUUGGGUUCUUUAACAAUGCAGGGUCAAGGACGCGUGGUGAUGAAGGAAAGCUGGUAAGCUCAGUGUUACUUCAAUUCCUGCCAUGUAGGAUGGUGAGGAGAUAUUCACUAUGCAAUUAAUAAUAGACAAUAUUCACUAUGCAAUAAUAAAGCAUAAAUUAAGUUGAAUGAAAAGCAUUUUCUUUGCAAGGAGUUGAUUUUGGUUUCAUAGUUUGUUCAACUGCUAUUUUGGAUAGGAAAGUGUGAGGAGAAGAAAAUAAAAAAUAAAAAUAAAACAAAAAAUAAAAAAUAGAUUUUAUAAAUUCAUUUAAUUUAUUUUUUUUUUAUAAAAAUUAACUAAUUUAAAAUAUAUGUAAAUUUCUAAUUAAUUUAAUUACAUUUUUUUUUUCAGUUUUUCAUAAUAAACCAAAUAUUAGAAAAUUAUUUUUAUUAAGACACCCAAGAUGAGGUAAUAUGCAAUGAAAACAUGAAUUAUAUUAAAAUUCAAAACAAAUUAAGAGAAAUCGGAAAAUAUACAUAGAUAUCUAAACAAAGAAAUUUAAAGAGAAGGAACCACAAACUUUAUUUACAUAAUUUGAAAAUAAAAAACAUAAAACAUACUUAUAGUAAGGAGAAAUUGAAUAUCUUACAAUGGAAGAAGGGAGAAAAGCUUUGAAGAAAGCUUUUGCUUGGAAGCUUACAUGGUGAGAGGUAGAGAAAGGAGAGAGAGAGAAGAAAAUGAAAAAUGAGAAGUGGAGAAAAUUGGAAGUUUUGUGUGCUUACAACUGAGGAUAGAGCCUCCUUAAAUAGCAAAAAAUGGAAUAUUAAAUAGUACCAAUCAGGAGACAAAAUAUUGUUUGCUUUUGAAACCCGUGCAUGAAUAGUAAUCCCGUGAGUGAAUAGUGAAUAAUAAAAGUGAAUAGUAAAAGUCACUUUCUACUAUAGCACUUUAGACUUUUUCAUCGAGAAUCUUACUUUCGGCUGAGUGAUGAUAGCUGAUAGGUUGCUUUGGAUUGUGGAGUCAUAUGUUUGAUGUUUUCGGUGCUGAAACCGCUUAGUUGGAGAAUAAUCUCGUCAGUAGAGCAUCAUGAGAAGCUUGAAUGGAGAGAGCUUAAUGAUGCCAUAUGAUUGGAAGGAAUCCUAUUUUAAUUUCCUUAUUGGAGGGAGAAUACCCUCACAAUCAUCUUCAUUAUCUUGAAGGUAGUUUGAUAUAGAGUCAUCUGACUCAGCAUAAGAGUCCUCUUGGGAGAAGCUUGAACUGCUUUUGUCAAGGAUUUUCUGAAAUUCUUGAGGGGUUUUUGCUAUUGCUAACAUGGUUUGGAGUUGCUGUUUCUUAAGAAGAAACUGUGCAAUAUCAUAAGAUGAUGAAGCUUGUGUAGGAUGCUUUAGGAAAUAUUGCUUUAUUGCUUGUAGUGAGGUAUCAUUUUUCAAGGCAUCCCACCACUUAGACUUGAAAGUCCUUCCAAGGGUUGGAAAGGCUGCUGAUUCAUCUGCUAUAAUGAUAUAAUCCCACUGGACUAUCCAGGCAAGGCCAAAUUCACUAAAAAAGAAUAAUAAUUGGGGAAAACUGAAAGUUCUCUAGGGAUAACAAAAGAACUUUGGAAUAGCUCAAAGCCAUCCAAAAUGGGUUUUGGGAGAAUUUUAAUAGUUGGACCAAAAUAUGUCCACCAAUUGUGGAACCAAAAUGGAAAAGAGGGGAGUUGAUGCUUAGAUGGGAAAUAGAACAUCCCUGAAUGAUGGAAGUCCUUGUUCUGGAUCAGAAAAGCAUUGAACCAUACUCUUUGGUAGUCUCAAUAAUUGAAAAUUUUAGGUUUUGAAGGCUUAGAAAAUUCUCUUGAAAAAUUAGGAUUCCCACCCCACUGCUUAACUGUAAGGAUUUUAUAAAUAUGGUAAGUGGAGAAUGCCAAAUCCAAAUUGCUGAAUUUAUCAGCAUUGUGCUUGAUUUUAACAGAGCCGGUUUCCAUAAGGAUUGCUUCAUAAAAUUCUCUUGUUUUUAAAAGAUCACCAAAGGGAUAAUGAAAAUUUUCAUGAAAAGCUUUUGCUGCAAUAUCUCUAGGGUUUUUAGAGAAAAACUCUUUUUCAAUAACCAAAAGAGGUUGAUUUAAAUCUUUUUGCCAAUAUCUUGCUUUUGCUGAAAGAGGUGUGGGGUUGGCUACCACCACAAUUUGCUUAUUUGAAAAAGAAGAGCUUGAUGCUAAUUCAUUUUGAGAGGGAUUAGCUUUAGUAACCUGCUUAAAGGUCUGAGACACAGUAAUAGUUGGAUACUGAGUAGCCUUGACUGGUUUAGAAGGAUUCGAAGGAUCAUAGUACAAGGACAAAAUCUUAUUAGGCAUAUGGUCAGAAGAAUGAAGCCUUGCUUCUUCUUCUAGCUCAACUUGUUGGCUCCAAAGUAUUUUAUGGGGAGAAGGUUCUUUGCUGGUUUUAGAAGACUAGGAUUCUGGAAGUUUAGGAGCUUGGGUAUUCUUUUUAGGGGCCAUGGUUUCGUGAAUCCUGUAAAAUUCACAAGUUAAGAAAUCAGGGCUCGAAGAAUGUUCUCCUUUAAUAUACUCAAUUUGUAAAUUAAAAUUGCUUAAAAUAGCUUGAUAUAUAGCAAAAAUAUGCUUAGAAGUUAUAUUCUUAACAUCCUUUUGUAAAACUAAUUUUGCAAAUUUACAAUCAACUCUUAAUAAAAACUUUUGAUUCAAAAGAUCAUCUUGAAAUUUUGAAAUGCAUAAAACAACGCUUAAAGUCUCUUUUUUAAUGAUGUUAUGAAUGAGUUGGGUAGUAUUCCAGGUUCUUGAAGUAUACCUAACUAACAUCUCAAGGUUACCAACACUUUGCUUAAGAAUCCCACCAUAACCUAUGUCUGAGGUAUCGAUCCCAACAAACUCAAAGGUUUCUGGAUUGAUAGAGCCUAAACAUGGUAGGGUCUUGACUUUGGACUUAACAUCAAUAAUGAAAACAAUGGUGAAAACAGAAAACUGGUUAAAGUUUUCAUCCAUUAUAUUCUGGAAUUCUGAGGUGCAUUCUUAAGAUCAAAGGGCAUUAUGAACCAUUCAUAAUGUCCAAGAGAUACCACAAAGGUGGUCUUAUUUGGAAUAGGACACCUAAUCCAACUUAAUGUAUCAUUAAGAGGCAUGUAGUUGACGACUAGUCUAGGUGUUCCUUUUUCUGAUUCAACUUGUUCCUGAACAUAGAAGGUUGAACAACUCCAAAGGGACUUAGACUUCCUUAUCAACUUUUUAUCAAGAAGAUCCCAAAUCUCCUUAUCACAAUAGCUUAACAAACCCUUGUUCAUCUGGAUAGGUCUUGAUUUAGUGGGAAUAUUCUUGUCACUAAAGUCUAGUUCAUAAGGUAAUUCUACCUCAUGUUGUUUCCUAUGCCAAAAUGCAUUAGGAAUGUUAGAGCAAACUUCUUCAACAAUCAGAUUAAUUUCUUGCUCAUGACUUUCCUUAGCUUGAAUCACCUGAUCCCUUAAGGUGUUUAUAUUUUUCUUAUUAGGUGGUUGGCAAAUUCAAAAAUAAUUUCCUUAUCUAAGAGCUUUGUUCUUAUACUUUGGUCAUCUACCCACAUGGGAUAGAUGGAGCUUAAAAAGGGGAUUCCAAGGAGAGCUUUCUCCUUAAGAUCCUUAACUAGAAUGAAGGUUUGCUUGAUGCAAAUGCCUUGGUUAUUUAUGUGAGCAUCUGACAGCUUAUACUCAAUGUCAAGCCUUUUACCAUUAGCUCCAAAGAGAGAUUCUUUGGUUUUCUUACAAAACUUAAUAGGACCUAGACCUUCUUGUAGGCAAUUCAAAGCUGUUCCUGAAUCAAUCAAAGCAACAAUAUCAAUGACAAAUUUACUCUUAAUUACUAUAGUAAGGGAGACUUUCCACCUCUGGAAAAUAACCCUACUAACAGUAUUUAAGUAUCCAUCCGUCUUUUCAUCAUUAGCAUGUGAAGAUUCUAGAACCUCUUCAAGGUUUUCCUAGUUAUCAACAAGAUUUUCUAUAACAAUCCUAUUUAUUUGUUCUUGGAGAUCUGAAAAACCUAAGCUUGUGUAUUGUCUUAAAUCUUUAAUUUCCUUCUUAUACUGUCUUACUUCUUCUUGAAGAUCCUUAAUGGUUACGUCUUUGGUAGACUACUGGUUAAAUCUUCCUAAGAUUUCAUUUAAGUUAUAAGAAUUUACUGUCUUCUUAAUCUCUUGCUUAUCGACAAAUUUCUUAAAAACUUCAUAAAGAUCUUGUUUAGUUUUUUCAUCUUCAACUUUCCUUAAAACAUCUAGGACAAGUUCUUGAUCUUGGCUUAUGACAUUUAUAGUCUUAGGUUGGCAAUCACAAUUAUCCUUAAUGUAUUCUUCUUGGUCACUAGAAGUUUGGCUUGAGAUUUCCUCACCACUACUAUCUAGUUGGUUAAUACCAUUUUCAUUAUCUGAAUCAAUCCUUGAUUCAGACUCUGUGGAAUUUAACAUUACUUUACAAAGCAUAUCUUUUAAGUCUUCUGUGACAUUUAAGUUAUUAAUUUUCUGCUUAACCCUACAAUCUUUCUUAUAGUGGCCUAUCUUACCACACUUAAAACAAACUGGCUUAGAUUGUGAAGGAGCUUCUAGCUUUUUAUGGGCUUCUUUGUUCAUCAUUCUUUGGAUGUGCCUUUGUUUCUUAGUUUCAUUCAUCCUAUAGUUGCCAUGAGUUCCUCUCUUGUUGUGAUAGGACUUUUCCUUACUAGGCUUUGUACUUACUUGUUUCUUACGUUGCUUAGAGGGGGGCUUAGUUUCUUUUUGGUUGAAUCCAAACUAGCUACAAAAUGAACCAAACUCAUUCUUGUAGAUCCUUUGUUCAUUUUUCAUCUGUUGCUUAAGCUUAAAGUCAUUGCACAGUUUAAUUGCUUCUGAUGUGACAAUGCUUAUAAUUUCUCCAUAAGAAAGCUUAUCAUAAGGGAUUUGUCCAUUAAACUGUUCCCUUAUCUUAAUCCUAAUCCUCUCAGAGAAAAGUCUAGGUAGUCCUAAGAUGAAUUUUUCUUUCCAAAAAGACUGGUUAUAGUUUGAUCUUAGUAUGACUUUGGUUAGGAAAACUUCUCUAUACCAUCUAAAGUCAUGAAGCUUGGGACACUUAAGGUUGGUUAAGAGAUCUACAAUCUUAUCCUUAAUCUUUGCAGGAUCUCCAAUGAAGUGCUUUGAAAUUGAAUAGAUUAGAGUAGCCACUACAUCCUCUAUAUCUUGUCCAUCUUCAUCCUUAACCACUUCAUUUUCCUCAUUAAUCCUAUAGGCUUUUAGGAUACCAUUUCUAUCCUCAAAGGUGAGAUAAUUAUCCCACCAACCCUAAAGUUGACCUGUAAACCCAACAACAAUUGUUUGAGCUACAGCAUGGCCUGACAAUCUAUUGUUUAACUUAUAGGUUGUACUAACCAUGGUCAUUUCUUGAAGCUUAGUGAGUAUGUUGUACUCAAUCAUACCAUCUAUGUUCCAUUCAUAGAUAGUGUCACUAGUGUAGGAAGCUUGAGUAUGCUGGUUUCUUUCCUCAUACUACAUAUCAGGAAAAGUUGGUCUAGGGUAGUAAUUCCUAGUUCUUGGUUGUUGAUAAUCCUCAUAACUGUUUGGUUAGGAGGUUCCUUAAAAAUCUUAAUUAGUUCAUCAGCCUCUGCUUCAGAACUAAUUUCUCCUUUAACCAUAUUGAUUCUCUUGUGAGAUGGUUGAGGUGUCUCAGAGACAACAAGGCUAUCCUUAACCUUUUGGCUUAUCCUAUCAAUGAGGGCUUGAUCAAUAUGGAGAUUCUCUAGGAAUUUCUUAGAGAAUUCAAAAGGCUUAAAUAAAGACUUAUUAUCUUUCUUAACAAACGUAGUCUUAAUGUAGUCUUGUGUUUCAAUGAUAUCCUCAAACUUGUUGAGUUGAUCGCCUGUAGUCUUAAGAAACAUGUUAGUGUAGUUGUUUUGUUCCAUGAUUCUUCUAACGUCAACAACACUAUCAAUUCCUUUAUUCUUUGGCCUAGUCUUAAAAGGUGAAGCUUUGACUAUGGUUCAAUUAAUGUUCUUUUAUAUCUUAGCUUCUAGAGGGUGGAUGGAUUCUAUGAUAGUAUCGUCACUAGUUUUCCAUAUCUUAGUUUUUUUGGAUGUGUCAUUGACACGCUUACUAGGGUAAUCUAGAUAUUCCUCUUGUUUGAAGAGUUCAAACCAGAUCCAAUACUUAAUGUUCUUCUUUUCUUGUCUUAAGUAUGUGUAGAAUUCUUCUUGGUAGAGGGUUCUAAUGUCUUUAAGGACCUUGCUAAAGAACCAAACUCUCCUUUUCUUAUUGACUUCAGAAUAGAAGUCUUUCCUUAAGAGGUCCUUGUUGAUUCAAAGUCUUCGUUAAUUAGGCUUACAGUGUUAAUCAACUGAGAAUAAGUAGGAGACAUAUCAGGAGAUUCGUCCUGAUGUGAUUCUUGAGUAAACUCAUUUUCCUCCAUGUAAAAGGGUUUGGCCACGUUGGUGUGACUUCUAACACCUGUUAGCUUAAUAUUCUUAGGAUUUGCUGAACUAGAUCCUUCCUCUAUCCUAGUGGUUCUUAUUGGGAUAGAUGAACUUGAAGCUCUAGAGGGCUCAUAAUAUGAAAUUCUAAGGCUGCUAGAAUGAUGAAAAGAGUUGGAGAAAAUUAGAUCUCGUUCUCCAUCAGGAUAUUGAACAAUCUGUUCAAUUCUUUCAGAUCUUUGCUCUAUGGCUGGGACAACAUUAGCAAAAUGCCAAUUUUCUGGAAACUCAACCUCAUUCCACUUGAUUUUCAUGGGGACUAUGAAAUUAGACUUGUUUAUCAUAUCUAAGUGGAAGAUAGUGGUUUCACCCUUGGGACUGGUGCACAAUGCUCCAAAUCCAACGCUUAUGGUCAUGCUCUUAUAGGCAAAUCUGGUGAUGAUGGAAACAUGAUUGUUUCCUUGCUUGAACUUAAAGUCAUGGGUCUUAACAUGAAGGACAACUGAAUCUAAGAUGUUGACAUCUCUUAGUCUAACUGUGAAGUUAGGGAAACACUGGAAAUAAACAGGACCAUCAUUUAAUCCUGCUUGGGUAGCUCCAAUAAUAGAAUCUCGGUAAUCAAGAUGUCUAUUAUCUCUUAAACACAUGACAAUAAAGGUGUUUAGACCUAGUCUUGUCAAGGGCUUAGCUGCAACUUGAAUCAUGCCAAAGUGUAUGAAGUUGUAGUCUCGCUUAUGCUUAUCAAUGGACUUACUAUCCAAGAGUCUUAUGACUUGAUCGUCGUGUUCUAAACUUACUGACAUUUCAGGGGUUUUAAUGGUGUAAUCUGUAAAGAACUUAAAGGUUCCUUUCUUAUAAAUUUCUUGAUUAGGUACCUUGGGUAACUUCCAAUCAUCUAAAUCAUCUUGGAUCUUAGGAUAAUUGAUCUCUUCAUUGUUUACUCUUGAGAAUUUGUGGAUUUCCUAGACAUGGUUCUGAAAAUCAAACUCAUUUUAAGGUUUUAAUCUAGAGCCUAAUAGCAGAUUAACAGACCUAGUGAGUAAUCACCCCAACCCUUUUCCAACCUUAACAAACGCCUAUCUCCAGCUAACAAUGGGCUCAACUCGGCAAGGAUCGCACUCAGGCACACUACUAUCUUUCCUAGGAUAGAUCAAAACACCCAAAACAAACCCGACUUCCUUUUCCUAGGAUAUAUAUAGUAUUUUGGGUUUGAGUAGGAGUUCAUGUUUUGUAUGUAAUUGUAGUCUACGUUGGACUAGGUUGUUUGCUCCUAAUUGAAAUAGGAAUGGUUGGUGUCACAUCUCAUUCAUUUUCUCAUCUAUUUCCAUGUUUAGAUAACUCAAGUAAUCAUAGGAAUGAAAUUAAGAAUGAUUUGAGGGAAAUGAAAUCUCACUUGUAAGUGGGAUCUCAAUUCAUCAUUAAUAGAAGGUAUUUUGAUUACAUAGUGCAAGUUAUUUUUAAAAACACUUUUCAAAAAUUGAAAAACCAAAAACUCUCUUGGAUAAGUUGUUUUUAAAAAGAAUUUUUGUAUUUUUAUUUUGUAAAAAAAAAAAAUAGUAAUUCAAUUUAUAUAAUAUAAAUAGACUUUAAUUUUAUUAAAAAUAAAAAUAAUUUUUUAAUUACAAAUAAAUUAAAAAAUAAAUAUUUGUAAUAAAAUAUGAAUAGUAAUAUUAUAAUAAAAUCAUAAAUAAAUUAAAAAUAUUUUUAAAAACAAAUAAGUUUAAUUUUUUUGAGGUACAAAUGAGCCAAAUUUUUCAUUAGGUACACAACCAACAAUUUUUAUUGGAAACAUUCCUCAAAAAAGAAUUCGUUUCCCAUAUAGCAAAGAUAUUUAUUAUUUAGUAUCUAACCAUCCGUAGUAAUCAUAUCAAUUCUACUAAGUUAUUUAAUAAUUCAUUUAUAUAUAGUACUCAAUUAUGAAUUUUUUUAUUUGAUGUAUAAUUAAUUAAUCAAUGUUUUGAAUUUUGAAUUAUUCUUAAAAUUUAAAACAUUAAUUAUGUCUAUUACUUUUUAUAGUCAUUAUAUAUAUAUAUAUAUAUAUAUAUAGAGAGAGAGAGAGAGAGAGAGAGAGAGAGCUUAAAUUUAUCUUUAAAAAUUAUUAAAUUUAUUAAUAAAUUCAAUACAAAGACUCAUUUGAUUUGAAAUUCAUUUCUUUAGUGAAAAUUUUGAAACUAAAUAGUACUUUGUUUUACUUUGUUUUUAAAUCAUACUCACAAAUAAGUUUUUAUCAUUUAGCCAAAAAAUCUCAAAGAUGUUUCUAAUUUUAUUUAUUUAUUUAUUUGUAAAUGAAAAUAAAAAAUUAGUUUAAACUAAAUAUGCGGAUAUUAUUGUUAAUUUAUUUCAUUUUUUAUUUCCAUUGUUAUUUAACAUUGAAACGGAAACAAAUAAUCAUUCCAAUCUUACAUUCUUAUAUGCAUCUAAACACAAGAAUUGAAAUCACCAAAUUCAUAUUCAAGGCAAAAUAGAAAUGGAAAAAAAAUAUUCAUUUUCAUUCCUCAUUCUCAUGUGCUAAACAUGACAUUAGUUCUACUACCUAUUUCACCAUUCUUCUUGAUAAAUUUGGUAUAUGCAAUAUUGAUCUAAGUGUGAGGUGAAUAAGAAUGAUGAUGGGAUGGGCUUGGAAAUAAGGGCAAAGUUUCUAGGUGCUAUCUAGAGGGGCAACGCGACUUUUUCAAAUUUCGAAUAUUUGUUCUCAACAUAAAGCAAAACUUUACUCACACAAUAGAUAAGACUCUGUUUGUUUUCUUCAUCCACGACUAUAUAAUGUAUAGCUCUUACUCAAGGGAUGAGCUACUUACUAUUAAGGAUUGGGUAAGAUAUUGCCUAAUGGCCAAGAAGGCAUGUCAAAAAAUAAAUCUAAUCACCAUAAAAAAUAAUAGGGGAAAAUUAAUAUAUUAUGAAUGAUGACUUUACUAUUUCUCUAUAUACAUAAUUAUAUAUUUUGAAUUUUCUCACUAGGUAAUGAGAUUCUAAAUCAACUGAAACAUAAUUAAUAAUUUAUAUUUUUAAUGAAUCUUUUAAUUUUUAAAAAUAAUUUAAAAUUUUAAAAAACAAUUCAAUUAAUUACAUAUUAAAUCAAAACAUUUCAAAAUAUUGUGUUUGUAGAUGAGUACUAAAUGCUUGCAUAUAAUAAUAAUAAUAAAAAAAUUGACUCAUUUAGAUGUUAAAAAAGUUAAAUGUUUUUCAUUAUUCAUUUUAAGUAAAAUAUUAUUGACAUUAUUAUUAUAAAAUUAUUAUUAUUCAUUUUUAACAAAAAACAAAAUAAGUUAUUCUUUUACCAAGAUGUCAAUAUCUAUAUUUUUCUAACAUAUAUUAAAAUAGUAUACUUUUCUUUUAUUAAAAAUAAUAAUUAUUAUUAUAUUAUUAUUCAAGUUUUAUUAAAAAAAUUUAUCUUUUAAUUCAUUUGUAAUUACAAAAUAAUUUUAUUUUAUUAAGAAUUUAAUUUAAUUACGCUUUUUUUUUUUAUAAAAAAAACAGUUAUGCUUUUACCAAGAUGUUAAUAUUCAUAUUUUUCUAGCUAACAUAAAUAGAAUAGUACACUUUUUCAUAUAAAAAAAUAAUUUAUGAUUUUAUUAUAAUGUUACUAUUCACAUUUUACUAAAAAUAUUUAUUUAUUUUAUUUAUUUUUAAUUAUAAAAUAAUUUUAUUUUCAAGAAUUUAAUUUUAAAAAAAUAGAAAUCAUUUAUUCUUUUACCAAGAUGUUAAUAAACAUAUUUUUCUAACAUAUACUAAAAUAAAAAAGUUUACUUGUUCAUUAAAAAAUAUAAUUUAUGUUUUUAUUAUAAUACUACUAUCUAUGUUCUACUAAAAAUAUUUAUUUAUAAUUAAAAAAUAAUUUCAUUUUUAAUAAGACUUGAACUAAAUUAAAUUUAUAAUUUUUUUUUAAAAUAAAAUAGAAAAUUAUUUUUUAAAAACAACUUAUUGAAAGAAAUUUUUUAUUCUUUACUUUUAAGAACUGUUUUUAAAAGCAACCUAUAAACCCCUUUGGGUCUGUUUGGCUAUGUUUCAUGCAACUUGUUUUUAAAAAUUGUUUUUUAUUCUUUAAUUUAAUUUUUUUUAAGUUAAAGAAUAAAAAACAACUUUCUAGUGUUUUAUAAAAAUGAGAGCUUUUGACAAGUUGUUUUUAAAAACCAUUUUUAAAAAUAAAAAAUAAAAAACUUAUUUAGAUAAAUUGUUAUAUAUAUAUAUAUAUAUAUAUUUGUAAAAACAUUUUAAAUUCAAUUUAUAUAAUAUAAAUUUAAUUUAAUUUAAGUCUUAUUAAAAAAAAAUUGUUUGGAUAAGUUUUUUUUUUUAAAUAGUUUAUUAUUUUUGUUUUGUAAAAACAUUGCAAAUUCAAUUUAUAUAAUAUAAAUUAAUUUAAUUCAAGUCUUAUUAAAACCAAAAUAAUUUUAUAAUUACAAAUAAAUUUAAAAAUAAUUUUUUUAGUAAAACAUGAAUAAUAAAAUUAUAAAUUAUAUUAUUGUGGACCCUGCAUUUAUGCUCAUGCGCUUCCACUUGUUGGCGAACUCAUUUUUUAUUUGAAAAUGAUUUAUUUUUUUAGAAAAUGACUUAGAGUCGCCACUUAUUUUUGUUUUAUUUUUAAAGGGCAAGCAAAAUAAGAAAGAAAACCCUAAGUGUGACUCCUUAUUCGAAAAAGGUAGUCUGUGUAAAACCGGAUCAGGGUUCAGGGAUCAGGUUACUUAUUGGGAAGGUAUGACAAUGACCGUAGCACUCCUCUAAGUCCUUAAAAACGGGCCUCUACUAAAAAAAAUAAAGUAAUCAUGGCAAUCAGUAAGGAAAUCACUGGAUACCCAGAACAAUUAUGCACAUGUGAGAAUUAAAACAUGCAUAAGAAUGGACAAAGUGAGAGUGGGUGCGUACCUUGACAACGAACCACAAUGCGUUAUCAAGAAAUGGGGUUAGUGCACGAUCAAUGAACAUAAAACACGUCACACAUGUCACUAAGCAGAGUGAGAAAUCAUCAGAUAUUACAAUUCAAUCAAAUUUAUUUUUAGAAGAAACAUCUGUUGAUGUAGAGCCCCUACCAAAGCCUAAUUUAUUUUUGCAUGAAUCAAUUUCAUAAAUUCAAUCGCUUGGAAUUACAGAAUUAAAUUCAUGCUUAUUUUAAAACAUCUUUUUAAAAUCAUGGAAGAUGUGAAAAUGGUUUUCCAAAGAGAAAAUGACAACUGAUUUUAUUGAAAAUGGGAUUUUGGGGACCUAAACGUUAAAGAGGGAUUAGGAAUUGAAAAUUAAAUCAUUUGAAAAUUGAAUUUUUCAAAAAUCAGUUUUGAAAGCAUGCAUGCAAGUAUGGACUGUGAAAGUGGGCCUAGGGAGGGUGGCCAUGCAAAAUGAGGUCAUACACGUGGGCCUUGGGUACAAUUGGGACUACUUUGCUGGUGCCAGUGGUGCUUGCAGCUGUCAUCCAUGAUUUCUUCAUUGGGAUCAAUUUCCAUUCUUACUGCCAAACAUUCCAUAACAAUUGACCAAACUAGUAACCCUGACCUUGCAUGAAAAUGAACGUUACCUAGAAACUCACUGCCAGUGAGAUUCAUUGCUCUUUCAAAAGGUCUCAUUUUCUUUCUCAUCCAAUUGCUUUAAGGAGCAUUCUAGCGUCACGAUUGGUGACUGCGCAUCAUCUAGAGCCUUCUUUCUUCUCAGAAUCAGGUUUGCGUGCAGAGGCCUGUGCUUGUUCAAGGUUGACCUAAAUUCAUCUAGGUUUAGAACCGACCAGUUGAGCUUGGGGAGCAACGACAAGAAUAUCAGUCACUUGCGAAGAGAAAACUCGAGAUCUUUCAAGUAAUGCCUGACAUAGAUUCCUCCAACCUGUGGCCAAUAUCUCAUUCCUUGUUGGCCAGACGCCUAUUAGGGCGUAUCUCAAUCAAUAAUAUGAUUUUUCGUUUGUUCACAAUAAAGACCGGAAGCCAUGGUUGUGAUUUAUGCAGUACAGAAGAAGUUGCCAUGGCUGGUAUCCUUACAAAUUCUGGUGUUUCUGCUAUCUGUUCAAGUGCAAAACACAACAGCUUUAUCAAGUUUGUCCCUAACAACUGAUAUUGAGCCCUCUGGAGGAAACCUUGAUAAAUUCAUAAUCACUUUUGACUCAUGCAUGGGCUGCCCAUCAAAUUUUCCUAGCAACGAGACGACUGCUGUCAUCUACUGCAAAGAGAAUUUCUUCUCGCAAAGACAAGAGGAGUUUAAGAAUACACACUAUUCUGCCAUUUCAUUUCCUCUUUCUCCACAACCAACAUAAACCAUAGUGUCUACAUUAGAGUACUUAGAAAGAGCUUAACUGAUGACCGUUUUUCCACAACCAAAUGCCCCAGGUAUGGCACAAAUUUCACCGAAAACAGAAGGGAAAAGGGCAUCAAGAACACGCUGUCCUGUAAGUAGUGGGGUAUCAGGACUACUCUAGGGAAGUUAUUUCUGUCAUUUUGAAAAAGAAAAAUUAAAGAAUGUACACAUGCUUUCAAGUGGACUGGAGCAUUCUACAUAUCAGGUGGUCUGUAGCCACAUGUGCCACUUUGUGGAAGUUGGAACAGUCGAUCACUAGGCUAUUUAGUGUGGCCAAGCCACGUUAAUCAAGGACAAGUCUUCAUACUUAAAAGUCAAAUGGUGCCUUUAGUCUCAUUACACAUGGCUAUUUAAAGAUGAACUAAUCUUUAGUGUAAUGUGAUUAAGACAGUACUAACUGAUCAAUAUUUUUUCUAAUUUUGGAUGCAAAUGCUUGCUGGCUUCAUCAUUGGAUGGGAUAAAGGUGCAUUCAUGACUCUGAAUACUUGCAGUAAUACUUGCAGUAAUACUUCAUUCUCUUUUUUCUCGAUGAGACUUCUUGGCACAAUUUUGCUUCUCAGCAACCUACCUCUCCAUGGAAAAUGAGUUGCGAUUGAUGGUACUGGAUAUUUUCUAGGAAGCUAAAUAUAGAUAUAUAGCACUCAAUGUCAACGAUAUAUAUAGCAUUAACAGUAUAUGUCUCAAUGCUCAUCAGCUACAAGCAAGGGACAAACACUUACAAUGAAUAACUCACGUCAACAUUCCUAAACAGGACAUAGAAGUGACAGAUCUAUAUAUAGAACACUGCAUAUGAGUCACAAGAAAAGAUAAUACGGGUGCAUAGCAGCUCUUAUAUUACAUAUUACUCAUACCGUUCAAAUUCACUCAGUUGGGAUGGGUGGGAGAAGGAGGCCUCUGGGGUGGCUUGUGCGUGUGAGAAGUGGAAGAAAGUUGAAUGGAAUGAAACUGAAAAACAGGGUAGAAUAGAGGUUUCUUGAAUCUUCUGAAAUCUUUAUUUUUCUGAGAUUUAUUCUCUGUUUUUGUGAGUCGUGACUCUACAUAUAUACAUGUAUUUAAAGUUAGUUAUGCCUUAUAACUAAUUAUCUAACAGUACCAAAACUAAUCAUCUAGUUGCAUGUUUCUAAUUAAUGCUAUUUAGUUACAACUAUAUAUGGCUUAACAUCCUCUCUCAAACUCAAAAGUCUAGCUAGAACAGUGAGUUUGCUUCAUAGAUUGAGAAAUUGUUGAAUAGGUAAGGCUUUGGUAAGAGCAUUAGCAAUCUGGUCAUAAGAAGGAAUGUGUUGAACCACCAAAGUCUUAUUGAGCACCUUUUCCUGAACAAAAUGGCAAUCUAGUUCCACAUGCUUAACUCGAGAAUGAAAAUAGGAUUGGCAGCAAGAAAGGUGGCUGAAAGAUUGUCAUAGAACAAAACAAAAUAGGAGAAUAAGAAGAUGAGAUAGAAAACUCCUGAAGAAGAUGUUGAAUCCAUUGAAGUUCAAAAGCAACAUUUGCUAAGGCCCUAUACUCAGCUUCAUUGCUGGAACGAGACACAACUUUCUGCUUACUGGAGUUCCAGGAGACUAGAUUAGAGCUAAAAAAGAUGCAAUGACCACUUGUACUUCGACGAUCAUCAGGGCAACCAACCCAAUCAACAUCAGCAUAAGCAGUAAGUUGAAAAUCAGGAGAAGAAUAAAAGGAAAGACCAAAGGAAGUAGUGCCCUUAAGAUAAUGCAACAAUCGUUUAACAACUUGCCAAUGAAGAUCAGUUGGUUAUUGCAUGAAUUGGCAAAGUUUAUUGAUAGAGAAAGAGAUGUCAGGCCUUGUAAUGGUACAAUAUUGCAGGGCUUCAACAAUGUUGCGAUAUUGAGAAGGGUCAGCCAAGAGGGAACCUUUAGAGGCAGAUAAAGUGUGAGAGGUAGUCAUUGGUGUAUCAAUAGGUUUAAAAUAUGGAAGACCAGCACGAGUUAACAAGUCCUGAAUAUAUUUGGUUUGGGAAAGAUGAAGAGAAGAUCCUUGCCAACAUACUUCUACACCCAAGAAGUAAUUCAGAAUACCAAGGUCCUUGAGAGCAAACUGAAAGUGUAAAGACGAAACCAUUUGGUGGACUAGCACGGUAUUAAGACCACUAACAAUAAUGUCAUCAACAUAGAUGAGAAUAAUGAUCAUGUCAGUCCCUUUCCGAAGAGGAGCUUGCUUCAGACCCUACAAGGCUUUGCGAAGUUUACAGAAAAAACCGGGUUUAGAAUGAUCAACAAAGCCUGGAGGUUGAACCAUGUAAACCUCUUCUUCUAACUCACCAUUGAGAAAGGCAUUAUUAACAUCUAAUUGUUCCACUAACCAACCAUGAGAAAUAGCAAGAGAAAGAACAAUUCAUAUAGUAGUUGGUUUAACAACAAGGCAAAAGGUUUCAAAAUAAUCAAUACCAUAUGUUUGAUUAAAACCCUUUGCAACUAAGUAGGCUUUAAAACGAUCAAUUGAGCCAUUAGCUUUGAGUUUCAGCUUGUAUAUCCAUUUACAACUAAUAAUGCGUGUAUUAACAGGUUUAGGAACCAAUGUCCAUGUGGAAUUGGUGAGAAGAGCAUCAUACUCAGUCUUCAUAGCAGCUUGCCAAUUAGGAUGCAAUAUUGCUUCUUUGAAAGAGGAGGGUUCGACAACAGUAGUUUGGAUAGCAAGGCUAAAUAUUUUUUUGGGUUUAAAAAUACCAUUUUGGCUACGAGUAACAAUAGUUCGGUUUGGAAGUGAAAGAGGAUCAGUGGAGGAGGCUGGAACAAGGGAUUGUGGUAAAGUAGGAAAGGAAGGUGGAUGAGAUGGAACAAAAUCAGUAGGGACAAUAAUGGGAGAAGAAAAAUUAGGUGGAGAAUGAUGAGGAUUCCUUGAAGAUGGUGUAGGAAUAGAGAGAAUACCAGAAUCAAGAAGUGUUAAAGAAGAGUUGGAUGAUGAUACUGGUUGACAGGAUAAAGACUUUGUUAAAAAUGGAAAUCGAGUUUCAUCAAAUACAACAUGACGAGAAGCAUAUAUCCGAGAGGAAGCCAUAUCCAAACAGAGGAAUCCCUUGUGUUUAGCACUAUAACCCAAAAAACAGCAAACAACAAAUAUAUUUGCUAGCUUGUGAGAAGCAUAAGGGCGAAGAUAAGGAAAACACAAGCAUCCAAAACUUCAAAGAGAUGUAUAAUAAGGUAAACGAUUAUAAAGAACUCCAUAAGGAGAAUUUUGUGAAAGAACAGCAGAGGGAAGGCAAUUUAUGAGAAAAAUGGCAGUUUGAAAUGCAAAUGACCAAUAUUUGAGAGGGUAUACCAGCUUGUAUUAACAAAGAAAGACCAACUUCCACAACAUGACGAUUCUUUCUUUCAACUCUUCAAUUUUGCUAAGGAGUAUAAUGACAAGAGACUUGAUGAAGAAGACCAUUUGUAGCCAAAUAAUUCUGAAAAGCUGAAACUGAAACUCAUCAAAUUGAUUUUUAGUAUCAAAUUUUCUUCAGACUGAACACAUUGAUUUUUAGUAUCAAAUUUUCUUUCAACCAUGGCUUGAAAAUGUUGGAACAUAAGUAAAGCUUCAUCUUUAGUUUCCAAAAGGUACAACCAUGAGAAUAUGCUAAAAUCAUCAAUUAGCAAGAGGAAAUAUUGAGCAUUACCAUUGACAGAAACUAUAGGAGUUGCACCCCAAAGAUCAACAUGGAUGAGACCGAAUGGUUUUAUUGCUCUAGAAGUGGAUAUUUCAAAUGGAAAACGAUGGCUUUUAGCCAACUGACAAGACUCACAUACAGAGUUAUUAUUGUCAUGUUUCAAAGGUAUUUUAUAAAGAGAUAAGAUUUUGGAAACUACAUUAAUAGAGGGAUGACCAAGUCUAUUAUGCCAAAGCCUCAAAGAACCAACGGCUAAAGUACUACUAGUAGAGUAAAAUACUAGUGGAUGACCAACAACUCUUGGUGUAGCAAGAAGUUUAUAGAGACCCUUCUCAAUUUUUCCUUGAAGAAGAGCAAGUCUCGUUUCCUGAUCCUUUACCACAAAAUGAGAAGAACGAAAUUCAAUAAAGGUGCCAUUGUUUGAGUAAAAUCGUUGCACGCUAACUAAGUUGGUGGUAAUAGAAGGAACAUGUAAGACAUCAUUGAAAAACAAAGAACCACUUGAAGAGGCAAGAGAAAAUUUACCAAUAUUUGCAAUGGAUAAACCCUUACCAUCUCCAACAAUUACUUUGUCACCACUGGUAAAUGGAUUAUGGAUUGUUAAAUUGUUAAGAUCAGAUGUGAGAUGAUGGGUAGCCUUUGUAUCAAGAAACCAAUAAGUGUCUCCCAUUGUUGCAGAAGUUGUAGUCAUAGCCUCAGGAUUGUUAGAGGUGGAAUGUUUAGAAUCUUUUGGCUGAUAAUCAGAGUUAAACCGAUACCAGCAUUGUAAAGCGGUGUGUCCGAACUUACAACCGAGAGAAAUAAUCUUUACUUAUUCUCUAAAAACUGUUCUUUAUUCCACACAUUAUUUCUAAAAACUGUUUCUAGAUAACAAUGACAAAAUAGUAUUAGGAAUUUUUAAAAAUAAAAAUUGUUUUUAAAUUACAUGAUCUAUAUCAUUCACAUUUGACCAUUAUAGCUUUGUUCAGGAAAACACUUGAAAGUAACCUUAUCGUGAUAAGAGAUAUAAGUUGGCUGUAGUUUCAAACUGAAAACAGAGGAUGGCAAUAGAAAGCAAAGCAUUAGUUAUCUGCAAUCAGUGGUGAUCAUGCCCCAUGUCAAUUUCGGACCCAUAUCUUAAAACCGUAUAAUUUGCAUUUCAACAUUUCUGAUUUCUCAGAUGUUUCAUACUCCACAGAAGAACAUUGUUUGUGAAAGCAUGCAUUUAUGCUGGAUUUUGGAUGAUGUGGGAACUGGGGCAAGGAUCAUAUGGAAGAGUGGUCGAUUUUUUCUGUACUUUAACAUUUGAAAUAGGAGCAGCACGGGCAUUUGUGGGGCUUAAUUGAUUUUGAAGCCUGAAAUUGCGUUUCUGUCAUUUUGUAAAAAAUAUGGCAGAUUCCAUGCUCUCAUAUGUUUGGUCUGUGGCCAUGUAUAGAUGCCACUUAGUGACCAGUUUGUAACUGUCAAUCAUAGUGUUUUGACUCUGGCUCAACAACAUCAGCCAUUGACGGAUUUUCAUACAUGCAAAUCAAAUAGUCUUCUUCCUCCCUUAGGAAUUUCGGUUUAAAUGUUAUUAAGCAUACAUUUGGCUGACAAUUAUUAACCACUUCAUGAUAUGGUUUCUUACCCUUAAUCAAUGGUUUCUAAGUGAAUAUAUGCAGAAGGAAAUCUGAACUGUAGACAGCAGUAUUGAUAAUUAUCAAUAUUCUUUAUAUAAGAGAAUAAACAACGUCAUAGUGAUCGUCGCCUACAAGAAAGGUACAUUUCCCAACAAGAUGUAGUUGUGACUGGUACAUGGACGUAAUUAACUCGUAGAAAAGGAUAAGACCAGUGCACGGCAGCUCUUAUUUUACAUGCUAAUUAUGCUAACCAAAGUCACUCAGUUGGGAUGGGAGGGAGAUGGAGGUUUGUGCGGUGGCUUGUGGGGCGGAGUUGGUGGCUUCUUUUCAGGAGCUUGUGGCUUUUUCGGAGCUGAAGGAGGCUCAAUCUUAUGAGGCGGCUUGUACGAGUCUUCUUUACUCUCGACAGGAGGGUGGCCAGGGUUGUGACCAUAAUGUGGUGGCUUCUCUCCCUUAGGUGGCUUGCCAACUGGGGUUGGUGGCUUGUGUUCAGGAAGUGGUUUCUCUCCCUUGGGAGGUUUACCAAUUGGGGUUGGUGGCUUGUGUUCUGGGAGUGGUUUCUCUCCCUUGGGAGGUUUAGUGGGUGACUUGUGUUCUGGAGGUGGCUUCUCCACCGGAGGCUUGUGCUCCGGUGGUGGCUUCUUGGUUGGAGGGGGCUUGGGGUAAUCAGCAAGAGAUGGGGGGGUGAGAACCACCACUCCAAGGAACAACACUAGCAAGUAUGUGGGAGACAUUUCUGAGUUUGAGCUGAUCAGAUGAUGCAAAACUAGAAGAAUUACGUGACCUUUUAUAGCAAGUAGCUCCCAAUACCCACAUGACACGUGUUACUGUGACCAUAAAUAUUAUAGGGUCCAUUUGUGCCCUACCGGGUUGAAAACUUGGACGCUUGGCCGAGGACACACCGAACUAUGGAGGACUAUUGACGUGUGAUCACAGCUUUUGGAUUUUUCUUCCUGUGCAGCUGUCUAGCGGUUGGCAUUAUUUUUUUAAUCUUAAAUAAAGGCAUAGUUAUAGAGUACAUUUAUAUAUCUUCAGAUAGCCAUUAAUAUAUUUGAUGAAGAAAGACAAGUGCAUACAACAUGUAUACGGCUUGCUUCAAUCGAGUACAUUUAUGAUCAGUUUUCCAGUGCAAGUAAACCAGUUUUUUGUUCCACAACUAUUUUGGAAUCUUGUUUAUCAGUUUCUAUCAUUAUAAUGUCACAUAGGCUGCAAACUUGGGCACCCAAAGAUCUAGUUGGGCAAAUUUGUUUCAGAAUUUCAAUGGUGGAUUCAGUAAUUGUUAAAAGGUGUUUCUUCAUUAAGGAAAGAGUCCUGUAAAAAUAUUGUUAAAAGGUGUCAUAGAAACUAUAAUAAUUAAAUAACUUCUUUUCCCCGUGGGUGGUGUUUCUUCUGGGGAUACCCAAAAUGAGUUCAGAUUAAAAUUGGUUCGAGUCAAAGCUGUCUCUUUUGUCCAGAAAUCAACUAUUUUGCGCAUUGCAUGAAUCGAUAAAGAAAAAAUGAAAGCCAAAUCACACCUCCCCUGCAAAACCUAAACCCCGGUUGCUAACUUUCUAUGUUUCAGUCCUAUUCAUACAGGAAUAUUGGUUCAAGUUUGAGAAAAAUGGCAACUUACCUAGGGAUUACUUGGUUGUGGUUUGCGACGACUAUUUACGCAACCAACCAUGAGUUUGACUUUAACGUCAUGGGUUGAAGCCUCCUACAAUCGUGUAUGAUAGUUCAAAGCUCGUAGUAGAAAUUAUACAGGAAGGAAGAAACCUCCAAAGCUAGCUCCAAAAGAGAAUUAUCACAUCGAUAGCUCCAGAGAUUCCCAAGGGGACUGAAUCAAAGACAAGUUCCUCACUUUUUCUUCUUUUGAGGCCAAAUAUGAACCAAGGAUCACACGACCUCAUUCAACUUCAUAAGUUUGAUUUCAUGCAGUUGAACACUGGGUGAAGGCCAUGACAAGAAUUGAUUAAAAAAUUCUACCACUGUUUUAAGUAAUGGAAGAUUAUUAUCUCUGAUUGGCACCACAACAGCACAUGCUGCUAGAUCUUUCUAGACACUCCAUGCAAUGAAAGUACAAUGGAUCUUGUAACGAUAGAAACUAAGCCAUGCUACAGUACUAGAUGACGAGGUAAAACUAUUAGACAUGGGUGGCAGCCUAUAUGGGAGGGACACAAGUCUAAUUGAUUUGCAUUUCAGCGUUCUAGAUGGGUAUGUUUUGGAAGAUUUGUUCUGGAAAUACCGCACCAAGUAGGAUUCUUUUUUCUCUUGAGUGGGUCCACUUGCAUGCCAAUUAUCGAGUUGAAAAGUAGAGCACCUACCUCGUGCUCGUGGAACCGAAGGUCAGUGAAGUGGGGCUCCUUUUGGCCUCUUGUGUUUCUGUUCCAACCAAGGCGGCGGAGGGAAAAACAGCAAUAUGUCUCCGCUAAAUAUCAACGCAUGAUAGCGAAUGAGGGAGAAAAAAAGUAAUUGGCAUCUCAAUCUCACAAACUUGGUACAGUAGUGACAUUAAUAGUCUUCCACAUGGUUUUUAUUUUAUUUUAUUUUAUAUUUUAUAUUUUCCAUUUUUUUAUUUUUUUGUAUGUCAAGGCUAAUGAAUAAAAUGCGUUAGCUUGUUUUGUGAUUGGAACUGCAAAUGUCCAAAUUGGAGUUUCUCCAUUUCUCAGUUCGGAUGGUUAACUUUAUAAACAAGAUAUAGGAAACAUGUGAACGUCUUGAGGAACAAUUCGAAUUAUUGAUUAGAACUCCUAGGUUGAGUUCCAAGAUUUAAAUCAGACCCCUCUAGCAGCUUCAGGGGUACCUAGCAAUUAGAACAUAUUAAUGAAGAUUUAGGAUUUAGACUCCGGAAUACAAAUUAAUAUGUAUCUUAUGCUCUGACUAGCUUCCCUGCAUAUGCACAAAAUGGAGAUGACCCAAAAAAUAGCAGAAUCGCCUUAGUUUAUGUGGUUAAGGUGAUUCUCCGGUUAAUAUCCACAUUGGCUCAUUAUGCAAAUCAACUGAGCUAUUUUUUUUUUAAUGUCAAAUAGGAACUCCUAAUUAACCUAACCAUUGGCCUGUGUAAAUUGAUUUCACAUGCACAAUGUUGUAGUAGAAGUCCACAUUUUGAAUUUUAUUUUUGGAAAGGUAAGGAAAAUGAAGCAUUGUGUAAUUAUAAAAAUAACUUCAUUGGAAUUCACAAGGUUCACCCAAAAUGGAGCUACAUCCGUAUUCUAUCUUACAGUAGACUAUAUAGAUUGUACAAUAGUAAAUUGCAAAUACAAUUAAUAAGUCUUGUGUUUCCUUACUAAUAAUCCUUUGACAUAAACAUUGCAGCACUAAGGUCCUCUUGGGCAGACACCUUGCACCCAUGAGAGCACUAAGAGGAAGCAAGGCGGAGUCAUGGGUGCAAUGUCAUGACUUGUUGCACUAAGAGAGGCUUGGUGAUGGCAUAGUGCUGCAGUAGCAAGAAUGUUGCCUUGGCAGGGACACGAUCUAGGGACAGAUGCCAAGAAAGGCUUAGCACUCACAUGAGUUGCACAAAGAUGAAUGAAAUAGAACAUCAAAGAGACAUCUUGGCAAGCUCAAGAAAGACAUGUGGGUUGGUAAAUGAAUGGAUGCAAGAGGCAACAACAUGAGGAGUUUCAAAUGGAUAGGGAAUGAGUCAAAGACAUUUGAAAGCUACAAGUUGGAUUCUAAUUACGAUUGCAAUUUGAGUUUGAGUAGGAGUUUAUAUUAUGAUUGUAAUUGUAGUAUGAGUUGGACUAGGAUUGCUUAUCCCUAGUCAAAAUAGGAGUUGUUCAUGCCACACCCUAUGAAAAGAGUUUGAGUAGGGACUAGGAUUGCUUGCUCCUAGUCAAAUAUGGAGUAGGUGGUGCCACACCUAUAAAAAAAAAAGGGACAACAUGAGAGAGAGAGAGAAUGAAUUCACCAAAGAUAUUGUGGGAGUUUUGCUUUGUUACAUCUUGUAUUAUUAUUUAGAAUAGUAAUAAAAUACAAGUUGGGGCUAGAGCCCCAUAAUCUCGUGUGCCUUUGUGGGUUAUUCUUUAUUUGCCAUCUCGUGUGGAUUGGAUUAGAUUGAUGAGGCGAAAUAUUAUGUGGGAAAUUUAUGUUGGGACACUUACCAUAACCAGGUAAAAUCUACCAAGUCUUUUGUAAUAUCUUCUACAAAUAUUUUAGACCAGUUCUUCACAAAACAUCAUAAUAUGUUUUGUGUUUCUCUUGGAUUUUGAGUUGAAUUGUCUUAGAUCAAUUGAAUGCAUCUCAAUAUUAUUAUCUUGUUUGAAGGCUUGAUGAUUUUCCAUUUAACUUUACUUUCUUUAGGUUAUGCUUGAUUCCUUAAAAGUACUAAGGAAAACAAAAAAUAAAAAAAAAUAAAAAAUGCAGAGGGUUAGGACAUGUGUUAUCUAAUUGUCCUAUCCAAAGAUAUUAAGAAAGUCAUGUAGGAAAGUAAUUGAAAACUAGGUCAAGAAAGGAGCAAAAGGGAAUUGUUUUGGUAUUUUCUUUUUUAUUCUUGAAGGUGGCAGAGCUAAAAUUUGAGAAAUCAAGCAAAACAUACUGAAAUUACAUUGAAAGAAAGAAAAUGGUAGUUAAUGUCUUGCAGUACAUGAUAAGGACUUCAUGCAUGUAGUGUGACGACCCAUGUCUUGGACUGAUGCCACACUCACGGUUACACUUAUACCCUUGGUUCUCUCUUUACUACCUUGGCUAACCUAGAUCAGGCUAUGAGAUAGGCUCCUCACCACACCAUCACUUGCCCAGUAAUUAGUGACAUUUUCAAGCAAUGAGGUAACAUGGUGACACCAAGAGGGUUUAUCCCUCGCCCCAACAAGUCUAGACUCGGUCUCAAAAAAAUGGAGAAAAAUGAGGUGUCGUUAUGCAGAAAUACAACAACCAUGCCUUCCUUAUUACUUAGAUUCAGAAUGUGAAGGUGAAAUUGAGAAACAGAAACUCUUGAAACCAGAAUGAAAAUUGAUACUUUUACGAAGAAUUACAACAUUAGAGGAAGACUACAUUCUUCCUCUAUAUUCCUACGUUUCUACACUACUUCUACUCCACUCCAUAUUUCUACAUACAUCUUUAAUCAGUUUUCCCUCCUUUAUAUAGAGCCAUCUUCACACAAAUUCCGCAAGGUAGAAAAGAGGAAUGAAACUUGGAGCAAGGUUCGACUACUGGUUGUCGCUUGUCAAGGCUGGAAUUGAACUUUUUUUCUUGGCUUUUCUGGGCAUAGGUAGUAACUUGUGGUUCCUUUUUGGAAUGAAAAUGGUACAGCUAGAACAUGUGGCACUCUCUUGUUGGAUUAUGUGUCAAACAUGUGGCAGCCAUCUAGUGGAGAUUAUUUCAAUUUUGGGAUGGAGAGUUGGCAUCCAAUUGCAAAGAAAUAUGACAUCUACCAACAUGCAAUGUAAACCUAUAUAGAUCAUAUGGAGAUAGAGAGGAAACAUAUAGAAAUGGAUAUAUACCUAGAACUAGCUUUUUAUUAAAUGAGACGGAGAGCCAACAAUGAAGGAAAAUCAAAAUUUUUGGCUCAUAUCAAAGAAUUCACAUUGUGUUACCCUAGGUUUUCUUAAAGCUUGCACAAAGCCAAAAAGCACACAAAAAAUUAUAUUUUCUAGCUCUCUACCUUGGAUGGUCUCUUGAUCCUACUUGGAGAUGUGCAUAAAUAAAAGGAUUUGAAAAUGACAAUUGACUAAGUAUGUAGUCAAUCAAUUACUCAUUAAUUGACUAGUUGAUCAAUUAACUUUGCAACAUCAUAUGCAAUCCUAAUAGCUAGUCAUCUAAUCAACUAGGUAGUAAAUCAAUAGGCCAAAAAUAUGUUUAUAAUGACUAUUUUGUACAAAAACCACCUAUAUGGUUAAAUAUAAUGCAUUUCAUUUAUAAAUCUUCUAAUUCUUGAAUAACGAUCCUAUCAUCCUUUGAAAGUUUUUAUUACACCUUUUAUACUUUUGUUCUAAAACUUACACAUGUACAUCACCCUUAAUUGUACCAUGAGAACCUAGCUUUUUUUUUUUUUUUUUUUGUAAUUCAUCAAAGUUAGCUUUUGUAUUCAUUACUGUACUAUUUUUAUUGUAACUUAGAAAGCGAGUGUUUUCAAGUGAGUGAAAUUGACUUAUAAAUAUUGUAAAGAUUCAUUGAUGUGUAUCUUAAACUAAGUGUACAAGUUGAAACAUUUGCUAGUAGAUUUUCUCAAGAUUUAGAAUAGAGCUUGAGGCUAUUGAAAUAGGUGGGGUUGCACCAAACCACAUCACAUUGUUGUUUGCACCUUUUUUUCACUCUCUUUUACUUAGUUGCUCUAUAUUUGUUGUCUAGUAAUAUCCUAUAGGCUUGAUGGGUUAGGGAGCAUCCCUUUGUGAAAAAUUUUCAUUCAAUCCUUAGUUGUAUCACGCAUAUAUAAAAUGCCUCAUUGUUUUAAUGGUAUUCAGUCGUGGCAUCACAGAUAUGGGCAUCUAAAUUUUAAAAGUUUGAAACUUUUAUCUAAAGAAAAUAUGGUGCUUUGCCUUUUUGUAAAGCAUGUUGAUGAAAUCCAUGAGAAUUGUGUACUUGGGAAGCAACAUCGAGAUGACUUUUUUUUUUUUCAUUUUUUAUAAUGCGACACCUAAGUCCGGUUUCUAAAUGCUGAAGUGAAAGGGUAGGUAUGGACCAUUGAAAUCUGAUCACAACUUUUGGCCUUUUCCUUUCUCUGCAGCCAUGUUGUCUCUUUUUUCUUUUGCAUGAUUUUCUUACCUAAACAGAAUCAUAGACUUGUUUAAUCUCUAAAUGGUAUUUCAUCCAGCUUUAAGCUACUGUAUUAUAUCUUGGUGGAGGACUUUUAAGAGUGAAACCGACAUAGAGCACAUGCAAGUGGGUAUAUGGGACAUGAAAUUUCUUCUUAUAAAGACUGCAUGGUUUUUAUAUUAGAGUUGUUGAGGCGCAAUGUAUUUAGCUUGUUUUGCAGUUAAAUUAAUUGGAUAAGUAGACAUUGUCGUUUCUAAAUUUCCCACCUAAGAUAGUGACCUUAUCCUUGACUGCUUGAUGAGAUACACAAACAAUUAUACCUUCAAAAUCUACUGUGAAGUGCUUCAUGUAUGUGUGAAGUAUUAGAAAUUUCUUUCUUGGCAACUUGUUUUUUCUUUGCCCUCUACUGAUAGGUUUGACUCAAAUUAAAUUCCCUGUCAUGCUAAUUAAUUUUCACGUGCAUGCUCAAAAGGAUCACGUCAACUCUGGUUUCUACUAUUCAGGUCCAUUCCCAGAUAAACUGGUUCAAAUUUGAGAAAAUGGCAACAGCCCUUUAGUGAUGUUGGUUUGGAGCCAGUAGCCAAACCCGCCCUGAGCUUUACCACUAAUGUCAAGGGACAAAGCCAUUUGAACAAAAACAAUAGCUUCAAGAGACUGAAUCGUGGAUGAAAUCUGAUCCACAUUUCUUCUCAUUUUGGGAACAAAUGAGAACUUAACUACAAAGAUUCUACUGCCUCAUAGUGCUUUUCCUGAUCUAAGGUUGGUUCGUUUCCCAAAUUGUGAGGUACGUGCCAUUCUCACGCUCAGGAGUGUAUCCACGUGGUGGACAUAAGAUGGUGGCUUAAUAUCUGGUGUCGGUGGCUUUACUUUACUAGGAGAGUAGUGUGUCUUCAUCUCAUUCACUGCCGGAGGGUGGCGUAAGCAGUGACGCUAAGGUGGGGCACAGUCAAUAUCAUUUGCAUUUGACCAUUAUAGUUUUCUCCCGGCUUGAAAGUAACCUUAUCGUGAUAAAGGAUUACUAGCACUAGUUCAGAUGACAGUCAUGUUAAAUUCGGACCAUGUUUGUGUCACAUUAUCAGCAACCAUGUGUUUAUGGUUCAUGCUAUCUGCAACUAAACUUGAUAUAUAACCACGUGAACUUCAAUCUAAAUUCUGGAAGUACUCUUGUGAUAGAUGGUGCCUGUCUGCAGAGUCCAUCAAUUGAAAAAUGGAGUGAGUGUAUCUAUAAGAGGGAAGGCUUGGCAAAUGUUCAGUUUUCUGGGAACUCAACAAGGAUCUAAAAUAGAUUGUUUUCUUUGCUGAUUUCAAUGGUUGAAAUUUGAGAAGAUUGUGUCCACAUAACACAACUAUUACUGGUCCUUCUGUUGCAAUUUAUCCUCUAAGGCUCUAACAUGUCUUCCAAUUCCCACUUCCCUGUUACUCCAGGAAAGCUAUUUCUGUCAUUGUGAAGAAGAAAAGAGAAUGUACAUAUCGAUGGUUUUAAGUGACUGGGGCAUUCAUAUCAGGUGGUCUGCAGCCAUAUAUGCCACUUUGUGAAGGUUGGAACAGUCAAUCACCAGGCUAUAUUAGUGUGGCCCAGCCACUUCAAUCAAGGACAAGUCUUCAUACUUAAAGUCAAAUUCUGCCUUUAGUCUCAUUAUAAAUUGCUGUUUAAAUAUUAAGCAAACAUUUGUUUAAUGCGAUUAAGACAGUACUAACUCAAUACUUGUUCUAUUUUUGGAUGCAAAUGCUUGAUGGUUUCAUCAUUGGAUGGGAUAAAGGUGCAUUCAUGAUUAUGAAUACUUGUAGUUAUAUUUUCAUUCUCUUUUUUCUCAAUGAGACUUGUUGGCACAAUUUUGCUGUUCAGAAACCUACCUCUCCAUCGAAAAUCAGUUGUGAUUGAUAGUACUGGAUAUAUUCAAGAAAGCUAAAUAUAGAUAGCACCAAAUAUUAUCGAUAUAAAUAGCAUUAACAGCGUACGUAUGUCUCAAUGCUCAUCAGCUAUAAGCAACGGGCAAACACUUACUAUGAGCAACUUGCGUCAAAAUUCCAGAAUAGGACAUAGAAGUGACAGAUCUAUAUAUAUAUAGAACACUGCAUAUGAGUCACAAGAAAGGAAAUUACGGGUGCAUAGCAGCUCUUAUUUUACAUCCUACUCAUACUGAUCAAAGUCACUCAGUUGGGAUGGGUGGGAGUAGGAGGUUUGUGGGGUGGCUUGUGCGGAGGAGUUGGCAGCUUCUUUCCAGGACCUGGUUGCUUCUCUGCUGGAGUUGAAGGAGGCUUAAUCUUCCGAGGUGGCUUGUAUGAGUCUUCAGCAUUCUCAGCAGGAGGGUGACCAGGGUUGUGACCAUAAUGUGGUGGCUUCUCUCCCUUAGGUGGUUUGCCAACUGGGGUUGGUGGCUUGUAUGAGUCUUCAGCAUUCUCAGCAGGAGGGUGACCAGGGUUGCGACCAUAAUGUGGUGGCUUCUCUCCCUUAGGUGGUUUGCCAACUGGGGUUGGUGGCUUGUGUUCUGGGAGUGGCUUCUCCCCCUUGGGAGGUUUUUCCAAUGGGGUUGGUUUGUGUUCAGGAGGUGGCUUCUCCACUGGAGGCUUGUGUUCAGGAGGUGGCUUCUCCACCGGAGGCUUGUGUUCAGGAGGUGGCUUCUCCACCGGAGGCUUGUGUUCAGGAGGUGGCUUCUCGAAUGGGGGAUGCUCAGGGUAAUCAGCAAGUGAGGGGUUGGUGAGAACCACCAUGCCAAGCAACAGGACUAGCAAGUAUGUAGGAGACAUCUUUGGGUUUGGACUUAAGACAGUGGAAAACUGCGAGAAUUCUCUAGCCUUUUAUAGCGGGUCGACCCAGUACUCACAUGACACGUGUCAUUAUGACACAUGUGCCAUGGGGUCGAUUUGGGUCCUACAGUGUUGAAAAGUUGGGCAUUUGAGGUGUGAGCACAACUUUUGGCCUUUGCUUUCUCUACAGCCGCCAUGCUUUUCCCUUUUUUCCUUUUCCUUUUGUUUUCCUCCUGCCUCGUGUUCUCAACUAAACACAAUUAGGUUGUUUAAUUGUUAAAUGAGAUUUUUGUCUGUCAAUCAUAUUAUAUCCUAUCAAGAGAGAACAGAGUGUAAUGUAGUACACAUAACACGAGGCAGUAGUAAUUUUAUCAUUUAUUUUUAUAGCUUGGACCACCGCAUUUUUUCUUCUAAAAUAUUCUGUCUUGUUAAGAGACGCAAUAAUACACAAUUUUAUCUGCCAUUCAACAUUUACUGUAAAGUUCUUUUAUCUCUUUGUAGUUCUAGAAAAGUACAAAAUGGAACAUCAUGUAUAUGGUGCCUUCUGUCCUAAAAAAGAAACUGGACAAAUUAUGAACUGCAUGCUAAAAAGAGGCAAAGGAGCUUAAUUCGCAGCAUAAUUAUUUUGGUUUCUAGAGAGCCCGGGGCCUUUUGGUUGGUUUGGGGUCAGAAAAUGAACAUCAUAGGGAUUGUGCCCUUAACUGGCCUUGUUACUACAAAGAAAUUGCCAUAGAAAUUUAUUCCAGGCUGAGUAUCUCCGGAUAGACCCCAGAAAAGAAGAGUCAUAAUGAGAAUCAACCUUUGUUGAGUUUGAUUCCAUGCCUCCAUUGUGUUCAUUUCAUGAAUCUGAUUUGCAUUUAACAUUACAGUUUUGUUCUGGAAACAAUCAAAGGAGCAUCGUUUGCUUCUUGGGUGACCCAUAGUGGUGGGUGGGUCGAUUUGCUUAGUUGAAAAUUGGACAAUUGGCUCCAUCGCCUACCUCUUGGAUUCCAUGCUCGGAUAAAACGACAACAAAUAAAUAUUUAUAACUUACAACUGGGGAAAGGAAAAAAUAGUACUAAAUUCAUGGUACAUGAUAGUGAGAGAAGGGGGUGUUACACUCAGCUAAAGUUCUUUUCUAAAUAUUGCAUGGUGUUUAAUUUUAUGUGUCGGCGCGCGUGUGAAUGGAACCUGCAAAAGUCCAAAUUGGCGUUUCUCCAUUUUCCACAUAGGAUGGUGACGUUAAUAGACAAAGAUACAAUAUCUGUAGACAUUGCUUAAAAAUCGAUGUGAAGUAUUAGAAAUUACAGGCCACUGUACUGGGGGAGCGGCUGCCCCGCCAAAGGAAGAAUGUAGCAAUUUCUUCUGUUAGCCAGGCCUUAGGAUUUAUGCAUGGGAUGCCUAAUAACAAACAGAGAAAAUAUGCUUUUGGGGAAGGUAUCCAACAACAGACACCAUCAUUCAGAUGGUGGGAAGGUAUCCAACAGAUGCCAUCAUUCAGAUGGUAACAUAUAUAUACAUUUAUUAGUGAGUUUUUUUAAUACCUAUAAAAAAAAUAUACACUUUGAUAUUGUGGCUGAAUCCAUUACAUACUCAACUAACCUUGCUCAUUAGGGAUUUGACGUAACAAGGGCAACGUUGCAGUAAAAGCUCGAAACUUUAUGCAGGUGACAUUACAUUUGGUAAAGAAGAGGAAAAUAAGGAAAGCCAUCCAUAAAAGCAAAAUUCCUCAUGGGAUGAAAUUCACAAACUUCAUUUACGUUAGAGUCGCAUCCAGGCAAUUAAUUCCACAUUAGACCGCCUUUUGACAUGUGUACGGAUCUUUUUUCAAAAAUUAUUUAUAAAUAAUUGAUACUUACAAAAAUAAUUUAAGAUUUAUAAAGGAUAAAAAAAUAUUUUCAAAUCUAUGACAAUUUAUAAAAUAUUAAUAAAAAAUUAUCUCUUAAACUUAGUAUAGUUUUAUCGUAUUAAACUUUUAUUUUGAACAAAUAAUUUUAAUCUAAGUUUUAAAUUCUAAAAUUAUUUCCUUAAAAUAAAAUUUUAAAAUUCAACACUUCAAUUGAAAUUGUCUUUUAAAAAAAAUAUCUUCUUAUUUUAAUCCUUAUAAACUAUAGUUGAUUGAAAAUACUAUUGAAGUUCUCUCUUCAAAAAAAGUCUUAUUUUAAUCUUCAUAAAUUGCCCUUGAUUUGAAAAUAAACUUUGGGUUAUCAUAUUUUAAAUAAUAUAUAUAUAUAUAUAUAUAUAUAUAUAUAUAUAUAACAAAUACUCUAUUUUUUUUUUAAAUGAACUAAUUUUAAUUAUAUUUUAUUUUAUUUUUUUAUAUAUUUUUAAUGAUAAACCAAACAUAGAAAAUCAUUUUUCUAAAUAUUUUAAAAUUUCUAAGCAACCAAACAUAAUCUUCAAAAUAAAAGGAGAAUAAGGAGGGACAAGUGAGAAAUGGCGAUUAAAAAAAAGUGUACAAAAGCUCAAUUAAUUUUCUUCUAGUCUUUUAUAUAAAAAAGUAUUGGUAUGUAAAUUAAUAUUUGGAUUUUAAUAGUAUUUUAUUUGUCUUUCUCUAUCUCAUGUAAAAGAGAAUUUAAGAUAUUUCCUAAAGCAAAGCAUUAGUUAUCUGCAAUCAGUGGUGAUCAUGGUCCAUGUCAAUUUCGGACCCAUAUCUUAAAACCGUAUAAUUUGCGUUUCAACAUUACUGAUUUCUCAGAUGUUUCAUACUCCACAGAAGAGUAUUGUUAGUGAAAGCAUUUUGUAACUGUUACUCAUAGUGUUUUGACUCUGGCUCAACAACAUCAGCCAUUGACGGAUUUUCAUACAUGCAAAUCAAAUAGUCUUCUUCCUCCCUUAGGAAUUUCGGUUUAAAUGUUAUUAAGCAUACAUUUGGCUGACAAUUAUUAACCACUUCAUGAUAUGGUUUCUUACCCUUAAUCAAUGGUUUCUAAGUGAAUAUAUGCAGAAGGAAAUCUGAACUGUAGACAGCAGUAUUGAUAACUCUCAAUAUUCUUUAUAUAAGAGAAUAAACAACGUCAUAGUGAUCGUCGCCUACAAGAAAGGUACAUUUCCCAACAAGAUGUAGUGGUGACUGCUACAUGGACGCAAUUAACUCGUAGAAAAGGAUAAGACCAGUGCACGGCAGCUCUUAUUUUACAUGCUAAUUAUGCUAACCAAAGUCACUCAGUUGGGAUGGGAGGGAGAUGGAGGUUUGUGCGGUGGCUUGUGGGGCGGAGUUGGUGGCUUCUUUUCAGGAGCUUGUGGCUUUUUCGGAGCUGAAGGAGGCUCAAUCUUAUGAGGCGGCUUGUACGAGUCUUCUUUACUCUCGACAGGAGGGUGACCAGGGUUGUGACCAUAAUGUGGUGGCUUCUCUCCCUUAGGUGGCUUGCCAACUGGGGUUGGUGGCUUGUGUUCAGGAAGUUGUUUCUCUCCCUUGGGAGGUUUACCAAUUGGGGUUGGUGGCUUGUGUUCUAGGAGUGGUUUCUCUCCCUUGGGAGGUUUAGUGGGUGACUUGUGUUCUGGAGGUGGCUUCUCCACCGGAGACUUGUGUUCUGGAAUUGAUUAAAAAAAUUCUACCACUCUUUUAAGUAAUGGAAGAUUAUUAUCUCUGAUUGGCACCACAACAGCACAUGCUGCUAGAUCUUUCUAGACACUCCAUGCAAUGAAAGCACAAUGGAUCUUGUAACGAUAGAAACUAAGCCAUGCUACAGUACUAGAUGACGAGGUAAAACUAGUAGACAUGGGUGGUAGUUGAUUACUACUCAAAAAGUACUCUUUUAUAGUUUGAAACUAACUGUUUUAAACACUUUUGAGUAGUAGUUAAUAAAUUUUAACUCAAUUGGCACAUUAAGGAACCUAGCAAGGGUUACUAAUAAACUUUUGGCAAGUUUUGGUGUUUUUGGUAGUUAUUCGAUCAUUGAAACAAGCCAAGAAUGAGGGAGAAUUUUGUGAAGUCCAUGGCAAUGCAAGUUAAAGCUCAAAUACACGAAGAAUCCAAGCUUUGGAGCACUACAUAGCCCUUUGCCAAGCCAAUUAGAGAUGCAAGGAACAAAACCAAAGGAAGAAAUCCAACAACCAACAUUUUCGCAUGGUUGUGUGAAAUUUCGCACACCAUGCGAAACCACAAGAGGUAGCCAAAGAAUUUCACAUGGUAUGCGAAAUCUUCUCAUGCACCGACUCCGUUAGAUUUUUAUCUUCAGAUAUUUUGUGUAAUUUCCUAGUUUCUCCUUGUAACCAACCUAGAUAUUUUCUUUUAUAUCUUUUUUUAUAUUUUUUAGGUAACAUCAUAUAUAAGGGGAGAGACAUAAGGAGGAUAUGGAUGUUUUUCAUAGAACACUUGUAAAUUUUCAGUAGUAAGAAAUAUACAAAGCUUUUUGCUAUGCCUUACCUUCUCAUUUUGUUUUCACCUGUCUUUCUAGCCAAACAACCUCUAAGGAUGAUUUCUCAGGGGAUGAGUGGCUAGGUUUUACGUUUCUUGGAGUGAGGGAAGCUAGGUGAAGGACCUGAAUGCAAAGAUGAGAGUUUUCCUUGCUUUAAAUGAAAGUAGUUGUUAAACAUUAAUGGUUUUUAUUUUAAGGUUUAGCUUUAAAUCCCUUAAAAACACCUUGAAUGACCAAUACUUGGUAAGCUUUUCGGAUUCUAUGGAUGCUUAUUGCUAGAUCCAUGGAUGUCUAUUAGUUAUCAUUUACGAGCCUUUGGAAGGUGAUUCAAGGUGAGGGUCUUUAGUGUUUGAAGCCAUUAAUGGGAAGCAAUUACCAUUUUUUCAUGAAUCCUUUGGAUCAAAUCUUAAUUGCUAAAUAUAAAACCGAUUUGGGAAAUAACCAUCCUUUAUGUUAUUAUCCCCAACGCAAGGAGAAGAUCCGGAAUCUUCCCUUUUGUCUAAGGAACCCGAUCCUAGUGACCUAAAGCUCCAAGAGACCUUUUCUUUGUAGUUAACUUCAUUUAUUGUUUUUGCUUAACUUAAAAUCAAUCUUUGCAACCACAAUUCCAUUUUCUUUAAAAGCUAAUUUUUAUAAGGAAAAACACCAUUUUAUUUCCUUCACUAAGUCAACUGUACGAUGAAAACCCAUCCCUGUGGACGAUCCUAGAGCCAUUAUACUAUGUUAGCUAUGCUACCCUAGUGUGAGGUGAUUUAGGUUUUAUAAAUUUUGUUGAUAACACCCAUCUGAGCCAGAAUCAAAUGGCACAACUGAACCAGGGACGAAUCAAAUGGCGCCGCUAUCGAGGAUGGUGCCAAAGUACAUUGACAUGACUUUUGGUGAACACUUGUGAUCUUCAUCACAAGUUUGGUGAUUUUUCUAUUACUAAUUUUUUUCUUUGUUUUUAUUUUAGCUUAUCUUUUAUUUAGUUUUUAGCUAACCUUAACUUUUUCUUAGAAUUGUAUUUCUUCUAUUUUCUUUGUUUUUGUUUCAGUGAUCUUUAGUUGUGCAUGCCCUAUUGGAUAAGAAAUAUUGAGGGAAUACUUGUGAAGAUUGAAAAUCCUCGAGAAACUGAGUUGGAAGUGUGAUUGAACAUCAUGGAUGUUCCACCUGAAGACCAGAAUAGCCAACAUGGUUAAGAGGAUAAUUUCAAAGCAUACCGAUCCAUGAGGGACUGCAUGCAUCCACCUCGUAUGAGUGCACCGUCAUGCAUAGUGCCUCCCACUGAGCAACUAGUAAUCUGACCUCACAUUGUGCCACUCCUACCUACUUUCCAUGGGAUGGAGAGUGAGAAUCUCUACUCGCAUAUUAAGAAAUUCGAGGAGGUUUGUAAUACAUUCCAAGAAGGAGGAGCUUCAAUUGACUUGAUGAGGCUCAAGCUAUUUCCUUUCACUUUGAAGGAUAAGGCUAAGAUUUGGCUUAAUUCUUUAAGGCCAAGGAGUAUCCGAACUUGGACUAAUUUGCAAGCCGAUUUUCUUAAGAAGUUCUUCCUUACCCAUAGGACCAAUGGUUUGAAAAGGCAAAUUUCGAACUUCUCAGCUAAAGAGAAUGAGAAAUUCUAUGAGUGAUGGGAGAGGUACAUGGAAGCUAUUAAUGCUUGUCCUCACCAUGGCUUUGACACAUGGCUCUUAGUGAGUUAUUUUUACGAUGGUAUGUCUUCUUCAAUGAAGCAACUCCUAGAAACUAUGUGUGGAGGAUACUUCAUGAGUAAGAAUCCGAAGGAAGCCAUGGACUUUUUGAGUUAUGUGGCUGAAGUUUUAAGAGGAUGGGAUGAACCAAAUGCUAGAGAGGUGGAAAGAAUGAAGUCUCAACCUAAUGCUAAGGGUGGGAUGUAUGUUUUGAAUGAAGACAUUGACAUGAAAGCAAAGGUUGUAGCUAUGGCAAGGAGAUUGGAAGAGCUAGAAAUGAAGAAGGCACAAAAAGUGGAAGCCAUUUCUGAGACAUCAGUGCAAGCUAUGCCUUGUUCCAUUUGUCAACCUAAUGCUAAGGGUGGGAUGUAUGUUUUGAAUGAAGACAUUGACAUGAAAGCAAAGGUUGUAGCUAUGGCAAGGAGAUUGGAAGAGCUAGAAAUGAAGAAGGCACAAAAAGUGGAAGCCAUUUCUGAGACAUCAGUGCAAGCUAUGCCUUGUUCCAUUUGUCAAUCUUAUGAGUACCUAGUGGAGGAGUGUCCUACAAUUCCAGUAGUGAGAGAGAUGUCUGGUGAUCAAGCAAAUGUUAUUGAUCAAUUCAAGCCUAAUAAAAAUGCUUCAUAUGGCAACACCUACAAUUCAAAUUGGAUGAACCAUCCAAAUUUCUCUUGGAAACCAAAGCUACCUCAAUACACACAACCUGCUCAAGCACCUUAGCAAUCCUCGAAUCUUGAACAAGCUAUUGUGAACCUUAGUAAGGUUGUGGGAGAUUAAAAGUCCAUCAAUGCUCAACUGAAUCAGAGAAUUGACAGUGUAGAGAGUACAUUGAACAAAAGGAUGGAUGAGAUGCAAAAUGAUCUGUCUCAAAAGAUAGACAAUGUCCAAUAUGCAAUCUCAAGGCUUACCAACCUCAACACAGUGCAAGAGAAAGGAAAGUUUAUUUCUCAACCUCAUCAAAAUCCCAAGGGUAUCCAUGAAGUGGAGGCUCAAGAGAGAGAAUCUUCAAAGGUGAGGGAAGUCAAAGCAGUUAUCACCUUGAGGAGUGGUAAAGAGGUUGAUCAACCCACAUCCAAGCCAAAGCAUAAUGAAGAGAGUUUUGUAGAAAAAGAAAAGAGAGGAAAAUAAAGGAAAGAGAAUAGAGAAAAGUACAAAGAAAGAUGACCAUGAGUCUAGUGUGGAUGAAGAGCCCAAGAGGAUAGUGAUCAAGGAAAAUAUGAUGAAGAAACACAUGCCUCCACCUUUCCCCUAAGCUUUGCAUGACAAAAAAGGAACCAAUAAUACAUCGGAAAUUUUUGAAGUAUUGAGGCAAGUGAAGGUCAAUAUCCCUUUGCUAGAGAUGAUCAAACAAGUGCCGACAUAUGCAAAAUUCUUGAAGGACUUGUGCACUGUAAAGAGAGGGUUGAAUGUGAACAAGAAAGCUUUCUUGACCGAGCAAGUGAGUUCCAUCAUACAGUGCAAGUCUCCAGUGAAGUACAAAUAUCCGGGCUACCCUACCAUCUCAGUGAGUAUUGGAGGUACUUGUGUGGAAAAAGCUUUGUUGGACUUGGGAGCAAGUGUGAAUUUGCUACCCUACUCUGUCUAUAAGUAGUUGGGACUUGGAGAGUUGAAGUCAACAUCCAUCACCCUAUCUCUGGCAGAUAGAUCAGUGAAGAUUCCAAGAGAGAUGAUAGAAGAUGUCUUGGUUCAAGUUGACAAAUUCUACUAUCCAGUGGAUUUUGUUGUUCUUGAUACGGAUCCGAUUGUCAAAGGAACUAAUUAUGUUCCUAUCAUACGAAGACCCUUCCUAGCUACAUCAAAUGCAAUCAUCAAUUGUAGGAAUGGAGUCAUGAAACUCACGUUUGUCAACAUGACAUUAGAGCUCAACAUCUUCCAUUUGUACAAGAAGCAUAUCCAUUCAGAAGAAAAAGAAGGUCUAGAGGAAGUGUGCAUGAUUGACACUUUAGUGGAGGAGCAUUGUGAUCGACAAUGCAAGAAGAUUUAGUUGAGAGUUUUGGGGAUCUUGAUGAAGGGUUACUUGAACCCUCAGAUUUGCUUGCUACCCUACUCCAUUGGAGGAAGAGAGAAGAAAUUCUACCCUUAUUCAAUGAGGAGGAGACACAAAGAGCUGCUAAAGAUAAGCCCCCAAAGCUUAUUCUUAAGCCACUACCCACAGAGUUGAAGUAUGCAUACUUGGAAGAAGACAAGAAGUGCACUGUUGUUAUAUCUUUAGCUCUUACCAUUCAUCAGGAGGAUUGUCUACUUGAAGUCCUUAGAAGAAGUAAGAAGGUAAUAGGGUGGCAAAUUUCUGAUUUGAAAGGGAUCAGCCCUUUUGUCUGCACCCAUCAUAUUUACAUGGAGGAUGAAGCUAAGCCAAUUCAUCAACCUCAGAGAAGGUUGAACCCUCACAUGCAAGAAGUGGUGAGAGUUGAAGUUCUUAAGCUACUUUAGGCUGGUAUUAUUUACCCCAUAUCAGAUAGCCCAUGGGUGAGUCCUACUCAAGUUGUGCCAAAGAAGUCGGGGAUCACGGUGGUGCAAAAUGAUAAGGGAAAAGAUGUCUCUACAUGUCUCACUAUAGGUUGGAGGGUGCGUAUCAAUUACAGGAGGUUGAAUGUAGUGACAAGGAAUGACCAUUUCUCGUUGCCCUUUAUUGAUCAAGUGCUUGAGAGGGUCUCUGGGCAUCCUUUUUAUUGUUUCUUGGAUGGCUACUCGAGGUAAUUUAAGAUAGAAAUUGAUGUUGAAGACCAGGAGAAGACCAUUUUCACAUGCCCAUUUAGAACCUAUGCAUAUAGGAGAAUGUCUUUCGGCUUAUGCAAUGCACCCACAACUUUCCAAAGAUGCAUGUUAAGCAUUUUCAAUGAUAUGGUGGAGCAUAUUAUGGAAGUCUUUAUGGAUGAUAUCACCAUAUAUGGAAGUGCAUUUGAUGAAUGCUUGGUCAACUUAGAAGUUGUUCUGAACCGAUGCAUUGAGAAAGACUUAGUGCUUAAUUGGGAGAAGUGCCAUUUCAUGGUACACCAAGGGAUUGUCCUUGGGCACAUCAUCUCCAAGCAAAGCAUUGAAGUUGACAAAGCAAAGGUUGAACUCAUUGUUAAGUUGCCAUUCCCAACAAAUGUCAAAGGAGUAAGGCAAUUCCUUGGCCAUGCCGGGUUCUAUAGGAGGUUUAUCAAGGAUUUCUCUAAGCUUGCAAGGCCUCUUUGUGAAAUAUUGGUGAAGGAUGUUAAAUUCAUAUGGGAUGAUAGAUGCCAAAGGAGUUUUGAAGAAUUGAAGCUAUUUUUGACAACCUCACCAAUAGUGAGGGCUCCCAACUAGCAACUGCCCUUUGAGGUAAAGUGUGAUGUCAAUGACUUUGCUAUAGGAGCUGUUCUUGGGCAAAGAGAAGAUGGAAAACCUUAUGUGAUCUACUAUGCGAGCAAGACAUUGAAUGAGGUGCAAAGAAACUACAUAACCACCGAGAAAGAAUUGUUAGCUGUAGUUUUUGCCUUGGAUAAGUUUCGUGCUUACUUGGUGGGAUCCUUCAUCGUGGUUUUUAUUGAUCACUUUGCUUUGAAGUAUCUAUUGACUAAGCAAGAUGCUAAAGCAAAACUGAUUAGAUGGAUUUUCUUGCUUCAAGAGUUCAAUCUCCAGAUCAAAGACAAGAAAAAAAUGGAGAAUGUGGUAGUAGACCACAUUUCAAGGCUAGCUAUCGCACAUAAUUCCCAUGCUUUGCCCAUUAAUGACGAUUUUCUAGAGGGGUCUCUCAUGUUGGUGGAAGUUGUCCCUUGGUACGCUCACAUUGCUAACUACCUGGUCACAAGAGAAGUUCCAAGUGAGUGGAAAGCACAAGAUAAGAAGCACUUCUUUGCAAAAAUUCAUGCCUACUAUUGGGAAAAGCCAUUUCUAUUCAAGUAUUGUGCGGAUCAGAUAAUAAGGAAGUGAGUUCCUGAAGAAGAGCAACAGGGGAUCCUCAGUCAUUGCCAUAAAAAUGCAUGUGGAUGCCACUUUGCUUAUCAGAAGACAACCAUGAGGGUGCUGCAAUCGGGUUUCUGUUGGCCAUCACUUUUCAAAGAUGCCCACACCAUGUGCAAGAGUUGUGAUCGAUGCCAGAGGCUUGGGAAGUUAUCAUGUAGGAACAUGAUGCCUUUGAACCCCAUUUUAAUAGUUGAUCUUUUUUAUGUUUGGGGCAUUGACUUCAUGGGACUUUUCCCUAUAUCUUUUGGCUACUCUUACAUCUUGGUGGGAAUAGAUUAUGUUUCUAAGUGGGUUGAGGCAGUCCCAUGCAAACACAAUGACCAUAGAGUGGUUCUCAAGUUUCUUAAGGAGAACAUCUUCUCAAGAUUUGGGGUGCCCAAAGCCAUAAUUAGUGAUGGGGGUACUCAUUUUUGCAACAAGCCUUUUGAAACUCUCCUAGCCAAGUAUGGGGUGAAGCAUAAGGUAGCUACACCUUACCACCCUCAAACUAAUGGGCAAGUUGAGUUAGCAAACAAGGAGAUUAAAAACAUAUUGAUGAAGGUGGUGAACACAAACAGAAAAGAUUGGUCAGUCAAGCUCUUCGAUUCACUAUGGUCAUGUAGAACAGCUUACAAGACCAUUAUCGGGAUGUCUCUUUAUCACCUAGUCUAUGGAAAAAAUGCCAUCUCCUUGUGAAAUUGGAAUACAAAGCUUGGUGGUCAAUCAAGAAGCUCAACAUGGAUUUGAGCAGAGCUGGGUUGAAGAGGUUCUUAGACCACAAUGAGAUGGAGGAAUUGAGAAAUGAUGCCUACAUCAAUUCAAAAAUUGUAAAAGAAAAAUUGAAGAGGUGGCAUGAUCAGUUGAUUUCCCGCAAGAAUUUUCAAAAUGGAUAAAGAGUCUUGCUCUAUGACUCUAAACUCCACAUCUUUCCGAGCAAGCUGAAAUCAAGGUGGAUAGGUCCUUUUACCAUUCACCAAGUGCAUUCAAAUAGAGUAGUGGAACUACUCAACUCCAACAACAUCGGGAGCUUCAAAGUGAAUGACCAUUGUCUCAAGCCCUUUGUAGAGUCUUUUUUCUCGCGACAAGGAGGAAUUCAUCCUCCUUGAUCCACAUCAAGCUUGACAAGACCAGUUUUUUUUUAUGGACUUAGUCUUUCUAAAGACUAUCGAGUCCAUAACUUUUUAUUUUAUUUUUUAUUUGAGAGUUUUUCGGUAUUAUUACUUGUUUUGUUUUUUAUUUUUCGUUUUACUUUUAUUUGGUUUGAUUUAACUUAGAUUUUUUAUGAUCAAUUGCAGGGGGGAUUUCAAAUAGAGGAAAAACCAAGAUAAUUCGCACACCCUGCGAAAAUUUCGCAAGGCAUGCGAAAUUUAUGGCUCAUUUCGCAUGGGAUGCGAAAUUUCGCACACCCUACGAACCAAUUUCGCACACUUUGUGAAAAUAAACCAACCCUACGAAAUCAUUUCAAAUACUCUACGAAAUUUUCGCAGAGCAUGUAAAAAAUUUCGCAGACCAAACACCAUUUCGCAUACUAUGCGAAAAUGUAAGGGGUCUACAAAACCAUUUCGCACCUCCAAAGCCAUUUCGCACAUUGUGCAAAAAUGAAAAGUCGCCCUAUCAUCCAUUUUUAAACCCCUUGAGCCCUGAAAUCCCCAUUUCGCAAGCACCCCUGUCCUUGCGAAUCCCUCAUUUUCCUCUGCCACCUUGCGACCUUGUCCCUCUCCAUUUGAUAUCGUGCCCUGCGCACAUCUCAUUUCAAAGACUCGCACUCUGCGCCCUCUCAAAGCACGAACCCAAGGCUCACAUUCCAUUUCCGACAUGGCACAGACCCGAGGAGCCCUUCCCGCCCCUUCAUCGAGACGCACACCAAGGUAGAGAGCCUCUUUUGCUCAGAUGCCAAGUGAUUCUCCAUUUCAGGCCACGGAGGCCCUGCGGAUUCCACAUUCCAAGGGUAGAACAGCCACUGGUCCUUCCUCUUCUAUUCCUCAGCGUAGAUAUGAGACGAGGAGACCACCUACUACACAAAGGGCGACUACUUCGCGCCAUGAGAAUUCGGUACGACACCCUCCUGCCAAGAGGGCCAGGACUUCAGGCCCAGGCGAGUCAUCCAAAGCUUCACAGCCUGAGCCUCCUGCAGAUUCCGAGGUUCCUACUGACAUAUCAUCGGAGUCUAUUAUCAAACGCCCGAUGCUCACAGCACCGCCCAUUGAGGGCAACUCUGAUUGUAGAGCGAGACCUUUCCACUUGGAGCUAUAUUUUAAUUAAGAGGCCAUGCCACAGCAGCCUGAGCUCCAAGACUCUUAUGGCUUACUACAGAGGUACCAUCUUGAGGACCUUAUGACUCCUCGUGAGUUCUUUUAUCCCAGAGUAGCACUAGACUUUUACCAGUCCAUGACUACUCGUGGCGUCCCGAGUCCUACCGCGAUGCACUUCACCAUUAAUGGACGUCAUGGUAUCCUCGAGGCCAGACAUAUUGGAGAGGCUCUACAGAUUCCUUUCGAGCUAGAGGACCCAUCUGUUUUCUGCCAAUGGUCCCCAAUAUCUCAGAGGGACAUGGUCCAUAUUUUAUCCAGGGGGACAUCUACAUAUUCGAUCCUUCUACGGAAGGAGCUUCGACCUGGGAUACUCCUCGUAGAUGUGGUGCUACUUUCCAACCUCUUUCCCUUUUAGCAUUCGAUACAUAGGCGAGGAGCUAUUUUGGACGCUUUAUUCUGUAUAUCAGAGGGCUUCUACUUUGGCCCGCACCACUUGAUCAUGGUUUCCCUCAUCCAUUUUGAGGAGAAGGUCCAUAGAAAGAAGCUUCAGAGGGCGAACACCAUUCCAUUACUAUUCCCGAGGUUGCUCUACUAGAUCUUGGAGUACAUGGGCUUUCCUACUGAGCCUCGGCUUGUGUGCCGCCGCCUUUGUCAAGAGCGAUCCACUCUCGACAAAUGGAAUCAGUUGGCGGGCUAUUCUACACCUCCAGGAGCCCCUCCCAUGGUAGCACCUCUAGUGUCCCCACAGGCAGAGUAGGGCAAGCUCCCGGUAGAGACUGCACCCCUAGUGCCCACACCUGAGGCUACUUCUGCUGUUCCGCCUACGACUCCUACUGUUCCACCAGUUGGUCCUUUUACAUCUGAGUCUUCCAUCAACAUCUCGACUUCGGAGUUUCGCGCCCUUGUGCAUACCUUUCAGACACUCACCACCACACAUACUGCUCUCUUCUAGAAAAUGGCUGAGAUGCGUGCCCAUCAGGACCAGCAGACUACUAUACUCCGCCAAAUUCAACAGCACCUGGGACUUCUGCCUCUGCCUCAGCUUGACCUUCCCACAUCAUCAGAGCCUCUAGCUCCAGUUGAGGAUACUAUUCCACCUGAGGACACUACCACAGUAGAGGUUCAGAUUCCACCACCUCAGGAGGCCACCACAGCUACAUUAGAGGAUGCAUCAUCUCCACCUGAGGCUCCCACUACUUGAUCAUAGGACAUCUCUUUAUCUUAUUGUAUUUACAUAUUAUAUUACUGGAGAUUUGUCUUUGUUUUGAUACUUUAUAUUCUGGCAUUGAAUGUAUUGCCUAAUGAUAUCUCAAUUGUACUUUCUCAUAUUAAUAUAUAGACAUCAAUUUUUUUUAGUAUACUUAGGAUUUUUCUAUUUACUCUACUCAUUACUCUUUUGUUUUUUUUUUUUUACUCAUGUGGUUUCUCCUAUACGACUCAGACUCCAUUUCACUCAGGAGGUACCACUUCUUCCCUUUAUUUUCAAUUGCUCUUGAAACAUUGAGGGCAAUGUUGAUCUUGGUUGGAGGGAGAGUUGAGGAAGGAAGUGAUUACUACUCAAAAAGUGCUAUUUCAUAGCUUGUAAUUAACUCUUUUAAAACACUUUUGAGUAGUAGUUAUCACCUUUUAACCCAAUUAACAUAUUAAGGACCCUUGCAAUCAAUUCUAAUCAAAUUGUGUUAAGUUUUGGUAUUUUGAUAGCUUUUUUAUCACCAAAGCAAUCCGAGAUUGAGGAUAUUUAUUUGGAAUCCAUGGCAAAAGAUGUUUGGACAGGACGUCCGGACACACCAUCGGAGGGCGGCGGAACGUGGGCUGUGGCAGGCUGUCGGAAUGACGUAGCAAGGCUUGUGCACUUUAGCCAAUGAUCGGGAUAACAUAUCCGAAAUUCUGCUCCGCCGACAUUCCACCCGGAUGUCUCACAUCCGGAAUUCUGCUCCGCCGACAUUACACCCAGAUGUCUCACAUCCAAAAUUCUUCUCCGUCGACAUUCCAUCCGAAUAUUUCACAUCCGACGCUUGACGCCGGAUGGGAGAGGAGGGCGUUUCAACUUCCCCGGUCAGACAUAUCCGAAUCCUUUGAUAACGCUUACCCGGAGAGUUUCGCAGCCAUUUUGCACAGUGCCGCGGUGUUCUCUUGAAGCUUCCCGAUAUGUGCGACCGACAUUUUGAGAUAUUUUGCUUUAGAUAUUUGAUGUCUAAAUCCCCAAACUCUCCUUGUAACCCACCAAUUAUAGGAUUCCUUAGUUAUUAAGUUUGGAAAAAUGGUGAAUAACCCCUUAUAUAUAGUUUGCAAUUUUCAUAAAAAAGAUAUGUAGAAUCUCGGGAGCUUGUUCCCAGAGAGACGCAUCCUUUGUACAGUUUUGGAAGGAAGUAAAAUACAGAGCACUUGCUCUGCUUUUCAUAUAUAUUUUUGUUUUCUCGUUCUUUUUAUUUCUAGCCAAUCAAAGUCUGAGGAUUUUUCCUCAGAGGAUGAGAGGCUAGGCUCUUCGUCUCUUGGAGUGAAGAAAACUAGGUAAGUUUCCACAUGCAUAAAUUGAAAGUUUUGUUGUUUUAGUUUUUAAUGAAGAGAAAGUGUGACCCGUUAAUGGUUUUUAUCUUUUUAGUUAACUUAAAACGCCUUUAAAUCACCCGGGCCAACACUUGAUAAGGCAAGUGGUCUCCAUCCAUUGAGAUGCACUAGUUUAUCUCUUGCGAGCCUUUGGGAGGUGGUUUGAAGGUAGGAUUUUCUAGAAUAACCAACACUUGAUAAGCUUUUGGACUCUAAGGAGACAUCCAUUAGUUAUCUCUUGCGAGCUUUUGACGGGUAAUCCAAGGUUAAAGAUCACCUUGAAUGGCAAGUACUAGGUGAGAGGUAUGAGCCAUUGCAAGAUGCAUUAGUGAGAGGGAUUUAGUGUUUGAACCCAUUAAAGGGAAGCAUCUGUACCACACCGGUUCGGGAAAUAACUAUAUGUUAAAUCCCCAAUGAGAGGAAAAGAAACAAGUGACCGGAACUCCCUUUUUGUAUAAGGAACCUGAGCCUAGUGAUCUAAACUCCAAGAAACACUUUUCUUUGUAAGUAAAAUCAGUUACUAUUUUUGGUUAGUUUAAAACCAAACCUUUUUCAUUCAAACAUCUUUAUGUUUUCUUUUAAAGCUAACCUUGAAAUGAAAAGGCACCAAUUCAUAUUUGAAUUAAUAUCAAUUGUGAAGUGAAAACCCAUCCCAGUGAACGAUCCUAGAGCCACUAUGCUAUAGUAGCUUUGUCUUUGCUACCCUAGUUCAUGGUUUAAUAGGUUAUAAAUUUUGUUGAUUACUCCCACAAUCAAAGGAGCACCAGUUGGACAUGAAUCAACUGAGACACUAAUUGGGCACAAAUCAGGAAGUUUUGUUAAUAAUGCUAGGUUAAUUUGUUAAUUUAGUUACUUUCUGCUUAAUUUUAAAAGUUUUCACUUUACUUUCCAUAGUUAUUAAGGAAAAAUUCUCAAAAUGAAAUGGGAGAAAUUGAAUUCUUACAUUUUUACUUGAAUUUUAGAAUUUGUAUUAUGCUUAUUGAAGCUGAUGAAUUAUUGAAACUCCUAUUGAAUUCAACCUUAUUUCUUCCACUUUAAUCUUACCACACACGGUGCACAUUAGGUUCCGAUUAUAAGAGGUGCGUUCUUAGCCUAUUGGAGGUUGGUCAAUUUGUUAAAGUUUGAGAAAGAUCUAGGUUAGGGGAGAGAGAAUAGUCUGACAUACUAUAAUCGAAAACUAAUAAACUUAACACUUAGAUCUUUGUGGAAGAGUAAGGAUUGGACCUUUGGGAGUGGAAAUUCGUUUGAUGCUUAAAUUUGCAUAAUGCUUACACUUUAUAAAUUGUGAUUAGGCAAGAGAUUUGAUGACUCUUGUUCAAGGUUGGGUUUUGCCUCUUUGAUGUUCCAUGAGAGAGUAUAAUCCUCAUCAUGCCACUUGAAAUUUUUUUUGGAGUGAUUAACAUGAUUUUGUAAAUUACUUUACUGUCUAUUUUUUUUUUAUCUCUCCUUCAUUGCUAAUGGACUAGCAAUAUGUCAGUUGAGGGGAGUGAUUACUACUCAAAAAGUACUCUUUUAUAGCUUGAAACUAACUGUUUUGAACACUUUUGAGUAGUAGUUAAUACCUUUUAACUCAAUUGGCACAUUAAAGAACCUAGCAAGGGUUACUAAUUAGUUUUUGGCAAGUUUUGGUGUUUUUGGUAGCUAUUUGAUCAUUGAAACAAGCCAAGAAUGAGGGAGAAUUUUGUGAAGUCCAUGGCAAUGCAAGUUAAAGCUCAAAUACAUGAAGAAUCCAAGCUUUGGAGCACUUCAUAGCCCUUUCCAAAGCCAAUCAGAGAUGCAAGGAAGAAAACCAGAGGAAGAAAUCCAACAAUUAGCAUUUUCGCAUGGCUGUGCGAAAUUUCGCACACCAUGCGAAACCACAAGAGGCAGCCAAAGAAUUUUGCACACUAUGCGAAAUUUCGCAUGGUAUGCAAAAUCUUCUUGUGCACCAACUCCGUUAUAUUUUUAUCUCAAAUAUUUUGUGUAAUUUCCUAGUUUCUCCUUGUAACCAACCUAGAUAUUUUCUUUUAUAUAUUUUUUAGGUAACAUCAUCUAUAGGGGGAGAGACAUAAGGAGGAUAUGGAUGUUUUUCAUAGAACACUUGUAAAUUUCCGGUAGUAAGAAAUAUACAGAGCUUUUUGCUCUACCUUACCUUCUCAUUUUGUUUUCACUUGUCUUUCUAGCCAAACAACCUCUGAGGAUGAUUUCUUAGGGAAUGAGUGGCUAGGUUUUACGUUUCUUGGAGUGAGGGAAGCUAGGUGAAAGACCCGAAUGCUAAGGUGGGAGUUGUCCUUGCUUUAAAUGAAAGUAGUUGUUAAACAUUAAUGGUUUUUAUUUUAAGGUUUAGCUUUAAAUCCCUUAAAAACAUCUUGAAUGGUCAAUACUUGGUAGGCUUUUUGGAUUCUAUGGAUGCUUAUUGCUAGAUCCCUGGAUGUCUAUUAGUUAUCAUUUAUGAGCCAUUGGAAGGUGGUUCAAGAUGAGGGUCUUUAAUGUUUGAAGCCAUUAAUAGGAAACAAUUACCAUUCUUUCAUGAAUCCUUUGGAUCAAAUCUUAAUUGCUAAAUAUAAAACUAGUUCGGGAGAUAACCAUCCUUUAUGUUAUUAUGCCCAACGCGAGGAGAAGAUUCGGAAUCUUCCCCUUUGUCUAAGGAACCCGAUCCUAGUGACCUAAAGCUCUAAGAGACCUUUUCUUUAUAGUUAACUUCACUUAUUGUUUUUUCUUAACUUAAAAUCAAUCUUUGCAACCACAAUUCCAUUUUCUUUGAAAGCUAAUUUUCAUAAGGAAAAUCACCAUUUUAUUUUCUUCCCUAAGUCAACUGUACGAUGAAAACCCAUUCCCAUGGACGAUCCUAGAGCCACUAUACUAUGUUAGCUAUGCUACCCUAAUGUGAGGUGAUUUAGGUUUUAUAAAUUUUGUUGAUAACACCUGUUUGAGCCAGAAUCAAAUGGCGCAACUGAACCAGGGACGAAUCAACAACUUAUAUGGGAGGGACACAAGUUUAAUUGAUUUGCAUUUCAACGUUAUAUAUAGGUAUGUUUUGGAAGAUUUGUUCUGGAAAUACUGCACCAAGUACGAUUCUUUUUGUCUUGAGUGGGUCUACUUGCAUGCCAAUUAACGAGUGGAAAAGUAGGAGCACCUACCUCAUGCUCGCGGAACCGAAGGUCAGUGAAGUGGGGCUCCUUUUGGCCUCUUGUGUUUCUAUUCCAACCAAGGCGGCGUAAGGAAAAACAACAAUAUGUUUGUGCUAAAUAUCAACGCAUGAUAGAUGUUUUUGUUUUUUGGUAUGUCAAGGCUAAUGAAUGAAAUGCUUUAGCUUGUUUUGUGACUGGAACUGCAAAUGUCCAAAUUGGAGUAUCUCCAUUUCUCACUUCGGAUGGUUAACUUAUAAACAAGAUAUAGGAAACAUGUGAACAUCUUGAGGAACAAUUUGAAUUAUUCAUUAGAAGUCCUGGGUUGAGUUCCAAGAUUUAAAUUAGACCCCUCUAGCAGCUUCAGGGGUACCUAGCAACCUAUAGCAUAUUAAUGAAGAUUUAGGAUUUAGACUCUAGAAUACAAAUUAAUAUGUAUCUCAUGCUUUGACUAGCUUCCCUACAUAUGCACAAAAUGGAGAUGACCUAAAAAAAUAGCAGAAUCUAGCUUCCCUACAUAUGCACAAAAUGGAGAUGACCCAAAAAAUAGCAGAAUUUCCUUAGUUUCUGUGGUUAAGGUGAUUCUCCGCUUAAUAUCACAUUGACUCAUUAUGCAAAAUCAACUGAGCUAAUUUUGUUUAUUUAUUUAAUGUCAAAUAGGAACUCCUAAUUAACCUAACCCUUGGCCUGUGUAAAUUGAUUUCACAUGCCCAAUGUUGAAGUAGAAGUCCAUAUUUUGAAUUUUAUUUUUGUAAAGGUAAGGAAAAUGAAGCAUUGUGUAAUUAUAAAAAUAACUUCAUUGGAAUUCACAAGGUUCACCCAAAAUGGAGCUACAUCCGUAUUCUAUCCUGCAGUAGACUAUAUAGAUUGUACAAUAGUAAAUUGCAAAUACAAUUAAUAAGUCUUGUGCUUCCUUACUAAUAAUCCUUUGACAUGAACAUUGCAGCACUAAGGUCCUCUUGGGAAGACACCUUGCACCCAUGAGAGCACGAAGAGGAAGCAAGGCAGAGUCAUGGGUGCAAUGUCAUGACUUGUUGUUGCACCAAGAGAGGCUUGGUGAUGGCAUGGUGUUGCAGUAGCAAGAAUGUUGCCUUGGUAGGGACAUAAUCUAGGGAUAGAUGCCAAGAAAGGCUUAGCACUCACAUGAGUUGCACAAAGAUGAAUGUAAUAGAGCAUCAGAGAGACGUCUUGGCAAGUAAAUGAAUGGAUCCAAGAGGCAACAACAUGAGGAGUUUCAAAUGGAUAAGGAAUGAGUCAAAGACAUUUGAAAGCUACAAGUUGGAUUCUAAUUACGAUUGCAAUUUGAGUUUGAGUAGGAGUUUAGAUUCUGAUUGUAAUUGUAGUAUGAGUUGGACUAGGAUUGCUUAUCCCUAGUCAAAAUAGGAGUGGUUCGUGUCACACCCUAUGAAAAGAGUUUGAGUAGGGACUAGGAUUGCUUACUCCUAGUCAAAUAUGGAGUAGGUGGUGCCACACCUAUAAAAAAAAAGGGACAACAUGAGAGAGAGAGAGAGAGAGAGAGAGAGAGAGAGAGAGAGAGAGAGAGAGAGAAAGAGAUAAUGAAUUCACUAAAGAUAUUGUGGGAGUUUUUCUUUGUUACGUCUUGUAUUAUUACUUAGAAUAGGAAUAAAAUACAAGUUUGGGCUAGAGCCCCAUAAUUAAUCUCGUGUGCCUUUGUGGUUAUUCUUUAUUUGUCAUCUCGUGUGGAUUGGAUUACAUUGACUUAGAGGGCUUCUAAGCACCACCUUUGUGGGUUAUUAUUUAUUUUCCAUUUCUUGUGGAUUAGAUUAGGUUGACUUUGAGGGCUUUUAAGCACCACCUUUGUGGGUUAUUCUUUAUUUUCCAUAUCGUGGGGAUUGGAUUAGGUUGACGAUGAGAAAAAUUAUGUGGGAAAUUUGUGUUGGGACACUUAUCAUAACCAGGUAAAAUCUGCCAAGUCCUUUGUAAUAUCUUCAACAAAUAUUUCAGACUAGUUCUUCACCAUAAACAUCAUAUUGUGUUUUGUUUUUCUCCUGGAUUCUGAGUUGAAUUGUUUCAAGUCAAUUGAAUGCAUCUGAAUAUUAUUAGCUUGUUUGAAGGCCUGGUGAUUUUCCAUUUAACUUUACUUUCUUUAGGUUAUGCUCACUAUAAGAAAAAUGAGAAAUAAUGACGCUUUUUACGCGUUAAGAAAGGCAACAGAUGAUGCUUCUCUAAAGCGUCCUCUUCGGCUCUGUCAUUAUAUGUGUUAGCCAAUAAUGACGCUUCUAGGAAGUGCCAUCUUUGAAUAAUGUUAAUAACGACACUCGUAAAAAGUGUCAUCUUUAAACAUAUUCUGGUCAAAUAAUUUUUACAAAAUUAGUAAUCUUCAAGCCGUUUCUGAAUCAUAUCUGAGCCUAUUUCUGGGGACCAGAAAACCAUCUUUUUUCCAUUCGCCUGAGAGGUCUGAUUAGCAUUUCUGGAAUCAAUCUCUAAACCCAAGCUUCCCUCAUCUACCCAUUUAACCCUCAUGCCCUCCUGUUUGAACAACUUUCCCACUAUAUACACAAAUUUUUUACCUUCUGUUGUUGGUAUUCGACCUCUUCCCAUUCCCAGCACAGAAUCCACCAUUAGUGCCACUUUGUGAAUAAAAUCAUCGAACCAGAUCUUUCGGGCGGAAGAUGAGCUCCAGAGAAAUAAAAUUUUUGGGGUCUUCCCAGCAUGAAAGUCAUAGGUAGCAUUAAUGACAUCAAGAAAUGGGGCACUGUUGAGAAAAAACAUGUUCCCAUCAACCACCCAAGAAUUGUACCAGACUCCAAACACUUCUGGAUUACAUAUGCCUUUACUAAGAUAUAUUUCUUGAUCUCCAUAUCAGAAUCUUGGAGACUCUUCAUUUUAUGAGCUCUGACACUACUGUGAAAUUGGUCCACAUCAAUCACAGGAUGACCCCUUCUAGCAAGAUCAAGCAGGAAGUCUGAAUUCGGGCCCAUAAAAAUGUAGUUCUGAAUAUUGAAACUCUCAAAGUGGCACAACAAAUUCCUUAUGACUCUUUCAGAUGCUCCAAACAGGCUCACAAGUAUAAUGGUAUCCUGUUUUUGCACAGAGUAAAGAAAAUAUCCGAGUUCUUCAAAACUCCUUACAACUAUUCCAGGAUGUACUUCUUUGAAACAGAAAUCGUACCACUUUAGCUUAGUCAGAGGUUGAAUCUAAAAUAACAAAACCCAAACUGAAAUCAAAAUCGAAAUCAACCCUAAUAGAUUUCAGAAACAACAAAUUAAAAGAGUAAAGCACAAAAGGGGGAAAACACAUAUGAAGCAAUCUCCAUACAAGCCCUAACCUUAGAUAAACCCAAAAAAAAAAAUCAAAGCAGAGAGUUACCAUAGAGCAUCUCUGUUUCAAGCUUAGAAAAUGUUUAAUGCCAUUGAUAACUAGUUGGCUAGUGGUGGACUUCAAGCUUCUCUAUUUCGGUGUUAGUAGCUCUCAAUGGCUAUGGUGAGAACAAAGAAAUGAGAGGCUUAGGGUUUGGGAUGUGAGGUUAUUGAUGAUGAUGAGGAUAAAGUUAUGGGCUCUUGGAGGGGUUAGGGAAAUUGAAGAUGGCUGAGAGUAAAGGCUAGGGUUUUUGAGAUAGUUAAUAGCUUUUUAGGGUGUGACUGUCCAUAGAUAGAAGAUAAAUGAGGGUGUGAGAAUUUAUAGAUCUCUAGGUGAUAUGGCGGGUGUGAGAAUGAAAUUUUAGAGGGAAUUGUGUGUUUGGUAGAAAUUUCACACAUGCAUAUAUAAUGUUUCAGAACAUGGCACUUUAAAAAUACGACAAGGAAGAAAUUAUUUAUUGACGCUUAAAUAAAGCGCCAAGGUCUCCAACAUUUUUGCAAUCAAUGACGUUUGUAAAAGGUGCCAUUGAAUAGGAGUGCCAUUGCUUUCCCACAAAGCAUCAUUGUUAAUCAAGCCUUUAAAAAACGCCAAGAUAUGUUGCCACUUAGGUUAAAUAUUGACGCUUUUAAAAAACGCCAAGGAAAAAAACGUCAUUAUUCAUGUUUUUUGUAGUAGUGGCUUGAUUCCUAAAAAGUAAAGGAAAGCAAAAAGUAAAAAAAUAAAAAUGUGGAGAGUUAGGACAUGCGUUAUCUAAUUGUCCUAGUCCCAAAUAUAUUAAGAAAGUCAUGUAGGUUACUUGGAGUAACGAGUCAAGUAAAGCAAGCCUUCUAGUGUUUAAGACAUUAGAUAUUACCGAACUGAUUAUGUCAUUAAUGUAUUGCAUUUGUUGUUUCUAAUAUAUAGAAGAAGAUGAAAUUAUUGGAAUAAGUGGGAAAUAGGAAUAAAUCCAAGGUACCAAAAAGUCACUUUAUCUUAGAUGUUGUUGGAAACAUAAGUGAUUUCACAAUAACGACUAUGAGACAAUCAAGGAUUAAUAAGAUAGACUUUAUAUGAUAUACCUCCCAAUUAGAGCCUAAAAAUAUGGAUGAAGCACUUAGAGAUGAAUCUUCAAUUUUUGUACUAUAGGAAGAAUUAAAUCAAUUUGUUAGCUAUUCUUUGGAUAUUUGAUUCAUCACAAGCUACAAAUCACUUUUGAUGACCAAACACGAAACUAAGAGGAUUGGGCCCAAUUCGAUGCCUAUCAACAAUGAUUUGUAUUCCACCUCAUUAAUUAUUCAAAGUUGGGAAGCUAGGUCUAACCACUUUCUCUACCUGUUCACCCUUAGAGGAGCAGAAGAAAAUUCUAACUUUGGUGCCUAAUGCCUUUGACAAUCUUUCGACAAAGAGAGUUCACUAAUUACUUUGAUUAUUUCUCUGUUGGUCACUGGGGGACAAGACUUUUGUAAUGAAGUCAACUAGAACUUGCCCUUUGAGGGCCAUUCAUGGACGAUAUUACACCAUGAAUUCCCUUAGGUCAUGUUUGGUAUGUGAGAAUGAGGAGUGGAAUGGACAUCUUAUUCAUUUUUUCAUCUAUUCAAAUGUUGGGAUAACUCAAGUGACCAUGAGAAUGAAAUCAAGAAUGAUUCAAGGGAAAUGAAAUCUUACUUAUAAGUGUGAUUUCAAUUAAUCUCUAAUAGAAAUUAUUUUGAAUCAAUAGUGCAAGUUAUUUUUAAAAACAUUUUUCCAAAAUUAAAAAAAUCAAUUUUUUUUUUUUCGAUAAGUUGUUUUUAAAAGGAUUUUUUUUAUUUUGUAAAAAGAAAAUUGUAAUUCAAUUUAUAUAAUAUAAACUAAAUUUUAUUUUAUUCAAAAAGAAAUAAUUUUUUAAUUAUAAAUAAAUUAAAAAUAAAUACUUUUAAUAAAAUAUAAAUAGUAUUAUUAUAAUAAAAUCAUAAAUAAAUUUAAUUUUUUUUAUAAAUAUUAUAAAAAUAUGGAUAUUAACAUUGGAUAAUUGAUUUAUUUUGUUAAAAUAAAAAAUAAUAAUUUUUAAUAUUAUUUUAUGUUAAAUGAAUUUUAAAAUAAAGAAAGUUUAAUUAUUUUAAGGUAUAGAAGAGCCAAAUUUUGCAUUACAUACAUAACAAACAAUAUUUAUUAGAAACAUUUCUCAAGGAGAAUCUUAUUCCAUCUCACAAAGAUACUCGUUUAUUCGAUGUUUGACCAUCCGUAACAAUCAUGUCAAUUCUACUGAUUUAAUAAUUCCUUUACAUUUAUUACUCACUUAUGAACAUGGUAUUGUGAUUUAUUUAUUUAUUUGAUGUAUAAUUAAUUAAUCAAUUUUUUAAAUUUCAAAUUAUUUUUAAAAACUAUUCAUUAAGGAAUUUAAAGCAUUAAUUAUGUCUAUUAUUUUUUAUAGUCAUUAUAUAUAUAUUGAGUUUUAAUUUAUUUUUAAAAAUUAUUAAACUUAUUAAUAAAUUCAAUAUAAAGUCUCGUUUCAUUUGAAAUUCAUUUCUUUAGUGAAAAUUUUGAAAAAAAAAUUGUUAUUUAUUUUACUUUGUUUUAAAAAAAUUGUUUCUAGAGAACAAUAAUCAAAUAAUGGUAUGAAUUUUUAAAAACAAUUUUGUUUUUAAAUCAUAUGCCCAAAUAAUUUUUUUUUAUUUAGCAAAAAACUUUGUUGUAGUAUGUGGCUCAUAUUGAGGGAAAGACAUAUAUGGAGAAAAAUGUGCAAAUGUUGGAGUGGAGCGGAGUGGAAUGACGACAUUUGUCAUUCAAACUUGUAUUUUUAUUGUUAAGGGUGACCGAUAGGUUGGUACGGUUUAGGGGUAUUUUUGGAAUUUCAUUACCUGAGGGUUAGUAUAAAUACCAUUUUAUGUAACCCUAAUUUUACAUAUAAUGUAAGUUUUCUUCCUUGUUCUUGUGGACAUAGGCAAUCCGUCGAACCACGUUAAAUCUGUGUGUUUUUUUUUCUUUUUUCUUUUUCUCUAAUUUCUUCACCAGGAAUCGUUACACUAAGAUCAACAAACUCUCAAAGAUGAUUUUUAAAAUGAAAAAAAUAAUGUAUAGUGUGAGAAUUUUUUAUUUUUUAUUUUUUUAAAAUGAAAAUAAAAAAUUGCUUUAAGGUAAAAGUGUGGAUAUUAUUGUUAAUUUAUUUCAUUUUUCAUUUUCAUUUCCAUUGUUACCUACAAUUGAAAUGGAAACAACUAAUCAUUACAACCUUACAUUCUUAUAUGCAUCCAAAUACAAAAAUUGAAAUCACCAAAUUCAUAUUCAAGGCAAAAUAGGAAUGAAAACAAAUAUUCAUUCUCAUUCUUUAUUCCCACGUGUCAAACAUGACCUCAAAGUUAUAAACAUGAACAAGAAGUCCUUGAAACACCAAUGAUCUCUUCUGGUAUAUAUAUGAGCUUGAUUGACAACUGUUUUAAAUACAGUUUUUUUUUUUUUUGUUUUCAAAAUCAAAACAAAUUUAUUUUUAUUUUUUAUAAAUAGUAGUUUUUUAAUAUUUUUUUUAAACCUUAUUAUGAAAAUAGGAUGUUUUCUAAUAUCAUAUUUUAAUUAUUUUCAAUUAUUUUCCCUUCUUUUAAGGAGGGCUAUUUUAAAAAUAUGAAAAAUGAUACAAAAUAAAGCAUUACAAAUAAAAAUCAUUUUUAAGAAAUAUAUGAAAAUAAUUUGAGAACAUUUGAAGUUCCUUAAUUAAACUUUUGUUCUAGAAAAUGCAAGAAAACUGUUUUUGAAAAUUGUUUUCAUAAUGAUAUGCAUUGAUCGUUUAAAAUUUAAUUACAUGAUAAAAAGACCUAUGUAAAAACCAGAGUUAUAUAAUCAGUCAUAGAUCAAAUCUACUAAAUAUGAAAAGUAAGUACAUAGUUGUAUAUGACUUAGAUGGAGCCUUCUCCGAAUGACAUUCUUUAGUCGGUACUCAUAUUUUUUUGUUUCGUGUCUUCAACAUAACACCUCAUGAUCCUUAAUAAAUCACCUGAAAACUAUAUUAGCACCUUAUUGUUUAAUAUUUCUCUAAAUUUUUUUAUUAAGCAAAUAAAUUCCAAAUUUAAAAUGACAAAUAAAAUUUAUUAAUUUUUAAAAAUAAUUUAAAACUCAAAAACCAAUUUAAUUGAUAUUAAAAGUCAUGAAACUUAAUAAUAUUAGAAAGUCAUGUAUCCAAAUUUAUUUUAAAUGACUUGUUUAAUUUCUUGUUUAUAUAUAUUAUAUUUUUAUAAUUUUUUUUACUAUACAAAUAAAUUUUAAAUUAAACAAAACUUAAUGCGUUGAAUUCAUUAACGAGUCUAAUAAUUUUUAAAAGUUACUUAAAAUUUAAAUACUAAAUCAAUUAGUACCACAAAUUCAUGGAAAAAAAUUGAUUUAUUACUACUAUAUUGUUUCUCUAUUGCAUAGAACCAUUAUUUUUCAAUUUUUUCAUUUGGCAAAUGAACAUCAAAUUAAACAAGACUAAGUGUAUUAAAUUCAUUAAUGGGUCUAGUAAUUUUUUAAAAUAAUUUAAAAUUCAAAUAUUGAUACUCCAAAUUAAACAAGACUUAGGUGGUGUUUGUUUUUUGGUUGAAUAGAAAAAGGUAAAAUAUUUGACUUUUUCUAUUUAGUUAAAAGUAACUUGUUGACAUCGUCCAAUAUAAUUAAAGUAAACCUAUUGAGGGCAAGUUCACUUUAAUUAUGUUGGACGAUGUCAACAGGUUACUUUUAACUCAAUAGAAAAAAUCAAAUAUUUUGACUUUUUUUUUAACUCAAAUAAUAAAUCCAUUAAUACAAAAAAAUUAUGGAUAAUUUGAAACUUUCUUUCUUUUUUUUUUUUUUUUUGCUACACAUAGCUAUAUUUUUAUAAAUUUUAUCAUUAGAGAAAUGGAUUUCAAAUCAAGUGAAACUUUGUAUUGAAUUAAUGGAUUUAACAUUUUUUAAAAAUAAUUUGGAACUAAAAAAAAAAGAUUUAAUUACUAAGAAAAUCAUAGAUCAAAACUAAUAUAUUCUGAUCCAUGAUUUUAUUAUUUUUCCUAUACAUACAAUUAUAUUUUUAUAAUUUUCUCACUAGGUAAAGAUAUUAUAAAUUAAGUGACACAUAAUUAAUAAUUUAAAUUUUUGAAUGAAUCUUUUAAUUUUAGGAAUAAUUUGAAAUUUAAAAAGUUGAUCCAAUUAAUUGUAAAUUAACUUAAAAUAUUAUAAAAUAUUAUGUUCAUAAUUAAGUACUAAAUGUAUAUAUGUAAUGAAAACUUAACUAGUUACAUGUUACAAAAGCCAAAAUUUAUUCAUUCUUUAUUUUAAAUAAAAUAUUAUUAAUAAUUAUUUUUUUUAAAAUAAUAUUUAGUAAUUAUUGUUUUUAAAUUAUUAUUAUUAAUUUUUAAUAAAAAAAUUGCAAAGUUAUUAAUAUCAUUAUAUUUCUAACAUAAAUUUAAAUAGUAUAUUUUUUAAUAUAUAUAUAUAUAUAUAUAUAUAUAUAUAUAUAUAUAUAUAUAUAUAUAUAUAAUUUAUGAUUUCAUUAUAAUAUUUUUAUUCAUGAUUGACGAAAAAUUAUUUAUUGUUUAAUUUAUUUGAAUUGCAAAACUAUUUUUCAAAAUUCAAGCGAGAAAAUAGGCCUGGAUUUGAAUUUCCUGUAGAAGAGAAGGAUGUGGAGAAUAUGUUGGGAGUAUUUGUGGAUAAAGAAAAGGCCAGGGUACUGAGAAAGGAGAGAGAACUUGCUCUUGCCAAAAGAGCCCUGCACAGGUAUUCUACUGAUUCUAAUUAUCGGUUCUUACAUGAUCAGAUUUCAGAUUUAUUUGCUGAGCUUCUGAAAUCUGAUACAGUAUUUAAACUCCGGUGAGCUUUACAAGAUUAGUCUCGCAUCCAAUUCCAAAUGGUGUCCCACAAUUGAUUCUUCUUAUGAUAAAUCCACCUUGAUAUGUGAAAAUAUUGCUCGAAAGGUUUAUCCUCGCGAGGAAUAUCCAGAAUACUAAGGAAUUGAGGAGGCUCACUAUGUUUAUAGAGUCAGGGAUAGGUUGAGAAAACAAGUAGUUGUUCCAUUACAUAAGGCCCUGGAGUUGCCAGAGGUUUUCAUGUGUUCGAACAAGUGGGGAUCACUUCCCUACAACCCUGUGGCUUCAGUGGCCAUGAAAUCAUACAAGAGCCUCUUCUCAAACCAUGAUACAGAGCGGUUUGGUGAGUAUCUUGAGAAAGUGCAAACUGGGAAGGCUAAGAUUGCAGCUGGUGCAUUACUUCCCCAUGAGAUUAUAGCUUCAUUGAAUGAGGAGGAUGCCGAGAGAGUUGCCGAGCUUCAGUGGGCAAGAAUGCUGGAAGAUUGAUCAAAGAAAGGGAGGCUCACAAAUUGCAUUGCAGUAUGUGACGUAUCAGGAAGUAUGAGUGGAACUCCAAUUGAGGUGUGUGUGGCUCUGGGGCAGUUAGUUUCAGAGCUCAGUGAAGAUCCAUGGAAAUUAAGGUAAUGUAAUUACUUUCAGUGCAAAUCCUGAGCUUCACAAGAUCCAAGGAGACAGCCUUGUAUCCAAGACUGAAUUUGUGAGGAUGAUGGAAUGGGGUGCCAACACUGACUUUCAGAAAGUUUUGACAGAAUCUUACAAGUAGCAGUGGAGGGAAAUAUGAGUGAAGAUCAAAUGAUAAAGAGGGUUUUCGUUUUCAGUGAUAUGGAGUUCGAUGAAGCUUGUGGGAGGUAUAACUAUUGUGACUAUGACUAUGAUAUGGAGGAAAUUGACGAGAGUCAGAAGGCAUCUCAGAAGUGGGAGACAGAUUAUGAAGUGAUACAGAGGAAAUUCCAGGAGAAAGGAUACAGAAAAGUUCCAGAGAUAGUGUUUUGGAACCUUAGAAACUCAUCAGCGACUCCAGUGACGGCCACAGAGAACGGGGUGGCCUUAGUAAGCGGGUUUUCAAAGAAUCUGUUGACCUUGUUUUUGGAAGGAGGUGGAAUUCUGAUCCCUCAGGAUGUGAUGGAAUUCGCCAUCUCUGAUGAAGAUUACAAGAAACUUGUUCUAUUUGAUUAAGAUAUCAAGAGAUUUAUCAAUAAUAAUAUAUUUUUUUUCUAUGUGAAAUACAUAUAAUAUUAACUGUGGAGUUAUCAAAGUUCUGGAGGUUUAAUUAUUUCUUCUUUUCAAGUUUUGUUUAUUUAAGGUUUUCUUUGUCUUUGUUAGGAAUUCCCCUUGGGUGGACCCAGCUGGGGAGUUGGAUUGAGGAAGUAAGCAGGCGAACUUGUGUUCUUCUAUGGACAGAGAAAAAAAAUAAAAUAAAAAAAUAAAAAAGGAGGUUAUUUGCAUUUGGAUGUCGUGGUUUGAGGGUACAACUACAAGCUCGAAAUUGUACAUAAUGUGAAAACUCCUGUGUCCAUUGCUGAGAACAGCAUAAAUGAUGGUGAUUUUCAAGUUGUGCCUGGUAUUCUACAGGAUGAAACAAGAAAGGAUCCAGGUGGUAUAUUGAACAAUAUCCCAAUCAUGUUGGUGGCAUCUUUAUUUAGUUAAUGGUAUUCAUUUGGUGGAAGCUGGUUGUUUAUGAUGUUUUUAAUUUUUUUUAACAUGAAGUUCGAUCAAAUACGUAUCUUAGUAUGUUUUGUUUGAGCUAAUUGGCAAAUGCGCUUUAAACAUGGUCACAUGGAUGCAGUUUUAUUUGUGAAAUGAUAAUAGUCGAUUACUUGGUCAGUAAGGUUUAUAUCUCUAACUUCAACAUCUUAUUGUAGUCUUUUAAAAUGUCAAAAGUUUAAUGCUUGAGAAAUUUUGGAAUGGAGACAUUCUAAACAAAGUUAAUAAUCCACAAGACUUGGUAAAACCGAUCAGAUGAUGCUUACGUACAUCAAUGCCUUCUUUAAGCCAUAUCCUAUUUUCAUUGAACGGGAUGUGCCAUCUAGUUUGGUUCUUUAAGCCUCCAAAUCCUAAACCUAGUCUCAAUUUAGAGCAAAUUUAGGGUGCAGGGCCUGCAUGCCUCCCCCUCCCCCUUCCACAAAUAGUAGUGACCUUGCUAUGCCUAUGCAUUGUCAAUGCCUCAUUUUCUAUGGUCUCCAAUGUAAUAUCUUAGUUUCAAUGUCUCUUUCCUUACUAUCUCCAAUGCAAUAGAUUGAUUUCAAUACCUCUUUACAACUAAGACCUCCAAAUUUUCUUGGUUCAAACCUACCAGAAUUUUUCUUCUCCUUUGCUUUCUAUCAAUAUUAGUUCCCCUAAUUUAAUAUAUACUUCUUUAUUACCUUCAACUCUACCUCUCUUUCUUUCUCUAAAAGCUUCCUCAAAGAUUUAAUUGCUUUCUUGCAUGUUUUAAGAAAACAAACAUGCUCAUAUUACAUUACCUCUACUUGAGAUCUACCUUAUACUCUACCUUCUUUCUUUACCUCCUAUAUCAUCUACUACAUUAGCUUCAAAAAUAUUAUUUAGUUUGAUACUAAAUAAGGCUCCUAAUCCUACUCUUCCUUCAACAAACUUUCUUUUUACAAGUUCCUUAAACUUUAUUUUUUAUUUUUUAUUUUUUGGAAAUUCGGGUUAGAAAGAUUCCAUUACUCUUACCUAAUAUUUCAACCAUCAAGUUGAAUCCACUUAUUGCCUAAAUCCAAGGAGUCUGCCCUCCACAAAAACAAGGAAAUUGAUCCCACAAUAACAAGGAGAUUGCCUUCCACAGAAACAAAGAGAUCUCCCUUCACAGAAGCCGAAUACAUUGCAAUCUAUUUUCUUUCUUGUAAGAUCAAAUCUUCAAUCGAGCUCCAUCUUAUGGGGGCAUAUUAGAGAAAUUUAAUAUUAUCCUUAAUUUACAUAUUAAUAUUUAUCUAUUUAUUAUAUAUUGAAUUAAAAUAGAAUAUAGAAUUUGAAUCAUAGUAGAAGUUUACUAUAAGAUUGAAUUACAAUAGUUAAUAGAGUUUAAAUUAUAAUAACUCAAAUACAUUUAUAUAUAUUUGACCUUACGAGAUUUUCUAUUUAUGUAUUUGAACUACAAUCCUUAUGAUCCUUAGGUCUCUAUACCUUCGUGAUGGGCUCCUUGACAUUUCAUAGGUUGUGCUACACAUGCAUUUGAAAUUUAGAGUGCAUUUGACAGUGAUUCUGGGAAGUGUUUUUGGCAUUUCUAACACUUAAAAUUUUUUAUUUUUCAAGUAUUAGAAAUGCUACAAACACUUUUGAAAAUUACUGUCAAACACACUCUUAGGAGCGCAUAUAGUAGAAAACUAGAAAUUGUGGUUUUUUUAGGAUUUACUGUAAUGUCAUUAGGAGGGUAGUAAGUUGAAACUGAGUAUGAAUAAAUAUUUCUUUCUUUGGGAUGUUCUUCUGGUAGGUGCUGAUGAAACUGUUCUUUUUACUGCCAAUGUCACAUAUCAGCCAGAAAUUGAAAAUUUCAGUCAAGGUGUCCUCGGUUUUAGUGGUGAGGAAAGCUAGAAAUUUUAAGGUGAAGUUCUGUUAAAAACCUUAAGUAGCUGGGAUAUCAGGCCUGUUUUGCUUGAAAAAAAAAGUUGCAAGAUAACUCAUAUGCCAAACAGGUUCUGAUAUUGUGAAUCUAUCGGCAGACAUCAGUAAUCUCAUCUUCUGAGAUGGAUGUUGGGGGUGCAUGUGGUGGUGGAGGGGCAAGGUUUCAUUUGGUUUAUUUUGUUGAUGGAUAUUGUCUAGCCCCCUGCGCCAAGUUUGAGGGGUGGUGGGUUGUGAUGGCCCUACAAUUACUAUUAAUUUCUUCCUCUUUUACCGAUUAAAGUGUCCGAACAGUCGAAGUUACCCUUAUGCAUGUCAACUUGAUCACUUACCUCUUCAAUGGAGUUUAUGCUGGUUCAUUUAGGAACUGAUUUUUAUUGUUAUGCAUUCUAUGCUGAUGUUUAGGCCUCUCCAUCAUCACUAUAUACAAAAAUUCUAGGUUGAUACUAUAGGUUGAGAUUUAUUUUUUAAAUAAAAAAUAAUAAAAAUAAAAAUUAUGGUGAUGUUUAGUUGUUUUAUGGAAAAUUUUAACAAGUUAUUUUUGGGCAAGUUUUCAAACAAAAAGAAAAGUAAAAGUUGUUUUGACAAAAACAUAUAGAAAAAAAAAAUCAUAGAAAAGAAAUAAUUUCCCCAUAUUCUAACUUUUUUUAAUUUUUCUCAAUGGGCAAAGGAAUAUCAAAUCAAGUUUGAGUAGGAUUUCUUAAUUUUUAAAAUAACUUACAAUUAAAAAAUUUUGGUGUUUUCAUUUUUGGACAAUUUUUUAUUAAGCAAAUGGACUCUGAGUCAUGCAAGAGAUAUGGUUGAUUAAUGGGUCAAACAAUUUUUUUAAAAUAAUUUAAAACUCAAAUACAUAAUCAAUGUCACAAAAUUUAUAAACAAAAAUAGGUUUAGAGAAGAUCUACACAUAAUUUUACUUUUCUAAUUUUAUUUUAUUUUAUUUUUUUGUUGGAAAAUAGUCUUCAAAUCAUGUAAGAUUUAAUAGGUUAAAUUUGUUAACAAUAAAUUUUAAAUUAUAAAAUAUAAUCUGGAACUUAAAAAUCAAUUCAAGUAAUGCUAAAAAAAAUCAAAUUUGGUAUAGAAUGACUACGUAAAAUUUUUUACAAAACAAAUGAAUUUUAAAUCAAGUGAGAUUUAAUGCAUUAGAUUUUUAUCAAAUAUAGUAAUUUUAAAAUUUAAUUUGGAACUCAACAAUAGACACAAUAAAUACCAAAAAAUAAUGAACCAAAAUUGGUUUGGAAUAACUCCACAACCUCUUUUUUUUUUUUUUGGUGCACACGAAUUUUCUUACUAGGUAUAUUGCUUUCAAAUUGAGAAAGAUUUACUAUUUAGAUUUUUUUUUUUAAUGAGUUUAAUGGUAUUUUAAAAUAAUUCAAAAUUUCAAAAAUUGACUAAUUACUAUUAUAAAUUCAUAAACCAAGACUAAUUCAAAAUGCAUUGGGGGCUAAGGGGGUUGAAAAUAGGGACAAUGGGAUGGGUUUGGGACAUGACACUCAUAUCUCAUUUCCAUUCCAAUUACAUAGUUAUCUCCCAUCCUUAUCCCAAACUUGUGUUGGAGCAAGUUGAUUUGUUCCCAUCUUUGUUGAUGAAAUGACUAAUAACCUCAUCCCCUCCUUAUCUUAGAUGUACAUUUUGUCAAAUUUGAUCAGGUAUGAUUGAUCCAAGCCCUAACCCUAAUUGGUAAUGACUGGAUACUACACCUAAUUGCAUUCUUCUUUCGUCGCAAAAUAAUGAGAUUAUAAUAAUCUAGCAAAUAAGAAAAAAUAGUAUGGAAGUUCAAUUUAACACCAUAACUAUCAAUAAUUUUAAGCUUAUAGAUGACUUAAAUGAUUAAAAACUAAUGCAAAAUACCAAAAAAAAAAGUUCAUAUAAAGAAUUCACAAGAGAACAAAAUGAACAAAAACCAAAUAUGAACAUGGGUCAACAUUAGUUAUGGAUUUGGAUUCCUUUCAAGGCCAAUCUUUGAACCAAGACUUCAUCAAAUCUACUACUUCAAAGGCUUUUGUGUUCUUCUUGGGUUGUGCUCUCAAACAAAGACUUCAAGGUGAUGCUCUAGAUGAUUGCAUUACACAUAUUUAGGGUGGAGAGAUUGGAGAAGCUUGAAGAUGCCAACGAUGGGUACAAUUGAGUGGUCAAUAAGAACAAUGUAGCCUAUGACUAGUUUGAUGUCGUGGUACAAGAGUUUUAGGCAUUGAGGUUAAAGCAAGAGCAACAUGGAAUUGAUUUUGGAGUCUUUCAAUUAGUGUAAAGGAGGAAGAAGUGGUAUUGAUUCUAGAAAUAGGGUUUUAGGUGGUGCGUUAGAGGAUGAAGAAGAAGAAAAAGAAGGAUCUGUUGGAAUUAGUGUGAGUGUGAAGAGAGAAGUAUAUAAAUAAGGGGAAGUAAAAGCAAAGUUCUAAAAGCUAUAUUUUUUUUUAUUGUUGGUGUAUGGUUGCAUGAUUAUCCCUAUAAAUAAUAGGAGUUUUUUUGGUAUUCUACUAGUAGUUGAAGGAUAAUUUCAUAAAUUUAUAUUUAGAGUGGGGUGGGGUGAGUUGUGACAAAAUUCAUACCCGUCCUAAACCUUGGUUCAGAUUUUUAAAAUAUCCUCAAACUUAUCAUAUACCCAACUUUUAUAUUUCAUACUUGUCUUGAUAGAGGCAGGUUAGGCCGGGUUACUUGAGUAACCUACAUAAUUGUCAUCCCUAGUUGAAAUACACUUUUUUGGCAGUGGCCACCAACUGAGCUAGAAGCUUGAUCGAUUGACCUACAAGAUUAGUUCUCAUCAUUUUAAAAAAAGUUUUGGCCUUGGUUGUGAGUGCAAUUGAAUCUAAACUGGCAUUUCCUUAAUGCAUCUACUUCAAUCCUAAAUUUCUUACUUCCUAAGCCUCAAUUGUUGUUAGGAUUUUGGAAAGCCCAUUUCCUUAAAUUGUAAAUUUAAGAAAAAAUAAAAUAAAAGUGAGACAUUUCUUGAUUGAAUAUUGUUAAAGGUCCCUUGGCAUUAAGACUUGGUUGAAGCCUUGGAAGAUUAGUGGAACUCUCAACUUGUGUUUGAAUCUUGAGGAGAGUGGACGUAAGCCAAAAUUUUGUCAAACCAUUAAACAAAUUGAGUUUGAAUCCUCAUUUCUUGAUUUCUUAUUUAUUUGCUUUUUCUUAUUAUUACUUGAAUUGUCAUUUGCAUUCAUUAAUGUUAAAAUUGGUUAUAAUUAACCAACACUAAUUCUCUUUCCCCUUCCCUUUCUUGGGUGUAAACCUAGGUUGGAUUAACUAGAUUAAUUUAUAAAAUCUAUUAAGAUGGUAAAAGAAUAAUUAUUCUUAACACACAUAAGAUCAUCUUCAAUCAAAUGACUCAUUGGCUAAUAUGUUGAAUUUGCUUAUUACUUGCAACUCAAAAUUGUGUUCUAGUUGAUAUGUCAAGUCCCCAGUGUAUGGACAUUAAAUUUGUAGUACGUGAUGGUAAUUAGAUGGUCCAACUCCAAGAAAGUGAUUGAAAACUAGUUCAAGAAAGGUGCAAAAGGGAAUUGUUUUGGUAUUUUCGUUUUUAUUCUUGAAGGUGGCAGAGCUAAAAUUUGUGAAAUCAAGCAAAACAUACUGAAAUUACAUUGAAAGAAAGAAAAUGGGAGUUAAUGUCUUGCAGUAGAUGAUAAGGACUUCAUGCAUGUAGUAUGACCCAUGUCUUGGACUGAUGCCAACUCACGGUUACACUUAUACCCUUGGUUCUCUCUUUACUACCUUGGCUAACCUAGAUCAGGCUAUGAGAUAGGCUCCUCACCACACCAUUACUUGCCCAUUAAUUAGAGACAUUUUCAAGCACUGAGGUAACAUGGUGACACCAAGAGGGUUUAUUCCUCGCCCUCCUCGCCCUCAACAAGUCUAGACUUGGUCUCAAAAAAAUGGAGAAAAAUGAGGUGUCGUUAUGUAGAAAUACAACAACCAUGCCUUCCUCAUUACUUUGAUUCAGAAUGUGAAGGUGAAAUUGAGAAACAGAAACUCUUGAAACCAAAAUGAAAAUUGAUACUUUUACGAAGAAUUACAACAACAUUGGAGGAAGACUACAUUCUUCCUCUUUAUUCCUACAUUUCUACACUACUUCUACUCCACUCCAUAUUUCUACAUACAUCUUUAAUCAGUCUUCCCUCCUUUAUAUAGAGCCAUCUUCACACAAAUUCCGCAAGGUAGAAAAGAGGAAUGAAACUUGGAGCAAGGUUCGACUACUGGCUGUAGCUUGUCAAGGCUGGAAGUGAACCUUUUUUCUUGGCUUUUCUGGGCAUGGGUAGUAACUUGUGGGUUCCUUUUUGGGAUACAAAUGGCUAGAACAUGUGGCACUAUCUUGUUGGAUGAUGUGUCAAGCAUGUGGCAGCCAUCUAGUGGCGAUUAUGUCAAUUUUGGGAUGGAGAGUUGGCAUCCAAUUGCAAAGAAAUAUGACGUCUACCAACAGGCAAUGUAAACCUAUGUAGAUCAUAUGAAGAUAGAGAGGAAAAAUAUAGAAAUGGAUAUAUACCUAGAACUAGCUUUUUAUUAAAUGAAACGGAGAGCCAACAAUGAAGGAAAAUAAAUUUUUUUGGCUUAUAUCAAAGAGUUCACAUUGUGCUACCCUAGGUUUUCUUAAAACUUACUUUUAUGAUAACAAAAAAAAAAAAAAACAUUAUUGUUUAAUCCUUUGUUUUAAACGCAUGUUUAGCAAGUUAUAAAAUGUAAAAAUCUUUCUAAGUUCAAAUAUGAAGAUAUGACAUCAUUUCAAGCAAGAUAGUCUCUAGGAAUUAAUGUAAAGCUAAAUUAAGGUGAAAUUAAAUUAGUUCAAUGCAUUAAUUUAAGAAACUUGACCUAUCAAAAGUACAAAAUUAGAUGAAAUCCAUUUCAAUGGUUAAAAUGAUCAAAAUCAAACUUUUUCUAAGUAUUUUUUAAAAGUAUCAAUAUUGAAAGACAAUUUUAUAUUUAGUCAGAGUUUGGACAAAACCAAAAAGCACACAAAAUCCAAGCGACCAUCUCUAGCUUGGAUGGUCGCUUGAUCUCUAGCUUGUGUACUUGGAAAGCAACAUCGAGAUGAUAUAUAUAUAUAUAUAUAUUUUAUAUAAUAUUGUUUGUCCAAAUUCCCUAAAAAUUAGGCCACCACAUGUUCAUAAUUCUCCCUUCUUGAAUUUGAAAACUCGGACAAUUGGACAAUGCGACACCUAAGUCCGGUUUCUAAAUGCUAAAGUGAAAGGGUAGGUAUGGACCAUUGAAAUGUGAUCACAACUUUUCUCUGUAGCCAUGUUGUCUCUUUUUUCUUUUGCAUGAUUUUCUCACCUUAACAGAAUCAUAGACUUGUUUAAUCUCUAAAUGGGAUUAAUUUCAUCCAGCUUUAAGCUACUAUAUUAUAUCUAGGUGGAGGACUUUUAAGAGUGCAACCGACAUAGAGCACAUGCAAGUGGGUAUAUGGGACAUGAAAUUUCUUCUUAUAAAGAUUGCAUGAUUUUUAUAUUAGAGUUGUUGGGGCGCAAUGUAUGUAGCUUGUUUUGCAGUUAAAUUAAUUGGAUAAGUAGACAUUGGCGUUUCUAAAUCUACUGUGAAGUGCUUCAUGUACGUGUGAAGUAUUAGAAAUUUCUUUCUUGGCAACUUGUUUUUUCUUUGCGGUCUACUGAUAGGUUUGACUAAAAUUAUAUUCCCUGUCAUGCUAAUUAAUUUUCACGUGCAUGCUCAAAAGAAGAGUAUGACCUUAGUGCACCAAAAUCACUUUGAUUAAUUUGUGAUAGGUUUUUGUGCAUCAUGACAUUAGCCUUAUUCAUUUAGAUAAUGUUUAGUUUUUAGAAAGUAUUAAGAAAAGGAAAAUAAAUAUUAAGAAAAAUAUUCUUAUAUUUGAUUGUAUUAUGAAAAAUGUCAUAAAAAAAUCAAAUAUAAUUUAAAUUAAUUAAUAAUUUAUACAUUUUCAAAUUAUUUAAUCUUUAUAUUGAAGAUAUAAUAUAAAUGAAAUGAGUUUUAAGUAUUAUAUAAAAGUGAUUUAUUGAUCUUGCAUAUAUGUAUUUCUUUUUUUUUUCUUCUAUUUUUUUUCUUUAUUUUAUUUUCCUUAUGUUUUCCUCAACAUUUUCCGGAACCAAACAUAGCCUUAGGAAAUCCACAAUUACCUUCAACUGAGUAUAUUCGGUUGUUUUAGCAAUGUUAGGCUGCUAACUUGUGUUGGUACGAACCUGUUAAGCCUAAAGAUGUAAUUAGUUAGGAUAUUCUUUUCCCUCUAGUCUUGUAGCUCCACGUGUAUAGUUGGUUAGGACCUCAUUGUAUAUAAUGCCUGCCCUGUUAUUGUUGAAGACAACAGAGAUAAAUAAUAUUAACAUUUUUCCUCUCAUCUCUCUUUGUUUCCCUCUGUUUUCAUCUCCUCUCUCAUCUUGGUAUCAGAGCCUCCAUGGAUUCUUUCAAAGAAACCUCCGAAUCACCUUCUGCUAGCAUUGUUAAUGUGCAAAACCCAUUAUCUCAGUCAAACAACCUUCCUUCACCAGCAGCCACACCCUCUUUUUCUUUCUUGUCUAUGAAUCAACCUCUCACAGUGAAGCUGGAUAAUGGAAACUACCUCAUCUGGAAGAAUUAGCUUCUGAAUGUCAUCAUUGCGAACAGACUCGAUGAUUUCAUUUAUGGAACUCGACCCUGCCCUCCUUGAUUUCUCAAUCUGCAACAACAAACCCUCACUCCAGAGUACUCGGUCUAGCAGAGAUACAAUCGACUUCUAAUGAGUUGGCUGUACGCAUCCUUGUCCGAAGAUAUAAUGACUCAGAUUGUUGGGUAUUCAACAACUGUGGAGAUUUGGAACGUCCUUAAUCAGAUUUACUCUGCCUCUUCAAUGGCGUGGGUUACCGAGCUUCACACCAAGCUUCAAACGCUCAAGAAAGAUGGACUCUCAGUUGGUGAAUAUAUUCAAAGGCUCAAAUCCAUUUGCAAUAGUCUUGCAGCAAUAGGAGAACUAGUUUCUGAGAAAGACCAGCUUAUCUAUUUGUUCAAUGGAUUAUAUUGUGAGUAUAAUUCUUUUGUUACCUCCAUUCAAAAUCGAUCUGACCAACCAACUAUUGAGCAAAUCCAUAGCCUAUUGCUUAGCUAUGACUUUCGGCUUGAACAACAAAACUCUGUUUCUCUCCAUUAUGCCCAAGUCCGUAUGGCUCAUCUGAACAAGAAACCUUAUAAAUCAACUCCUCAACCUACAUUCAAUCAUAUUCACAUUCAACCUAGAUACUCUUCUCCACCUUUUAAGCCAACCACUAGUCAAUAUCAACCCAGGAUUUUGGGCAAACCACAACCACAACCAUGACAGCCUCAACCUCAAUGGAAACCACAUUUUUCAAUCCAGAAUCAAAAGCCUCAGUGCCAAAUUUGUGGUAAAUUUGGACACACUGCUCUUAUUUGCUUCCAUUGCACAAAUUUGAACUAUUCACCCCAACCUUCUCCUAAAUCUUUCAAUACUGUUCUCACCACAAAUUCCCAGCUCCCUAAUCCUCCAAAAUUUUCUUACCCUACAAUGGCUCAUCCUGCUGCUACGCAUAACACGAUUCCUGAUACAAAUUGGUACAUGGACUCAGGUGCUACACAUCACUUUACUCCGGACAUCAACAUGCUUGACACUGUGACACCAUUUAGUGGUUUAGAACAGGUGACAGUUGGGAAUGGUAAGCAACUCUGUAUCUCACAUCUUGGUACUGCAAAACUACCAUCCUCGUAUUCUCCUCUUGUUCUACAUCAGGUAUAUCACACUCCAAAAAUUUCAAAUAAUCUUAUUAGUGUUAGAAAAUUGUGUUCUGAUAAUAAAGUUUUUGUUGAAUUUUAUGCCACUCAUUUUCUUAUCAAAGAUCAAGUUUCGAAGAGAGUUCUCUUUCAAGGUCAACUUGAUAAUGGCUUAUACAAAGUUCAGUCGUCAUGCUCUCCUUCUACUAUUUCCUUUCAUCCUCAAGUUUUCAUAGCCAACAUCAAGGAUCAAAAUUUGUGGCACAAGAGACUAGGCCACCCAGCUUUAUCUGUUAUUAAUCAAAUCUUGGAUUCUUGUAACAUUGCUCGAACACAGAAAAUUGGUUUUAAUUUUUGUAGUUCUUGUCAAUUAGCAAAAAGCCACAGGCUUCCUUUUUCUCUGUCUCCAUCCAUUGCAGAAAAACCUUUUGAGUUAAUUCAUACAGACCUAUGGGGUCUUUCUCCUGUUCGCUCUAUUUCUGGUGCUCGUUAUUUUUUACUUUUCAUUGAUGAUCAUACUCGUUUUACUUGGUUUUAUUUGCUCAAAACAAAAGAUGAAGCAUAUCCUACUUUUCUCAAGUUUCAAGCUCUCAUUGAAAAUCAAUUUAAUACCAAGAUUAAGGUUGUCCAAUCUGAUUGGGGAGGUGAGUUUCGAUCUCUCUCCAUACUGUUUUCAAAUAUGGGCAUUGUCUAUCGUUUAUCAUGUCCAUACACCUCACAACAGAAUGAGUGGGUUGAGCGAAAAAAUCACCAUGCGGUUGAAAUGGGAUUGUCCUUUCUUGCUCGCUCGGGUAUGCCCUUAUCUUAUUGGCCUUAUGCCUUUCAAACUGCCACUUACCUUAUUAAUCGUCUCUCUACCCCUGUGCUGCACCAUCAAUCCCCUUACUUCGCACUCUAUCACAAAUUCCCAGCUUAUACUCAUCUUAAGGUCUUUGUUCCUCUUGUUUUCCAUAUUUACGCCCUUAUAAUACCCAUAAACUCCAAUACAGGUCACUGGAGUGUGCUUUUCUUGGUUGCAGUUCACACCACAAAGGUUAUCUAUGUCUUGACAUUCAUUCUAGCAGGGUGUAUAUUUCUCGCCAUGUGAUUUUUAAUGAAGAUUCUUUUACAUUCAAGAAUUUGAAAUCUUCUCUCUCUUAGUCUAUUUCUUCUUCCUCUUCUUUAUUAGUUCCUCUGUUCAUUUCCUUGCCUCCCCUCUCCCCAUAUCCUCCUAUUUCUCCAUCUAUAUCUCAUUCUUUUCUCUCUUCUUCUUCUACCUCUAGUACUUGUUCCCCUCUCGUUGCUCCUACCUCUCUUCCUCCCUCUUCACACUUUGUGUCCCAUCUAUUCCACCUCCUUCUCCACCUUCUUCGAGUGUGGACCUGCUUGUACCUUGUGUGAAUACAAAUUUACUUACUUUUUCUCGCACUCACAAUAUUCAUCCUAUGGUGACCAGAUCUAAGGGUUUGUAUCUAUAAACCUAAGUUGCUAUUGAGUGUCUCCAUAGGUUCUCUCACUAAGCCUACUUCCUUUCUUCAAGCUAUUAAAGAUCCUUCAUGGAAGCAAGCCAUGGAAUUGGAGUUUGCUGCCCUUCAACACAACAAGACCUGGCAUCUAGUUCAUUCACCUUCCUCAGGCAAAGUAAUUGGUUGUAAAUGGGUCUAUAAGAUAAAGCUUUAGCCUGAUGGCUAAUUGAGAGAUACAAGGCCCGCUUAGUAGCUUAGGGUUAUCAUCAAACUGAAGGUAUUGACUACUUCGAAACAUUCAGCCUGGUUGUCAAGCCUUCUACUACCGUAUUGUGCUCAGUCUUACUUUUUCCCAGAAUUGGUGUAUUAGACAGCUGGAUGUUCAUAAUGCCUUCUUACAUGGUGACUUAGCUGAAGACGUUUUCAUGGAACAACCACCUGGAUUUGUUGAUCCUCUCUAUCCUACUCAUGUCUGCAAGUUGGAUAAGUCUCUCUACGGUCUUAAUAGUCACCUCGGGCUUGGUAUACUAAGCUGAGUACUUCUCUACUACACUUGGGAUUUGUUACUUCUAAGAAUGACUCUUCCUUAUUUAUUUGUCAUUCGUCUCAUGGGUUACUUCUUGUUCUUGUCUAUGUGGAUGAUAUAAUCGUCACUGGGAGCCACUCUCCUCAAGUUACUCACCUUAUCCAAUAGUUGCAUCAUCAGUUUUCUUUAAAGGAUCUUGGUCAUUUACACUAUUUUCUGGGCUUGGAGGUUCAUCACACCCCUACUGGUAUUCACCUCAGCCAAGCAAAGUAUAUCACUGAUCUCCUUACCCGGGCGGCUAUGUUGGAUGCCAAGCCAUGUCCCACUCCUAUGUCCUCCAACACAUAUCUUUCUCUUCAUGAUGGAGUGGCUCUUGAAAAUGGUUCAGAUUAUUGAAGUUUUGUUGGUGCCCUUUAGUAUUGUACCAUGACACGCCCAGAUAUAGCUUUUGCAGUAAAUAAAGUGUGUCAAUUCAUGCACCAUCCCUCUGAUGUUCACUGGCAGGCUAUAAAACGUAUUCUCCAGUACUUAAAGGGCACAUCUCAUUUUGGUCUCUUCCUACAGCCUUCCUAUGACUUCAACAUCACUUGCUAUACAGAUGCCGACUGGGCUUCCUGCCUUGAUGACAAGUGUAGCACCAGUGGCUACUGCCUCUUUCUUGCCUCUAAUCUGGUUUCUUGGUCAUCUUCCAAACAAAAAGUGGUCUCCCGCUCCAGCGCCAAAUCAGAGUACCGAGGGGUAGCAAAUGGGGCUGCUGAAAUUGCUUGGACUGAAUCUCUUCUUUGUGAACUUUCCACCCACUCGACCUCCCCUCAUUGUCUGUGACAAUAUCAGUGCCACAUACUUAGCUGUCAAUCCUAUUUUGCAUGCCCGCACCAAAACAUGUGGAAAUCGACUAUCACUUUGUCUCGGAACGUGUUCUUCAACGCUCUCUCUCUCUCCAGUUUACACCUUCGGAUGAUCAACUUGCUGAUUGCAUGACCAAGCCUCUCUCCACCCAACGUUUCAUCACUCUACGCUCCAAGCUCACUGUUCUCACUAGACCAAUGAGCUUGAGGGGGGAUGUUAAGCCUAAAGAUGUAAUUAGUUAGGAUAUUCUUUUCCCUCUAGUCUUGUAGCUCCACGUGUACAGUUGGUUAGGACCUCAUUGUAUAUAAUGCCUGCCCUGUUAUUGUAGAAGACAACAGAGAUAAAUAAUAUUAACAUUUUUCCUCUCAUCUCUCUCUCUGUUUCCCUCUGUUUUCAUCUCCUCUCUCAUCUGAACCAAAUGAUCCAUGUUAACCUUGGCUUGGUUUGAUUUGGCUCUAUCUUAGAGAGCUCAAGGAUCACGUCAACUCUGGUUUCUACUAUUCAGGUCCAUUCCCAUAUGAACUGGUUCAAAUUUGAGAAAAUGGUAACAGACCUUUAGUGAUGUUGGUUUGGAGCCAGUUGCCAAACCCGCCCUGAGCUUUACCACUAAUGUCAAGGGAGAAAGCCUUUUGAACAAAAACAAUAGCUUCAAGAGACUGAAUCGUGGAUGAAAUCUGAUCCACAUUUCUUCUCAUUUUGGAAACAAAUGAGAACUUAACUAAGAAGAUUCUACGGCCUCAUAGUGCUUUUCCUGAUCUAAGGUUGGUUCGUUUCCCAAAUUGUGAGAUGCACGGGCCAGACUUCAGAACUCUCACGCUCAGGAGUGUAUCCACGUGGUGGACAUAAGAUGGUGGCUUAAGAUCUGGUGUCGGUGGCUUUACUUUACUAGGAGAGUAGUGUGUCUUCAUCUCAUUCACUGCCGGAGGGUGGCGUAAGCAGUGACGCUAAGGUGGGGCAUAGUCAAUAUCAUUUGCAUUUGACCAUUAUAGUUUUCUCCCGGCUUGAAAGUAACCUUAUCGUGAUAAAGGAUUACUAGCACUAGUUCAGAUGACAGUCAUGUUAAAUUCGGACCAUGUUUGUGUCACAUUAUCAGCAACCAUGUGUUUAUGGUUCAUGCUUUCUGCAACUGAAAUUGAAAUUGAUAUAUAACCAGGUGAACUUCAAUCUAAAUUCUGGAAGUACUCAUGUGAGCGAUGGUGCCCAUCUGCAGAGUCCAUCAAUUGAAAAAUGGAGUGAGUGUAUCUAUAAGAGGGAAGGCUUGGCAAAUGUCCAGUUUUCUGGGAAUUCAACAAGGAUCUAAAAUAGAUUGUUUUCUUUGCUGAUUUCAAUGGUUGAAAUUUGAGAAGAUUGUGUCCCACAUAACACAACUAUUACUGGUCCUUCUGUUGCAAUUUAUCCUCUAAGGCUCUAGCAUGUCUUCCAAUUCCCACUUCCCUGUUACUCCAGGAAAGCUAUUUCUGUCAUUGUGAAGAAGAAAAGAGAAUGUAGAUAUCGAUGCUUUUAAGUGACUGGAGCAUUCAUAUCAGGUGGUCUGCAGCCAUAUAUGCCACUUUGUGAAGAUUGGAACAGUCAAUCACUAGGCUAUAUAUUAGUGUGGCCCAGCCACUUUAAUCAAGGACAAUUCUUCAUACUUAAAAGUCAAAUUCUGCCUUUAGUCUCAUUAUAAAUUGCUGUUUAAAUAUUAAGCAAACAUUUGUUUAAUGCGAUUAAGACAGUACUAACUCAAUACUUGUUCUAUUUUUGGAUGGAAAUGCUUGAUGGUUUCAUCAUUGGAUGGGAUAAAGGUGCAUUCAUGAUUAUGAAUACUUGUAGUUAUAUUUUCAUUCUCUUUUUUCUCAAUGAGACUUGUUGGCACAAUUUUUCUGUUCAGAAACCUACCUCUCCAUGGAAAAUAAGUUGUGAUUGAUAGUACUGGAUAUAUUCAAGAAAGCUAAAUAUAGAUAGCACAAAAUAUUAUCGACAUAAAUAGCAUUAACAGCGUACGUAUGUCUCAGUGCUCAUCAGCCAUAAGCAUGGGGCAAACACUUACGAUGAGCAACUUACGUCAAAAUUCCAGAAUAGGACAUAGAAGUGACAGAUCUAUAUAUAUAGAACACUGCAUAAGAGUCACAAGAAAGGAAAUUACGGGUGCAUAGCAGCUCUUAUUUCACAUACUACUCAUACUGAUCAAAGUCACUCAGUUGGGAUGGGUGGGAGUAGGAGGUUUGUGGGGUGGCUUGUGCGGAGGAGUUGGCAGCUUCUUUCCAGGACCUGGUGGCUUCUCUCCCUUAGGUGGUUUGCCAACUGGGGUUGGUGGCUUGUAUGAGUCUUCAGCAUUCUCUGCAGGAGGGUGACCAGGGUUGUGACCAUAAUGUGGUGGCUUCUCUCCCUUAGGUGGUUUGCCAACUGGGGUUGGUGGCUUGUGUUCUGGGAGUGGCUUCUCCCCCUUGGGAGGUUUUUCCAAUGGGGUUGGUUUGUGUUCAGGAGGUGGCUUCUCCACUGGAGGCUUGUGUUCAGGAGGUGGCUUCUCCACCGGAGGCUUGUGUUCAGGAGGUGGCUUCUCCACCGGAGGCUUAUGCUCUGGUGGUGGCUUCUCCACCGGAGGCUUAUGCUCUGGUGGUGGCUUCUCGAAUGGGGGAUGCUUAGGGUAAUCAGCAAGUGAGGGGGCGGUGAGAACCACCAGGCCAAGCAAGACCACUAGCAAGUAUGUAGGAGACAUCUUUGGGUUUAGACUCAGAUGGUGCAAAACUAGGAGAAUUGUCUUUUAUAGCGGAUCGCACCCAAUAAUGAAAUGACACGUGUCUUUAUGACCCAUGUGUAAUGGGGUCGAUUUGGGUCCUACAGUGUUGAAAACUUCGACAUCCACUUUUGGCCUUUUGCUUUCUCUACAGCCGCCUUGCUUUUUCCCUCUUUCCUUUUGUUUUCCUCCUGCCCCAUUCUAUCAACUAAACACAAUUAUGUAGUUGUUUAAUUCUUAAAUGAGAUAUUAUCCGUCAAUCGUAUCAUAUUUUAUCAACAGAGAACGGAGUGCAAUGUGGCAAUCCAAAGAAAGAAGAUCCAUAAUGCAGCUGUAAUUUUAUCGUUUACUUUUAUCUCUUGGACCACUGCAUUUUUGUUAAGAGGUGCAAUAAUACACGUCUUUAUCUGCCAUUCAAUGUUUACAGUAAAGAGAGGGCACAAAACUCUUCACUGCUCUGCAUGUGUCCCAAAAAUGCAAUUGGACAAAUUAUGAUUUGCAUGCUAAAAAGAGGCAAAUGAGGUUAAUUCGCACCAUAAUUAUUUUGUUUUCUGGACCCCGGGGCCCUUUGGUUGGUUUGGGGGUCAGAAAAUGAACAUCAUAGGGGGUUUUUCCCUUAUGUGCAUUUGUAUCUGAUGGCUUUAACUCGCCUUGUUACUACAAAGAAAUUGUCACAUAUAGGAACUUAUUCCAGGCUGAGUAUCUCCGCAUAGACCCUAUAAAAGAAGACAAGUCAUAAUGAACAUCUAACCUUUGUUCAAUUUGAUUCAAUGCCCCAUUGUGUCCACCUCACAAAUCUGAAUUAUUAUAUCCAUUGAAUACAUAAAUUAAUGAAGAAAAUAUGAAACCCAAGAUACAUCUCUGCACAACCUCAACCCUGGUUGCUAUGUUUCCCUUCUAUUCACAUGAGGAUAUUGAUUACGGAAUAGGGAAACCUAGCAAGGGUUUACUCGGCUCUGGUUUGAUGCUAAUUGCCAAACUUGCAACAAGCCCUGAGUUUGAAGCUCACAGAAGAUGUUAUACAGGCAGGGAAAAACCUUCAGAGUUCGCUGCCAAAGAUAAUUAUUAAGGAGAUAUCACCAAGAGAAUUCCAAGGAGUCUGAAUCAAAGACAAAUUGGUCGUUCGUGGAGGUUCUUACUUUCUUUUGGGUAUAACUCACUGAGGGCACUGUCUUUUUUAUUUUCAUUUCACAUUUAGAGUUCUGUUCUGGAAACAUAUAAAAGGAGCAUCAGUUUGUUCUUGGGUAACCCAUAGUCGUGAGUGGGUCCAUUUGCAUGCUACUUAGUUGAAAAGUUGGACCAUUUGCUCCGACGCCUACCUCCUGGAUUCCAUGCUCGGAUAAAACAAGAAUAAAAAAAUAUUUAUAAUUUACAAAUGGGGGAAAGAAAAAAAUGUCAACAACAAACUAGGAAAAAAGAGUAGUAAAAUUCAUGUCACAUGCUAGUGAGAGAAGGGGUUGUUACACUCACUCGAAGUUCUUUUCAAAAUAUCGCAUGGUAUUUUAUUUUAUGUGUGAGCGCAGUUGUGAAUGGAACGUGCAAAAGUCCAAAUUGGUGACCUUUAAUAAAUAUUUAAAACAAAAAACGAAAAAAAGGAGGGAAAAGGGAUCAGAAAAGAUAAAACAAUGUGUACAAAAGCUCAAUUAGUUUGCAAAUUACUGUUUGGAUUUUGAUAGUAUUUUAUUUGAUGUAAAAGAGAAUUUAAGAUAUUUCCGAAACAAAAGCAUUAGUUUGCUCCAUGUCAAUUUCGGCAUUUCUCAUAUGUUUCACACAUACACAGAAGAGCAUCGUUUUUUAAAGCAUGCAUUUAUGUUGGAUUAAUUUGGAUUUUGUGGGAACUGGGGCAAGGAUCACAUGGAAGAGAGGUUGACUUUUUUCAGUACUUCAAUGGUUGAGACAGGUGAAGGCCUGAUUGAUACUGAAGCCUGAAAUUGCGACUCCGUCAUUUGUCAAAACAUAUGACAGCUUCCAUGCUCUCGUUUGGUUGCAUUGUUCUGUGGUCAUGCAUACAUGCCACUUAGUGAUCAGUCUGUAACUGUCAAUCAUUGGGCUUUGACUGAACAACAUCAGCCAUGUAUAAAUACUUGCAAAUCAAACGGUCUUCUUCCUCCCAUAAGGAAUUUCGGUUUAAUUAUGAAGCAUGCAUUUGGCUGACCAUCAUAAACCACUUCUUUAAAUUGAUGAAUGAUAGUUUUUCAUUCAUUCUUUCAUUCGUUCAUAUACAGAGUAUAUAUAGAGGGUAAUCAUCAUUCUAAGAAUGGGAAAGAAUGAUACAAGGAAAUAAUGAUAUAAAGAAAUAACAACUAAUAUUCUAAUAUCUCAACUUUCCUAAUAUCUAAACAUUCCUAAUAUCUCAACACUAAAUGAUAUAAAGAAAGAAUGAUAUAAGGAAAGCAUUCCUAAUAUCUCAACACUCCUCCUCAAGUUGGUGCAUAGAUGUCAAACAUGUCCAACUUGUCUAAAAAUUUUGAGAACAGUUGACUUGAGACAUCUUUGGUGAGGAUAUCGGUCAAUUGAUCUUCUGAUCGAAUCUUAGGCAAUUCCACAAUCUUAUCAUCCAACUUUUCCUUAAUGAAAAAUCUAUCCAUCUCGACAUGCUUUGUACGAUCAUGUUGUACUAGAUUAUGAGCAAUGUCACAUGCUGCUUUAUUGUCACAAAACAAUCGGAUUGGUUGCCUAGAUAGGUAACCUAAAUCCUAUAAGAGGAGUCUUAGCCAUAAUGCCUCACAAAGUCCUAAAGUCAUACCUCUAAAUUCCGCUUCUGCACUUGAACGAGCGACGACAUUUUGCUUCUUACUUUUCCAUGUCACAAGAUUACCACCUACAAAGGUAAAGUAACCAGAUGUAGAUCGCCUAUCAUCCACUGCACCGACCCAAACAGCAUUAUACUUCUAUACUCUGAUGAUCAACAUUUUUAGCGAACAAAAUUCCCUUCCUAGGAGCAUUCUUCAAAUACCUCAAAAUACGCAUGACUACAUUCAUAUGUUGCUCUCCAGGAUUAUGCAUGUAUUGACUCACUACACUCAAUGUAUAAGCAAGAUCUAGUCUUGUAUGAGCUAAGUACAUUAAUCUCCCCACAAGUCUCUGGUAUCUUCCCUUAUCGAUUGAUACUUGAUUAGGCUCAACACACAAUUUCAGACCUUCUUCUAUUGGUGUAUUAAUAGGUUGACAUCCCGACAUUCCAGUUUCCUGUAGAAGAUCUAAGGCAUACUUUCUUUGAGACAGAAAAAUUCCUUCACUUGAUCGAGAAACUUCAAUCCCAAGAAAGUAUUUCAGACGACCAAGAUCUUUCAUUUCAAAUUCUCUAGAUAGAUACUUUUGCAAAGCUUUUCUUUCUUCAGGAUCAUUUCCUGUAACUACAUGUCAUCCACAUAUAUCAUAAGUGUCGUAAUCUUACCAUGUUGCUUUUUCAAGAACAAAGUGUGAUUUGAAUUACUUUGAUGAUAGCCAAAAGCUCUCAUUGAUUUUGUGAACCUUCCAAACCAUGCUCUCGGGGAUUGCUUCAACCCAUACAAUGACUUCUUCAAUUCGCACACCUUCUGACAUUGCUUUUCUGACACCAUGCAUCCUGGUGGAAGAUCCAUAUAUACUUCUUCAGAUAAAUCGCCAUGCAGAAAGACAUUUUUUACAUCGAACUAUUGUAAUGGCCAAUCUAGGUUUGCAGCUAAAGACAAUAAUACUCGAACUGUGUUGAUCUUAGCUACAGGUGCAAAUGUCUCUGUGUAGUCAAUUCCAUAAGUUUGAAUGUACCCACUAGUCUUGCUUUAAAUCGUUCAAUACUACCAUCUGCCUUGUACUUCACAGUAUAGAUCCAACGACACCCAACUAGCUUCUUUCCUGGUGGACAUUCUACGAGUUCCCAUGUUUCAUUUUUCUGCAAUGAUUUCAUCUCUUCAUUCAUGGUUGCUUUCCACUUUGGAUCAGCUAAAGCUUCCUGCACACUAUUAGGAAUAGCUACAGUAGAUAAUUGAUUUACAAAUGACUUAUUUGAUUCAGACAAACCAUGGUGUGGACCCGCAUUUUUCACGUGCGCCUCUACUCGAUCGGCGAGACUCGCUUUCUAUUUGUGAAAAAUUAAUUUUAGAAAAGUUGGAGUCGCCACCUAUUUUAUUUUUAUUUUGAAGGGAAAAUAAAACAAGAAAGAAAAACCCUAAAAAGUGACUCCAUAGUUUUGGAAAAAGCAUGUCUUUGGGAAACCUGAGUCUAGGUCCGGGGAUCAUGUUACUUAUUGGGAAGGUACCUCUAGGAGGUAGCACCCCUCUAAGCCUUAUGAAGGUCUCUACUAACUAAAUUAAGGGAAGUGUGGCAAUAAAUCGAUUGAUCAUAGAUACCUAAGUAGACUAGGUGAUUUUAAAGUGUGGCAUGUCAAACACAAUCAAAUUGCAAUAAAGGAGAGUUAGGGCGCGUACCUGAACCGCUUCUCAAGCGCUAUCAUAAAACAUCAAUGGUUAAUUUAAAUAAUAUAUCAUCCAGCAUGUAUUUUAUUAGAAAUAAUCAAACAAUGAAACAUGUAUAUCAGAACACUCAAGCAUUAUUAGACAUAAGCAUUAUUUCACUAUUCACAGAAUUCAGAAAGUAGGUGAUAGAGGACAUACCUGGAUAGCAUAGAUAAUUUGUAAUGUGCUUCCUCAAGUUGUAAGGGGUUAGAUAACAAAUAAUAAAAUAUAGAAAUCCUAGCAUGCUCGUUAUCUAAUUAGCAUAGCAAAAGUGAUCACAGUAUACAGAAUCAUCAAUUAUCACAUACAUCUUGUAUAUAAUUCCUAAAAAAAAUAGAUAGACAUGAUUUCAACAAGUGUCAAAUGUGGCAACAAAAAUAAAUUUUGAAAAGAUUUUCUUAUGUAGGGGUUUCACCAAUUCCCCAAAUUAAUAUACACGAAUUUAGCUUAGAAUUAUCCCAUUUAUUUGGGACUACAAGCUUUGAUUCGUGUUUUUGUUCAAAACCAAAAAUUUUUGUUGAAAAUCAAGAAGGAUGCGAACCGAACAAGAUAUGGUUGCAUAUUAUUUUUAAAUAAAUAAAUAAAUAAAUAAAGGAGAUUUUGAUCCUGAGGACUUUAAUGAGUUUUUUUUUUUAAAAUAGAUUUUUAAAAUGAUUUUUUUGAGAAAAGUAUUUUAUUUUAAAAUAAAAGGGAUUAAUUUGGGAAAAAAAUAAAAUAUAAGAAAUAAAAUACCAAACAAAACAAAAAUGAAACCUCAAAGUAAAAUUUUUUUAGUAAUUAACAAAAAUGAUAAUGGUGAUGGUAGAGGGCAAUCUUCAUGAUUUUCCAAUGGCCUCAGAAAGAAAAUCAAAUUAAAUGAAGGAUCACUAACAGGCAAGACAUUCUAAAUUAGACAAACUAACAAAGUAUCAAUUCAUGAACUAACCGCUAGGAUUUUGAAAGCAUAUAAGCUAAGAUAAGGGUGAUCAGGAACUAAUAUUAAUGAUUUUGAAAUAAAAACUAAAAAAAAGGAUCAAUUCGGGUAAGGAACUAAAAUUAUAAAAGUACCUAAACUAAUUAUGACGAGUUUGACUAAAUUAAACUAAAAACAUGAACUUUCAAACAUAGAAUUAAUUUUACUAAUGAACCAAAGCAAACUAAAAAUAUGUACUUUCAAGCAUAGAAUUAAUUUUAUUGAUGAACUAAACUAUAACAAAUAUCUAAACUAAAUAUAAUGAAUCAAAUUAAAUUAAAGCAACUUAAAAACGCAAACUUUCAAACAUAGAAUCAAUUUUAUCAAUGAAUUAAAACUAUAAAUGUAUUUGAACUAAAUAGAUGAAUCAAACUAAAUCAGAGCAAAAUUAAAAAAAAAAAAGAACUUUCUAACAUGAAAUCAAUUUUAUCAACAAAUAAAUGAAUGAAUAACAAGUAAUUAAAAGAAUAGCUACUACAUGAAUAACUGAAUGAAUAAAAUUCAAAUGUUUUCAAUCUGAAGCAAUCAAUCAAAAUUAAAUAGGGAUCAAAUCAAAAUAAUCGAAAUCGGAAAAACAAUAUGCAAUCUUUCUAAAGGUUUAACCAGACAAUUGAAUUAAAAUUAUGAAUAGAAUAAAUUAAUAAACCAAAUCGAAACCUAAAUUGUACCUAAAAAGAUUAAUUAAUUAAACUAAGAAAUCAAAAUCAAUAACAAAACUAAACUAAGGAGUAAAUUAAGACAAGACUAAUUAAAUUAAACUCACAAACACGUUUUAACUAUCAUAUGGAUUAAAACAAAAUUAGCAUGGACUUAUGAAUUACGAACAAAAAUAAUCAAAACUAUUUUAAAAAACUCACCUCUAUUAUAAGAAAAAAUCUGCCUUUGAUGCGUUGAGGUGGCUCCCCUCUCUGUGUGGAUCUCUCUGCUCCCCAGAAAAAAAAUGUCUCUUCCUCCGUUCUCUUUUGUUUCAGCAAAAUAAUAUAUCCCCUGCUGUGGAUCUCUCUACUCCCAGAAAAUAAUAUAUUCUCUCCGUGUCCUAAAGUGGACCUAGGGUGCCUAAGUGGACCUAGGGUGCCUAAAUGGGCCUAGGGUGCCUAAAUGGGCCAAGUGUAUCUAAAUAGGCUUAGGGUGCCUAAGUGGGCCUAAGUCUAAGUGAGCCUAAGUCUAAAUCAAGACUACCAAGGAUCAUAAUAAGGGGUUAGGCAAUCCCUUAACCAAAGUCUCCAAGGUGGCUAAAAAAAAGUAAGUAGUAUGAGUAGCUAUGGGUCACCAAGGAACUACUGUGGAGCAUUGAAAACGAAUUUAAAGACAUGUGCCAAAGGGACAAAAUUGAGGGUCUACAGAUGGUUAGACACAUAGUUGCUCAUGGGAUAUUUGACUUUGGUAAACAAUUCAGAUUCAUAUGUGGGUUUAGGAAUACCUUUAUUAUGACGGUGUGGUAAUCGUUUCAUGAAUGGAUCAGGUUGCAAAUUAAGAACACCCUCAGCAAACAACGAUUGGUUUGGUAUUUCAGUGAAGACAUCUUCGAACCCAAAUUGUUGACCACUCAUAUCCAACUCACCCGCUUCCUGGUUCACUAGUUCAGAUUGUCCAAAUUCAUCAUUCUCAUAGAUAUGAUAAUCAUAAUCGAGAGUCUGAAUUUCCUUAUGGUACUCCCCCUGAAGUUCAGACUUAGAUGAAAAAUACAUCGAAUAUUCAUGAAACAGCNNNNNNNNNNNNNNNNNNNNNNNNNNNNNNNNNNNNNNNNNNNNNNNNNNNNNNNNNNNNNNNNNNNNNNNNNNNNNNNNNNNNNNNNNNNNNNNNNNNNNNNNNNNNNNNNNNNNNNNNNNNNNNNNNNNNNNNNNNNNNNNNNNNNNNNNNNNNNNNNNNNNNNNNNNNNNNNNNNNNNNNNNNNNNNNNNNNNNNNNNNNNNNNNNNNNNNNNNNNNNNNNNNNNNNNNNNNNNNNNNNNNNNNNNNNNNNNNNNNNNNNNNNNNNNNNNNNNNNNNNNNNNNNNNNNNNNNNNNNNNNNNNNNNNNNNNNNNNNNNNNNNNNNNNNNNNNNNNNNNNNNNNNNNNNNNNNNNNNNNNNNNNNNNNNNNNNNNNNNNNNNNNNNNNNNNNNNNNNNNNNNNNNNNNNNNNNNNNNNNNNNNNNNNNNNNNNNNNNNNNNNNNNNNNNNNNNNNNNNNNNNNNNNNNNNNNNNNNNNNNNNNNNNNNNNNNNNNNNNNNNNNNNNNNNNNNNNNNNNNNNNNNNNNNNNNNNNNNNNNNNNNNNNNNNNNNNNNNNNNNNNNNNNNNNNNNNNNNNNNNNNNNNNNNNNNNNNNNNNNNNNNNNNNNNNNNNNNNNNNNNNNNNNNNNNNNNNNNNNNNNNNNNNNNNNNNNNNNNNNNNNNNNNNNNNNNNNNNNNNNNNNNNNNNNNNNNNNNNNNNNNNNNNNNNNNNNNNNNNNNNNNNNNNNNNNNNNNNNNNNNNNNNNNNNNNNNNNNNNNNNNNNNNNNNNNNNNNNNNNNNNNNNNNNNNNNNNNNNNNNNNNNNNNNNNNNNNNNNNNNNNNNNNNNNNNNNNNNNNNNNNNNNNNNNNNNNNNNNNNNNNNNNNNNNNNNNNNNNNNNNNNNNNNNNNNNNNNNNNNNNNNNNNNNNNNNNNNNNNNNNNNNNNNNNNNNNNNNNNNNNNNNNNNNNNNNNNNNNNNNNNNNNNNNNNNNNNNNNNNNNNNNNNNNNNNNNNNNNNNNNNNNNNNNNNNNNNNNNNNNNNNNNNNNNNNNNNNNNNNNNNNNNNNNNNNNNNNNNNNNNNNNNNNNNNNNNNNNNNNNNNNNNNNNNNNNNNNNNNNNNNNNNNNNNNNNNNNNNNNNNNNNNNNNNNNNNNNNNNNNNNNNNNNNNNNNNNNNNNNNNNNNNNNNNNNNNNNNNNNNNNNNNNNNNNNNNNNNNNNNNNNNNNNNNNNNNNNNNNNNNNNNNNNNNNNNNNNNNNNNNNNNNNNNNNNNNNNNNNNNNNNNNNNNNNNNNNNNNNNNNNNNNNNNNNNNNNNNNNNNNNNNNNNNNNNNNNNNNNNNNNNNNNNNNNNNNNNNNNNNNNNNNNNNNNNNNNNNNNNNNNNNNNNNNNNNNNNNNNNNNNNNNNNNNNNNNNNNNNNNNNNNNNNNNNNNNNNNNNNNNNNNNNNNNNNNNNNNNNNNNNNNNNNNNNNNNNNNNNNNNNNNNNNNNNNNNNNNNNNNNNNNNNNNNNNNNNNNNNNNNNNNNNNNNNNNNNNNAACCAAAGGAAGCAUGUUCCAGACGUCGAUGCCACAACCAAAUUUCAGACUUUUUCUUCUCCUCCUUAGAUCCAUCUGCCAUCAAGGCUUGUUGCAACUUAUUUGAAUCCUUUGAUUGCAAGUCCAAGUAUAGAGUUUCCCCCGCUUAAUACGACAACCAAUCGUCUGUCUUGUUUGAAUGUCCUUAAUCACACAAAAUUCAGGCCAAAAAAUGACAAUACAAGAUAAGGCUGCAGUGAUUUGAGAAACUAACAAAAGAUUGUAAUCUAAAGAUGGAACAACUAAAACAGAAUCCAAAUUCAAAGUAUCAGUAAGAGUUAAGGAUCCUUCCCCAAUGACUGGGGUUGUGUUACCAUUGGCUGUGGAAACAAUUUUUUGUGAGGAAGGUCUAAGGGGUGAAACCUGUCUAGAAUCAAAAGUCAUAUGAUCUGUAGCACCAGAAUCAAUUAUCCAUGCACUAUUAAUAACAGGUGUAAAAGUAUUUAAAAACUUACCACAAUGAUCUGUAGCGGCUACUAAUGCAGAGACUUUCUCAACAACAUUAGUCUUUGUUUUUAUUUCGGUAACAGUUGCAAUCAAGGUUUUCUUGGAAUUCUUCUUCCGUUGAUCACGAUUAUUAUCAUUAAUAACAAAGUGUUGAUAGCCUAAACAUGAUCUAAAGGUCCAUGGUGCAAACCCUCGGUUCCUCAUUGUUUUCCUGGUCAUACCAAGAGUUGUUGCUUUGAAAUUGUGGGAUAUCCAGACUGGUGGGAUCAGUUUUAUUGCAGUGAGUGCAUUUGAAUGUUGACUUAUCAAUAUUAGGGCUUGUCUUCGGAUGGUUGAUUGCUGUUGGACUACCAUAGCGACAAAAUAUCCAGGAUUUCAAUUCCAGGGCUCUGAUACCAUCUUCAAAUUGAUGAAUGAUAGUUUUUCAUUCAUUCUUUCAUGUACAGAGUAUAUAUAGAGGGUAAUCACCAUUCUAAGAAUGGGAAAGAAUGAUACGAGGAAAUAAUGAUAUAAGGAAAUAAUAACUAAUAUCCUAAUAUCUCAACUUUCCUAAUAUCUCAAUAUUCCUAAUAUCUCAACUUUCCUAAUAUCUAAACAUUCAUAAUAUCUCAACACUAAAUGAUACAAGGAAAGAAUGAUAUAAGGAAAACAUUCCUAAUAUCUCAACACCACUUCAUGAUAUAUAUAGUUUCUUACCCUUAAUCAAUGGUUUCUAAGUGAAUUUAUAUAGAAAGAAAUCCAAACUGUAGACAGCAGUAUUGGUAACACUCAAUAUUCUGUAUAUAAUAGAAUAAAUAGCGUCACAGUGAUCGUCGCCUACAAGCAAGGUACAAAUACCACAAAGAGUGACCCACAUAGACAUUCCCCAACAAGAUGUAGUAGUGACUGACACAUAGCCACAAUUAACACGUAGAAAAGGAUAAGACCGGUGCACAGUAGCUCUUAUUUUACAUACUACUUAUGCCAACCAAAGUCACUCAGUUGGGAUGGGAGGGAGAUGGAGGUUUGUGCGGUGGCUUGUGGGGCGGAGUUGAUGGCUUCUUUCCAGGAGCUUCUGGCUUUUUCAUCGGAGCUGAAGGAGGCUCAAUCUUAUGAGGCGGCUUGUACGAGUCUUCUUUGCUCUCGAAAGGAGGGUGGCCAGGGUUGUGACCAUAAUGUGGUGGUUUCUCUCCCUUGGGAGGUUUACCAAUUGGGGUUGGUGGCUUGUGUUCUGGGAGUGGUUUCUCUCCCUUGGGAGGUUUAGUGGGUGACUUGUGUUCUGGAGGUGGCUUCUCCACCGAAGGCUUGUGCUCCGGUGGUGGCUUUUUGGUUGGAGGGGGCUUGGGGUAAUCAGCAAGAGAUGGGGUGGUGAGAACCACCAGUCCAAGGAACAACACUAGCAAGUAUGUGGGAGACAUUUUUGAGUUUGGGCUGAUCAGAUGAUGCAAAACUAAAGCAUUACGUGACCUUUUAUAGCAAGUAGCUCCCAAUACCUACUUGACACGUGUUACUGUGACCCAUAAAUAUUAUGGGGUCUAUUUGUGCCCUACCGGGUUGAAAACUUGGACAAUUGGGCAAGGACCCGCCUGACUAUGGAGGACUACUGAGGUGUGAUCACAGCUUUAGGAUUUUUCUUCCUCUGCAGCCGUCUUGCCGUUGGCAUGAUUUUCUUAAUCUCAAAUAAAGGCAUAGUUAUAGAGUUGUUUAAUCUCUAAAUGGGAUUUUAUAUAUCUUCAGAUAGCCAUUAAUACAUUUGAUGAAGAAAGAAAGACAAGUGCAUACAACAUGUAUACGACUAGCUUUCAUGGAGUUCAUUUAUGAUCAGUUUUCCUGUACAUGUAAACCAAGAUCAUAUAUGUUUUUGUUCCACAACAAUUUUGGAAUCUUGUUUAUCCGUUUUUAUCAUUAUAAUGUCACAUAGGCUGCCAACUUGGGCGCUAAAUUAAAGAUCCAGUUGGGCAAGUUCGUUUCAGAAUUUCAAUGGUGGAUUCAGGAAUUGUUUUAUAAGAUAUGCAAAAUAGUAGAGGGAUGAAUAGUGUUUCAUUAAGAAAAGAGCCCUGUAAAAAUAUUGUUUAAAGGUGCCAUAGAAACUAUAAUCAAUAAAUAACUUUUUUUCCCCAUGGGUGGUGUUUCUUGUGGGGAUCAGUGACUGGUUUGAGUCAACGCCGUGUCUCUUUAGUCCAGAAAUCAACUAUUUUAUGCAUUGAAUACAUCAACAAAGAAAAUAUGAAAGCCAAAUGACACCUCCCCCGCAAAAACUAAACCCUGGUUGCUAACUUUCUAUGUUUCAGUUCCAUUCACACAAGAAUAUUAGUUCAAGUUUGAGAAAAAUGGCGACUUACCUAGUGAUAACUCGGUCUUGGUUUGCGAUUUGACUUUAACGUCAUGGGUUGAAGCCUCCUACAAUCAUCGUGUAUGCUAGUUCAAAGCUCGUGGAAGAAGUUAUACAGGGAGGGAGAAACCUCCACAGCAAGCUCCAAAAGAGAAUUAUCACAUUGAAAGCUCCAGUUGAACACUGGGUGAAAGCCAUAACAAGAUUGGUUUUCUAUCGCUCUUUUAAGUAAUGGAAGAUUAUUAUCUCUGCUUGUCACUACAACCGUGCAUGCUGCUAGAUCUUUCUAGACACUUCAAACAGUGAAACCAAGUAUGAUUCUUUUUCUCUUGAGUGGGUCCACUUGCAUGCCAAUGAACGAGUUGAAAAGUUGGACAAUUGGCCACAGCGCGCACUUACCUUCUGGAACCGAAGGUCAGUGAAGUGGGGUUCCUUUUGGCCCCUUGUGUUUCUGUUCCAACCUACUCCAGGAACCGAAGUUCAGUGAAGUGGGGCUACUUUUGGCCUCUUGUGUUUCUGUUCCAACCAAACAAAAAUGGGAGGGAAAAAUAGCAUUAUGCUUGUGCUAAAGAUCAACGCAUGAUAGCUGAAUAAGGGAGAAAAAGGCAUUGCUAUCUCAAUUUCAUAAACUUGAUAAGUAGUGACAUUAAUAGUCUUCCUCAUAGAUGGAUACAUGGUUUUAUUUUAUUUAUUUAUUUUUAUUUUUUUGUUUUAUGUCAAUGCUAAUGAAUGAAGUGCAUUAGCUUGUUUUGUGACUAGAACUACAAAUGUCCAAAUUGGAGCUUCUCCAAUAUAUUUCUCAGUGAGUUAUUGAUUAGAACUCUUGGAUUGAGUUCCAAGAUUUGAAUCAGACCCCUCUAGCAGCUUCAGGGGUACGUAGCAACCUAUAGCAUAUUAAUGAAGACUUAGGAUUUAGACUUAGGAAUACAAAUUAAUAUGUACCUCAUGCUCUGACUAGCUUCCCUGCGUAUGCACAAAAUGGAGAUGACUCCCAAAAAAAUAGCAGAAUCGCCUUAGUAUGUUUUUGUGGUUAAGAUGAUUCUCCACUUUAUAUAUCCACAUUGGUUCAUUAUGCAAAUUAAUCAACUAAGCUAUUUUUAUUUUUUCUUAAAUGUGAAAUAGGAGCUCCAAAUUAACCUAACCAUUGGCCUGAUUGAAUUGAUUUCACUUGCAUAAUGUUAUAGUAGAAGUCCGUAAUUUGAAUUUUAUUUUUGCAAAAGGUAACGUAAAUGAAGCAUUGUAAUUAAAUUUAUUUGUAAUUACAAACUAAUUUUAUUUUAUUAAGAAUUAAUUUAAUUACUCAUUUAAAAUAAAAAUCAGUUAUACUUUUACCAAGAUGAUAAUAUUCAUAUUUUUCUAGUUAACAUAUAUAAAAUAGUACACUUUUUCAUAUAAAAAAAUAAUUUAUGAUUUAUUAUAAUGUUACUAUUCACAUUUUACUAAAUUGAUGGUACAUGAUAGUGAGAGAAGGGGGUGUCACACUCAGCUAAAGUUCUUUUCAAAAUAUUGCAUGGUGUUUAAUUUUAUGUGUCGGCGCGCGUGUGAAUGGAACCUGCAAAAGUCCAAAUUGGCGUUUCUCCAUUUUCCACAUAGGAUGGUGACGUUAAUAGACAAAGAUACAAUAUCUGUAGACAUUGCUUAAAAAUCGAUGUGAAGUAUUAGAAAUUACAGGGCACUGUACUGGGGGAGCGGCUGCCCCGCCAAAGGAGGAAGAAUGUAGCAAUUUCUUCUGUUAGCCAGGCCUUAGGAUUUAUGCAUGGGAUGCCUAAUAACAAACAGAGAAAAUAUACUUUUGGGGAAGGUAUCCAACAACAGACACCAUCAUUCAGAUGGUGGGAAGGUAUCCAACAGAUGCCAUCAUUCAGAUGGUAACAUAUAUAUACAUUUAUUAGUGAGUUUUUUUAAUACCUAUAAAAAAAAAUAUACACUUUGAUAUUGUGGCUGAAUCCAUUACAUACUCAACUAACCUUGCUCAUUAGGGAUUUGACUUAACAAGGGCAACGUUGCAGUACAAGCUCAAAACUUUAUGCAGGUGACAUUACAUUUGGUAAAGAAGAGGAAAAUAACGAAAGCCAUCCAUAAAAGCAAAAUUCCACAUGGGAUGAAAUUCACAAGCUUCAUUUACGAUAGAGUCGCAUCCAGGCAAUUAAUUCCACAUUAGACCGCCUGUUGACAUGUGUACCAAUCUUUUUUCAAAAAAUAUUUAUAAAUAAUUGAUACUCACAAAAAUAAUUUAAUAUUUAUAAAGGAUAAAAAAAUAUUUUCAAAUCUAUAACAAUUUAUAAAAUAUUAAUAAAAAAUUAUCUCUUAAACUUAGUAUAGUUUUAUCAGAUUAAACUUUUAUUUUGAACAAAUAAUUUUAAUCUAAGUUUUAAAUUCUAAAAUUAUUUCCUUAAAAUAAAAUUUUAAAAUUCAACACUUCAAUUGAAAUUGUCUUUUUAAAAAAUAUCUUCUUAUUUUAAUCCUUAUAAACUAUAGUUGAUUGAAAAUACUAUUGAAGUUCUCUCUUAAAAAAAAGUCUUAUUUUAAUCUUCAUAAAUUGCCCUUGAUUUGAAAAUAAAUUUUCAGUUAUCAUAUUUUAAAUAAUAUCUAUAUUUAAAAUACUCUAUUUAAAAAAAAAUGAACUAAUUUUAAUUAUAUUAUAUUUUAUUUUUUUAUAUAUUUUUAAUGAUAAACCAAACAUAGAAAAUCAUUUUUCUAAAUAUUUUAAAAUUUCUAAGCAACCAAACAUAAUCUUCAAAAUAAAAGGAAAAUAAGGAGGGACAUUUGAGAAAUGGCGAUUAAAAAAAAGUGUACAAAAGCUCAAUUAAUUUUCUUCUAGUCUUUUAUAUAAAAAAGUAAAGGAAUUGAAAAGUAUUGAUAUGUAAAUUAAUAUUUGGAUUUUAAUAGUAUUUUAUUUGUCUUUCUCUAUCUCAUGUAAAAGAGAAUUUAAGAUAUUUCCUAAAGCAAAGCAUUAGUUAUCUGCAAUCAGUGGUGAUCAUGCCCCAUGUCAAUUUCGGACCCAUAUCUUAAAACUGUAUAAUUUGCAUUCAAACAUUACUGAUUUCUCAGAUGUUUCAUACUCCACAGAAGAGCAUUGUUUGUGAAAGCAUGCAUUUAUGUUGGAUUUUGGAUGAUGUGGGAACUGGGGCAAGGAUCAUAUGGAAGAGUGGUCGAUUUUGUUCUGUACUUUAACAUUUGAAAUAGGAGAAGCUCGGGCAUUUGUGGGGCUUAAUUGAUUUUGAAGCCUGAAAUUGCGUUUCUGUCAUUUUGUAAAAAAUAUGGCAGAUUCCAUGCUCUCAUAUGUUUGGUCUGUGGCCAUGUAUAGAUGCCCCUUAGUGACCAGUUUGUAACUGUCAAUCAUAGUGUUUUGACUCUGGCUCAACAACAUCAGCCAUUGACGGAUUUUCAUACUUGCAAAUCAAAUAGUCUUCUUCCUCCCUUAGGAAUUUCGGUUUAAAUGUUAUUAAGCAUACAUUUGGCUGACAAUUAUUAACCACUUCAUGAUAUGGUUUCUUACCCUUAAUCAAUGGUUUCUAAGUGAAUAUAUGCAGAAGGAAAUCUGAACUGUAGACAGCAGUAUUGAUAACUCUCAAUAUUCUUUAUAUAAGAGAAUAAACAACGUCAUAGUGAUCGUCGCCUACAAGAAAGGUACAUUUCCCAACAAGAUGUAGUUGUGACUGGUACAUGGACGCAAUUAACUCGUACAAAAGAAUAAGACCAGUGCACGGCAGCUCUUAUUUUACAUGCUAAUUAUGCUAACCAAAGUCACUCAGUUGGGAUGGGAGGGAGAUGGAGGUUUGUGCGGUGGCUUGUGGGGCGGAGUUGGUGGCUUCUUUUCAGGAGCUUGUGGCUUUUUCGGAGCUGAAGGAGGCUCAAUCUUAUGAGGCGGCUUGUACGAGUCUUCUUUACUCUCGACAGGAGGGUGGCCAGGGUUGUGACCAUAAUGUGGUGGCUUCUCUCCCUUAGGUGGCUUGCCAACUGGGGUUGGUGGCUUGUGUUCAGGAAGUGGUUUCUCUCCCUUGGGAGGUUUACCAAUUGGGGUUGGUGGCUUGUGUUCUGGGAGUGGUUUCUCUCCCUUGGGAGGUUUAGUGGGUGACUUGUGUUCUGGAGGUGGCUUCUCCACCGGAGGCUUGUGCUCCGGUGGUGGCUUCUCCACCGGAGGCUUGUGCUCCGGUGGUGGCUUCUUGAUUGGAGGGGGCUUGGGGUAAUCAGCAAGAGAUGGGAUGGUGAGAACCACCACUCCAAGGAACAACACUAGCAAGUAUGUGGGAGACAUUUCUGAGUUUGAGCUGAUCAGAUGAUGCAAAACUAGAAGAAUUACGGGACCUUUUAUAGCAAGUAUCUCCCAAUACCCACAUGACACGUGUUACUAUGACCAUAAAUAUUAUAGGGUCCAUUUGUGCCCUACCGGGUUGAAAACUUGGACGCUUGGCCGAGGACACACCUGACUAUGGAGGACUAUUGACGUGUGAUCACAGCUUUUGGAUUUUUCUUCCUGUGCAGCUGUCUAGCGGUUGGCAUUAUUUUCUUAAUCUUAAAUAAAGGCAUAGUUAUAGAGUUGUUUAAUCUCUAAAUGGGAUUUUAUAUAUCUUCAGAUAGCCAUUAAUAUAUUUGAUGAAGAAAGACAAGUGCAUACAACAUGUAUACGGCUUGCUUCAAUCGAGUACAUUUAUGAUCAGUUUUCCUGUGCAAGUAAACCAGUUUUUUGUUCCACAACUAUUUUGGAAUCUUGUUUAUCAGUUUCUAUCAUUAUAAUGUCACAUAGGCUGCAAACUUGGGCACCCAAAGAUCUAGGUGGGCAAAUUUGUUUCAGACUUUCAAUGGUGGAUUCAGUAAUUGUUAAAAGGUGUUUCUUCAUUAAGGAAAGAGUCCGGUAAAAAUAUUGUUAAAAGGUGUCAUAGAAACUAUAAUAAAUAAAUAACUUCUUUUCCCCAUGGGUGGUGUUUCUUCUGGGGAUCAGUGACUGGUUAGGGUCACCCAAAAUGAGUCCAGAUUAAAAUUGGUUCGAGUCAAAGCAGUCUCUUUUGUCCAGAAAUCAACUAUUUUGCGCAUUGAAUGAAUCGAUAAAGAAAAAAUGAAAGCCAAAUCACACCUCCCCUGCAAAACCUAAACCCCGGUUGCUAACUUUCUAUGUUUCAGUCCUAUUCAUAUAGGAAUAUUGGUUCAAGUUUGAGAAAAAUGGCAACUUACCUAGGGUUUACUUGGUUUUGGUUUGCGACUAUUUACGCAACCAACCAUGAGUUUGACUUUAACGUCAUGGGUUGAAGCCUCCUACAAUCAUGUAUGAUAGUUCAAAGCUCGUGGAAGAAAUUAUACAGGAAGGAAGAAACCUCCAAAGCUAGCUCCAAAAGAGAAUUAUCACAUCGAUAGCUCCAGAGAUUCCCAAGGGAACUGAAUCAAAGACAAGUUCCUCACUUUUUCUUCUUUUGAGGCCAAAUAUGAACCAAGGAUCACACGACCUCAUUCAACUUCAUAAGUUUGAUUUCAUGCAGUUGAACACUGGGUGAAGGCCAUGACAAGAAUUGAUUAAAAAAUUCUACCACUCUUUUAAGUAAUGGAAGAUUAUUAUCUCUGAUUGGCACCACAACAGCACAUGCUGCUAGAUCUUUCUAGACACUCCAUGCAAUGAAAGCACAAUGGAUCUUGUAAUGAUAGAAACUAAGCCAUGCUACAGUACUAGAUGAGGGGGUAAAACUAGUAGACAUCUUUCUAGACACUCCAUGCAAUGAAAGCACAAUGGAUCUUGUAAUGAUAGAAACUAAGCCAUGCUACAGUACUAGAUGAGGUGGUAAAACUAGUAGACAUGGCUGGCAGUUGAUUACUACUCAAAAAGUACUCUUUUAUAGCUUGAAACUAACUGUUUUAAACACUUUUGAGUAGUAGUUAAUACCUUUUAACUUAAUUGGCACAUUAAGGAACCUAGCAAGGGUUACUAAUCAACAUUUGGCAAGUUUUGAUGUUUUUGGUAGCUAUUUGAUCAUUGAAACAAGCCAAGAAUGAGGGGGAAUUUUGUGAAGUCCAUGGCAAUGCAAGUUAAAGCUCAAAUACAUGAAGAAUCCAAGCUUUGGAGCACUUCAUAGCCCUUUGCCAAGCCAAUCAAAGAUGCAAGGAAGAAAACCAAAGGAAGAAAUCCAACAAUCAGCAUUUUGGCAUGGCUAUGUGAAAUUUCGCACACCAUGCGAAACCACAAGAGGCAGCCAAAGAAUUUCGCAUGGUAUGCGAAAUCUUCUUGUGCACUGACUCUGUUAGAUUUUUAUCUUCAGAUAUUUUGUGUAAUUUCCUAGUUUCUCCUUGUAACCAACUUAGAUAUUUUCUUUUAUAUCUUUUUUUAUAUUUUUUAGGUAACAUCAUAUAUAAGAGGAGAGACAUAAGGAGGAUAUGGAUGUUUUUCAUAGAACACUUGUAAAUUUUUGGUAGUAAGAAAUAUACAAAGCUUUUUGCUCUGCCUUACCUUCUCAAGGGAUGAGUGGCUAGGUUUUCUUGGAGUGAGGGAAGCUAGGUGAAGGACCUGAAUGCAAAGGUGGGAGUUUUCCUUACUUUAAAUGAAAGUAGUUGUUAAACAUUAAUGGUUUUUAUUUUAAGGUUUAGCUUUAAAUCCCUGAAAAACACCUUGAAUGGCCAAUACUUGGUAAGCUUUUUAGAUUCUAUGGAUGCUUAUUGCUAGAUCCAUGGAUGUCUAUUAGUUAUCAUUUACGAGCCAUUGGAAGGUGAUUCAAGGUGAGGGUCUUUAGUGUUUGAAGCCAUUAAUGGGAAGCAAUUACCAUUUUUUCAUGAAUCCUUUGGAUCAAAUCUUAAUUGCUAAAUAUAAAACCGGUUUCGAGAGAUAACCACCAUCCUUUAUGUUAUUAUCCCCAACGCGAGGAGAAGAUCCGAAAUCUUCCUUUUUAUCUAAGGAACCCGAUCCUAGUGACCUAAAGCUCCAAGAUACCUUUUCUUUGUAGUUAACUUCAUUUAUUGUUUUUGCUUAACUUAAAAUCAAUCUUUGCAACCACAAUUCCAUUUUCUUUAAAAGCUAAUUUUUAUAAGGAAAAACACCAUUUUAUUUCCUUCACUAAGUCAACUGUACGAUGAAAACCCAUCCCUGUGGACGAUCCUAGAGCCACUAUACUAUGUUAGCUAUGCUACCCUAGUGUGAGGUGAUUUAGGUUUUAUAAAUUUUUUUGAUAACACCCAUCUGAGCCAGAAUCAAAUGGCACGACUGAACCAGGGACGAAUCAAAUGACGCCGCUACCAAGGAUGGUGCCAAAGUACAUUGACAUGACUUUUGGUGAACACUUGUGAUCUUCACCACAAGUUUGGUGAUUUUUCUUUUACUAAUUUUUUUUAUUUUAGCUUAUCUUUUAUUUAGUUUUUAGUUAACCUUAAAUUUUUCCUAGAAUUGUAUUUCUUUUGUUUUCUUUGUUUUUGUUUCAGUGAUCUUUAGUUGUGCAUGCCCUAUUGGAUAAGAGAUAUUGAGGGAAUACUUGUGAAGAUUGAAACUCCUCGAGAAACUGAGUUAGAAGUGUGCUUGAACAUCAUGGAUGUUCCACCUGAAGACCAGAAUAGCCAACAUGGUUAAGAGGAUAAUUUCAACACAUACCGAUCCAUGAGGAACCGCAUACAUCCACCUUGUAUGAGUGCACCGUCAGGCAUAAUGCCUCCCACUGAGCAGCUAGUAAUCUGACCUCACAUUGUGCCACUCCUACCUACUUUCCAUGGGAUGGAGAGUGAGAAUCCCUACUCGCAUAUUAAGGAAUUCGAGGAGGUUUGUAAUACAUUCCAAGAAGGAGGAGCUUCAAUUGACUUGAUGAGGCUCAAGCUAUUUCCUUUCACUUUGAAGGAUAAGGCCAAGAUUUGGCUUAAUUCUUUAAGGCCAAGAAGUAUCCAAACUUGGAUUGAUUUGUAAGCCGAGUUUCUUAAGAAGUUCUUCCCUACCCAUAGGACCAAUGGUUUGAAAAGGCAAAAUUUGAACUUCUCAGUUAAAGAGAAUGAGAAAUUCUAUGAGUGUUGGGAGAGCUACAUGGAAGCUAUUAACGUUUGUCCUCACCAUGGCUUUGACACAUGGCUCUUAGUGAGCUAUUUUUACAAUGGUAUGUCUUCUUCAAUGAAGCAACUCCUAGAAACUAUGUGUGGAGGAGACUUCAUGAGUAAGAAUCCGGAGGAAGCCAUGGACUUUUUGAGUUAUGUGGCUGAAGUUUCAAGAGGAUGGGAUGAACCAAAUGCUAGAGAGGUGGGAAGAAUGAAGUCUCAACCUAAUGCUAAGGGUGAGAUGUAUGUUUUGAAUGAAGACAUUGACAUGAAAGCAAAGGUUGCAGCUAUGGCAAGGAGAUUGGAAGAGCUAGAAAUGAAGAACAUACAAAAAGUGCAAGCCAUUUCUGAGACAUCAAUGAAAGCUAUGCCUUGUUCCAUUUGUCAAUCUUAUAAGCACCUAGUGGAGGAGUGUCCUACAAUUCCAGCAGUGAGAGAGAUGUUUGGUGAUCAAGCAAAUGUUAUUGAUCAAUUCAAGCCUAAUAACAAUGCUUCAUAUGGCAACACCUACAAUUCAAAUUGGAGGAACCAUUCAAAUUUCUCUUGGAAACGAAAGCCACCUCAAUACACACAACCUACUCAAGCACCUUAGCAAUCCUCGAAUCUUGAACAAGCUAUUGUGAACCUUAGCAAGGUUGUGGGAGACUUUGUGGGAGAUCAGAAGUCCAUCAAUGCUCAACUGAAUCGGAGAAUUGACAGUGUGGAGAGUACAUUGAACAAAAGGAUGGAUGAGAUGUAAAAUGAUCUGUCUCAAAAGAUAGACAAUGUCCAAUACGUAAUCUCAAGGCUUACCAACCUCAACACAGUGUAAGAGAAAGGAAAGUUUCCUUCUCAACCUCAUCAAAAUCCUAAGGGUAUCCAUGAAGUAGAGGCUCAAGAGGGAGAAUCUUCAAAGGUGAGGGAAGUCAAAGUAGUUAUCACCUUGAAGAGUGGUAAAGAGGUUGAUCAACCCACAUCCAAGCCAAAGCAUAAUGAAGAGAGUGUAGCAGAAAAAGAAAAGAGAGGAAAAUAAAGGAAUUAGAAUAGAGAAAAAUACAAAGAAAGAUGACCAUGAGUCUAGUGUGGAUGAAGAGCCCGAGAGGAUGGUGAUCAAGGAAGAUAUGAUGAAGAAACACAUGCCUCCACCUUUCCCCUAAGCUUUGCAUGACAAAAAAAGAACCAAUAAUACAUCAGAAAAUUUUGAAGUAUUGAGGCAAGUGAAGGUCAAUAUCCCUUUGCUAGACAUGAUCAAACAAGUGUCGACAUAUGAAAAAUUCUUGAAGGACUUGUGCACUGUAAAGAGAGGGUUGAAUGUGAACAAGAAAGCUUUAUUGACCGAGCAAGUGAGUUCCAUCAUACAGUGCAAGUCCUAGUGAAGUACAAAGAUCCGGGUUGCCGUACCAUCUCAGUGAGUAUUGGAAGGACUUGUGUGGAGAAAGCUUUGUUGGACUUGGGAGCAAGUGUGAAUUUGCUAUCCUACUCUGUCUAUAAGCAGUUGGGAUUUGGAGAGUUGAAGCCAAUAUCCAUCACUCUAUCUCUAGCGGAUAGAUCAAUGAAGAUUCCAAGAGGGAUGAUCGAAGAUGUCCUGGUUCAAGUUAACAAAUUCUACUAUCCAGUAGAUUUUGUUGUUCUUGAUAUGGAUCCGGUUGUCAAAUGAACUAAUUAUGUUCCUAUCAUACUUGGAAGACCCUUCCUAGCUACAUCAAAUGCAAUCAUCAAUUGUAGGAAUGGAGUCAUGCAACUCACAUUUGUCAACAUGACAUUAGAGCUCAACAUCUUCCAUUUGUACAAGAAGCAUAUCCAUCAGGAGGAAAAAGAAGGUCUAGAGGAAGUGUGAAUGAUUGACACUUUAGUGGAAGAGCAUUGUGAUCGAGAAUGCAAAAAGAUUUAGUUGAGAAUUUUGGGGAUCUUGAUGAAAGGUUACUUGAACCCUCAGAUUUGCUUGCUACCCUACUCCAUUGGAAGAGAAGAGAAGAAAUUCUACCCUUAUUCAAUGAGGAGGAGACGCAAAGAGCUGCAAAGGAGAAACCCCCAAAACUUAUUCUUAAGCCACUACCCACAGAGUUGAAGUAUGUAUACUUGGAAGAAGACAAGAAGUGCCCUAUUGUUAUAUCUUCAACUCUUACCAUUCAUCAGGAGGAUUGUCUACUUGAAGUCCUUAGAAGAUGUAAGAAGACAAUAAGGUGGCUAAUUUCUUAUUUGAAAGGGAUCAGCCCUUUAGUCUGCACCCAUCAUAUUUACAUGGAGGAUGAAGCUAAGCUAAUUCAUCAACCUCAGAGAAGGUUGAACCCUCACAUGCAAGAGGUGGUUCGAGCUGAAGUUCUGAAGCUACUUCAGACCAGUAUUAUUUACCCCAUAUCAAAUAGCCCAUGGGUGAGUCCUACUCAAGUUGCGCCAAAGAAGUCUGGGAUCAUGGUGGUGCAAAAUGAUAAGGGAGAAGAUGUCUCUACACGCCUCACUACAGGUUGGAGGGUGUGUAUCAAUUACAGGAGGUUGAAUGCAGUGAUAAGAAAGGACCAUUUCUCAUUGCCCUUUAUUGAUCAGGUGCUUGAGAGGGUCUCUGGGCUUUUUUUUUUAUUGUUUCUUGGAUGGCUACUCCGGGUACUUUCAGAUAGAAAUUGAUGUUGAAAACCAAGAUAAGACCAUUUUCACAUGCCCAUUUGGAACCUAUGCAUAAAGGAGAAUGCCUUUCGGCUUAUGCAAUGCACCCGCAACUUUCCAAAGAUGCAUGUUAAGCAUUUUCAGUGAUAUGGUGGAGCGUAUUAUGGAAGUCUUUAUGGAUGAUAUCACCAUUUAUGGAAGUGCAUUUGAUGAAUGCUUGGUCAACUUAGAAGCUGUUCUGAACCGAUACAUUGAGAAAGACUUAGUGCUUAACUGGGAGAAGUGCCAUUUCAUGGUACACCAAGGGAUUGUCCUUGGGCACAUUAUCUCCAAGCAAGGCAUUGAAGUUGACAAAGCAAAGGUUGAACUCAUUGUUAAGUUGCCAUCCUCAACAAAUGUCAAAGGAGUAAGGCAAUUCUUUGGCCAUGUCGGGUUCUAUAGGAGGUUUAUCAAGGAUUUCUCUAAGCUUGCAAGGCCUCUUUGUGAAAUAUUGGUGAAUGAUGUUAAAUUCAUAUGGGAUGAUGGAUUUGAAAGGAGUUUUGAAGAAUUGAAGCUAUUUUUGACAACCGUACCAAUAGUGAGGGCUCCCAACUGGCAACUGCCCUUUGAAGUAAUGUGUGAUGUCAAUGAUUUUGCUAUAGGAUUUUUUCUUGGGCAAAGAGAAAAUGGAAAACCUUAUGUGAUCUACUAUGCGAGGAAGGCAUUGAAUGAGGCACAAAGAAACUACACAACCACCGAGAAAGAAUUGUUAGCUGUAGUUUUUGCCUUGGAUAAGUUUCGCGCUUACUUGGUGGGGUCCUUCAUCAUGGUUUUUACUGAUCACUUUGCUUUGAAGUAUCUGUUGACUAAGCAAGAUGCUAAAGCAAGGCUGAUUAGAUGGAUUCUCUUACUUCAAGAGUUCAAUCUCCAUAUCAAAGAUAAGAAAGGAGUGGAGAAUGUGGUAGCAGACCACAUUUCAAGGCUAGCUAUCGCACAUAAUUCCCAUGCUUUGCCCAUUAAUGACGAUUUUCUAGAGGGGUCUCUCAUGUUGGUGGAAGUUGUCCCUUGGUACGCUCACAUUGCUAACUACCUGGUCACGGGAAAAGUUCCAAGUGAGUGGAAAGCACAAGAUAAGAAGCACUUCUUUGCAAAAAUUCAUGCCUACUAUUGGGAAGAGCCAUUUCUAUUCAAGUAUUGUAUGGAUCAGAUAAUAAGGAAGUGCGUUCCUGAAGAAGAGCAACAGGGGAUCCUUAGUCAUUACCAUGAAAAUGCAUGUGGAGGCCACUUUGCUUAUCAAAAGACAGCCAUGAGGGUGUUGCAAUCGGGUUUCUGUUGGCCAUCACUUUUCAAAGAUGCCCACACCAUGUGCAAGAGUUGUGAUCGAUGCCAGAGGCUUGGGAAGUUGACACGCAGGAACAUGAUGCCUUUGAACCCCACUUUAAUAGUUGAUAUUUUUUAUGUUUGGGGCACUAACUUCAUGGGACCUUUCCCUAUGUCUUUUGGCUACUCUUACAUCUUGGUAGGAGUAGAUUAUGUUUCUAAGUGGGUUGAGGCAGUCCCAUGCAAACACAAUGACCAUAGAGUGGUUCUCAAGUUUCUUAAAGAGAAUAUCUUCUCAAGAUUUGGGGUGCCCAAAGCCAUAAUUAGUGAUGGGGGUACUCAUUUUUGCAACAAGCCUUUUGAAACUCUCCUAGCCAAGUAUGGGGUGAAGCAUAAGGUAGCUACACCUUACCACCCUCAAACUCAUGGACAAGUUGAGUUAGCAAACAGGGAGAUUAAAAACAUAUUGAUGAAGGUGGUGAACACAAACAGAAAAGAUUGGUCAGUCAAGCUUCUUAAUUCACUAUGGGCAUAUAGAACAACUUACAAGACCAUUCUCGGGAUGUCUCCUUAUCGCCUAGUUUAUGGCAAAGCAUGCCAUCUCCCUGUGGAAUUGGAAUACAAAGCUUGGUGGGCAAUCAAGAAGCUCAACAUGGAUUUGAGCAGAGCUGGGUUGAAGAGGUUCUUAGACCUUAAUGAGAUGGAGAAAUUGAGAAAUGAUGCCUACAUCAAUUCAAAAAUUGCAAAAGAAAAAUUGAAGAGGUGGCAUGAUCAGUUGAUUUCCCGCAAGGAUUUUCAAAAUGGACAAAGAGUCUUACUUUAUGACUCUAAACUCCACAUCUUUCCGGGCAAGCUGAAAUCAAGGUGGAUAGGUCAUUUUACCAUUCACCAAGUGCAUUCAAAUGGAGUAGUGGAACUACUCAACUCCAACAAUAUCGAGAACUUCAAAGUGAAUGGCCACCGUCUCAAGCCCUUUGUGGAGUCUUUUUCUCACAACAAGGAGAAAUUCAUCCUCCUUGAUCCACAUCAAGCUUAACAAGACCAAUUUUCUUGAUGGACUUAGUCUUUCUAAAGACUAUCGAGUCCAUAACUUUUUGUUUUAUUUUUUAUUUGAGAUUUUUUCGGUAUUGUUACUUGUUUUGUUUUUUAUUUUUCGUUUUAAUUUUAUUUGGUUUGAUUUAACUUAGGUUUUUGAUGAUCAAUUACAGGGGGGAUUUCAAAUAGAGGAAAAACCAAGAUAAUUCGCACACCCUACGAAAAUUUCGCAAGGCAUGCGAAAUUUAUGGCUUAUUUUGCAUGGGGUGAAAAUUUUCGUACAUCUUACGAACCAAUUUCGAACACUUUGCGAAAAUAAACCAACCCUGCGAAAUCAUUUCGAUUACUCUACGAAAUUUUCGUAGAGCAUGCGAAAAAUUUAGCACACCAAACACCAUUUCGCAUACUAUGCAAAAACCUAAGGGGUCUGCGAAACCAUUUCGCACCUCCAAAUCCAUUUCGCACAUUGUGCGAAAACCAAGAGGCGCUGUGCGAAAAUGAAAAGUCGCCCUGUCAUCCCUUUUUAAACCCCUCGAGCCCUAAAAUCUCCAUUUCGCAAGCACCCCUGUCCUUGCGAAUCCCUCAUUUUCCUCUACUACCUUGCAACCUCGUCCCUUUCCAUUUGAUAUUGUGCCCCGCGCACAUCUCAUUUCAGAGACUCGCACUCCGCGCCCCCUCAAAGCAUGGACUCGAGACCCACCUUCCAUUUCCGACGUGGCACGGACCCAAGGAGCCCUUUCUGCCCCUUCACUAAGACACACACCAAGGCAGAAAGCCUCCUUUGCUCAAGUGCCUAGUGAUUCUCCAUCUUAGGCCUCAGAGGCCUCGGAGGCCCCGUGGAUUCCACCUUCCGAGGGUAGAGCAGCCAUUGGUCCUUCCUCUUCUACUCCUUAGCGUAGAUACGAGACGAGGAGACCACCUACUACACAAGGGGCGACUACUUCGAGCCUUGAGAAUUCAGUACGAUGCCUUCCUGCCAAGAGGGUCAAGACUUCAGGUCCAAGUGAGUCAUCCAGAGCUUCAUAGCCUAAGCCUCCUGUAGAUUCCAAGGUUCCUACUGACAUAUCACCGGAGUCUAUUAUCAGAAGCCCGAUGCUCAUAGCACCGCCCAUUGAGGGCAACUCAGAUUAUAGAGCGAGAUCUUUCCACUUGGAGCUAUAUUUUGAUCAGGAGGCCAUACGACAGCAGCCUGAGCUCCGAGACUCUUAUGGCUUACUGCAGAGGUACCAUCUUGAGGAACUUAUGACUCCUCGUGAGUUUUUUUAUCCCAGAGUAGCACUAAACUUUUACCAGUCCAUGACUACUCGUGGCGUCCCGAGUCCUACCACGAUUCACUUCACCAUUGAUAGACGUCAUGGUAUCCUCAAGGCCAGACAUAUUACAGAGGCUCUACAAAUUCCUUUCGAGCUAGAGGAUCCAUCUGUUUUUCGCUAAUGGUCCCCAGUAUCUCAGAGGGACAUGGUCCGUAUUUUAUCUAGGGGAACAUCUACAGAUUCGAUCUUUCUACGGAAGGAGCUUCGACCUGGGAUGCUCCUCUUAGAUGUGGUGCUAUGCUCCAACCUCUUUCCCUUACAACAUUCGGUACAUAGGUGAUGAGCUAUUUUGGACGCUUUAUUCCGUAUAUCAGAGGGCUUCUACUUUGGCCCGCACCACUUGAUCAUGGUCUCCCUCAUCCACUUUGAGGAGAAGGUUCAUAGGAAGAAGCUUCAGAGGGUGGACACCAUUCCAUUACUAUUCCUGAGGUUACUUUGCCAGGUCUUGGAGUACAUGGGCUUUCCUACUGAGCCUCGGCUCGAGCUUUGCCGCCUUUGUCGAGAGUGAUCCACUCUCGACAAAUGGAAUUAGUUGGCGGGCUAUUCUGCACCUCCAGGAGCCCCUCCCAUGGUAGCACCUCCAAUGUCCCCACAGGCAAAGUAGGGCGAGCUCCCGGCAAAGACUGUACCACCAAUGCCCACACUUGAGGCUAUUUCUGCUGCUCUGCCUAUGACUCCUACUGUUCCACCAGUUGGUCCUUUUACAUCCGAGCCUUCCAUCACCAUCUCGGCUUCGGAGUUUCGCGCCCUUGUGCAUACCUUUCAGACACUCACCACCACACAUACUCCUCUCUUCUAGCAAAUGGUUGAGAUGUGUGCCCAUCAGGACCGGAAGACUACUAUACUCUGCCAAAUUCAGCAGCACCUAAGACUUUUGCCUCAACCUCAACCUAACCAUCCCAUAUCAUCAGAGCCUCUAGCUCCAACUGAGGAUACUAUUCCACCUGAGAACACUACCACAGUAGAGGUCCGGUUUCCACCACCUUAAGAGGCCACCACAGCUACAUCAGAGGAUGUGUCAUCUCCACUUGAGGCUCCCACUACUUGAUCAUAGGACAUAUCUUUAUCUUAUUGUAUUUACAUAUUAUAUUACUAGAGAUUUGUCCUUGUUUUGAUACUUUAUAUUCUGGGAUUGGAUGUAUUGCCUGAUGAUAUCUCAAUUGUACUUUCUCAUAUUAAUAUAUAGACAUCAAUUUUUUUUAGUAUACUUAGCAUUUUUCUAUUUCCUCUACUCAUUACUCUUUUGUUUUUUUUUACUCAUGUGGUUUCUCUUAUACAACUCAGACUCCAUUUCACUCAGGAGGUACCACUUCCUCCCUUUAUUUUCAAUUGCUCUUGAAAUAUUGAGUGCAAUGUUGAUCUUGGUUGGGGGGAGAGUUGAGGAAGGAAGUUUUGUUAAUAAUGCUAGGUUAAUUUGUUAAUUUAGUUACUUUCUGCUUAAUUUUAAAAGUUUUCACUCUACUUUCCAUGGUUAUUAAGGAAAAAUUCUCAAAAUGAAAUGGGAGAAAUCGAAUUCUUGCAUUUUUACUUGAAUCUUAGAAUUUGUAUCAUGCUUAUUAAAGUUGAUGAAUUAUUGAAACUCCUAUUGAAUUCAACCUUAUUUUUUCCACUUUAAUCUUACCACACACGGUGCACAUUAGGUUCCAGUUAUAAGAUAAAAAACUAUCUCACCCCCUAAACUUAGAAAAAUUUACACUUGGUACCUUUGACAUCGUUUUAAUAGUGUUGGGACACCUUAUAAAAGGCCAAUGAGCCUUUAAAAAAAAAAAAAAAAAAAAAAAGAGAAAGAACAAAGUAUUGCACUUGCCUUGAAACCUGAGCAAGAUCCGAGGGGUAUACAGUGAAAGUCUUUAAAACCUGGUGCCCUAAGCCUUGAUUGGUUGGGAGUCACCGACCUCAAUGCUCGUUAUAAGGGUGAAUAGGUGGAGUUUAACAUAUUGUAGGUGCUUGGGUAUUGAAUUUCAAUCUCAAAAGUCCGGGAAAAAAUCUAAGGAGUUAGUGGUCAAAAGAUCCUUAAAGCUUGAUGCCCUAAACCUUGAUUGGUUGAGAGUCAUUGAUGGAUCCCCGCUACAUGGACAUUUUAGAAAACAAUACCUUUAGCAUUGCACGCCUACAAUGAAAAAAAAAUGUGAAAUAAAAGAGGUGCGUUCUUAGCCUAUUGGAGGUUGGUCAGUUUGCUAAAGUUUGAGAAAUCUAGGUUGGGGGGAGAGAAUAGUCCGACAUACUAUAAUAAAAAACUAAUAACCUUAACACUUAGAUUUUUGUGGAAGAGUAAGGAUUGGACCUUUAGGGGUGGAAAUUCUUUUGAUGCUUAAAUUUGCAUAAUGCCUACUCUUUAUAAAUUAUGAUUAGGCAAGAGAUUUGAUGACUCUUGUUCAAAGUUGGGUUUUUCCUCUUUGAUGUUCCAUGAGAGAGUAUAAUCCUCAUCAUGCCACUUGAAAUCUUUUUGGAGUGAUUAACAUGAUUUUGUAAAUUAUUUUACUGUCUAUUUUUCUUUAUCUCUCUUUUAUUGCUAAUGGACUAGCAAUAUGUCAGUUGGGGGGAGUGAUUACUACUCAAAAAGUACUCUUUUAUAGCUUGAAACUAACUGUUUUAAACACUUUUGAGUAGGUGUUAAUACAUUUUAACUCAAUUGGCACAUUAAGGAACCUAACAAGGGUUACUAAUAAGUUUUUGGCAAGUUUUGGUGUUUUUGGUAGCUAUUUGAUCAUUGAAACAAGCCAAGAAUGAGGGAGAAUUUUGUGAAGUCCAUAGCAAUGCAAGUUAAAGCUCAAAUACAUGAAGAAUCCAAGCUUUGAAGCACUUCAUAGCCCUUUGCGAAGCCAAUCAGAGAUGCAAGGAAGAAAACCAGAGGAAAAAAUCCAACAACCAGCAUUUUCGCAUGGCUGUGCGAAAUUUUGCACACCAUGCGAAACCACAAGAAGUAGCCAAAGAAUUUUGCACACCAUGCGAAAUUUCGCAUGGUAUACGAAAUCUUCCUAUGCACCAACUCCGUUAUAUUUUUAUCUUCAGAUAUUUUGUGUAAUUUCCUAGUUUCUCCUUGUAACCAACCUAGAUAUUUUCUUUUAUAUCUUUUUUUUAUAUUUUUUAGGUAACAUCAUAUAUAGGGGGAGAGACAUAAGGAGGAUAUGGAUGUUUUUCAUAAAACACUUUUAAUUUUCUGGUAGUAAGAAAUAUACAAAGUUUUUUGCUCUGCCUUACCUUCUCAUUUUGUUUUCACCUAUCUUUCUAGCCAAACAACCUCUGAGAAUGAUUUCUCAGGGGAUGAGUAGUUAGGUUUUACGUUUCUUGGAGUGAGAGAAGCUAGGUGAAAGACCCAAAUGCUAAGGUGGGAGUUGUCCUUGCUUUAAAUGAAAGUAGUUGUUAAAUAUUAAUGGUUUUUAUUUUAAGGUUUAGCUUUAAAUCCCUUAAAAACACCUUGAAUGGCCAAUACUUGGUAAGCUUUUCGGAUUCUAUGGAUGCUUAUUGCUAGAUCCAUGGAUGUCAUUAGUUAUCAUUUAUGAGCCAUUGGAAGGUGGUUCAAGAUGAGAGUCUUUAGUGUUUGAAGCCAUUAAUGGGAAACAAUUACCAUUUUUUCAUGAAUCCUUUGGAUAAAAUCUUAAUUGCUAAAUAUAAAACUGGUUCGGGAGAUAACCAUCCUUUAUGUUAUUAUGCCCAAUGCAAGGAGAAGAUUUCGAAUCUUCUCAUUUGUCUAAGGAACCCGAUCCUAGUGACCUAAAGCUCCUAGAGACCUUUUCUUUGUAGUUAACUUCAUUUAUUGUUUUUGCUUAACUUAAAAUCAAUCUUUGCAACCACAAUUCCAUUUUCUUUAAAAGCUAAUUUUUAUAAGGAAAAGCACCAUUUUAUUUCCUUCACUAAGUCAACUGUAUGAUGAAAACCCAUCCCUGUGGACGAUCUUAGAGCCACUAUACUAUGUUAUCUAUGCUAUCCUAGUGUGAGGUGAUUUAGGUUUUAUAAAUUUUGUUGAUAACACCCGUCUGAGCCAGAAUCAAAUGGAACCACUGAACCAGGGACAAAUCAACAGCCUAUAUGGGAGGGACACAAGUUUAAUUGAUUUGCAUUUCAGCGUUAUAGAUAAGUAUGUUUUGGAAGAUUUGUUCUGGAAAUACUGCACCAAGUACGAUUCUUUUUCUCUUGAGUGAGUCCAUUUGCAUGCCAAUUAACGAGUUGAAAAGUAGGAGCACCUACCUCGUGCUCAUGGAACCGAAUGUCAGUGAAGUGGGGCUCCUUUUAGCCUCUUGUGUUUCUGUUCCAACCAAGGCGGCGUAGGGAAAAACAACAAUAUGUCUGUGCUAAAUAUCAACGCAUGAUAGAUGUUUUUUUUUUUUUUUUUGGUAUGUCAAGGCUAACGAAUGAAAUGCAUUAGCUUGUUUUGUGACUAUAACUGCAAAUGUCCAAAUUGGAGUAUCUCCAUUUCUCACUUCGGAUGGUUAACUUUAUAAACAAGAUAUAGGAAACAUGUGAACAUCUUGAGGAACAAUUCAAAUUAUUCAUUAGAAGUCCUGGGUUAAGUUCCAAGAUUUAAAUCAGACCCUUCUAGCAGCUUCAAGGGUACUUAGCAACCUAUAACAUAUUAAUGAAGAUUUAGGAUUUAGACUCCGGAAUACAAAUAAAUAUGUAUCUCAUGCUUUGACUAGCUUCCCUACAUAUGCAUAAAAUGGAGAUGACCCAAAAAAAAUAGCAGAAUCUAGCUUCCCUACAUAUGCACAAAAUGGAGAUGACCCAAAAAAUAGCAUAAUCGCCUUAGUUUCUGUGGUUAAGGUGAUUCUCCGCUUAAUAUCCACAUUGACUCAUUAUGCAAAAUCAACUGAGCUAAUUUUAUUUAUUUAUUUAAUGUCAAAUAGGAACUCCUAAUUAACUGAUUACUGUCGAAAAGUGCUAUUUUGUAGACCUAAUUAUAAGGGUUUUAAGCACCUUUGAGUAGUAAUCAUAUUCAUUUAACCUAAUUAAUUCAUUAAGCUCCUUAGUAAUUAGUUCUAACCAUUUUUAGUGGCAAGUUUACAUGUUUUUCAUCAGCUUAUGAACCAAUUCAAGCAUGCCAAUUGAUGGAGGAGCUACUUGGGCGAGUUAAGCAAGGAUUUUGGACGUUUACAGGCUUGAAUUUCAAGUGGAAACACGAGCACAAGCAAUGGGAACACCAUUUCGCAAGGGGAGGCAAUUCACCUUGCCAAAUGACCAAUUUCGCAAGGGGAUUUUCCUCAUGGUGCAAAAUUUGGUCAUUUCGCACCAUGAAGAAACCACCUUGCAAAAUUUCGCAAGGUGGAUUUAGGCACCUUGCGAAAUGCCAAAUUUCACAAGGUGGCUUUUCACCUUGCGAAAUUUGGACCUUUCAUCUUCCCCCCUUGCGAAAUGCCUUUGAAAUCCCCUGUUUUGAGACGCUGUUGAUGAUAUUCCACUGCCGGUUCUCCAAGAUAUUUUGCUUGACUUUUAGCUUUAUAAAUACCUAUUUUACCCUUGUAAUCAACCAAUGAAAAGGUUGCUUUUGUAAUAGCUCUUGUAAUUUAGCUUUUUAUUGUCUUUAAAUAGAGGUGAAGAGCCUCAGACACGAUCAUCUUGUAACCUGUAACUUUAUAAGUUAUAAGAGCACUUUUGUUCAUACGCUUCUUUUCUCUUUUCUUUCUCAUUUUCUUAGUAGCCAAACAUCCUUGGAGGAUGAAAUCCCCAAGGAUGAGAGGCUAAAACCUUUUAGUUUCUUGAAGUAAUGGAUGCCAUGUGAAGCUCCCGUGUCAGGAUGGAGAUUUCCAAGCCAUAAAUGUAAGUAGCUGAGCGUCAUAAAUGUUUUCAUUCAAAGUAAAGCUUUUAAUCCCUCUGACUUGCUUUGAAUGGCCAAUACUUGAUAACCUUUUGGUCUCAAUGGAUUCUUAUUGUUAGAUCCACUGACGUUCAUUAGUUAUCUCCUACGAGCCAUUGUAUUGCAAGUCGAGGAGAUGACCUAUACCAAUAAAAGAGCAUUUAUGAGGUUCAACUACCCUUUUUGUAAGUUUUCAAGGACUAAAACUCAGUUGUUAAACUCAUACCGGUUCGAGAAGUAAGCAUCACCUUAGUUGCUUCCCCAACUCGAGGUGAAAAGUCCCAAAAUCUCCAUUUUUACACAGUGAGUUAAGCAUGGCUAUCCAAAGCUUUAAGAAACUUCUUUUUCCAUCUUUUAACCUAUUUUCAUGUUAGUUUAGUUUACAACACCUUCAUCUUUUUAUGUUUUCAUCUUAACCUAAUUUUUAUUAAGAAAAGUUCACUCCAUCCUCCGAACUUCACCAGUUAAAGUAAAAACCCUUCCCAGUGUUCGAUCCUAGAGCCACUAUGCUAUAGUAGCUUUGCUACUUUAGUGUAAGGACCUUAGGUAUAAAUUUUGUUGAUACCCUUACAUGCCAAGCUACCAAGAGUCGGGUUAUCAUUAACCUAACCAUUGGCCUGUGUAAAUUGAUUUCACAUGCACAAUGUUGUAGUAGAAGUCCAUAUUUUGAAUUUUAUUUUUGUAAAGGUAAGGAAAAUGAAGCAUUGUGUAAUUAUAAAAAUAACUUCAUUGGAAUUCACAAGGUUCACCCAAAAUGGAGCUACAUCUGUAUUCUAUCCUACAGUAGACUAUAUAGAUUGUACAAUAGUAAAUUGCAAAUACAAUUAAUAAGUCUUGUGCUUCCUUACUAAUAAUCCUUUGACAUGAACAUUGCAGCACUAAGGUCCUCUUGGGAAGACACCUUGCACCCAUGAGAGCACUAAGAGGAAGCAAGGCAGAGUCAUGGGUGCAAUGUCAUGACUUGUUGUUGCACCAAGAGAGGCUUGGUGAUGCCAUGGUGUUGCAGUAGCAAGAAUGUUGCCUUGGCAGGGACACGAUCUAGGGAUAGAUGCCAAGAAAGGCUUAGCACUCACAUGAGUUGCACAAAGAUGAAUGUAAUAGAGCAUCAGAGAGACGUCUUGGCAAGUAAAUGAAUGGAUCCAAGAGACAACAACAUGAGGAGUUUCAAAUGGAUAAGGAAUGACUCAAAGACAUUUGAAAGCUACAAGUUGGAUUCUAAUUACGAUUGCAAUUUGAGUUUGAGUAGGAGUUUAGAUUUUGAUUGUAAUUGUAGUAUGAGUUGGACUAGGAUUGCUUAUCCUUAGUCAAUAUAGGAGCGGUUCGUGUCACCCUAUGAAAAGAGUUUGAGUAGGGACUAGGAUUGCUUACUCCUAGUCAAAUAUGGAGUAGGUGGUGCCACACCUAUAAAAAAAAGGGACAACAUGAGAGAGAGAGAGAGAGAGAAAGAGAGAGUGAAUUCACUAAAGAUAUUGUGGGAGUUUUGCUUUGUUACGUCUUGUAUUAUUACUUAGAAUAGGAAUAAAAUACAAGUUGGGGCUAGAGCCCCAUAAUUAAUCUCGUGUGCCUUUGUGGUUAUUCUUUAUUUGUCAUCUCGUGUGGAUUGGAUUAGGUUGACUUAGAGGGCUUCUAAGCACCACCUUUGUGGGUUAUUAUUUAUUUUCCAUCUCUUGUGGAUUAGAUUAGGUUGACUUAGAGGGCUUCUGAGCACCACCUUUGUGGGUUAUUAUUUAUUUUCCAUCUAUUGUGGAUUAGAUUAGGUUGACUUAGAGGGCUUUUAAGCACCACAUUUGUGGGUUAUUCUUUAUUUUCCAUAUCGUGUGGGUUGGAUUAGGUUGACAAGGAGAAAAAUUAUGUGGGAAAUUUGUGUUGGGACACUUACCAUAACCAAGUAAAAUCUACCAAGUCCUUUGUAAUAUCUUCAACAAAUAUUUUAGACUAGUUCUUUCAGUUAGUGUAAAGGAGGAAGAAGUGGUAUUGAUUCUAGAAAUAGGGUGUGUGUAUUUGAACUACAAUCCUUAUGAUCCUUAGGUCUCUAAACCUUCGUGAUGGGCUCCCUGACAUUUCAUAGGUUGUGCUACACAUGCGUUUGAAAUUUAGAGUGCGUUUGACAGUGAUUCCGGGAAGUGUUUUUGGCCUUUCUUACACUUGAAAAUUUUUAUUUUUCAAGUAUUAGAAAUGCUACAAACACUUUUGAAAAUUACUGUCAAACACACUCUUAGGAGCGCACAUAUAUAGUAGAAAACUAGAAAUUGUGGUUUUUUUAGGAUUUACUGUAAUGUCAUUAGGAGGGUAGUAAGUUGAAAUUGAGUAUGAACAAAUAUUUCUUUCUUUGGGAUGUUCUUCUAGUAGGUGCUGAUGAAACUGUUCUUUCUACUGCCAAUGUCACAUAUCAGCCAGAAAUUGAAAAUUUCAGUCAAGGUGUCCUCUGUUUUAGUGGUGAGGAAAGCUAGAAAUUUUAAGGUGAAGUUUUGUUAAAAACCUUAAGUAGCUGGGAUAUCAGGCCUGUUUUGCUUGAAAAAAAAAGUUGCAAGAUAACUCAUAUGCCAAACAGGUUCUGAUAUUGUGAAUCUAUCGGCAGACAUCAGUAAUCUCAUCUUCUGAGAUGGAUGUUGGGGGUGCAUGUGGUGGUGGAGGGGCAAGGUUUCAUUUGGUUUAUUUUGUUGAUGGAUAUUGUCUAGCCACCUGCGCCAAGUUUGAGGGGUGGUGGGUUGUGAUGACCCUACAAUUACUAUUAAUUUCUUCAUCUUUUACCGAUUAAAGUGUCCGAACAGUCGAAGUUACCCUUAUGCAUGUCAACUUGAUCACUUACCUCUUCAAUGGAGUUUAUGCUGGUUCAUUUAGGAACUGAUUUUUAUUGUUAUGUAUUAUAUGCUGAUGUUUAGGUCUCUCCAUCAUCACUAUAUACAAAAAUUCUAGGUUGAUACUAUAGGUUGAGAUUUAUUUUUUAAAUAAAAAAUAAUAAAAAUAAAAAUUAUGGUGAUGUUUAGUUGUUUUAUGGAAAAUUUUAACAAGUAAAAGUUAUUUUUGGGCAAGUUUUCAAACAAAAAGAAAAGUAAAAGUUGUUUUGACAAAAACAUAUAGAAAAAAAAAUCAUAGAAAAUAAAUAAUUUCCCCAUAUUCUAACUUUUUUGAAUUUUUCUCAAUGGGCAAAGGAAUAUCAAAUCAAGUUUGAGUAGGAUUUCUUAAUUUUUAAAAUAACUUACAAUUAAAAAAUUUUGGUGUUUUCAUUUUUGGACAAUUUUUUAUUAAGCAAAUGGACUCUGAGUCAUGCAAGAGAUAUGGUUCAUUAACCGGUCGAACAAUUUUUUUAAAUUAAUUUAAAAGUCAAAUACAUAAUCAAUUUCACAAAAUUUAUAAACAAAAAUAGGUUUAGAGAAGAUCUACACAUAAUUUUACUUUUCUAAUUUUAUUUUAUUUUAUUUUUUGUUGGAAAAUAGUCUUCAAAUCAUGUAAGAUUUAAUAGGUUAAAUUUGUUAACAAUAAAUUUUAAAUUAUAAAAUAUAAUCUGGAACUCAAAAAUCAAUUCAAGUAAUGCUAAAAAAAAAUCAAAUUUGGUAUAGAAUGACUUUGUAAAUUUUUUUACAAAACAAAUGAAUUUUAAAUCAAGUGAGAUUUAAUGCAUUAGAUUUUUAUCAAAUAUAGUAAUUUUAAAAAUAAAUUUGGAACUCAACAAUAGACACAAUAAAUACCAAAAAAUAAUGAACCAAAAUUGGUUUGGAAUAACUCCACAACCUUUUUUUUUUUUUUUUGGUGCACACGAAUUUUCUUACUAGGUAUAUUGCUUUCAAAUUGAGAAAGAUUUACCAUUUAGAUUUUUUUUUAAUGAGUUUAAUGGUAUUUUAAAAUAAUUCAAAAUUUAAAAAAUUGACUAAUUAAUAUUAUAAAUUGAUAAACCAAGACUAUUUCAAAAUGCAUUGGGGGCUAAGGGGGUUGAAAAUAGGGACAAUGGGAUGGGUUUGGGACAUGACACUCAUAUCUCAUUUCCAUUCCAAUUACACAGUUAUCUCCCAUCCUUAUCCCAAACUUGUGUUGGAGCAAGUUGAUUUGUUCCCAUCUUUGUUGACGAAAUGACUAAUAACCUCAUCCCCUCCUUAUCUUAGAUGUACAUUUUGUCAAAUUUGAUCAGGUAUGAUUGAUCCAAGCCCUAACCCUAAUUGGUAAUGAGUGAAUACUACACCUAAUUGCAUUCUUCUUUCAUUGCAAAAUAAUGAGAUUAUAAUAAUCUAGCAAAUAAGAAAAAAUAGUAUGGAAGUUCAAAUUAACACCAUAACUAUCAAUAAUUUUAAGCUUAUAGAUGACUUAAAUGAUUAAAAACUAAUGCAAAAUCCUAAAAAAAAUAAAAAUCAUAUAAAGAAUUCACAAGAGAACAGAAUGAACAAAAACCAAAUAUGAACAUGGGUCAACAUUAGUUAUGGAUUUGGAUUCCUUUCAAGGCCAAUCUUUGAACCAAGACUUCAUCAAAUCAACUACUUCAAAGGCUUUUGUGUUCUUCUUGGGUUGUGCUCUCAAACAAAGACUUCGAGGUGAUGUUCUAGAUGAUUGAAUUACACAUAUUUAGGGUGGAGAGAUUGGAGAAGCUUGAAGAUGCCAACGAUGGGUACAAUUGAGUGGUCAAUAAGAACAAUGUAGCCUAUGACUAGUUUGAUGUCAUGGUACAAGAGUUUUAGGCAUUGAGGUUAAAGCAAGAGCAACAUGGAAUUGAUUUCGGAGUCUUUCAGUUAGUGUAAAGGAGGAAGAAGUGGUGUUGAUUCUAGAAAUAGGGUUUUAAGUGGUGCGUGAUUACUACUCAAAAAGUGCUAUUUGAUAGCCUUUAAUUAAUCCUUUUUAACACUUUUGAGUAGUAGUUUAGGCCUUUUAACUCAAUUGGCAUGUUAAGGAUCCUUUAAAGCAAUUUUGAUCACUUUGUGCAAGUUUUGGUGUUUUUGUUAGUAUUUUGAUCACCAAAGCAAGUCAAGAAUGAGGAGAACUAUGAGGAAUCAUGGGCAAAGCUUAGAAUUCAAUUGCCAAGAGUGAAUCCGGAUUGCAAGGAGAAAAAGCAAAGAGAAUCUGUCAUGAAGCCUAUUCUUGAUGACAGUCGUAGCAGCCACUUUUGGAGCACUUUCUGAAGUCCAAAUGAUGCAAGCUAUAUACCAUUUCAAAGAUCAGGAAGUCAACAAUCCAAUGCUUCAAACGGUGCGCGAUUCGGAGUUGAAACGAAGAAGUUGCAGCCAUUACAAGCCAGUCACUCUAAAGUGUUGCGGAAUCAGCCUUUUGUUGCGAGAAUUUCGCAGCACUUUUGUACAGUAAGGUGUUUCUCCUUCUGACGAUGCACGAACCAUGCCGCGAGAGGGAAGCUAGGAACUUCAAGAUGGAAGCCAACUUUGCAGCCUGGUGAAGAUAGCUUGGUCUUGCGAAAUAAUUUCGCAGCCCUCUUGGGUGUCUGCGAAAUUUCGCAGGCACCACUUUUUUCCUGCGAAAUGGCUCCGGAAGCCUCCCGAAGCUUGCUACCGACAUUGGGAGAUAUUUUCCAUUAGAUUUUUGUUGUCUAAAUUCCAAAAUACUCCUUGUAAACCACCAAUUACAUGAUUCCUUAGUUUUUAAGUUAGUAAAAAGACCAAAUAUCUAUGUAAUAAUUAGUUUUAUAUUAGUUUGCUAUAAAUACCUCUCGGGAGCAUGUUCUCAGAGAGGAGUUCCUUCUGUAACCAUUUUGGUAAGCAAGUAAAGUCUUUUCUUUCUACUGCCUUACCUUCUCACUUUGUAUUUUCAUUUUAUUUCUAAGUUAUGAAUUCUCUGAGGAGCUUUCCCCAGAGAAUGAGUAACUAAACCUCCAAUUCCUUGGAGCUAAGGUUGCCGGGGAAGGUUCCAAGUGCAAGAAUGCAAAGCUCUGUGGUUUUAGCUAGUAAUGAAGAGGAAGUGAAAUCCUUUAGUGAUUUCAAUGUUUUUAGUUAACUUAAAACACCUUGGAGUCACCUGGGCCAACACUUGGUAAGGCAAGUGAUUUCCAACCGUGGAAAUGCACUAGUUUACCCCUUGCGAGCCUCUGGUAGGUGACUUCAAGGUAGGAUUUUCUGGAAUUACCAACACUUGGUAAGCUUUUGGACUCCUAGGAGACAUCCAUUAGUUAUCUCUUGCGAGUUUGUGAAGGGGAAUCCAAGGUUAAAGAUCACCUUGAAUGGUAAGUGCUCGUGAGAGGCAUGAACCAUUGCAAGUUGUAUCAGUGAGAGAAUUAAAGUGAAAUCUAAUUGAAGGAGUCUCUGUACAUCACCGGUUAGAGAAUUGACUAUAAGUUGAAUCUCUAAUGCGAGGAAAUGAACCAUCUGACCGGAGCUAUGUCUUUUGCAUGAGGAACCACCCCAGUGAACCUAAAUCUCCAAGGAAUGCUUUUCUUCCUAAAUUAUUCCAAACUUCUGUUAAGUUAGUUAGUUUAAGUCUAAACCUUUACCAAUCAAACUUUGUGUUUUAUUUCUUAAGCUAACCGUGAAAUGAAACAAAACCAAUUCACUUGGAAUUGGUAUCCUUGAUUGCUUGCAAAUCAUUCCCAGUGAACGAUCCUUAGAGCCACUAUACUAUAGUAGCUUUGUAUUUGCUACCCUAGUGUAUGGUGUUAUAGGUAUAAAUUUUGUUGAUCACUUCCUCAAUCAAGGAACACCAGCUGAACACAAAUCAGCUGAGACACCAAUUGGGCAUGAGUCAAAUGGCGCCGUUGCCGGGGAAUGAGUGUCAAGAUCAUUGUGAUACCAUUUUUGAGCACUUGUGAUUUUCAUCACAAGUUGGUAAAGUUUCUUUCACUUUACUAAUUUUCAUUCUCUCUUUGUUUAUUUACAAUCUAAGUUUAUCUUUUUAAAAUUUAGUCUAGUUUAAUUUUGCUAUUGUAGCCUUGUUUCUCUUGUUGUCCUCUGUUCUUGUUGUCCUCUGUUUUCAUUUUAGUUGCAGCUGAAUACUAGUUGUGUAUGCCAAAGUGGAUACGAGACAUUGGAGGUAGGCUUAUUAAGUGUGAUACACCUCAGAGAGGAGAAUUGGAAGUAAUCUUGAAUAUCAUGGAGGCUGCACCUGAAGAUCAGCAUAGUCACCAAGGUCGUCAAGACAAUCUCAAUGAAUUCAGAUCAAUGAGGGACCGUAUGCAUCCACCUCGUAUGAGUGCACCAUCAUGUAUAGUGCCCCCUACAGAGCAACUAGUGAUCAGACCAUAUCUUGUUCCACUUCUACCAACUUUCCAUGGGAUGGAAAGUGAGAAUCCGUAUGCACACAUCAAGGAAUUUGAAGAUGUUUGUAAUACAUUCCAAGAGGGAGGAGCUUCAAUUGAUUUGAUGAGGCUUAAGUUAUUUCCUUUUAAUUUAAAGGAUAAGGCCAAAAUUUGGCUUAAUUCUUUAAGGCCAAGGAGUAUCCGCUCUUGGACUGAUUUACAAGCUGAAUUCCUCAAGAAAUUUUUUCCUACUCAUAGAACAAAUGGCUUGAAAAGGCAAAUUUCAAACUUCUCAGCUAAAGAGAAUGAGAAAUUCUAUGAGUGUUGGGAAAGAUACAUGGAAGCUAUAAAUGCUUGUCCUCACCAUGGCUUUGAUACUUGGCUACUGGUGAGUUAUUUUUAUGAUGGUAUGUCCUCCUCAAUGAAGCAACUCCUCGAGAAAAUGUGUGGAGAAGAUUUCAUGAGCAAAAAUCCAGAGGAAGCUAUGGAUUUCUUGAGCUAUGUAGCUGAUGUUUCAAGGGGAUGGGAUGAACCAACUAAAGGAGAAGUGGGAAAGAUGAAGUCUCAGUUGAAUGCUUACAAUGCAAAGGCUGGGAUGUAUACUUUAAAAGAGGAUGAUGACAUGAAAGCAAAGUUGGCAGCUAUGACAAGAAGAUUGGAGGAGCUGGAGCUGAAAAGAAUGCAUGAAGUGCAAGCUGUUGCUGAAGCACCAGUGCAAGUGAAGUUGUGUCCCAAUUGUCAAUCGUUUGAACAUUUGGUAGAGGAAUGCCCUGCAAUUUCAGCUGAAAGGGAAAUGUAUAGAGAUCAAGCAAAUGUUGUUGGACAAUUCAGGCCCAAUAACAAUGCUCCUUAUGGAAAUACCUACAAUUCAAGUUGGAGGAAUCAUCCAAAUUUUUCAUGGAAGGCCAGAGCAACUCAAUACCAACAGCCGGAUCCACCAUCUCAACAAUCUUCAAGUAUUGAACAAAUAAUAGCUAAUCUCAGCAAGGUAGUGGGAGAUUUUGUGGGAAAGCAAGAAGCCACCAAUGCUCGAGUGGAUCAAAGAAUGGACAGAGUGGAUCAAAGAAUGGACAGAAUGGAGAGUAUGUUGAACAAAAGAAUGGAUGGAAUGCAAAAUGAUAUGAAUCAAAAAUUUGAUAACAUCCAAUAUUCAAUUUCAAGGCUUACAAAUUUGAAUACACUGCAAGAAAAGGGAAGAUUUCCUUCUCAACCUAACCAAAAUCCCAAAGGUGUCCAUGAAGUGGAAAGCCAUGAGGGAGAAUCAUCACAGGUGAAAGAUGUGAAAGCUUUGAUCACUCUAAGGAGUGGUAAGAAAAUUGAGCAGCCAACACCCAAGCCACAUGUUGAGAAAGAAGAAGAGAUGAAGAAAGGGAAGGAAAUGGAAGAUAAAGGCAGUGAGAUCAGUGAAGAAAAGAAGGACUCUGAUGCAACAAUGAAAGUAAUUCCAGAGAAGGAGCUUCUGAAGGAAGAAAUGCUGAAGAAAUCAACUUUUCCACCUUUUCCUCAAGCAUUACAGGGGAAAAAGGGGGUUAGAAAUGCAGCUGAAAUCCUAGAAGUAUUGAGGCAAGUGAAAGUUAAUAUUCCACUGCUGGAUAUGAUCAAACAAGUUCCAACGUAUGCAAAAUUCCUAAAGGACUUGUGUACUAUCAAAAGAGGGUUGACUGUAAACAAGAAAGCCUUCUUGACUGAGCAAGUAAGUGCAAUCUUACAGUGUAAGUCUCCUUUGAAGUACAAAGACCCUGGAAGUCCUACCAUUUCAGUCAUGAUUGGAGGAAAGGUAGUGGAGAAAGCCUUGCUAGACUUGGGAGCAAGUGUGAAUUUGCUUCCAUAUUCUGUCUACAAGCAACUGGGACUUGGAGAGUUGAAGCCAACAGCAAUCACUUUGUCUCUGGCAGAUAGAUCAGUGAAAAUUCCAAGAGGGGUAAUUGAGGAUGUAUUGGUUCAAGUAGAUAAUUUCUACUAUCCUGUAGAUUUUGUUGUUCUUGAUACAGAUCCUACUGUAAAGGAAGCUAAUUUAGUUCCUAUCAUCCUUGGAAGGCCAUUUCUUGCAACUUCAAAUGCAAUCAUCAACUGUAGAAAUGGGCUUAUGCAACUCACUUUUGGUAACAUGACACUGGAUCUAAAUAUUUUCUAUAUGUCUAAAAAGCAAAUCACUCCAGAAGAAGAAGAGGGUCCAGAAGAGCUAUGUAUUAUUGAUACUUUGGUGGAGGAGCACUGCAAUCAACAUAUGCAAGAUAAGUUGAAUGAAAGUUUUGUGGAUAUUGAGGAAGGUUUUUCUGAAUCUCCUAAUGGGCUUGCUACUCUACAAAGUUGGAGAAAGAUAGAAGGAAUUCUACCUUUGUUCAAUGAAGAAGAGGAGGCAGCUGUUGAAAAAGAAAUUCCAAAACUCAAUCUGAAGCCUUUACCUAUGGAGCUGAAAUAUACAUAUCUUGAAGAAAAUAAUCAAUGUCCUGUCGUAAUAUCUUCAUCUCAAACCAAGUCUCAAGUGAAGGAUGCAAGCUUCAAAUGGGAUCCGGGCAAACUGAAUCAGGAAGGGCAAAAAGUUUUGAUGUAUGACACAAGACUCCAUAUCUUUCCUGGGAAGCUCAAGUCAAGGUGGAUUGGUCCAUUUGUUAUUCACCGAGUAUAUUCCAAUGGAGUGGUGGACUUAUUGAAUUCCAAUGGCAAGGACAGCUUUAGAGUCAAUGGAUAUCGUCUUAAGCCGUUCAUGGAGUCAUUCAAAUCAGAAAAGGAGGCAAUCAACCUCCUUGAACCUCAAAAAGCCUAAGUGAAAUGGGUUUGCUGGACGUGGUUUUACCACAGUCCAAAAAUUUUUGUAAAUUUUGUAAAUUUUCAAGUUGUUUCCAUGCUUUUAAUCUUAGUUUUUGAUUUUAAAUCAUGUUUUUAGGUGUGUUUUAAUCGUUUUAUAUGAUCCCAGGCGGAAGAAAUUUCAAGGGGAUUGAAAAGAAAAAAAUCGGGUCGAAAUUGGAGCCGAAACAGAGCAAAAACAGGGGAAAAACAGAGCUCUGCGAAAUUUCGCAGGGUGAAGGAAACUUCUGCGAAAUUGGCAUUUUGCUGCCAAACCAUUCCGCAGCACUGUAGAAGCCUCUGCGAGUGUAUUUCGCAAUUGCGAAAGUGGAUUUGGCACACGAGUGCCACUUCGCAGCACAGUGACAUCAAUUUCGCAGCUGCGAAACUCACUGCGAAGUUGCUGCGAAAAUGGCAAGUUGCUGCGAAAUUGGCGUUUUGUUGCGAAACGUAAUCUGACCCCUGGGCUUCCGUUUUUCCUAUUUAUACCUGUCAAAAGUGCUGCGAAAAAGGUUUCAAAAAUUAGAGCACCAUUCUCGCAGCCCUUUCAUCUUCUUCGCCAAGCCACGCCGUCCGUUUCUCCGGUCGUCUUCUCCGUUUAGCAGCGCCGGCCAAAGAUCGAUAGCCCAAAAAUGGCACGAACGCGAGGGGCAAAGUCUUCAUCCCCUUCGAACCGCAAAAGGAGUCUGCGAAAGGAGCCAAGUUCAGGCUCUGUUCCAGAACCUGCUCCAAAGCCUUCGCCGUCGAGACCACAACCUUCUCCAGUGAAGCCGGCGCCACCAAAGCCGCCGGCAAGGCGAUAUUUAACCAGGUCAGGUGGUCAGCCAUUGAAGAAGAAAGCCAGAGUUGAGAGCUCUGAACCAAUCGAUUUGACUGAGCAAUCCCCUGAGAAAUCACCAAAUCCUUCACCGGUACAAAUUCCAGUGCCAUCACCGGUUCCCUCGCCAAUUCCCUCACCAGAAGCAACUCCAAUUCCAUCGCCGGUACCAUCUCCGGCACCCCAAGAAAAAGCUCAGGAGCCUCAAGCGCCAAUUCCAGAGCCCCAAAUUGCAGCUGAAGCACCUCUGGAAGAAGUGAUCCGAAGGCCAAUGCUGCCUCAGCCCCCAAUCGAAGGAAACCUGGAUUGCCGAACUCGGGCAUUCCAUUCUGAGCUUUGCUUCGAUUUAACAGCAUUCAGAGUGAGGCCAGAGCUUGCCCAAUCCUUCCAACUGCUGAGGAGAUAUCAUAUGGAGCAUCUGCUAGCUCCAAGGGAUUUUUUCUAUCCCCGGGUAGUCACGGAUUUCUACCAAACCAUGACAACCAAAGAAGUAAGAAAUCCAACUCUGAUUCAUUUCAUAAUUGAUGGAAGGCAUGGUAUUUUGGGAGCAAGACAUAUUGCUGAAGCCCUGCAAAUUCCUUUUGAGCCAACUCAAUUCGACAAUUUUAAAGCUUGGACAAAUCCUACUGAGUUAGAGAUGGUUAGCACACUAACCAGAGGAGCUGCAAAUCGAUCGCAUUUGUUGAGGGGGGAGCUACCUCCAGUUAUGUUUUUGAUUGAUGCCUUUUUGAGGCAUAAUAUCUAUCCCCUGCAGCAUUGGACCCAAAGAAGGGGAAUUCUCCUAGAAGCCUUGUACAAAAUGUCUGAAGGAUUCUUCUUUGGGCCUCAUCAUCUGAUCAUGGCAGCCCUUCUAUACUUUGAGGAGAAGGUUCACAAGAAGAAGCUUCAAAGAGCAGAUUGCAUUCCACUCCUCUUCCCAAGGCUGCUAUGCCAAGUUUUGGAGCAUCUCGGAUACCCCUCUGAGCCUCAGCAGGAAAGAAAGAGAAUAUGCCGUGAGCCUUUUACCCUUGAUAAAUGGAAUAAUAUGACGGCCUACAAAAUUGAUCAGCCUGGGCAGCCUCAGCCAGCAGCAAGGAGAGUCUCCCCAAGACAUAUACCUGAAGGUAUAACACUUGCUACUCCUGCCAUCCCUCGAGCUCCACCAGCUGCACCUGCUCCAUCACAGCCAUCCACAUCAGCUGAGCCGAGGAUGGCCAUCCCUAUAUCCGAAUAUCGAGAGCUGUGCCGUGCAUUGGAGACUCUUACAGCUUCUCAGAGCAAUCUUGCUCAGGAGUUGGCAGCCAUUAAAGCAUGCCAGGAGCAGAUGUUAGCCUCUCAGACUCAACAAGCUGCCAUCCUAAGGCAGCUUCAAGUCCAUUUCGAUCUGCCACAAGCUGUAGAGCCCUCUAUUCCUACUCCACCAGAGCCACACUCUCAGCCUUCAGAGUCUCAUCCUCCAGAACCCGAAGCACCAGCUGAUCCACCUACUGAGGAGGCAGAUCCUUCUGCCUAGCACCAUCACCCCCCUCAUCAGACAUUAUAUAUAUAUUUGCUGUUUAUGUUUUUAUGCAUGUUUGUUUUGUUUUAGUUGAAAAGAAAUCCCAGUAUUUUGGUACUAUAUAUGGGAUUCCUUGUGUUACUUGUCUUUAGUAUUGUAAUCACAUGAACUCAAAGUAAUACAAGUUGACUAUUUCUUGUUAAAAGUUAGCAUUAAAGUUUCCUUAUUUCCUUUUCUCACAUAUUCUAUUCUUUUUGAAACAUGUGGUUUUCCCCAAUCAAUAUUCGAAUUUGAUAUCAGCAUGGAGGUACCACUUCCUCCCUUUUAUUACAGUCACUCAAAUCACAUUGAGGACAAUGCUCAGUUCGGUUGGGGGGUAUGAGGAAGGAAGUAUUCUAAACCUUUUUGGUAUUGCAAUUAUAUUGGUUAAUUAGUUGUAGAUUUUACUUUUUACUAGUGUUACUCUAUUCUCCAUGAAUUUUGAGGAAAAAUUUUCAAAUUAAACCAAGAGAAAUUGAACUGUUGUUUUUCACUUGACUUAGAGUAUGGAUUAUGCUUACUAAAGUGGUUCAAUUGUUGAAACUUCUACUGAAAUUGAAUUGAGUUCUUCCACUUUAAGCUAUCCACACACUGUGCACAUUAGUUUCCGAUUAUAAGAUGAAAAGCUAUUUCCCUCUUGACUUAGUAUAUUUUUGGGACUUGGUAUAUUUGACCUCAUUUGAUAAAAAUUGAAACACCCUGCAAAAGGCCAAUGAGCCUUUGAAAUAAAGAAAGUUGUUUGCUUGCCUUGAAACCCGAGCAAGGUCUGAGGGGUAUAUGGUGAAAAUCUUUAAAGCCUGGUGCCCUAAGCCUUAAUUGGUUGGGAGUCACCGACCUCAAUGCUCGUUACAAGGGUGAAUAGGUAGAGUUAGCAUAUGGUAGAUGCUUGGGUAUUAGAAAUUCAUUCUUAAAAGUCCGGGGAAAAAUCCGAGGAGUUAGUGGUUGAAAGAUCCUUAAAACUUGGUGCCCUAAACCUUAAUUGGUUGGGAGUCAUCGAUGGACCCCCAUUACAUGGACAAGUCAGAAAGAGUACCCCAUAAAGCUACCUUAAAAAAAAAAAAAAAAAAAAAAAAAAAAAAAAAGAUGAAAGUGUGUUCUUUUCUUAUUGAUUUUGGUCAGUUUGCUAAAGUGUUGAAAAGAGAUAGGUUGGGGGGUGAGAUUAGUAGCAUAUUAUUCUCGGAACCUAAGGAACCAAUACACAUAGAUUUUUGUGGAAGAUUGAAGUUUAGUUCUUAGAAAAUGAAAUGAUUUUAAAACUUCAGUUUGCAUAAUGCACUCCCUUGAUUGACAGUGUUUAGCAUAGGUGUUAUGACUCUUGUUGAGAUUUGGGUUUGUAUUUCUUUAAUGAUUCAUGUGAGAAAUAGAUCAUCAUGCCACUUGAGAAUUAUUUUCCUUUUAGCAUGAUGUUGUAAAUUUUAGAUUAGUUUGCUAUUUAUUUUUUAUUUUCUCUCCUAUAUUGCUAAGGGACUAGCAAUAUGUCGGUUGGGGGGAGUGAUUACUACUCAAAAAGUGCUAUUUGAUAGCCUUUAAUUAAUCCUUUUUAACACUUUUGAGUAGUAGUUUAGGCCUUUUAACUCAAUUGGCAUGUUAAGGAUCCUUUAAAGCAAUUUUGAUCACUUUGUGCAAGUUUUGGUGUUUUUGUUAGUAUUUUGAUCACCAAAGCAAGUCAAGAAUGAGGAGAACUAUGAGGAAUCAUGGGCAAAGCUUAGAAUUCAAUUGCCAAGAGUGAAUCCGGAUUGCAAGGAGAAAAAGCAAAGAGAAUCUGUCAUGAAGCCUAUUCUUGAUGACAGUCGUAGCAGCCACUUUUGGAGCACUUUCUGAAGUCCAAAUGAUGCAAGCUAUAUACCAUUUCAAAGCUCAGGAAGUCAACAAUCCAAUGCUUCAAACGGUGCGCGAUUCGGAGUUGAAACGAAGAAGUUGCAGCCAUUACAAGCCAGUCACUCUAAAGUGUUGCGGAAUCAGCCUUUUGUUGCGAGAAUUUCGCAGCACUUUUGUACAGUAAGGUGUUUCUCCUUCUGACGAUGCACGAACCAUGCCGCGAGAGGGAAGCUAGGAACUUCAAGAUGGAAGCCAACUUUGCAGCCUGGUGAAGAUAGCUUGGUCUUGCGAAAUAAUUUCGCAGCCCUCUUGGGUGUCUGCGAAAUUUCGCAGGCACCACUUUUUUCCUGCGAAAUGGCUCCGGAAGCCUCCCGAAGCUUGCUACCGACAUUGGGAGAUAUUUUCCAUUAGAUUUUUGUUGUCUAAAUUCCAAAAUACUCCUUGUAAACCACCAAUUACAUGAUUCCUUAGUUUUUAAGUUAGUAAAAAGACCAAAUAUCUAUGUAAUAAUUAGUUUUAUAUUAGUUUGCUAUAAAUACCUCUCGGGAGCAUGUUCUCAGAGAGGAGUUCCUUCUGUAACCAUUUUGGUAAGCAAGUAAAGUCUUUUCUUUCUACUGCCUUACCUUCUCACUUUGUAUUUUCAUUUUAUUUCUAAGUUAUGAAUUCUCUGAGGAGCUUUCCCCAGAGAAUGAGUAACUAAACCUCCAAUUCCUUGGAGCUAAGGUUGCCGGGGAAGGUUCCAAGUGCAAGAAUGCAAAGCUCUGUGGUUUUAGCUAGUAAUGAAGAGGAAGUGAAAUCCUUUAGUGAUUUCAAUGUUUUUAGUUAACUUAAAACACCUUGGAGUCACCUGGGCCAACACUUGGUAAGGCAAGUGAUUUCCAACCGUGGAAAUGCACUAGUUUACCCCUUGCGAGCCUCUGGUAGGUGACUUCAAGGUAGGAUUUUCUGGAAUUACCAACACUUGGUAAGCUUUUGGACUCCUAGGAGACAUCCAUUAGUUAUCUCUUGCGAGUUUGUGAAGGGGAAUCCAAGGUUAAAGAUCACCUUGAAUGGUAAGUGCUCGUGAGAGGCAUGAACCAUUGCAAGUUGUAUCAGUGAGAGAAUUAAAGUGAAAUCUAAUUGAAGGAGUCUCUGUACAUCACCGGUUAGAGAAUUGACUAUAAGUUGAAUCUCUAAUGCGAGGAAAUGAACCAUCUGACCGGAGCUAUGUCUUUUGCAUGAGGAACCACCCCAGUGAACCUAAAUCUCCAAGGAAUGCUUUUCUUCCUAAAUUAUUCCAAACUUCUGUUAAGUUAGUUAGUUUAAGUCUAAACCUUUACCAAUCAAACUUUGUGUUUUAUUCCUUAAGCUAACCGUGAAAUGAAACAAAACCAAUUCACUUGGAAUUGGUAUCCUUGAUUGCUUGCAAAUCAUUCCCAGUGAACGAUCCUUAGAGCCACUAUACUAUAGUAGCUUUGUAUUUGCUACCCUAGUGUAUGGUGUUAUAGGUAUAAAUUUUGUUGAUCACUUCCUCAAUCAAGGAACACCAGCUGAACACAAAUCAGCUGAGACACCAAUUGGGCAUGAGUCAGUGCGUUAGAGGAUCAAGAAGAAGAAAAAGAAGGAACUGUUGGAAUUAGUAUGAGUGUGAAGAGAAAAGUAUAUAAAUAAGGGGAAGUAAAAGCAAAGUUCAAAAAGCUAUAUUUUUUUAUUGUUGGUGUAUGGUUGCAUGAUUAUCCCUAUAAAUAAUAGGAGUUUUUUGGUAUUCUACUAGUAGUUGAAGCAUAAUUUCAUAAAUUAAUAUUUAGAGCGGGGUGGGGUGAGUUGUGACAAAAUUCAUACCCGUCCCAAACCUUGGUUCAGAUUUUUAAAAUAUUCUCAAACUUAUCAUAUACCCAACUUUUAUAUUUCAUACUUGUCCUAAUAGAGGCACGUUAGGCCGGGUUACUUGAGUAACCUACAUAAUUGUCAUCCCUAGUUGAAAUACACUUUUUGGCAGUGGCCACCAACUGAGCUAGAAGCUUGAUUGAUUGACCUACAAGAUUAGUUCUCAUCAUUUUAAAAAAAGUUCUGGCUUUGGUUGUGAGUGCAAUUGAAUCUAAACUGGCAUUUGCUUAAUGCAUCUACUUCAAUCCUAAACUUCUUACUUCUUAAGCCUCAAUUGUUGUUAGGAUUUUGGAAAACCCAUUUCCUUAAAUUGUAAAUUUAAGAUAAAAUAAAAUAAAAGUGAGACAUUUCUUGAUUGAAUAUUGUUAAAGGUCCCUUGGCAUUAAGACUUGGUUGAAGCCUUGGAAGAUUAGUGGAACUCUCAACAUGUGUUUGAAUCUUGAGGAGAGUGGAUGUAAGCCAAAAUUUUGUCAAACCAUUAUACAAAUUGAGUUUGAAUCCUCAUUUCUUGAUUUCUUAUUUAUUUGCUUUUUCUUAUUAUUACUUGAAUUGUCAUUUGCAUUCAUUAAUGUUAAAAUUGGUUAUAAUUAACCAACACUAAUUCUCUUUCCCCUUCCCUUUCUUGGGUGUAAACCUAGGUUGGAUUAACUAGAUAAAUCUAUUAAGAUGGUAAAAGAAUAAUUAUUCUUAACAUACAUAAGAUCAUCUUCAAUCAAAUGACUCAUUGGCUAAUAUGUUGAAUUUGCUUAUUACUUGCAACUCAAAAUUGUGUUCUAGUUGUGUCAAGUCCCCAGUGUAUGGACAUUAAAUUUGUAGUACGUGAUGAGUAAUUAGAUGGUCCAACUCCAAGAAAGUGAUUGAAAAGUAGUUCAAGAAAGGUGCAAAAGGGAAUUGUUUUGGUAUUUUCGUUUUUAUUCUUGAAGGUGGCAGAGCUAAAAUUUGAGAAAUCAAGCAAAACAUACUGAAAUUACAUUGAAAGAAAGAAGAUGGGAGUUAAUGUCUUGCAGUACAUGAUAAGGACUUCAUGCAUGUAGUGUGACCCAUGUCUUGGACUGAUGCCAACUCACGGUUACACUUAUACCCUUGGUUCUCUCUUUACUACCUUGGCUAACCUAGAUCAGGCUAUGAGAUAGGCUCCUCACCACACCAUUACUUGCCCAUUAAUUAGAGACAUUUUCAAGCAAUGAGGUAACAUGGUGACACCAAGAGGGUCUAUUCCUCGCCCGGAACAAGUCUAGACUUGGUCUCAAAAAAAUGGAGAAAAAUGAGGUGUCGUUAUGUAGAAAUACAACAACCAUGCCUUCCUCAUUACUUAGAUUCAGAAUGUGAAGGUGAAAUUGAGAAACAGAAACUCUUGAAACCAAAAUGAAAAUUGAUACUUUUACGAAGAAUUACAACAACAUUAGAGGAAGACUACAUUCUUCCUCUUUAUUCCUACAUUUCUACACUACUUCUACUCCACUCCAUAUUUCUACAUACAUCUUUAAUCAGUCUUCCCUCCUUUAUAUAGAGCCAUCUUCACACAAAUUUCGCAAGGUAGAAAAGAGGAAUGAAACUUGGAGCAAGGUUCGACUACUGGUUGUAGCUUGUCAAGGCUGGAAGUGAACUUUUCUUGGCUUUCUGGGCAUGGGUAGUAACUUGUGGGUUCCUGUUUGGCAUAAAAAUGGCUAGAACAUGUGGCACUAUCUUGUUGGAUGAUGUGUCAAGCAUGUGGCAGCCAUCUAGUGGCGAUUAUGUCAAUUUUGGGAUGGAGAGUUGGCAUCCAAUUGCAAAGAAAUAUGACGUCUACCAACAUGCAAUGUAAACCUAUGUAGAUCAUAUGAAGAUAGAGAGGAAAAAUAUAGAAAUGGAUAUAUACCUAGAACUAGCUUUUUAUUAAAUGAAACGGAGAGACAACAAUGAAGGAAAAUAAAAUUUUUUGGCUUAUAUCAAAGAGUUCACAUUGUGUUACCCUAGGUUUUCUUAAAACUUACUUUUAUGAUAACAAAAAAGAAAAAACCAUUAUUGUUUAAUCCUUUGUUUUAAACGCAUGUAAGGUGUAAUUAAGUUAGUUCAAUGCAUUAAUUUAAGAAACUUGACCUAUCAAAAGUACAAAAUUAGAUGAAAUCCAUUUCAAUGGUUAAAAUGAUCAAAAUCAAACUUUUUCUAAGUAUUUUUUAAAAGCAUCAAUAGUGAAAGACAAUUUUAUAUUUAGUCGGAGUUUGGACAAAACUGAAAAACACACAAAAUCCAAGCGACCAUCUCUAGCUUGGAUGGUCGCUUGAUCCCACCUAGAGAUGUGCAUGAGUAAAAGGAUUUGAAAAUGGAAAUUGACUAUGUAGUCGAUCAAUUAACUUUGCAACAUCAUAUGCAAUCCUAAUUGCUAGUCAUCUAAUCAAUUAGGUAGUCAAUCAACAGGCCAAAAAUAUGUUUAUAAUGACUAUUUUGUACAAAAACCACCUGUAUAGUUAAAUAUAAUGCAUUUCAUUUAUAAAUCUUCUAAUUCUUGAAUAACGAUCCUAUCAUCCUUUGAAAGUUUUUAUUACACUUUUUUUACUUUUGUUCUAAAACUUACACAUCACCCUUAAUUGUACCAUGAGAACCUAGCUAUUUUUUAUUUUUUUUUUUGUAAUUCAUCAAAGUUAGCUUUUGUAUUCAUUGUUGUAUUAUUUUUAGUAUAACUUAGAAAGCUAGUGUUUUCAAGUGAGUAAAAUUAACUUGUAAAUAUUGUAAAGAUUCAUCGACAUGUAUCUUAAACUAAGUGUACAAGUUAAAACAUUUGCUAGUAGAUUUUCUCAAAAUUUAGAAUAGAGCUUGAGACUAUUGAAAUAGGUGGGGUUGCACCAAACCACAUCACAUCGUUGUUUGCACCUUUUUUCACUCUCUUUUACUUAGUUGCUCUAUAUUUGUUGUCUAGUAAUAUCCUAUAGGCUUGAUGGGUUAGGGAGCAUCCCUUUGUGAAAAAAUUUUAUUCAAUCCUUAGUUGUAUCACGCAUAUAUAAAAUGCCUCAUUGUUUUAAUGGUAUUCAGUCGUGGCAUCACAGAUAUGGGCAUCUAAAUUUUAAAAGUUUGAAACUUUUAUCUAAAGAAAAUAUGGUGCUUUGCCUUUUUGUAAAGCAUGUUGAUGAAAUCCAUGAGAAUUGUGUACUUGGGAAGCAACACCGAGAUGACUUUUUUUUUUUUUUUAUAAUAUUGUUUGUCCAAAUUCCCUACAAAUUAGGCCACCAGAUGUUCAUAAUUCUCCCUUCUUGAAUUUGAAAACUCGGACAAUUGGACAAUGCGACACCUAAGUCCGGUUUCUAAAUGCUAAAGUGAAAGGGUAGGUAUGGACCAUUGAAAUGUGAUCACAACUUUUCUCUGUAGCCAUGUUGUCUCUUUUUUCUUUUGCAUGAUUUUCUUACCUUAACAGAAUCAUAGACUUGUUUAGUCUCUAAAUGGGAUUAAUUUCAUCCAGCUUUAAGCUACUAUAUUAUAUCUAGGUGGAGGACUUUUAAGAGUGCAACCGACAUAGAGCACAUGGAAGUGGGUAUAUGGGACAUGAAAUUUCUUCUUAUAAAGAUUGCAUGAUUUUUAUAUUAGAGUUGUUGAGGCGCUAUGUAUUUAGCUUGUUUUGCAGUUAAAUUAAUUGGAUAAGUAGACAUUGGCGUUUCUAAAUCUACUGUGAAGUGCUUCAUGUACGUGUGAAGUAUUAGAAAUUUCUUUCUUGGCAACUUGUUUUUCUUUGCGGUCUACUGAUAGGUUUGACUAAAAUUAUAUUCCCUGUCAUGCUAAUUAAUUUUCACGUGCAUGCUCAAAAGAAAAGUAUGACCUUAGUGCACCAAAAUCACUUUGAUUAAUUUGUGAUAGGUUUUUGUGCAUCAUGACAUUAGCCUUAUUCAUUUAGAUAAUGUUUAGUUUUUAGAAAGUAUUAAGAAAAGGAAAAUAAAUAUUAAGAAAAAUAUUCUUAUAUUUGAUUGUAUUAUGAAAAAUAUCAUAAAAAAAUCAAAUAUAAUUUAAAUUAAUUAAUAAUUUAUACAUUUUCAAAUUAUUUAAUCUUUAUAUUGAAGAUAUAAUAUAAAUGAAAUGAGUUUUAAGUAUUAUAUAAAAGUGAUUUAUUGAUCUUACAUAUAUAUAUUUCUUUUUUUUUUCCUUCUAUUUUUUCUCUUUAUUUUAUUUUCCUUAUGUUUUCCUCAACAUUUUCCGGAACCAAACAUAGCCUUAGGAAAUCCACAAUUACCUUCAACUGAGUAGAUUCUGUUGUUUUAGCAAUGUUAGGCUGCUAACUUGUGUUGGUACGAACCUAUUAAGCCUAAAGAUGUAAUUAGUUAGGAUAUUCUUUUCCCUCUAGUCUUGUAGCUCCACGUGUACAGUUGGUUAGGACCUCAUUGUAUAUAAUGCUUGCCCUGUUAUUGUAGAAGACAACAAAGAUAAAUAAUAUUAACAUUUUUCCUCUCAUCUCUCUCUGUUUCCCUCUGUUUUCAUCUCCUCUCUCAUCUUGGUAUCAGAGCCUCCAUGGCUUCUUUCAAAGAAACCUCCGAAUCACCUUCUGCUAGCAUUGUUAAUGUGCAAAACCCAUUAUCUCAAUCAAACAACCUUCCUUCACCAGUAGCCACACCCUCUUUUUCUUUCUCGUCUAUGAAUCAACCUCUCACAGUGAAGCUGGAUAAUGGGAACUACCUCAUAUGGAAGAAUUAGCUUCUAAAUGUCAUCAUUGCUAACGGACUCGAUGAUUUCAUUGACGGAUCUCGACCCUGCCCUCCUCGAUUUCUCGAUCUGCAACAACAAACCCUCAAUCCAGAGUACUCAGCUUGGCAGAGAUACAAUCGACUUCUGAUGAGUUGGCUGUACGCAUCCUUGUCCAAAGAUAUAAUGGCUCAGAUUGUUGGGUAUUCAACAGCUAUGGAGAUUUGGAAUGCCCUUAAUCAGAUUUACUCUGCCUCUUCUAUGGCGCGGUUUACUGAGCUUCGCACCAAGCUUCAAACGCUCAAGAAAGAUGGACUCUCAGUUGGUGAAUAUAUUCAAAGGCUCAAAUCCAUUUGCAAUAGUCUUGCAGCAAUAGGAGAACCAGUUUCUGAGAAAGACCAUCUUAUCUAUUUGUUCAAUGGAUUAGAUUGUGAGUAUUAUUCUUUUGUUACCUCCAUUCAAAAUCGAUCUGACCAACCAACUAUUGACAAAAUCCAUAGCCUAUUGCUUAGCUAUGACUUCCGGCUUGAACAACAAAACUCUGUUUCUCUCCAUUCUGCCCAAGUCCAUAUGGCUCAUCUGAACAAGAAACCUUAUAAAUCAACUCCUCAACCUACAUUCAAUCAUAUUCACAUUCAACCUAGAUACUCUUCUCCACCUUUUAAGCCAACCACUAGUCAAUAUCAACCCAACAUUUUGGGCAAACCACAACCACAACCAUGACAGCCUCAACCUCAAUGGAAACCACAUUUUUCAAUCUAAAAUCAAAAGCCUCAGCGCCAAAUUUGUGGUAAAUUUGGACACACUGCUCUUAUUUGCUUCCAUCACACAAAUUUGAACUAUUCACCCCAACCUUCUCCUAAAUCUUUCAAUACUGUUCUCACCACAAAUUCCCAGCUCCCUAAUCCUCCAAAAUUUUCUUACCCUACAAUGGCUCAUCCUGCUGCUACGCAUAACACGGUUCCCGAUACAAAUUGGUACAUGGACUCAGGUGCUACACAUCACUUUACUCUGGACAUCAACGUGCUUGACACUGUGACACCAUUUAGUGGUUCAGAACAGGUGACAGUUGGGAAUGGUAAGCAACUCUGUAUCUCACAUCUUGGUACUGCAAAACUACCAUCUUCGUAUUCUCCUCCUGUUCUACAUCAGGUAUAUCACACUCCAAAAAUUUCAAAUAAUCUUAUUAGUGUUAAAAAAUUGUGUUCUGAUAAUAAAGUUUUUGUUGAAUUUUAUGCCACUCAUUUUCUUGUCAAGGAUCAGGUUUCGAAGAGAGUUCUCCUUUAGGGUCAACUUGAUAAUGGCUUAUACAAAGUUCAGUCGUCAUGCUCUCCUUCUGCUGUUUCCUUUCCUCCUCAAGUUUUCAUAGCCAACAUCAAGUAUCCAAAUCUGUGGCACAAGAGACUAGGCCACCCAGCUUUAUCUGUUGUUAAUCAAAUCUUGGAUUCUUGUAACAUUGCUCGAACACAGAAAAUUUGUUUUAAUUUUUUAAAUUCUUGUCAAUUAGCAAAGAGCCACAGGCUUCCUUUUUCUCUGUCUCCAUCCAUUGCAGAAAAACCUUUUGAGUUAAUUCAUACAGACCUAUGGGGUCUUUCGCUCGUUCGCUCUAUUUCUGGUGCUCUUUAUUUUUUACUUUUCAUUGAUGAUCAUACUCGUUUUACUUGGUUUUAUUUGCUCAAAACAAAAGAUGAAGCAUAUCCUACUUUUCUCAAGUUUCAAGCUCUCAUUGAAAAUCAAUUUAAUACCAAGAUUAAGGCUGUCCAAUCUGAUUGGGGAGGUGAGUUUCGAUCUCUCUCCAUACCGUUUUCAAAUAUGGGCAUUGUCUAUUGUUUAUCGUGUCCAUACACCUCACAACAGAAUGGGCGAGUUGAGCGAAAAAAUCGCCAUGCGAUUGUCCUUUCUUGCUUGCUCUAUGCCCUUAUCUUAUUGGCCUUAUGCCUUUCAAACUGCCACUUACCUUAUUAAUCGUCUCUCUACCCCUGUGCUGCAUCAUCAAUCCUCUUACUUCGCACUCUAUCACAAACUCCCAACUUAUACUCAUCUUAAGGUCUUUGGUUCCUCUUGUUUUCCGUAUUUGCACCCUUAUAAUACCCAUAAACUCCAAUACAGGUCACUAGAGUGUGCUUUUCUUGGUUACAGUUCACACCACAAAGGUUAUCUAUGUCUUGACAUUCAUUCUAGCAGGGUGUAUAUUUCUCGCCAUGUGAUUUUUAAUGAAGAUUCUUUUCCAUUCAAGAAUUUGAAAUCUUCUCUCUCUCAGUCUAUUUCUUCUUCCUCUUCUUUAUAAGUUCCUCUGUUCAUUCUCUUGCCUCCCCUUUCCCCAUCUCCUCUUAUUUCUUCAUCUAUACCUCAUUCUUUUCCCUCUUCUUCUUCUACCUCUAGUACUUGUUCCCCUCUCGUUGCUCCUACCUCUCUUCCUUCCUCUUCACACUCUGUGUCUCCAUCUAUUCCACCUCCUUCUCCACCUUCUCCGAGUGUGGACCUGCUUGCACCUUGUGUGAAUACAAAUUUACAUACUUCUUCUCGCACUCACAAUAUUCAUCCUAUGGUGACUAGAUCUAAGGUUUGUAUCUAUAAACCUAAGUUGUUGUUGAGUGUCUCCAUAGGUUCUCUCACUAAGCCUACUUCCUUUCUUCAAGCUAUUAAAGAUCCUUCAUGGAAGCAAUCCAUGGAAUUCGAGUUUGCUACCCUUCAACACAACAAGACCUGGCAUUUGGUUCCUUCACCUUCCUCAGGCGAAGUAAUCGGUUGUAAAUGGGUCUAUAAGCUAAAGCUUCAGCCUGAUGGCUAAAUUGAGAGAUACAGCCUGCUUAGUAGCUAAGGGUAUCAUCAAAUUGAAGUAUGGACUACUUCGAAACAUUCAGCCUGAUNNNNNNNNNNNNNNNNNNNNNNNNNNNNNNNNNNNNNNNNNNNNNNNNNNNNNNNNNNNNNNNNNNNNNNNNNNNNNNNNNNNNNNNNNNNNNNNNNNNNAGCUUCAGCCUGAUGGCUAAAUUGAGAGAUACAAGGCCUGCUUAGUAGCUAAGGGUUAUCAUCAAAUUGAAGGUAUUGACUACUUCGAAACAUUCAGCCUGAUUGUCAAGCUUUCUACUAUCUGUAUUGUGCUCAGUCUUACUUUUUCCCAGAAUUGGUGUAUUAGACAGCUGGAUGUUCAUAAUGCCUUCUUACAUGGUGACUUAGCUAAAGACGUUUUCAUGGAACAACUGCCUGGAUUUGUUGAUCCUCUCUAUCCUACUCAUGUCUGCAAGUUGGAUAAGUCUCUCUACUGUCUUAAAUAGUCACCUCGGGCUUGGUAUACUAAGCUGAGUACUUCUCGCUACACUUGGGAUUUGUUACUUCUAAGAAUGACUCUUCCUUAUUUAUUUGUCAUUCGUCUCAUGGGUUACUUCUUGUUCUUGUCUAUGUGGAUGAUAUAAUCGUCAUUGGGAGCCACUCUCCUCAGGUUACUCACCUUAUCCAACAGUUGCAUCAUUAGCUUUCUUUAAAGGAUCUUGGUCCUUUACAUUAUUUUCUGGGCUUGGAGGUUCAUCACACCCCUACUGGUAUUCACCUCAGCCAAGCAAAGUAUAUCACUGAUCUCCUUACCCGGGCGGCUAUGUUGGAUGCCAAGCCAUGUCCCACUCCUAUGUCCUCCAACACAUAUCUCUCUUUUCAUGAUGGAGUGGCUCUUGAAAAUGGUUCAGAUUAUCGAAGUUUUGUUGGUGCCCUUUAGUAUUGUACCAUGACACGCCCAGAUAUAGCUUUUGCAAUAAAUAAAGUGUGUCAAUUCAUGCACCAUCCCUCUAAUGUUCACUGGCAGGCUAUAAAACGUAUUCUCCGGUACUUAAAGGGCACAUCUCAUUUUGGUCUCUUCCUACAGCCUUCCUAUGACUUCAACAUCACUUGCUAUACAAAUGCCGACUGGGCUUCCUGUCCUGAUGACAAGUGUAGCACCAGUGGCUACUGCCUCUUUCUUGCCUCUAAUCUGGUUUCUUGGUCAUCUUCCAAACAAAAAGUGGUCUCCCGCUCCAGCGCCGAAUCAGAGUACCGAGGGGUAGCAAAUGGGGCUGCUGAAAUUGCUUGGACUGAAUCUCUUCUUUGUGAACUUUCCAUUACUCCCCCUCCCCUCAUUCUCUGUGACAAUAUCAGUGCCACGUACUUAGCUGCCAAUCCUAUUUUGCAUGCCCGCACCAAACAUGUGGAAAUCGACUAUCACUUUGUCACGGAACGUGUUCUUCAAUGCUCUCUUUUUGUCCAGUUUACACCUUCUGAUGAUCAACUUGCUGAUUGCAUGACCAAGCCUCUCUCCACCCAACGUUUCAUCACUCUACGCUCCAAGCUCACUGUUCUCACUAGACCAAUGAGCUUGAGGGGGGAUGUUAAGCCUAAAGAUGUAAUUAGUUAGGAUAUUCUUUUCCCUCUAGUCUUGUAGCUCCACGUGUACAGUUGGUUAGGACCUCAUUGUAUAUAAUGCCUGCCCUGUUAUUGUAGAAGACAACAGAGAUAAAUAAUAUUAACAUUUUUCCUCUCAUCUCUCUCUCUGUUUCCCUCUGUUUUCAUCUCCUCUCUCAUCUGAACCAAAUGAUCCAUGUUAACCUUGGCUUGGUUUGAUUUGGCUCUAUCUUAGAGAGCUCAAGGAUCACGUCAACUCUGGUUUCUACUAUUCAGGUCCAUUCCCAUAUGAACUGGUUCAAAUUUGAGAAAAUGGUAACAGACCUUUAGUGAUGUUGGUUUGGAGCCAGUUGCCAAACCCGCCCUGAGCUUUACCACUAAUGUCAAGGGAGAAAGCCAUUUGAACAAAAACAAUAGCUUCAAGGGACUGAAUCGUGGAUGAAAUCUGAUCCACAUUUCUUCUCAUUUUGGAAACAAAUGAGAACUUAACUAAGAAGAUUCUACGGCCUCAUAGUGCUUUUCCUGAUCUAAGGUUGGUUCGUUUCCCAAACUGUGAGAUGCACGUGCCAGACUUCAGAACUCUCACGCUCAGGAGUGUAUCCACGUGGUGGACAUAAGAUGGUGGCUUAAGAUCUGGUGUCGGUGGCUUUACUUUACUAGGAGAGUAGUGUGUCUUCAUCUCAUUCACUGCCGGAGGGUGGCGUAAGCAGUGACGCUAAGGUGGGGCACAGUCAAUAUCAUUUGCAUUUGACCAUUAUAGUUUUCUCCCGGCUUUAAAGUAACCUUAUCGUGAUAAAGGAUUACUAGCACUAGUUCAGAUGAUAGUCAUGUUAAAUUCGGACCAUGUUUGUGUCACAUUAUCAGCAACCAUGUGUUUAUGGUUCAUGCUUUCUGCAACUAAAAUUGAUAUAUAACCAGGUGAACUUCAAUCUAAAUUCUGAAAGUACUCAUGUGAUAGAUGGUGCCCGUCUGCAGAGUCCAUCAAUUGAAAAAUGGAGUGAGUGUAUCUAUAAGAGGGAAGGCUUGGAAAAUGUUCAGUUUUCUGGGAAUUCAACAAGGAUCUAAAAUAGAUUGUUUUCUUUGCUGAUUUCAAUGGUUGAAAUUUGAGAAGAUUGUGUCCACAUAACACAACUAUUACUGGUCCUUCUGUUGCAAUUUAUCCUCUAAAGCUCUAGCAUGUCUUCCAAUUCCCACUUCCCUGUUACUCCAGGAAAGCUAUUUCUGUCAUUGUGAAGAAGAAAAGAGAAUGUACAUAUCGAUGCUUUUAAGUGACUGGAGCAUUUAUAUCAGGUGGUCUGCAGCCAUAUAUGCCACUUUGUGAAGAUUGGAACAGUCAAUCACUAGGCUAUAUAUUAGUGUGGCCCAGCCACUUUAAUCAAGGACAAGUCUUCAUACUUAAAGUCAAAUUCUGCCUUUAGUCUCAUUAUAAAUUUCUGUUUAAAUAUUAAGCAAACAUUUGUUUAAUGCGAUUAAGACAGUACUAACUCAAUACCUGUUCUAUUUUUGGAUGCAAAUGCUUGAUGGUUUCAUCAUUGGAUGGGAUAAAGGUGCAUUCAUGAUUAGGAAUACUAGUAGUUAUAUUUUAAUUCUCUUUUUUCUCAAUGAGACUUGUUGGCACAAUUUUGCUGUUGAGAAACCUACCUCUCCAUGGAAAAUAAGUUGUGAUUGAUAGUACUGGAUAUAUUCAAGAAAUCUAAAUAUAGAUAGCACAAAAUAUUAUCGACAUAAAUAGCAUUAACAGCGUACGUAUGUCUCAGUGCUCAUCAGCUAUAAGCAUGGGGCAAACACUUACUAUGAGCAACUUACGUCAAAAUUCCAGAAUAGGACAUAGAAGUGACAGAUAUAGAACAUUGCAUAUGAGUCACAAGAAAGGAAAUUACGGGUGCAUAGCAGCUCUUAUUUUACAUACUACUACUCAUACUGAUCAAAGUCACUCAGUUGGGAUGGGUGGGAGUAGGAGGUUUGUGGGGUGGCUUGUGCGGAGGAGUUGGCAGCUUCUUUCCAGGACCUGGUUGCUUCUCUGCUGGAGUUGAAGGAGGCUUAAUCUUCCGAGGUGGCUUGUAUGAGUCUUCAGCAUUCUCAGCUGGAGGGUGACCAGGGUUGUGACCAUAAUGUGGUGGCUUCUCUCCCUUAGGUGGUUUGCCAACUGGGGUUGGUGGCUUGUAUGAGUCUUCAGCAUUCUCAGCAGGAGGGUGACCAGGGUUGUGACCAUAAUGUGGUGGCUUCUCUCCCUUAGGUGGUUUGCCAACUGGGGUUGGUGGCUUGUGUUCUGGGAGUGGCUUCUCCCCCUUGGGAGGUUUUUCCAAUGGGGUUGGUUUGUGUUCAGGAGGUGGCUUCUCCACUGGAGGCUUGUGUUCAGGAGGUGGCUUCUCCACCGGAGGCUUGUGUUCAGGUGGUGGCUUCUCCACCGGAGGCUUAUGCUCUGGUGGUGGCUUCUCGAAUGGGGGAUGCUUAGGAUAAUCAGCAAGUGAGGGGGCGGUGAGAACCACCAGGCCAAGCAACACCACUAGCAAAUAUGUAGGAGACAUCUUUGGGUUUGGGCUCAGAUGGUGCAAAACUAGGAGAAUUGGCUAGCCUUUUAUAGCGGAUCGUACCCAAUAAUGAAAUGACACGUGUCAUUAUGACCCAUGUGUAAUGGGGUCGAUUUGGGUCCUACAGUGUUGAAAACUUCGACAUCCACUUUUGGCCUUUUGCUUUCUCUACAGCCGCCUUGCUUUUUCCCUCUUUCCUUUUGUUUUCCUCCUGCCCCAUUCUAUCAACUAAACACAAUUAUGUAGUUGUUUAAUUCUUAAAUGAGAUAUUAUCCGUCAAUCGUAUUAUAUUUUAUCAAGAGAGAACGGAGUGCAAUGUGGCUGUAAUUUUAUCGUUUAGUUUUAUCUCUUGGACCACUGCAUUUUUGUUAAGAGGUGCAAUAAUACACGUCUUUAUCUGCCAUUCAAUAUUUACAGUAAAGAGAGGGCACAAAACUCUUCACUUCGCACCAUAAUUAUUUUGUUUUCUGGACACCCCGGGGCCCUUUGGUUGGUUUGGGGGUCAGAAAGUGAACAUCAUAGGGGGUUUUUCCCUUAUGUGCAUUUGUAUCUGAUGGCUUUAACUCGCCUUGUUACUACAAAGAAACUGUCACAGAUAGGAACUUAUUCCAGGCUGAGUAUCUCCUCAUAGACCCUAUAAAAGAAGACAAGUCAUAAUGAACAUCUAACCUUUGUUCAAUUUGAUUCAAUGCCCCCAUUGUGUCCAUCUCACAAAUCUGAAUUAUUAUAUCCAUUGAAUACAUAAAUUAAUGAAGAAAAUAUGAAACCCAAGAUACAUCUCUGCACAACCUCAACCCUGGUUGCUAUGUUUCCCUUCUAUUCACAUGAUUUGAUGCUAAUUGCCAAACUUGCAACAAGCCCUGAGUUUGACACCUAGUAUCGAUGGGCGAAUUUAAAGUCUCCUCCAAACAUAUAUUCCACAGCUUGAAGCUCACAGAAGAUGUUACAGGCAGGGAAAAACCUUCAGAGUUCGCUACCAAAGAUAAUUAUUAAGGAGAUAUCACAAAGAGAAUUCCAAGGGGUCUGAAUCAAAGACAAAUUGGUCGUUCGUGGGGGUUCUUACUUUCUUUUGGGUAUAACUCACUGAGGGCACUGUCUUUGUUAUUUGCAUUUCACAUUUAGAGUUCUGUUCUGGAAACAUAUAAAAGGAGCAUCAUUUUGUUCUUGGGUAACCCAUAGUCGUGAGUGGGUCCAUUUGCAUGCUACUUAGUUGAAAAGUUGGACCAUUUGCUCCGACGCCUACCUCCCGGAUUCCAUGCUCGGAUAAAACAAGAAUAAAAAAAAUAUUUAUAAUUUACAAAUGGGGGAAAGAAAAAAAUGUCAACAACAAACCAGGAAAAAAGAGUAGUAAAAUUCAUGUCACAUGCUAGUGAGAGAAGGGGUUGUUACACUCACUCGAAGUUCUUUCCAAAAUAUCGCAUGGUAUUUUAUUUUAUGUGUCAGCGCAGUUGUGAAUGGAACGUGCAAAAGUCCAAAUUGGCGUUUUUCCUUUUCCCGUGUAGGAUGGCGACCUUUAAUAAAUAUUUAAAACAAAAAACGAAAAAAAGGAGGGAAAAGGGAUCAGAAAAGAUAAAACAAUGUGUACAAGAGCUCAAUUAGUUUGCAAAUUACUGUUUGGAUUUUGAUAGUAUUUUAUUUGUCCAUCUAUAUUUGAUGGAAAAGAGAAUUUAAGAUAUUUCUGAAACAAAAGCAUUAGUGUAAAACUAAAUUAAGGUAUAAUUAAGUUAGUUCAAUGCAUUAAUUUAAGAAACUUGAUCUAUCCAAAGUACAAAAUUAGAUGAAAUCCAUUUCAAUGGUUAAAAUGAUCAAAAUCAAACUUUUUCUAAGUAUUUUUUAAAAGCAUCAAUAUUAAAAGACAAUUUUAUAUUUAGUCGGAGUUUGGACAAAACCAAAAAGCACACAAAAUCCAAGCGACCAUCUCUAGCUUGGAUAGUCACUUGAUCCCACCUAGAGAUGUGCAUGAGUAAAAGGAUUUGAAAAUGGAAAUUGACUAAAUAUUUAGUUGAUCAAUUAAAUUUGCAAUGUCAUAUGCAAUCCUAAUAGCUAGUCAUCUAAUCAAUUAGGUAGUCAAUCAAGUGUUUGUAAUGACUAUUUUGUACAAAAAACCACAUGUAUAGUUAAAUAUAAUGCAUUUCAUUUAUAAAUCUUCUAAUUCUUGAAUAACGAUCCUAUCAUCCUUUGAAAAUUUUUAUUACACCUUUUUUACUUUUGUUCUAAAACUUACAUAUCACCCUUAAUUGUACCAUGAGAACCUAGCUAUUUUUUUUUUUUUUGUAAUUCAUCAAAGUUAGCUUUUGUAUUCAUUGUUGUAUUAUUUUUAGUAUAACUUAGAAAGCUAGUGUUUUCAAGUGAGUAAAAUUAACUUGUAAAUAUUGUAAAGAUUCAUUGAUAUGUAUCUUAAACUAAGUGUACAAAUUAAAACAUUUGCUAGUAGAUUUUCUCAAAAUUUAGAAUAGAGCUUGAGGCUAUUGAAAUAGGUGGGGUUACACCAAACCACAUCACAUCGUUGUUUGCACCUUUUUUCACUCUCUUUUACUUAGUUUCUCUAUAUUUGUUGUCUAGUAAUAUCCUAUAGGCUUGAUGGGUUAGGGAGCAUCCCUUUGUGAAAAAAUUUCAUUCAAUUCUUAGUUGUAUUACGCAUAUAUAAAAUGCCUCAUUGUUUUAAUGGUAUUCAGUCGUGGCAUCACAGAUAUGGGCAUCUAAAUUUUAAAAGUUUGAAACUUUUGUAAAGCAUGUUGAUAAAAUCCAUGAGAGUUGUGUACUUGGGAAGCAACAUCGAGGUGACUUUAUUUUUUUUUCCUUUUAUAAUGCCACACCUAAGUCCGGUUUCUAAAUGCUAAAGUGAAAGGGUAGGUAUGGACCAUUGAAAUGUGAUCACAACUUUUGGCCUUUUCCUUUCUCUGCAGCCAUGUUGUCUCUUUUUUCUUUUGCAUGAUUUUCUUACCAAAACAGAAUCAUAGACUUGUUUAGUCUCUAAGCUACUAUAUUAUAUCUCGGUGGACUUUUAAGAGUGCAACCGACAUAGAGCACAUGCAAGUGGGCAUAUGGGACAUGAAAUUUCUUCUUACAAAGAUUGCAUGAUUUUUAUAUUAGAGUUGUUCACGUGCAAUGUAUUUAGCUUGUUUUGCAGUUAAAUUAAUUGGAUAAGUAAACAUUGGCAUUUCUAAAUCGACUGUGAAGUGCUUCAUGUACGUGUAAAGUAUUAGAAAUUUCUUUCUUGGCAACUUGUUUUUUCCUUGCCAUCUACUGGUAGGUUUGACUAAAAUUAUAUUCCCUGUCAUGCUAAUUAAUUUUCAUGUGCAUGCUCAAAAGAAGAGUAUGACCUUAGUGCACCAAAAUCACUUUGAUUAAUUUGUGAUAGGUUUUUUUGCAUCAUUUAGAUAAUGUUUAGUUCUAAGAAAAAUUUAUAUAAAAAUGGUUUAUUUAUCUUACAUAUAUAUAUAUAUAUAUAUAUUUUUUUUUUUUUCAUUUUUUUUUCUUCUAUUUUAUUUAUUUAUUUUAUUUUCCUUAUGUUUUCCUCACAUUUUCCGGAACUAAACAUAGUCUUACGAAAUCAACAAUUGCCUUCAACUGAGUAGAUUCUGUUGUUUUAGCAAUGUUAGGCUGCUAACUUGUGGUGGUACGAACCAAAUGACCCAUGUUAAUCUUGGCUUGGUUUGAUUUGGCUCUAUCUCAGAGAGCUAAAGGAUCACGUCAACUCUGGUUUCUACUAUUCAGGUCCAUUCCCAGAUGAACUGGUUCAAAUUUGAGAAAAUGGUAACAGACCUUUAGUGAUGUUGGUUUGGAGCCAGUUGCCAAACCCGCCCUGAGCUUUACCACUAAUGUCAAGGGAGAAAGCCAUUUGAACAAAAACAAUAGCUUCAAGAGACUGAAUCGUGGAUGAAAUCUGAUCCACAUUUCUUCUCAUUUUGGGAAAAAAUGAGAACUUAACUACAAAGAUUCUACUGCCUCAUUCAUAGUGCUUUUCCUGAUCCAAGGUUGGUUCGUUUCCCAAAUUGUGAGGUGCACGUGCCACUCUCACGCUCAGGAGUGUAUCCACGUGGUGGACAUCAGAUGGUGGCUUAAUAUCUGGUGUCGGUGGCUUUACUUUACUAGGAGAGUAGUGUGUCUUCAUCUCAUUCACUGCCGGAGGGUGGCGUAAGCAGUGACGCUAAGGUGGGGCACAGUCAAUAUCAUUUGCAUUUGACCAUUAUAGUUUUCUCCCGGCUUGAAAGUAACCUUAUCGUGAUAAAGGAUUACUAGCACUAGUUCAGAUGACCGUCAUGUUAAUUCGGACCAUGUUUGUGUCACAUUAUCAGCAACCAUGUGUUUAUGGUUCAUGCUAUCUGCAACUAAACUUGAUAUAUAACCAGGUGAACUUCAAUCAAAAUUCUGGAAGUACUCUUGUGAUAGAUGGUGCCUGUCUGCAGAGUCCAUCAAUUGAAAAAUGGAGUGAGUGUAUCUAUAAGAGGGAAGGCUUGGCAAAUGUUCAGUUUUCUGGGAAUUCAACAAGGAUCUAAAAUAGAUUGUUUUCUUUGCCGACUUCAAUGGUUGAAAUUUGAGAAGAUUGUGUCCACAUAUCACAACUAUUACUGGUCCUUCUGUUGCAAUUUAUCCUGUAAGGCUCUAACAUGUCUUCCAAUUCCCACUUCCCUGUUACUCCAGGAAAGCUAUUUCUGUCAUUGUGAAGAAGAAAAGAGAAUGUACAUAUCGAUGCUUUUAAGUGACUGGAGCAUUCAUAUCAGGUGGUCUGCAGCCAUAUAUGCCACUUUGUGAAGGUUGGAACAGUCAAUCACUAGGCUAUAUAUUGGUGUGGCCCAGCCACUUCAAUCAAGGACAAGUCUUCAUACUUAAAGUCAAAUUCUGCCUUUAGUCUCAUUAUAAAUUGCUGUUUAAAUAUUAAGCAAACUUUUGUUUAAUGCGAUUAAGACAGUACUAACUCAAUACUUGUUCUAUUUUUGGAUGCAAAUGCUUGAUGGUUUCAUCAUUGGAUGGGAUAAAGGUGCAUUCAUGAUUAUGAAUACUUGUAGUUAUAUUUUCAUUCUCUUUUUUCUCAAUGAGACUUGUUGGCACAAUGUUGCUGUUCAGAAACCUACCUCUCCAUGGAAAAUAAGUUGCGAUUGAUAGUACUGGAUAUGUUCAAGAAAGCUAAAUAUAGAUAGCACAAAAUAUUAUCGAUAUAAAUAGCAUUAACAGCGUACGUAUGUCUCAAUGCUCAUCAGCUAUAAGCAUGGGACAAACACUUACUAUGAGCAACUUACGUCAAAAUUCCAGAAUAGGACAUAGAAGUGACAGAUCUAUAUAUAUAGAACACUGCAUAUGAGUCACAAGAAAGGAAAUUACGGGUGCAUAGCAGCUCUUAUUUUACAUACUACUACUCAUACUGAUCAAAGUCACUCAGUUGGGAUGGGUGGGAGUAGGAGGUUUGUGGGGUGGCUUGUGCGGAGGAGUUGGCAGCUUCUUUCCAGGACCUGGUUGCUUCUCUGCUGGAGUUGAAGGAGGCUUAAUCUUCCGAGGUGGCUUGUAUGAGUCUUCAGCAUUCUCAGCUGGAGGGUGACCAGGGUUGUGACCAUAAUGUGGUGGCUUCUCUCCCUUAGGUGGUUUGCCAACUGGGGUUGGUGGCUUGUAUGAGUCUUCAGCAUUCUCAGCAGGAGGGUGACCAGGGUUGUGACCAUAAUGUGGUGGCUUCUCUCCCUUAGGUGGUUUGCCAACUGGGGUUGGUGGCUUGUGUUCUGGGAGUGGCUUCUCCCCCUUGGGAGGUUUUUCCAAUGGGGUUGGUUUGUGUUCAGGAGGUGGCUUCUCCACUGGAGGCUUGUGUUCAGGAGGUGGCUUCUCCACCGGUGGCUUGUGUUCAGGAGGUGGCUUCUCCACCGGAGGCUUAUGCUCUGGUGGUGGCUUCUCCACCGGAGGCUUAUGCUCUGGUGGUGGCUUCUUGAAUGGGGGAUGCUGAGGGUAAUCAGCAAGUGAGGGGGCGGUGAGAACCACCAGGCCAAGCAACACCACUAGCAAAUAUGUAGGAGACAUCUUUGGGUUUGGGCUCAGAUGGUGCAAAACUAGGAGAAUUGGCUAGCCUUUUAUAGCGGAUCGUACUCAAUAAUGAAAUGACACGUGUCAUUAUGACCCAUGUGUAAUGGGGUCGAUUUGGGUCCUACAGUGUUGAAAACUUCGACAUCCAGUUUUGGCCUUUUGCUUUCUCUACAGCCGCCUUGCUUUUUCCCUCUUUCCUUUUGUUUUCCUCCUGCCCCAUUCUAUCAACUAAACACAAUUAUGUAGUUGUUUAAUUCUUAAAUGAGAUAUUAUCGGUCAAUCGUAUUAUAUUUUAUCAAGAGAGAACGGAGUGCAAUGCAGCUGUAAUUUUAUCGUUUACUUUUAUCUCUUGGACCACUGCAUUUUUGUUAAGAGGUGCAAUAAUACACGUCUUUAUCUGCCAUUCAAUGUUUACAGUAAAGAGAGGGCACAAAACUCUUCACUGCUCUGCAUGUGUCCCAAAAAUGCGAUUGGACAAAUUAUGAUUUGCAUGCUAAAAAGAGGCAAAUGAGGUUAAUUCGCACCAUAAUUAUUUGGUUUUCUGGACACCAUAAAAAGAUGUUAUACAGGCAGGGAAAAACCUUCAGAGUUAGCUACCAAAGAUAAUUAUCAAGCAGAUAUCACCAAGAGAAUUCCAUAGAGUCUGAAUCAAAGACAGAUUGCUCGCUCGUGGGGGUUCUUACUUUCUUUUGGGUAUAACUCACUGAGGUCACUGUCUUUUUUAUUUGCAUUUCACAGUUAGAGUUCUGCUCUGGAAGGUUUGUUCUGGAAACAUAUAAAAGGAGCAUCAUUUUGUUCUUGGGUAACCCAUAGUCGUGAGUGGGUCCAUUUGCAUGCUACUUAGUUGAAAAGUUGGACAAUUUGCUCCGACGCCUACCUCCUGGAUUCCAUGCUCGGUAAAACAAGAAUAAAAAAAAAUAUAUAAUUUACAAAUGGGGGAAAGAAAAAAUGUCGGAAAAAAUAGUAAAAUUCAUGUCACAUGCUAGUGAGAGAAGGGGUUGUUACACUCACUCGAAGUUCUUUUCAAAAUAUCGAAUGGUAUUUUACUUUAUGUGUCAGCGCAGUUGUGAAUGGAACGUGCAAAAGUCCAAAUUGGCGUUUUUAUUUUUCCCAUGUAGGAUGGUGACCUUUAAUAAAUAUUUAAAACAAAAGACGAAAAAAAAAAGGAGGGAAAAGGGAUCACAAAAGAUAAAAUAAUGUUUACAAAAGCUCAAUUAGUUUGCAAAUUACUGUUUGGAUUUUGAUAGUAUUUUAUUUGUCGUUCUAUAUUUGAUGUAAAAGAGAAUUUAAGAUAUUUCCGAAGCAAAAGCAUUAGUUUGCUCUGUGAUGUCCCACAUCGAAUAGGGGAGAAAGUUUCUGGCGCUAUAUAUGUAGAGGCUCCUCUUAACCAAGUAGAUGCGUUUUAAAACCAUGAGGGCCCCCUUAGGUCCAAAGCGGACAAUAUCUACAUGAUUGGGUGUAAGUCAUUACAAAUGGUAUCAGAGCCGAUCCCCGACCCCGGUGUGGGGGUUUGUUUGGCCCUGUAAGGGGUGUUUGUCUGUUUGACCCCACAAUCCCAUGGGACACAACGAGGACGUUGUGUCUGCAUGGGGGGGCGUUUGUGAUGUCCCACAUCGGAUAGGGGAGAAAGUUCCUAGUGCUAUAUAUGUAGAUGUUUCUCUUAACCAAGUAGAUGCAUUUUAAAAUUGUGAGGGCCUCUUUGGGCCCAAAGCGGACAAUAUCUACAUGGUUGAGUGUAAGUCAUUACAUGCUCCAUGUCAAUUUCAGCAUUUCUCAUAUGUUUCACACAUACACAGAAGAGCAUCGUUUUUUAAAGCAUGCAUUUAUGUUGGAUUAAUUUGGAUUUUGUGGGAACUGGGGCAAGGAUCACAUGGAAGAGAGGUUGACUUUUUUCAGUACUUCAAUGGUUGAAAUAUGUGAAGGCUUGAUUGAUACUAAAGCUUGAAAUUGCGACUCUGUCAUUUGUAAAAAAAUAUGACAGCUUCCAUGCUCUCGUUUGGUUGCAUUGUCCGGUCGAGAGGUGCAAAAAGCAUUCUCUCUCUUCUAAUAGUCUUUUCGUUUAAAUCAAGGGAUUUGCCUUCCCGGUCGAGGUCCAAUAGAGGGUAACGGUCACCUACUAAACAUUAAAUGCUCCAACAACUAGUGAACUGAUCGACCCCAGCUCGACUAGUUGAGGUUACUUUUUGGUUUUCUUGUCUCCCGAGGUUAGAAACCUAUAAAUAGAGAGCUUCACUUCAUUUAUGAGUAAGAGAACACCUAAAUUUAUUUGUUUACCUACUUGUUUUUGCCAUAAAAGCUCUCAUUUCUUUUCUUGGUGUAUUAAAUCUCCAUUUGCAUAUCCUUUAGUGCACCUUUGUGAUUCAUUCUAGCCUUGAGUUGUAUUUAAGCCUUUGUUGAGCUAGGUUGAGAGUUUCAUACUUGUUUAUUGAGUGUUAAAGCCUUCAAGUGAGUUAAAACUUGAAGAGAUUGUGUAAGAGCCCAUUGGAGUCGGAAUCCAAGUGUAAAGGUGAUUAAAAGCUUGGUUGAAGCUUCAAGUUAGUGGAACUCUCACUCGGUUAUGAGCUUGAGAAGAGUGGACAUAGACAAGGCAGUGUCGAACCACUAUAAAAUCUGAGUUUGAUUUCUCUAACCUUAUCUCUUUAUAUUUGCUUCUCUUGUGCUUAAAUUUUUUGUGUUUAAAAAGAAUUUUUAAAAACUCAAUUCACCCCCUUCUUGGGAGUUUUUCUCUUUUAAGAUCAGCUUUUAUUUUCUCAAUUGGUAUCAGAACUAUGCCUCUUGUUUAAGACUUAAUCGUCUAAGAGGAAAUGGCUAAUCCAUCAAGUUCAUCUCACAUUGAAAGUUUUGCAACCAAUAGACUUCUUUUUUUUUUUUUGCGGGAACUGAUUAUCCCUAUUGGAAAACUAAAAUGACUUGGUUUUUACAAUCAAUUGAUUUAGAUGUAUGAGAUGCCAUUGAAGAUGACCUAACUUUUCCUUCAAAACUAGUUGAUGGAGUCAUGGUUCCAAAACCUAAGCAAGAAUGGGAUGAGCGUGAUUGAAGAAAUUUUCAAUUAAAUGCUAAAGUCGUUUAUACUUUGCAAUGCUCUAUGGACAGAAAUGAAUAUAAUAGAAUAUGUCAAUGCAAAUCGGUUAAAGAAAUUUGGAGAUUGCUUGAAAUAACUCAUAAAGGAACAAAUCAAGUUAAAGAGUCAAAAAUCAAUUUACUUGUUCAUAGAUAUGAAUUGUUUUUUAUGAAAGAUAAUGAAACUAUUGUUAAGAUGAUCACUAGGUUCACCAACAUUGUUAAUGGUCUUAAAGCCUUGGGAAAGACCUACAAGGAAUCCGAAAACGUGAUGAAGAUCUUGAGGUCACUUCCAUCAAAGUGGCAUACCAAGGUCACCGCAAUUUAAGAAGCAAAAGACUUGAUCAAGCUACCUUUGGAGGAGUUCAUAGGGUCAUUGAUGACAUAUGAAAUCAAUUUGGCAAAGAAGUAACAAAAAGGUGAAGACAAAAAGAAGAAGAACAUAACUCUCAAAGCUACAACUAAGGAAGAAGAAGUUGAAGAAGAAAAACAAAUUGAAGAAGAUGAAGAUUUAGCCCUCAUCACAAGAAAGUUCAACAAAUUCAUGAGGGGUGAAAGGUUUAGAAGAAGAAGGUUCACUUCUAGAAGAGACUUUUCUAAAAAGGAAUCUUCAUCUAAUGGUGACAAAAAGAGAUGGGAAGAGAAAAGAGACUUGGUGUGUUUCAAGUGCAAGAAACCGGGACACAUUAAAUAUGAUUGUCCUCUCUACAAAAGUGAAGUCAAGAGGAAAAAGAAUAAGGCAAUGAUGGCCACUUAGAGUGAAAGUGAAGAUGAAUCAUCCGAAGAAGAAAAUGAGAAAGAAGUGGCAAACAUGUGUUUCAUGGCAAUAGAUGAACUUGAUGAGGUAAAAUCUAACCUUAGUGAUUAAGAUAUACAUGAUGCAUUUGAAGAAUUGUAUGAGGAUUUUUAAAAACUUAGUUUGAAAAAUAUUUCUCUUAAAAAGAAAGUUCAACAACUUGACAAAGAACUUAGAGAAGUAAAAGAAAAAUUUUCAAAUGUUAAAGUUUCUAAAACUCAUCUUGAAAAAGAAAAUGAGAUUCUAAGAAAGAAAAAUGAAUAGUUGAACUCCUCUCUUUCAAUCUUUUCUUCUAGACAAAAAUCUUUUGAAAUGAUUCUAACUAGCUAAAAAUGUGUUUUUGACAAACAAGGGUUAAGAUUUAAAUCUUCAAAAAAUCAAAAGUAUUUUAAAAACUAUUUUGUAAAGGAAUCCACAAGUGCAAGUCCUUCCACUACUUGCAACUUUUGUGGAAGAGAAUGGCACAUUAGUAGUACGCCCUUUAAGAAAUGGUUCUCAAAAGAAUUUAAAUGCAAAAACUAAAAAAGAUUUGGAUUGAGAAAUCCAAGGUCACUAACCCUCAAGGACCCAAAAAGAUAUAGGUACCUAAAUCAACUUGAGUUUUAUGUUGUAAGGUUCAAAGAAUGAUAAGUGGUUCUUAGAUAAUGGUUGCUCAAGACACAUGACCGGAGAUGAAUCCAAGUUUGCUUUUCUUAAAAAGAAAAAUGGAGGAUAUGUUACCUUUGGAGACAAUGCAAAAGAAAGGAUGAUUGGUCAAGGCAACAUUGGUAAUGGCACAUCCUCUCUCAUUGAAAGUGUUUUAUUAGUAGAUGGUUUCAAACAUAACCUUUUAAGCAUUAGUCAAUUUUGCGACAAAGGUUUUUAAGUGAUUUUUUAAGCAUCUCAUUGCAUCAUCAAGGAUAUUCAAAAUGAUAAAACCAUUUUCAUGGGCCAUAGAUGUGAUAAUGUUUAUGCUAUAAAUAUUUCAAAAUAUGAUGGCCAUGAUAGAUGUUUUUCAAGCAUGCAUGAUCAAAGUUGGUUGUGCCAUAGGAGAUUGAGACAUGCUAACAUAGACCUCAUUUCCCAACUCAACAAAGAUGAACUUGUUAGAGGCCUUCCCAAAAUAAUUUUUUAAAAAGAUAAAGUUUGUGAAGCUUGUCAAGUGGGAAAGUAAAUCAAAAACUCUUUUAAAAACAAAAACUUCAUUUCCACAUCUAGGCCACUUGAGUUGUUGCAUAUGGAUUUAUUUGGUCCCUCUAGGACACCAAGUCUUAGAGGAAAUUCUUAUGCAUAUGCUAUUGUGGACGACUUCUCUAGAUACACAUGAGUCUUGUUUUUUAGUCAAAAGAAUAAAGUUUUUUAUGAGUUUUCAAAGUUUUGCAAUAAGAUUCAAAAUGAAAAAGGUUUUUCAAUUACUUAUAUAAGAAGUGAUCAUGGGAGAGAAUUCGAAAAUAUUGAUUUUGAAGAGUAUUGCAAUGAGCAUGGAAUUGACCACAAUUUUUUGGCUCUUAGAACUCCUCAACAAAAUGGGGUAGUUGAAAGGAAAAAUAGAACUCUUCAAAAAAUGACAAGAACCAUACUAAAUGAAAACAACUUACCAAAAUAUUUUUAGGCCAAAACGGUUAACACUUCUUGUUAUGUUUUAAAUAGAGUAUUAUUGAGGCUCAUACUUAAGAAAACUCCCUAUGAGCUUUGGAAAAACAAAAAACCCAACAUUAGUUAUUCCAAAGUCUUUGGAUGCAAUAUUUUAUAAUAAACACCAAAGACAAUCUUGGAAAAUUUGAUGCAAAAUUGGAUGUUGGAAUUUUCCUUGGUUACUCAACUUCAAGUAAAGCUUUUCGAGUUUUAACAAAAGAACCAUGGUUGUAGAGGAGUCCAUCCAUGUUAUUUUUUAUGAAUCUCCAAGAAAGAGAGAGGAUUGAUGAUGAUUUAGGUUUGAAGACCUCUAUAGGAAGAUUGCAAAUCGAAGAUAGAAGACAACAAGAAGAAAAUGGAGAGAAUCCAAAGAAAGAAGGAUCACCAUUGGCACUACCCCCUCAUCAACAAGCGCAAGGUGAAUCAAGUCAAGAGCUUCCUAAAGAAUGGAAGUUUGUCAUCAAUCACCCACAAGAUCAAAUUAUAGGCAAUCCAUCUAGUGGGGUAAGAACUAGAUCCUCUCUUAGAAAUAUUUGCAAUAAUCUAGCUUUUAUCUCUCAAAUUGAGCCUAAAAAUAUAAAUGAUGUUUUAGAUGAUGAAAAUUGGAUAAUUGCAAUGCAAGAAGAGUUAAAUCCAUUUGAAAGAAGUGGAGUAUGGGAAUUAGUACCAAGACCUUCAAAUCAAAGUGUUAUUGGAACUAGAUGGAUCUUUAGAAAUAAAAUGGAUGAAAAUAGCAUAAUUGUUAGAAAUAAAGCAAGAUUGGUAGCCCAAGGUUUUAAUCAAGAAGAAAUGAUAGAUUAUGAAGAAACCUUUGCCCCCGUAGCUAGGUUGGAAGCCAUUAGGAUGCUACUUGCCUUUGCAUGUUUUAAAGACUUUGUUUUAUAUCAAAUGGAUGUGAAAAGUGCUUUUUUAAAUGGUUUUAUAAAUGAAGAAGUAUAUGUUGAACAACCACCCGGUUUUCAAAGUUUCAACUUUCCUAACCAUGUUUUUAAACUUAAAAAGACACUUUAUGGUUUGAAACAAGCACCUAGAUCAUGGUAUGAAAAAUUGAGUAAAUUUCUUUUGAAAAAAAUGUUUUAAAAUGGGAAAAAUUGACACAACUCUUUUUAUAAAAACCAAAGAAAAUGAUAUGCUCUUAGUUCAAAUAUAUAUUGAUGAUAUCAUUUUUGGUGCUACUAAUGUCUCUCUUUAUGAAGAAUUUUCUAAGUGCAUGCAUAGUGAGUUUGAAAUGAGCAUGAUAGGAGAACUCAACUUCUUCCUUGGACUUCAAAUCAAGCAACUAAAGGAAUGAACCUUCAUCAAUCAAGCAAAGUAUAUAAGAGAUCUUCUCAAAAGGUUCAACAUGGAAGAAGCCAAAACAAUGAAGACUCUAAUGAGCUCAUCCAUUAAGCUUGAUAAGGAUGAGAAAGGUAAAUCCAUUGACUCUAUUAUGUAUAGAGGCAUGAUAGGUUCUUUGCUCUAUUUGACCACUAGUAGACCUUACAUUAUGUAUAGUGUGUGUUUGUGUACUAGAUUUCAAUCUUGUCUUAAAAAAUCUCACUUAAGUGUCGUGAAAAGAAUCCUCAAAUAUUUGAAAGGGACAAUGGACAUAGGCUUAUGGUAUCCUAAGAGUGAUAACUUUGAAUUAAUUGGUUUUUUGGAUGCUGAUUUUGUCAGUUGUAGGGUUGAAAAAUAAAACACUAGUGGCACUUUUCAUUUCUUAAGACACUUACUUGUCUCAUGGCAUAAUAAGAAGCAAAAUUUGGUAGCUUUGUCAACAGCAGAAGCUAAAUACAUAGCAACUGGUUUAUGUUGUGCACAAAUCCUUUGGAUGAAAUAAACACUUAGUGAUUUUGAUUUAUCUUUUGAGCAUAUUCCUAUUAAAUGUGAUAAUAGUAGUGCCAUAAGUAUAUCAAAAAAUCUCGUGCAACACUCUAGGACUAAGCAUAUAGAGAUUAGACAUAAUUUUCUUAGAUAUCAUACACAAAAGGAUGAUAUAACACUUGAAUUUGUAAGCAUAAAAGACCAACUUGCCGAUAUCUUUACAAAACCUCUAAGAACAUUUUGUUGAUAUUAGAGGACAAUUAGGAGUGAUUUCUUUAUGAUCUAAUGUGAUGAAUUCUUGAUGAAUAUACUUUUUGAUUGCAUGAAUUUCAUGUCAUAUAUGCAUCAUAUAGAAAUAUACUUAGAUAAUGGUCAAAUUUCGACCAAAAAUCAAAAUUCCCAUGGCAUUAGGCAUAAAAAUUUUGGAAUUUCAACUGAAAAUGGUAGGAGGAGGAUCACAAAAUGAGAAAGUAUGCAAAAAUUGAAAAAUCAAAACGUUGACCAAGCGGUCAAUCGGACUAGACCGAUCGACUAGUUUGUCGAGAUUUAGGAUUUUUAAGAGACUCCAACGCUUCAAUUUUUGCACCGUUCUCCUCUAUUUCUUCACGGUUUCUCUGAUUUUGUCUUUUAGAGACUAAUUUGAGUGCGUUUUGGAUCAAUUGAAGCAUUUUGGAUUGGAUUUUAGGAAGAUUGAAAGUUAAGGUUUCGGAUUUGGGUCGCCUUCUCUUCCUCUCGCGUGUCACAAUCAGCUUUAGCAUUGUUCUCUUUCCAUUUUCACACACCUAGGGUUUCAGUUGUGAGCAUCUCUCUCUCUUUACCAACCACUACUCCCUUGCUUCUUCCAUAUGGCUCCUAGGCGAGAGUCCGCUACUUCUAGGGCACAAGGCAAGCACCCAACUGAGUCGUCUCAGUCAAAGGCACGUCGAAAAGUGAGAUUUGACAUUGCCUUGUUCAGUUCCAUGGAGGACUACCAACUAUACAAGCAACACUUUGCUUAGAGACGAGUAGUUCCCAAGAGAAAUAUUAAUUUUCCUCAACUUCAGCAUUUCGAAUUUAAGGGUCUAUUUACUAGGAUGGUUGGUUGUCUAUUGUCACAAUUUCGGAGCCGGUUUUCCUGACCUUAGUGCGAGUUUUUUACUCGAGGGCGACUUAUGGCAUGGGUGGCAUGAUCAUUUCUACUGUUGGAGGAGUUGAGAUCUGUCUGGACCCAGAGAGCAUCUGCCAUAUUUUCGAUAUUGCUCUGGUUGGACUCAAAGUAUACAAGUCCAAAAUGUGGCCCAUUGUGCCAGGAUUUGAGCUUAGAGAGGUCAUUCAGAGGAUUUGUGAACUUCCAGACGCCCAGGAGAUGGGCAAACCAUUGCCACACAGUUUGACGGUCAUCAACAGGGUGCUACACCAUAUAUUGUGCUCUAUCUUUCUACCACGAAGUGGACAUUGAGAUGAGGUCUCUUAUUAUGAGGCAUUCCUUAUUGACUCCAUUCUAACGGAGAGACGAAUUCAUCUACUAUGUCAUCAUUCACUAAGCCUCCUCACAGUGACAUACCACCUCAUCAGGCACCUCUUGCUCCUGACCAUGCUCCAUUGAUGGAUUUAUUUACUCAUAUUAGCUCUCUAGGCACUCGCAUGAAGGAGUUUGUUGUAGUUAGUGAUACAUGGUUCUACUCCAUAGAGGAUCGCAUGGAUCAGUAUCAGACUGGCUUCACGUCACAGUUUGAGUAUCUCCAAUAGAGGAUUGAGCAUAUUGAGGAUCACUUGAGCAUGAGAAGAUGAUGGCUUUUCUAUGCUCUGUGUUUCCACCUCCACCUCGUCAACCUUGAUUUCUUAGAGACCCAUUGUUUUCAUUUUGUAAUGUUGCCAAAAGGGGGAGAUAUUUAGGAUCUAGGACUCUAUAGGAGACUUACAUGCAUAUCAUUUUCAUAUCAUUGUUUGGAUCGUACAUAUUGGAUAGUGAUACUUUUUACUUAUAUAUGAUAUGCCUAUAUGUUUCAUGUCUUACAUUGUUUCUUAUUGCAAAUUAUCUCUAACAUGUCUUGAUUAUCUUUUUUUUAACUUCAUAAAUUUUGAUUGUUAACCCAUGAUUGGUUUGAGGGGAAGAUUCUUCUUCUCCUAGAUAACCAAGGUUUGUCAUCAUAAAAAAAUUGGAGAUUGUUAGCCCAAGGGUUCUCCUAAUCAUGUUUUGAUGAUAACAAACCAUGCUUAAGUUACUAAUUGGUUUGAAUUAUAAAGAAUUUCAAGUGUUAAUUUGAAAAUUCAUCAAAGAACCUAAUGGAUGCAAGAUCAAGAUUUUUGGAAGACCUUUAAUCAUAAGAAACAUAUGUAAGAUGAAUGCAUGGGUGCACUUAAGAUUUGCAUAUCAUUUCAUGCAUAUUUGGAAAACACGGUUUAUGCUUUAAAGUUACAUUUCCAUCAAAAUUUGAGAUCCAUCAAAUGAACCUUAGGAAAAAUGUUUUAAAAUUGGCAUAUAAUUUUACCUAAAGACCUUGCCUAAGUGUUAGAAGCAAAAGGACAAAAAAAAUAUAGGUUUUCUGGUCAAAAAUGGUGAACCAGUCAAGGCAUUGUCUAAAUCAGCUCAAUCGGCCAAGGUACCGGUCGAUCGGUUUCCCUUUCCCUGUCGAGAUCUAGUCAAGAGGUACAAAAAUCACAAUCUCUGUCUCUUUCUCUCUUUGUCUAUCUUCCAGUAGUCUUUCCUUCCCGGUCGAGGGAUUUGCCUUCCCGAUUGAGGUCCGAUUGAGAGUAAUAGUCACUUGCCAAAUAUUAAAUGCUCCAACAGUUAGUGAACUGGUCGACCCCCACCUUGCCCAGUUGAGGUUACUUUUUGGUUUUCUUGGCUCCCGAUGUUAGAAACCUAUAAAUAGAGAGUUCCACUUCAUUUAUGAGCAAGAGAACACUUGCAUUUAUUUGUUUACCUACUUGUUCUUGCCUUAAAAGCUCUCAUUUCUUUUCUUGGUGCAUUAAAUCUCCAUUUUGAUAUCCUUUAGUGCACCUUUGUGAUUCAUCUUAGCCUUGAGUUGUAUUUGAGCCCUUUUUUUAGCUAGGUUGAGAGUUUCAUACUUGUUAAUUGAGUGUUAAAGCCUUCAAGUGAGUUGAAACUUGUAGAGAUUAUGUGAGAGUCGAUUGGAGCCGAAAUCCAAGUGUAAAGGUGAUUAGAAGCUUGGUUGAAGCUUCAAGUUAGUGGAAUCCUCACUCAAUUAGGAGCUUGAGGAGAGUGGACGUAGCCAAGGAAGUGUCGAACCACUAUAAAAUUUGAGUUUGAUUUCUCUAACAUUGUCUCUUUAUAUUUGUUUAUCUUGUGCUUAAAUUUAUUGUGUUUAAAAAGAAUUUUUAAAUACCCAAUUCACCCCCCUCUUGGGUGUUUUUCUCUUUUAAAAUUAGCCUUUAUUUUCUCACAAACUAUUGUAGUAUAGUGGUUUUUAGGUGUCAUCCAUUAGGAUGAAUUGUUCUCGGUAAUUAAGGCGUGAAUGAGAGGAGAAUUAAUGAUUGUGAUUAAGUAAAAUUGAUUUGAAAAUUCAUGGUGAAAAAUCAAUUUAACAAUGGUUUCUAAUUGAGAAAAACAAUGAAAUGUGAAAUAAAAUAAAAUUAAUAGGAAAUGAAAUUCUCGAAGUUAGAAUUUUCUAAAAAACAAAUUCCAUGGUGAAUGGAUGUUGAGAUCUAAUUUUCAUCAAGUUAGAUUGAAAACCGAAAUUUUCAUAUAAACUGAUUUUUUAUUUAGUUUUAGGUCUAGAUUUAAUUUCCCUUAAAAUUAGGUUAUUUAAUCCAAGAAAUCAAUUCAAAUCAUAUAUUCAAUUCAUCUUAAAUUAUCUUCCAAUUAUUCACACAAUGCAACUAUUCAAUCUCAUCAAAUCUAGCUUUUAAGAAUUUAAUGAAUCUACCUAGUUUGCAUUGUAAUAGUCAUCCAUGACAAUUUGAAGAGAAAAAUAAUUCAAUUAAUCAAUCACUUGGAUCAAAUUACCUUUGCAAUUAAAGUUCAUUUCUCUAAUUCACCACAGAUUUUGUCUCUAGAUCCUCCUUUCUCAAAGAAAAAUGAGAUUUAGCCACACAUGAUUGGAGAUUUGGUCUCAUAAGGCAUGUUUAGCUAGUGAUAAAAUGAGAGAAAAUAAAGAAAAAUAGAGAAUUCGAUUAAGAAAGAAAAUCUAAAAAAUUCUACAAUUAGAAAUGUCCAAAAAGCUUUUUCAUGAGAAAAUCAAGUUUCUAUUUAUAGGCCAAGGUCAAGUGGACACUUGACAUCAUCUAAGAGGUCUUCCGGAAGCUUCUUCAUCAAGAAAUCUGGAGUUUAAUAAUAAAAUGGUCAUUUCACAAGAGCUCAAACAAUUUCGCAUGAUUAUGUGAAAUAAAAAAUGCAACAACAGCAAUUUACAUCUUCUUGGAGCAUUUCGCAUGACUGUGUGAAAUUUUCACAUGAUCAUGUGGAAUCGACUUGACAACUCUCAUUUAGCCUACAACAUAAUUCCACCUUUUGGUCCAUUUUUCAUAGUCAUGCGAAAUGGAAAUAUUUGAUUUUUAAGUUUUCUUUUGUCAUUUCUUUCAUUUCCUUCUCUUGAUUCCACUUCAACUACCUCCGAAUCCUGGUCCAAACCAAUUGCAUUACUUCUUUCAUUAUGCAUUUGGAUCAUCAUCAACAUUAUUUGUUCUCUUCAAUUUGAUUCAUCUCUUUUGUCACCAAUUUAUCAAAAUCAUACCUUGAAAUGACUCCAAAACUUCAUAAAACUUGUUAGUAACUCUUGCAAGGGCAACAACAUAUUAAUUAAGUGUUUUAGGCAUAGUUACUACUCAAAAGAUGCGAAACUCAUGAUAAUUAUUAUAUAAAAUAUGCUCUUUUUGAGUAGUAAUCAACUUUCUUGCAUAAGCAGACCUUUUAGGGUGGAGUACUAAAGACCAAUAUGCUUGUCCUUGUUGUAAUAAAGAAACUUGCUCUUAUUGAUUGCACCAUGGGAGAAAAUUUUGCUACAUGAGUUAUCAUCAAUUUCUUCCCACCAAUCAUAGAUUUAGACGUGACAAGAGGCCUCUUAAUGGCAAGGAGGAACUGACACUCACACUUAUACAAUUAUCGGGCAUUGAUGUGUUGCAACAAUUAGAAUAACUUACACCAAUUAUGUUGGGGAAGUCACAAAAGGCAAACAUGAAAACUAAAAGGAAAAAAGAAAAAUGUUACAUAUCACCACAACUGGAAAGAAAAAAGUAUUUACUUUCAUUUGCCAUAUUGGAAAGCACUUAUUUUACAUCAUAAUAAUUUAGACAUAAUGCAUAUUGAGAAAAAUGUGUGACAAUAUAAUUGAGACAUUGUUCAGUAUUGACGAAGAAACAAGGACAACCUAAAUAGUCAUCUCGAUUUACAAGCUCUAACUAUUAGAAAUGAGAUUCACCCAAUAGAAAGCAGGACCAAAUUUAUUUUGCUUGCAACAUGCUACUCACUCACCCCAAAUGAGAUUAAGGAAUUUUGCAAGUUUUUGAAAUCAAUAAAGGUCCCCAAUGGCUAUUCUUUCAAUAUCUCUCGUUAUGUGCAACUCAAUGAAAGGAAGAUAUAUGAGCUCAAAUUGUAUGAUUGUCAUGUCCUAAUGCAACAACUUCUCUCACUUGUAGUUCGUGGAGUUCUACAUAAGAAUGUUUGUGGAGUUAUCAUAGAAUUGCGUAAUUUUUUCAAGCAAUUGUGCUCAAAGGUGUUAGAAACAAAUCACUUACACCAACUUGAGAACAAUAUUAUUGUCAUACUAUGUAAAAUGGAGCAAAUAUUUCUUCCAUCAUUCUUUGAUAUUAUGGUGCAUUUACUUGUGCAUCUAGUAAGGCAAAGGUUGCAAGACUUGUGCAAUAUUGUUGGAUGUACCUAAUUGAACGAUAUUGUUAUAAUUUCAUAUGAAUCAUUUAAUUUUAUUUUAUAUUAUGUUCAGUUCAUUAACAUGUACAUUGGUCUACAUAUGGAUGAUGAUAGGUACCUAAGCACUUUAAAGUCAUAUGUGCGUAAUAGAACUUUUCUAGAAGGUUCUAUUGUAGAAAGGUACCUUGCAAAAGAAUGUACAACAUUUUAUUCUAGGUACUUGAAUGAUGUGGAAAUAAAGUAUAAUCACAAUGAUAGAAACUUUGUUGGUUUCAACACUAGAGGAGAUGAAAGGGGUUAUCUUUAAACAUAUUGGACAUGCAUUGGGAAAGCCCAUAUUUCAUUAACUUAGUUCAAAAGAGUGGUCACAAGCACAUUUAUAUGUGUUGACAAAUUGCGAAGAUGUCAUACCAUUCAUUGAGUAAAAAAUUUAUUUGAAUUUUAAUUAAAGCUCUAGUUUAUAUCCUUAAUCAAUGUUUUUUAAAUUCACAAGGAGCACAAGCAAACCAUCAAGGCUAGACCACAUAUACGUGUUUGAGACGUAGAUUUAAUUCAUAACAAGGAAUUUAUCAAGUGGUUUGAAAGACAUGUAAGUAUAUUCCUUAUUAUAAGGGAUUUAUUUCACAUUAUGUUUAUAUUGAAUCCAAACCUAUUAUUGAAUUGUAGGUUGAACAAUUACAUAAUGAAGGUCAUAUAUCUGAACACCUUCUCACAUUAUCAUGUGUUCCAAAUUCAUUAGUUACAUGCUUCAAAUGAUAUAUUGUCAAUGGAUUUAGAUCCCACAUUAAAGAACGUGAUAAAAAAGUUUUUAAAAAAAGACUCAGAAUAAUGGAAUUGUUGUAGUUGCAAAAACGUCAAGCUUUACAAGUGCAUGUGAUAUGAGUCCAAUUAUUAGUGAUGCUCUCUACUAUGGUGUUCUAACUAAAGUUGUUGAGUUACAUUAUCUUGGUGAAAAUAAGGUUGUUUUAUUCGAGUUUGAUUGGUGGGAUGUUACAAAUAUUGGAAAAUUGAUAAAAGAUGAUGAGUACAAUUACACAUUUGUUAACUUUGCAUGAAUUCUAACCACGAACGAACGAUUUGUACUUGCAUCUCCAGCAAAGUAAGUGUUCUAUGUGAAGAAUGCGAAUGAAUCAGAUUGGCAUACUAUCAUGGAGAUGCAACCUCAAGACCUCUAUAAGAUGAACGGGAUAGGAUCCAAUGGUGAUUUUGAACCAUUUCAACAAAGUGAACUACAUGAUCACUAAUAUAUCUCAGAUUUAGUUGAUGAAGAUAUAAUCAAGUGGAACAAAAGUGAUGUUUUAGGACUAAUCAUCCUAAAAAAUAUUGUAGUUUCUUAAAAAAAAAAUGAAAAUGAAGAAGAUAAUUGAACCUUUGUCAUACUUUAAAAAGCAACUAUGCAUUGUUCAUUUUGUAUGUUUUGGUUUUCUUCAUUUAAUUUCCUGAUUUUUGUGAUUCAAUGUCAUAUUAUUGAUCUUGAAAUAUUUUUCUAAUUUUUCAUUCUACGAUGGUUUCAACAAGGAUGACAUCAAGUCAAAAAAGGAAAUGUGGUCCCACACACAAUAUUGCAUUACAGGGAUUAAGGUCAGGGAAGAAGGUAAAAGUUGCAUUUAAUGAGUACAAUCAAUUGGUUAAACAGAAAAAUGGAAAACACUUAUCGAGCUACAUAGGGACACUUGUAUCUAACCAACACAAUGUACCUCUCCAAGCUAGUGAUUGGAAAAAUGUUCCAAAUGAUGCAAAAGAGAAAGUAUGGCCUUUGUUUUGGUAUGUUGUAUUUCUCACUAUAUGAUGUCAUUUCACUGUUAUUCUAUUUUGUGACUAACGUUUGAAUCAUAUGUAAGAAAAAUUUGAAGUAGAUAAAGACUGAAAAGAUUACAUGUUGGGUAUAGCCUCAAAUAAAUAUAGAAGCUAUAAAAAUAUGAUGAAUGCAAAAUACUAUGACCCUUGGCAUAAGGAUGCAUGAGGAGAGGUUAAUACAUAAAUCACCAUUUGUCUCUGAUGUUGAUUGGAAGUGGCUUGUCUCUGAUGCAUAAACCAAAUCCCCCACUGAAUGUUUGAUAUUUGAUAGCAGGAAAAACACACCCGCAGCUAUACACCUCCAUCAUUCAGAUAAUUAUAGUGGGGGAGAUGAUUCAUGGUUGCCCUUAUACCCUUUAUUUGCACCAUCUAUUGAGAUUCUUUAUCAUGGCCAGGUUUUACUGCAGCAAUAAGAUAUGGUGGCAACAAUUUUAUCUAUAGGUGCGGUUCCAGACCGCCUCCAUAGGUGCGGUUCCUGACUGCCUCCAUAGGUGCCUCUUCUUGUAAUGUUUGUUCUGGGAAUUACACUUGAAAGCCUUAUCGUGAUAAGGGAUUACAAACACUAGUUCAGAGGACAGCCAUGUUAAACUUCCACUAUGUUUGUGUCACAUUAUCAGCAGCCUAGUGUUUAUUGGUCAUGCUAUCUGCAACUAAUAUAACCCGGUGAACUUCAAUCUAAAUUCUGAAAGUACUCAUGUGACAGAUGGUGCCUUUCAGCAGAUAUCAUCAAUUUAAAAGUAGUGUGUGUGCCUAUAGGUGGGAAGGCCUUGGCAAAUGUUCAGUAUUCCGGUAAUUCAAGAAGGAUAUAUCUAAAAUAGAUUUUCUUCUUGCCCAUUUCAAUAGUUAAAAUUUGAGAAGAUUGUGUCCACAUCACACAAAUAUUAUUGGUCCUUCUGUUGCAAUUUACCUCUGAACAUGUCUUCCAAUUCCCACGGUCCUGUUACUCCAGGAAAACUAUUUCGGUCAUAUUGAAAAAAAAAAUAUUAAAGAAGGUACACAUGCUUUUAAGUGGACUGGGGCAUUCAUAUCAGGUGGUCUGUAUCCACAUAUGCCACUUCGUGAAAGGUGGAACAGCCUAAUCACUAGGCUAUUUAGUGUGGCCCAGCCACGUUAAUCAAGCACAAGUCUUCAUACUUAAAGUCAAAUGGUGUCUUUAGUCUCAUUACACAUCGCUAUUUGAAGAUUAACUCAUCACUAGUGUAAUGCGAUUAAGACAGUCCUAACUCAAUAUUUGUUCUAGUUUUGGAUGCAAAUGCUUGCUGGUUUCAUCAUUGGAUGGGAUAAAGGUGCAAUCAGGACUAUGAAUACGUGCAGUAAUACUUCAUUCUCUUUUUUCUCAAUGAGACUUCUUGGCACAAUUUUGCUGCUCAGCAACCUACCUUUCCAUGGAAAAUCAGUUGUGACUGAUAGUAAUGGAUAUAUUCUAGAAAGCUAAACAUAGAUAGCAUUCAAUAUUAUCGAUAUAACAUUAACAGCGUAUGUCUCAAUGCUCAUCAGCUACAAGCAAUGGACAAACACUUUGAGUAACUCACAGCAGUCAAAAUUCCUAAACAGGACAGACGUGACAGAUCUAUAUAUAGAACACUGCAUAUGAGUCACAGGAAAAGAUAAUACGGGUACAUAGAAGCUCUUAUUUUACAUAUUACUCAUACUGAUCAAAGUCGCUCAGUUGGGAUGGAUGGGAGAAGGAGGUUUGAGGGGUGGCUUGUGCGGGGAAGUUGGCAGCUUCUUUCCGGGAGCUGGUUGCUUCUUUGCUGGAGUUGAAGGAGGCUUAAUCUUCCGAGGUGGCUUGUAUGAGUCUUCAGCAUUCUCAGCAGGAGGGUGACCAGGGUUGUGACCAUAAUGUGGUGGCUUCUCUCCCUUAGGUGGUUUGCCAACUGGGGUUGGUGGCUUGUUUUCUGGGAGUGGCUUCUCUCCCUUGGGUGGUUUGCCAACUGGGGUUGGUGGCUUGUGUUCUGGGAGUGGCUUCUCCCCCUUGGGAGGUUUUUCGAAUGGGGUGGGUUUGUGUCCUGGUGGUGGCUUCUCUCCCUUGGGAGGUUUACCAAUUGGGGUCGGUGGCUUGUGUUCUGGGAGGGGCUUCUCUCCCUGGGGAGGUUUAGUGGGUGGCUUGUGUUCUGGAGGUGGCUUCUCCACCGGAGGCUUAUGCUCUGGUGGUGGCUUCUCGAAGGGGGGAUGCUCAGGGUAAUCACCAAGUGAGGGGGUGGUGAGAACCACCAUGCCAAGCAACAACACUAGCAAGUAUGUAGUAGACAUCUUUGGGUUUGGACUCAGACAGUGCAAAACUACGAGAAAUCGCUAGCCCUUUAUAGCGGCUCGGACCUAAUACUGACAUAAUAUAAAAUAAAUAUUAUAUUUUAUCAAGAGAGAACAGAGUGUAAUUUUAUCAUUAAUACCGAUCGAGGCCAAAGAAAGAAGACCCAUAAUCCAUUUCCCACAAGCAUACACAAUGCAGCUGUAAUUUUAUCAUUUACUUUUAUCCCUUGGACCACUGCAUUUUUGUUGAGAGACACAAUAACACAUUUUUAUCUGUCAUUCAACAUUUACAGUAAAGAGAGGGCACAAAACGCAAUUAGAUAAAUUAUGUUUUGCCUGCUAAAAAGAGGCAAAUAACUUUAUUUGCAACAUAAUUAUUUUGGUUUCUAGUGACCCCGGGGCCUUUCGGUUGGUUUGGGAUCGGAAAAUGAACAUCAUAGGGGGGGUUGUGCCCUUAUGGGCAUAUAUAUCUGAUAGCUUCAACUGGCCUUGUUCCUAGAAAGAAAUUGCCAAAGAUAUAAACUUAUUCCAGGCUGAAAGUAGAUGAGAGUCAUAAUGAACAUCAACCUUUGUUCAGUUUGAUUCAAUGCCCCCAUAGUGUUCAUUUCACAGAUCUGAAUGAUUAUAUCCGUUGAAUACAUAAAUUAAUGAAGACAAAUAUGAAACCCAAGAUACAUCUCUGCAUAACAACCCCAACCCUGGUUGCUAUGUUUCCCUUCUUCUAUUCACAUGAGGAUACUGGUUAUAAUUGUCAAACUUGCAACAAGCCCUUUGACACCUAACGUCAAUGGACGAAUUAAAAGUCUCCUUCAAACGUCUAUUUCACAGCAUGAAGCUUAUAAAGGAUGCUGACAACCUUCAGAGUUAGCGACAAAAGAUAAUUAUCAAGGAGAGAUAGUUCCAUGAGAAUUCCAAGGAGUCUGAAUCAAAGACAAAUUGCUCACUCAAGGGUUCUUAUUUUCUUUUAGGUACAAAUCUCUUGAGUGUUGUUAAAGAAACACGUCACUGUCAUUUUGAUUUGCAUUUAACAUUUCACUUUUGUUCUGGAAGGUUUGUUCCGGAAACAUAUCAAAUGAGCAUCAUUUUCUUCUUCGGUGACACAUGGUCGCGAGUACGUGGGUCCAUUUUCAUGCCACUUAGUUGAAAAGUUGGAAAGAAAAAACAUGCCAACAAGAAGAUAGUGAGAGAAGGGGCACUUCAAGCCUUUAACAUGAACAAACAGUAAAUAAAAGAUGUUUCUCCACUCAUAAAAGUGUGUUAGAUAGCAAUAUAACGAAUCACAUCCAAAAUCUUUACUAGGCUCAAACAUAAAGAAGACUCAUUUUUAAGAAAAGAUAAAAAUGGCAUUGUCUGAUAGUAUCCAAUACACGAGAUGGCACUUAAUUUGUACAAGAUCUGUCAAUGCUGACGCACAUUUUCUGAUUAAAAAAAAACUGAUCAGUCAAAAGCAAUGAAGAGAAGUGAUGACAAUGAAUGAUGCUUCCAAUAUUUUCACCCCUUAUAGUGUUCUUCAUGAUUCAGAUAUAUAAUUGGAAAUAGAACAACCCUAUGCCAUACAUUCGUCUAAGUAUGGUGUCUAAUUUUUUGUGUCAGCGGUUGCGAAUGGAGCGUGCAAAAGUCCAAAUUGGCGUCUCUCCAUUUCCACAUAGGAAGGUGACCUUUAUUGACAAAUACCCAAUAUUUGUAGACAUUCCUUAAAUAUCAUAACUUCUUGUUGAUUUGAAAAUCAUUUUUCAACUACCAUGUUUUAAUAAAUAUUUUUUAAAAUGUAUUUUUAUCAAAGUCCACCAUGAUGGAUAAUAUUCACCAUGCAAUAAUUAAUAAAGUACAAACUAAGCGAAAUGAAAAGCAUUUUCUUUGCUUUGAGUUGAUUUUGGUUGCAUUGAGUUGAUUUUGGUUUCAUGGUUUUUUCAACUCUUAUUUUGAUUGGAAGAUGUCAAGAAAAGAAAACAUAAAGAAAAAUUAAAAGGGAAAAAAGAAGAAAAAUAAAAAAAAAUAGAUUUAAAAGUUAAUAAAUUAUUUUUUAUAUUUAUUUUAAUUCAUUUCACUUAUUUUUCUUUUACUAUAUAAAAUUUAAAUAAUUUAAAUUUUAUAAUUAAUUUAAUUACAUUUCAUUUUCUUCUAUAUUUAAAUAUUGGAAAAAUAUUUUACUUAAUAUUUUUUUCUUUAAUUUCUUUGGCAUUUUGGGAACCAAACUUAGCCUUUAAAAUAAAAAACAAAAAAAAAAUGAAAAUAAGGAGGGAAAAGUGAGAAAAGAUAAAAACAAUAUGUAAAGGAUUUGAAAAGUAUUAGUUUGUAAUUACUAUUUGGAUUUCAAUAGUAUUUUAUUUGUCUUUCUAUAUUUCAUGUAAGAGAGAAUUUAAGAUAUUCCCCAAGGCAAAGCAUUAGUUACCUGCAAUCAGUGGUGAUAAGGCUCCAAGCCAAUUUUGGGCCCCAUAUCUUAAGACAGUACAAUUUCCAUUUCAACAUUUCUGAUUUCUCAGAUGUUUCACAUACCACAGAAGAACAUUGUUUGUGAAAAUAUGCAUUUAUGUUGGAUUUUGUAUGCUGUGGGGACUGGGGCAAGGAUCAUAUGGAAGAGUGGUUGACUUUUUCUGUACUUUAACGGUUGAAAUAGGAUAAGCACGGGCAUUUGUGAGGCUUAAUUGAUUUUGAAGCCUGAAAUUGCGUUUCUGUCAUUUUGUCAAAAAAAUGGCAGAUUCCAUACUCAUAUGUUUGGCCUGUGGCCAUGUACAGAUGCCAUUUAGUGACCAGUUUGUAACUGUCAAUCGUUGCGUUUUGACUCUGCCUCAACAACAUCUGCCAUUGACGGGUUUUCAUACUUGCAAAUCAAAUAGUCUUUCGUCCCAUCAGGAAUUUCGGUUUAAAUAUUAUUAAGCAUACGUUUGGCUGACAAUCAUUAUCCAGUUCAUGAUUUGGUUUCUUACCCUUAAUCAAUGGUUUCUAAGUGAAUAUAUGUAGAAGGAAAUCCGAAGUGUAGACAGUAGUAUCGAUAACUCUCAAUAUUCUCUAUAUAAUAGAAUAAACAGCGUCAUAGUGAUCGUCGCCUACAAGCAAGGUACAAAUACCAAAACGAGUGACUCACAUAGACAUCUCCCAACAAGAUGUAGUAGUGACUGACACAUGGACACAAUUAACUCGUAGAAAAGGAUAAGACCAUUGCACAGCAGCUCUUAUUUUACAUACUACUUAUGCUAACCAAAGUCAAUUAGUUGGGAUGGGUGGGAGAUGGAGGUUUGUGCGGUGGCUUGUGGGGCGGAGUUGAUGGCUUCUUUCCAGGAGCUUCUGGCUUUUUCAUCGGAGCUGAAGGAGGCUCAAUCUUAUGAGGCGGCUUGUAUGAGUCUUCUUUACUCUCGACAGGAGGGUGGCCAGGGUUGUGAUCAUAAUGUGGUGGCUUCUCUCCCUUAGGUGGCUUGCCAACUGGGGUUGGUGGCUUGUGUUCAGGAAGUGGUUUCUCUCCCAUGGGAGGUUUAGCAAUUGGGGUUGGUGGCUUGUGUUCUGGGAGUGGCUUCUCUCCCUUGGGAGGUUUAGUAGGUGACUUGUGUUCUGGAGGUGGCUUCUCCACCGGAGGCUUGUGCUCCGGUGGUGGCUUCUUGGUUGGAGGGGGCUUGGGGUAAUCAGCAAGAGAUGGGGUGGUGAGAACCACCAGUCCAAGGAACAACACUAGCAAGUAUGUGGGAGACAUUUUUGAGUUUGGGCUGAUCAGAUGAUGCAAAACUAAAGCAUUACGUGACCUUUUAUAGCAUGUAGCUCCCAAUACCCACUAAGUAUUGUGGGGUCCAUUUGUGCCCUACGGGGUUGAAAACUUAGACAAUUGGGCAAGGACCCACCUGACUAUGGAGGACUAGUGAGGUGUGAUCAUAGCUUUAGGAUUUUUCUUCCUCUGCAGCCGUCGUGCCGUUGGCAUGAUUUUCUUAAUCUUAAAUAAAGGCAUAGUUAUAGAGUUGUUUAAUCUCUAAAUGGGAUUUUAUAUAUAUCUUCAGAUAGCCAUUAAUAUAUUUGAUGAAGAAAGAAAGACAAGUGCAUACAACAUGUAUACGACUAGCUUUCAUGGAGUUCAUUUAUGAUCAGUUUUCCUGUACAUGUAAACCAGGAUCAUAUAUAUGUUUCUGUUCCACAACUAUUUUGGAAUCUUGUUUAUCAGUUUUUAUCAUUAUAAUGUCACAUAGGCUGCCAACUUGGGCGCUAAAAGAACCAGUUGGGCUAGUUCGUUUCAGAAUUUCAAUGUGGAUUCAGGAAUUGUUUUGUAAGAUAUGCGAAAUAGUAGAGGGAUGAAUAGUGUUUCAUUAAUAAAAGUGUCCUGUAAAUUAGAAGGUGUCAUAGAAACUAUAAUCAAUAAAUAACUUUUUUUCCCCACGGGUGGUGUUUCUUGUGGGGAUCAGUGACUGGUUUAGGUUCACCCAAAAUGAGUUCAGACUAAAAUUGGUUUGAGUCAAUGCCGUGUCUCUUUUUUCCAGAAAUCAACUAUUUUAUGCAUUGAAUAAAUCAUACAAAGAAAAUAUGAACGCCCGCAAAACCUAAACCCUGGUUGCUAACUUUCUAUGUUUCAGUUCUAUUCACGCAAGAAUAUUAGUUUAAGUUUGGGAAAAAUGGCAACUUACCUAGUGAUUACUUGGUUUUGGUUUGCGACUAUUUACGCAACCAACCAUGAGUUUGACUUUAACGUCAUGGGUUGAAGCCUCCUACAGGAAGGGAGAAAGCUCCACAGCUAGCUCCAAAAGAGAAUUAUCACAUUGAUAGCUCCAGAGAUUCCCAAGGGGACUGAAUCAAAGACAAGUUCCUCACUUUUUCUUCUUUUGAGGCCAAAUAUGAACCAAGGAUCACACAACCUCAUUCAACUUCAUAAGUUUGAUUUCAUGCAGUUGAACACUGGGUGAAGGCCAUGACAAGAAUUGAUUCAAAAAUUCUAUCACUCUUUUAAGUAAUGGAAGAUUAUUAUCUCUGAUUGGCAUCACAACAGCACAUGCUCCUAGAUCUUUCUAGACACUCCAUGCAAUGAAAGCACAAUGGAUCUUGUAACGAUAGAAACUAAGCCAUGCUACAGUACUAGAUGAUGAGGUAAAACUAGUAGACACGGGUGGCAGCCUAUAUGGGAGGGACACAAGUCUAAUUGAUUUGCAUUUCAGCAUUAUAGAUAGGUAUGUUUUGGAAGAUUUGUUCUGGAAAUACCGCACCAAGUAGGAUUCUUUUUCUCUUUAGUGGGUCCACUUGCAUGCCAAUUAACGAGUUGAAAAGUAUGAGCACCUACCUCGUGCUCGUGGAACCGAAGGUCAGUGAAGUGGGGCUCCUUUUGGCCUCGUGUAAACUUGAUUCAGAAGUGAAGUUAAUAGUCUUCCAUUCAGAUGGAUACAUGGGAAUUUUUCUCUUUUAUUUAUUUAUUUAUUUUUUUUUUGUGUGUGUAUGUCAAAGGAUAAUGAAUGAAGCGCGUUAGCUUGUUUUCUGACUGGAACCGCAGAUGUCCAAAUUGGAGUUCCUUCAUUUCUUACUUAGGAUUGUUACAUGUAUAAACAAGGUAUAAGAAAUAUGCCAACGUGUCUUGAGGAGUUAUUGAUUAGAAAUAACAAGUCACCCGACUGUAGAGUUCCAAGAUUUGAAUCUUCAGACCCUAUAGCAGCCUCUGGGGUACGUGGCAUCCUAUAGCAUAUUAAUGAAGGCUUUUUCGAUUUAGACUUCACAAUACCAAUUAAUAUGUAUGCACAAAAUGGAGAUGACCCCAAAAAAAACAGAAUCGCCAUAGUUUAUGAGGUUAAGGUGAUUCUCCACUUAAUAUCUACAUUAGCUAAUUAUGUAAAUCAAAUGAACUUCUAUUUUUCCUUUUUUUUUUUGGUUUAUGUCAAAUAGUAGCCCAUAAUUAACCCAACCAUUAGCCUGUUUGAAUUGAUUUCACAUGCACAAUGUUGUAGUAGUUCAUAUUUUGAAUUUUAUUUUUACAAAGGUAGUUAAGGAAAAUGAAGUAUAAUAAUUAUAAAAGCAGACUAUAUACACUACAAUAAUUGUUAGAAUGGUAUCUCAAAUUCUAAUUUAAAAUAUUAUUUUUUGUAAAAGAAAUAUUAUAUAGAAUAUUUCCUAAUUUUAUAAAUGAUUAUAAUUAGAUCUUUAUAAAAUAAGGAAAGUUGGUAAGAAUAUCUUUAUAAAUAUUUUAGGUCAUGAGAGAAAGAAAUGGGAUAAAAAUGUGAUGAAGAGGUGAAAUAAGAGAGUUGAUUAGGAUAUAGAUGUGAAGAAGAAAGGGAUUCAAUAUAUAUAUAUCUUUCAAUUACCACAUUAAAACCCUGUGAACCUUUUAUAUGGUUUACUUUAUUUUUAUAUUCCUCCUUUAAUAUAUUUACAUUAAUGCUUCCAUUGGCACAACAAUAACGAAUUACAAAUACAAGCAACAAGUCCCAUGUUUUAUUACCAAAAGCAGGUAAAAUCCACCUAAUAUAUUACAAUAUAUUCAUCCAAUAUUUUAGACCAAUUCUUCACCAUAAAUAUCAUAAUGUGGCUUUUGUUCUUUCUUAAAUUUAAAUUGAAUUGUCUUAUAUCAAUUUGUUUGUGAUUUUUUCAUUAACUUCACUUUCAUUUGGUUAUCUUUGGUUUUUGAAAAGUAUUAAGGAAUUAAUUAACAAAAUAAUGUUAAGAAAAAUAAUUUUCUCUCUUUUGAUUUUGAUUUUGUAGUAGAAAAAUAUAAUUAAAAUUAUUUAAAAAGUAUGUAAUUUUAAAUUAUUUAAUAUUUAGAUAAAAAAAAUAAGUCUAAUGAGUUUAAAAUAACAUAUAAAAAUAAUUUAUUUAUUUUAAAUUUAUUUUUUAUUUUCCAUUAUGUUCUCUUUCUCUUUUACUUUUUCAUAUUUUUUCUUACGAAGAAUCAAACACAACCUCAUAUUAUAUGUCAAGUGUUUGUCUAUAUUUGAGCAAUGUUAGAUACGGCCAUGGAUUCAUCAAACUAAACUGAUUUUAAUAGAUACUUCACAAAUUGAUUUAUACACUAAAUCAUUGGAUAGCAAUGAUGCAUUGGAAUUAAACGUAGGAUGAAGCUCGAAGAACACUGUUUGUGUAACAACAUAUUUAUGAAAUUAUGCAAAGGAUGAGCUUCGGGGUAGUAGUACAAGGUCAUUAAUGGAGAGCCGUGUUAAACCUUGAUUGUGAUUGGAUUCCGUUAUCAGCAACAGCAACCUUGUUUGUAACCUUGAAAGUCAUUCUGUCCACAUCGAAACUCCAAUUUGACGUUUGUAAUUACCAUUCCUGGAGUGUUCCUUGAUUGAAAUUUAAAUAAUAAUUGCGGCCCACAAGGAAUAUUUUCGAUUCUGUGGGAAUUUGACAAGGUUUGUUAGAGAAGACUGGUGACAUGUUGACUUCAAUGGUUCAAAUAGGAGACGUAUGUGGAUUUGGGGGGUUUAAUUGAAACUGAGUCCCUAUGGCUUUUUAAUAUUUGCAUUGAGCAGUCUCCAUGUGACUUCCUAAUUCCCACCAACCCUCCUGUCCAUGCUGUGAAACUAAAUUGUAAUUUAUCAGCCUUUGUCAAUGGUUUCUAAAUUAAAGAUAUAGACCAUGCAUGUACUUUAAUAAAAGCAAAUCUAAAGUGUAGAUAGCAGCAAUGGUGACACCCAAUAUUCUCCAUAAAAUAGAAUUAGAAUAAGCAGUGUUACAUUGUUCAUGAUCACCUACAAGCAUACAAGAACUUCCAUGAAUAACUCAUAGCAAUUGCCAACAGGGCGUCGUAGAGACUCAUACAUAGAACACUAUCCACCCAGAGGAAAGGACAAGACCAGUGCGCUGCAGCUCUUAUUUUUCACAUGUAUACCACCACUCGUAAUAACCAAAUUCACUCAGUUGGGAUAGGUGGGAGAUGGUGGUUUGUGGGGUGGCUUGUGGGGAGGAGUUGGAGGAGGCUUUAUUUUCUGAGGCGGCUUGUAUGAGUGUGCAGGAGGAUGCCCGGGAGUGUGACCAUAAUGUGGUGGCUUCUCUCCCGUAGGUGGUUUGCCAAAUGGGCUUGGUGGCUUCUCUCCCUUAGGAGGUUUACCAAUUGGGGUUGGUGGCUUGUGUUCUGGGAGUGGUUUCUCUCCCUUGGUAGGUUUGCCAAUUGGGGUUGGCGGCUUAUGUUCUGGGAGUGGCUUCUCUCCCUUGGGAGGUUUGCUAAUUGGGGUUGGCGGCUUAUGUUCUGGGGGCGGCUUCUCUCCCUUGGGAGGUUUGCCAAUUGGAGUUGGCGGCUUAUGUUCUGGGAGUGGCUUUUCUCCCUUGGGAGGCUUGCCAAUUGGGGUUGGCGGCUUAUGUUCUGGGGGUGGCUUCUCUCCUUUAGGAGGUUUGCCAAUUGGAGUCGGCGGCUUAUGUUCUGGAAGUGGCUUUUUUCCCUUGGGAGGUUUGCCAAUUGGGGUUGGCGGCUUAUGUUCUGGGGGUGGCUUCUCUCCCUUGGGAGGUUUGCCAAUUGGAGUCGGCGGCUUAUGUUCUGGGAGUGGCUUCUCUCCCUUGGGAGGUUUUGUUGGUGGCUUGUGUUCUGGAGAUGGCUUCUCCCCUGGAGGCUUGUGCUCCGGAGGUGGCUUCUGAAAUGGCGGGGGCUUGGGGUAAUGAGCAAGAGAUGGAGUACUGGUGAGAACCACCAUUCCAAGCAACAAUACUAGCAAGCAUGUGGGAGACAUCUUUGAGUAGUUGUAGCUAAGAUGGCGCAACACUGUAGGCAUUGGGUGGCCUUUUAUAAAGGGCUGGACCCAACAGCCAUAUGACACGUGUCAUGAUGACAAAUGA
rnacentral:lncRNA from 1 species